GCUUGCAUUGCUCAAUUUAUCUCAUAAUAGUCUAACAGGACCUAUCCCAUCAUUGCUGAGAAAUAUGAAAGAACUCCAAUCUUUAGAUUUGUCCUCAAAUCAACUGACAGGGGCUAUUCCACCUCAGUUAACUGCAUUGACAUUUCUAGAGGUCUUAAAUCUCUCGAACAACGAUCUCAGUGGAGAGAUUCCUCAGAAAGGACAGUUCAGCACAUUCAACAAUGAUUCUUAUCUAGGAAACUCCGCGUUAUGUGGAUCACCAUUGACGAAGAAAUGCGCAAACACAGCAUCACCUCCACAAGAAGUCAGAAAUGGUGAUGAAGAUGAUGCUGGUGAUGAAUGGACAUGGGAAGCAAUCGUGAUGGGAUAUGGAUGUGGACUGAUAUGUGGAUUGUCAUCUGCGUACAUUGUUCUCAAACUAGGAAGGCCUUGGUGGUUUGUGAGAUAUGUCGAAGUAUUGCAACUGAAGUUGAUGAAAAGAUAUGCUUGAAGAAUGGUAUUUGGUCUUGUACUAGCUGCAUAAGUAUUUGGCAUUGUGUAGUAUUCUGUUUGGUCUUGAAUUAUAAUGAUUUUUCUUGCUUCAGGGGUAUUAAUAUAAACCUUGCUAUCUUGCUCAGUGUUAAUGCAAAUUAAGAUGAAUGAAUAAACAAAAAAUAUGCAUCAAAUUAAGAAUUCAGAAAUGGUGAUACUCAUGCAGUGUCACCAACUCAAGAAUUCAGAAAUGGUGAUACUCAUGAAGAUGACGAUGCUGAUGAUGAACUUUGAUGUGGGACUUGGGUUGACCACUUGUUGGGCCGCACAACACCUGUUAAGCAUUAGUAUGACGUUGUCCGCUCUGGAUCGUGACCAAGCCCGCACGGAUUUGUUUUCGAGCUCCUCUCAAAAGGUCUAAAACUAAUGGAGUUGUUUGGCUGCUUAUAUUCAAGAUAAAUCUUUUUGAUGUGGGAUUUGGGUUGACACCCACACAACAAGACGUGAGGAAAUAUUGUUGUCUUGAGAUGACAUAUGUUCUGAAUUAUUAUUAUGCUUUCAACAAUAUUUUCAAACAUUUUUCAAUAUGUAUUUUUAAAGAAUUCUCAAGCACUCGUGACCCCUAUAAUUUUUUCUCAGGCAACGCCUAUAGUUUCAAAGAAUUCCCAGGCACUUAAACAUUUGGACCGGUUCUUUGGAAGCCAAGAUGCCCAGGUUAUCAUGGCCAUGCACAAAAUGCAGUACCAAAGAAAAAAAAUAAUAAAUUAAGAGAGAUUGCUCUGGGUCACCCCAAGCCUUCGAGGACUCAUUCCAAGCCUCGCCCUUUCAAAGAAGUGAUAGUAGCCGGAAAGUGAUAUAAAUUAUUCUCCGGACACUAAAACUAAAUAAUCAGAUCAAAUUAAUCAAUAAUAAAUUAAAGAUAUGAAAUCAAAAUUAAUCCUAAAUUUUGAUAAUAUACAAAAAUUAUAAUUAUAAAUUUUAUUAUCAAAUCAAGAUUAAAUUAACUUACAUGGCCGUUAAAAUUGAUAAACGCAAUAUAAUAGGGUUAAAAAUGGGGCGGGUUCGGGACGGGUACUUCAUUUCCCAGCCUCGUCCCAUAUAUAUUUUUCCUGCCCCGUCUCCGCCCCAUUCUCCACGAAGAUUUAUUUUUAAUCCCCAUUGCCGCCCGCCCCACCGGGGAUUGAAUAUAAUUUCGCCCCGCCCCGCUGCUAUAAUAUUACACUUUAAUUAAUUACCUUAAAAUUUAAUAAUCAGAAUUUAAUAAAAAUAUACGAGACAUGUAUAUUAAAAGCAAAAAACUAAAUAUAAUAGAAAUCAAAGAGACAUGUUAUACAUUGUAAAAUUAUAGUUUUAUGUAUUAUAUAAUAGAUAAUAUUAAAUAUAUUAUAUUAAAUAUAAUUAUUUAUUUUUAUUAAAUAUAUGCGGGGCGGGGUGGGGAAUCCCCGCGGGAAUUCAACAAAUACCAUGCUUGCCCCAUAUUUUAGCGGGGCAGAUAAUCAUUCUCCGUCACUACCCCAUUCCCCAUAGAGUAGUGCUAGAUGCACAAAAUUGGAUACAUAAUUUUACACAAAAUGACAUGGCAAUCUAGGUGGAGAGCUUUAAUUGGUAUUAUUAAUGCAUGUGCAGGGGCUCAUUCCAAUCACAAAUUGACACAUACUCAUUCUGUGAAUAUUUCUGUACUCAAUUCUGUGCAGGUAGCAUUUUUCUUCCCCAUAUUAGCGGGGCGCAUCGGCUCCAUUCGGGGCGGGUUCCCCAUUUUCCCCACCCAAUUUUUAACCCUACAAUAGUAAUCAAAUUGAUGAAAAGUCAAAGUCCUCUAAUAAAUCCAUAAAGAAUAUGAUAAUCAAAACUACAAAAAUUAUAAUUGAAAAAUCAAAAUCAUCCUAAUAAGUUCAUAGAAUAUAUAUGAUCAGUAGAGCAUUAGAAUAGUGUUCACACACUUAUAUGUCAAAAUUUGUGGUCCAAAGACUAUGACACAAUAUCCUAAAUACACCCCCAUUGAAUAGUAGUUCAAAAUAUUUAAUAUAUAAUUGUUUUCAUUCAUAAUUUUGUUAUUAUUUAAAAAAUAAUAAUUUAAUUGCUGUUAACCUUUAUUUUAAUAUAUAAUCAUAUCGUUUCCUUACAAUUUAAUUAUCUAGAAACAAUAUUUUUGUUAUAAUCAUUACAUUAAUUAUAUUAAAAAAUAUAAUUUUGUUAAAACAUUGAAUGAAAUUAAGAGUAUUAAUCUACGUCUCUCCAAGUCUACAGGACUCAUUCCAAGUCUGCGUGAGACCACUGCCACCACCUUUGAGAGAUGUGGAAGUGGAAGUAGCUUCAGAUUGACCUAAAUUAUUUCCUGACAAUAAAUUUAAUAUCCGAAAUAAAUUAAAUUAAACUAGUUUUUUGAAACAAUUAAAUUAAACUAGUUAAUAAUAAAUUAAGAAUAUAUAAAAUCAAAACUAAUCAUGAAUUAUGAUAAUAAUUAAAUAAAUUAUAAUUAAGCUAUAUAAAUCAACUCCAAAUGACACCAACAGCACCAAACCUUAGUUACUUUAAUAUUGGUAAAUAAAUAUAAUAUAAUAAUCAAUUGAUGAAAAAUCAAAUCAUCUAAUAAAUUCACAAAAAAUAUAUGAUCAUUAGUAUAUUAUAUUAGUAUCCACACACUUAUAUUUCAAAAUCUAUCCUCCAAAAUUAUCAUCUCGAUAAACUAGCCACAUAAAAUAAAAAUUUAAAGAUAUUAGAUAUUUAGUUAUUUUCAUUAUAUAAUUUUUCCACACUAAAUAACAAAAUAUUUUUAUCAAAUUAUUAUUUAUGAGUUAAAUAUUCAAGUUAUAAAUCCAGCAUGCAGCGUAUAAAUAGAAGUGUGCAGUAUGAUAUCAGAAUCAUAACCCAGUUGAUCAGGAGAAACAUGGCAUACUCUGCAAAGCCUUCUCACCUUCUUCUCUUUGUUUUCUUUCUCUCAUCACUUGAAUCCAUUCUAACAACACGAGAGGGAGAAGCUCUUGUGAAGUGGAAGAAUAGCCUAGCCCCGUCUUCUUUUCUCGACUCUUGGUCACUCACCAAUCUCGAUAAUCUUUGUAACUGGACUGGCAUUACUUGUAACUCUGCAGGUUCAGUUUCUGAGAUUAACCUCUGUGAGAAACAACUUGAUGGAAUGCUGUCCGAGUUCGGUUUCACUUCAUUUCCAAAUCUCAAGAAUCUCACCCUGGCAGACAACUUCUUCUCGGGUCCAAUACCACCAGCCAUUGAGAAUUUAACACAGCUUCAAUAUCUUGAUUUAAGCAUGAAUAGUCUUAAUGGUCCCAUUCCGUUCCAGGUUAGCCAUCUUCAGAGUUUGCUCAUAUUAAACCUGUCACAGAAUGCAUUGCAAGCUCCAAAUUGGUCCCAUUUCUCUCCCAUGCCUGUUUUGCGCUUCCUCAAGCUCAGUAGAAAUCCUCUUGUGUCGAAAUUCCCAAAUUUUAUAUCCAAUUCUCAUAGCCUGACUUAUCUCAACCUUUCACAUAACAAGUUUAGUGGUGAUCUUGUACGUGAAUCAGUAUUUAUACCAAUCUGCAUCAUCUUGAAGUCCUCAGUUUUUCACCGAAGAGUUGUGUGAGCCUAUUUUAGACAAUGGAUUCUCUUACAAUGGUAUAACCUCUGUAACAGUUGUGUCAUUUUUAAUGACACAACAUAUGUGCGUAUAAAAACCGUUGUCUAUUAGACACUACAGGACAAAAUUUACCUUUUUACAAUAAGACAAAAUUUACCUUUGACUGUUAUUGUUAAAAAAACAUACAUAAUAAACGUAAAAAAUUUUGAAUUUUUUUAUGUAUGAUUAAUAUUGUUAAUUCUCGAGAUCCGUACGGUCAGAUCAUCGAAAAAAAUAUUUAUAAAUUAAUACAGAGUUAAUCGUAUACAUAACAAAGAUUCUAUUGAGUACUUUCUAAAUUGUAACCAUAAAACAAAUACUAAUAUCCACAUCCGAACUACAAAAUUAUCUUCAUUGUACAAAUGAACAAUAUAUAUUUGCAUAUAUGCAUAAUAUAAAUAUAUGUUUUAAGAUAAACUGUGCAAAAAUUAGAAUUUAUCAAGGAAUAGAGAAUUUUUAACUUUUAAAAAGAAAAAUUAAUCAUAAAACAGUUUCAUUGCCAUAAAUAAUUAAUAAUUAAUUCAAUUGUAACCCCUAAAAUAAUUACUAAUUAAUAAUUAAUACAGUGCUAAUCGUAUAUAUAACAAAAAUUCUAUUAUGUACUUCCUAAAUUAUAACUUUAAACACAUACUAAUACUAUUAUAUAAUAUUUUUCAAUUAUUAAUAUUAUAAUAUAUAUUAUAAUACAACUAAUUCUUUUAAAUUUUCAAUUAAAUUUUAAUAUUCUAUAAUAUAUAGAUAUAUGAAUUUAAGUAAUAUAACUUUUAAUUAUAUUACACAUAUUUCUUCUUGUUUUUAAUAAAUUAUUUAAAUUAAGAUAAUAUUAAUUAUUUUCUUGACGCAAAAACAAUUUUAAUUAUUAAUUAAAGAAUUAAAAGGAAAAAAAAGUAGAUCUGCCCAAUGUACAGGUGAAAGUGAGAAGCGGCAAAGUUCCCCCCAAAACUAAAAACCACUGCCGAGUAAAAACCCCUAACCUGUACUCUCAAAAAACUUCUCACUCACAAACACUCUCCCUGGAUCUAUGUAUCUAUCAACACUCGGGGGGUUUGUUAUGUUUAAAUGGAAGCAAAACAAUGCUAUAGUCAUUUUCAGUAUCCAUGUGGUCCUCUUGCAUCUCGGUUUGCUCUGCUUUUCACAUGUUUGUGGCCAACAUGAAUCUUAUAUCUUGUUUAUGAGUUUAAUUUUGUUUAUUUGUAUUUGAGUGGCUUGAUUUUGUAUUUCUUCACUACUAAUUGUUAUUUUCUAAAUUAUCCAUGUGAUUAGGGCUCAUUUUUAGGGGAACUUUGAAUUAGGUCAUUAAAUUACAGUUUUGGUGAAUUGGGGCUUUCAUUGUAUAUAUUUGAUUACAUACAACUGUUAAUAUUUGAGCAGCCAAGGCUCAAGAGCUCAAAAGAUGACAUAUCGAUGGGGUGACAUGUAUGGCUAACAAUCGGAGUAAUUUGAAAGGAUUAUUUUUUCGUUGGGCUGACAGAGGUAUAUUGUUCUUGACACUGGUUUUUAACUUGCUGUCUUUAGUUUAGUUGUGAAUAAUGAGAUGGUUGGAUAUUCUAUUUCGUAUUGUUGUAUGUGGUCGUUAGCAGAAGCUCAUUAAGUCUGCUAUGGUUUAUAGAUUUUAUAACAUUGAUAAGUAUGGUUUGGGUGUCUAGGCUAGUUUUGUUUGUGUGUGUAAUGGAUGUGUUUUGAUUUUUCUGAUUUUUCUGAUUUUUCGAUCAUCUACUUCUUUUUUGUUGCGGGGUUGUUAUUUGUUUACUCUUGUUCCCUGCAAAGAAAUAAGUGUGGAUAGUUAUGCAUUGGAAUCAUAAGUAGCAAUUAAGUGUUAAUUUCCAAUUCAACGAGUUCAAUGCACGCCUGUCUUCAACUAGAUCCGUUUCUUAAUGAAUUUACAAGCAUGUUUGAGCACAAUACUGAGCAGGGUUGUGUGUAGGUCACUUUAUAUAUUUUAGUAUCAAGAGACGUAUUAUGUUGAUAUGUGCUGUAUAAAAUAUUUAAUUGAAGCUAGGUUUAUGUGUAACUGUUACUCAUCUGGCUAUGGAAUACAUUCCCAGAUUAAAAAAUUUGAUAAUGAUUGAUACUGUCUUGUCACUCCAUUAAACAUGACGUAACAUCUGUAUUCAACUUUGGACUUCAUUAAUUGGUGUUAGUCGUGCAAUAUGUUUAAAUUAAAAAAGUUAUGUUUCUUUUAUAUGUUCGAAUUUACUCCAAAUUGCAUGUGGGCGUUUCACUUCUUAUGAGCAGGCUGUGCUUUGGGAAGUUUAGGCAUGCUUUGAGAAUAGAUAUUUUAAUCAAACUGUGCACUUUAGAUAUAAAAAAUCUUGCUGUUCUGAUGGAUUGUAUGGUGUGGAACAAGAGCUGUGUUCCAAGUUAUGCUCAAGACUGUGGGUUUUUUUUGUUUUUAACACCCUUCCAUAACUUCUCCAUCUUAGUUAUUAAACUCUUUCAUUCUGUAUUCCUAACUAUACCAUUCUUUUUUCCACAUAAACCAAGCCAUAAUAAGAAACUGACUUUCUCAAGGAACAAAGGACUAUCACCACAUGGCAGGAUUGUGCAUAGGCGUGCAUAUGCUUGAGUAAGUACACUUUUGGACUUAUGUUGUGAAGUAUUAUUUUUACAAAUGUCAUCCUUCUGGUCAUAUGACAAAUCUUUUCCCUAUCAUUUCUGUAAUUUGUUUUAAAGGUUAGAGCAAGAGUGGAGAUGUCCCAAAUUGAUGCAGUUGCUUACAACAUUGGCAUGGCUUUGUGGAAAGUUUUUGGUGGAGCUUCUAGCACAAUAAAACAGAUAUAAUAGUUUAGUUUCCGAGCUACACCAUUUCCCGGCUCAUUUUGUCGGCUUCUAUCGACUCUAUACAGGCUCUUGCCAGUUGUGUGAAACAUUACAAGAUUUUACAUUUUUAUAUGUGGUUGUACGUUGAUACUAUAGUUGGUAAUGAAAAUUUUUGUUACUAAUUUAUGGCUUGUUAAUUAUAUUCUCCAGCAUAGUUUAAUUAGAUUAUGUAAAACCAUUGUCUGACAUAACUAAACACAAAAGGAAAAGAAAAAGAAAACAGUUGUCCCAAGACUUACAAACAACACAAUUUUAAAAAUAAAAUCGUUGUCUAAGACAUAUACAAAUAAGUAAAUAGUAGUAACAAACCAUUGUCUAAAUCAGUAUUAUUCAAGCAUUUUGAACAAAAACUGUUGUAGAAGAGCUUUCACACAAUUGUUUCAUUAUAUAAACUAUUGUUAUACGGAGCUUCACAGAAGUGACCACUGCUCUAAGCCCGUUGUACAAGGUAGUAAAACACGAGCCUCUAAAACGCAAACAAUCUUGUCUGAUACUCUUAUUAACAAGUAAAUAUAUCCACAAACUGUUGUGGAUAGUCCUAAUAACAACACAAAUUCCAAAUAUGACUGUUGUUAUAAAAUGUUUAUAACAACACUUUGUUAAACUAAUCUGUUGUUGUUUGUGGGUGUAACACAACACGCUGUUAAAUAUAAACCGUUGUGUUUCUUGAUCUCACACAACGGUACGUACCGUUGUCUGAGGCGCGUAUCAGACGGCAUCGCAAUAGACCACGGUUUUCUUGGGUAUCAGACAACGGGCAAAAACCGUUGUCUGAUGCUGUUUUUGUUGUAGUGACAAUUCCUUUGAAGGACCGCUUCCACCAGGUAUAUUCAAGCUUUCAAAAUUAAAACAUCUUUUUCUUUGGGGUAAUAAGUUUUCAGGUUCUGUUUCCAAUGAUAUAUGUUUGCUUUCUGAGCUUGAAAGCCUCGAUCUUAACUCUAAUUUUUUUGAGGGGCCGCUUCCGCCAAAUGUAUUCAAGCUCUCCAAAUUAAAGUUACUUUCCCUUCAGAAGAAUAACUUUUCAGGUUUUGUUUCCAAUGAUAUAGGUUUGCUUUCUGAGGUUGAAACUCUCGAUCUUCACUCUAAUUUUUUUGAGGGGCAGCUUCCGCCAAAUAUAUUCAAGCUCUCGAAACUAAGAUUUCUUGCCCUUUGGCAGAAUAACUUUUCAGGUUCUGUUUCCAAUGAUAUAGGUUUGCUUUCUAAGCUUGAAACCCUCGAACUUGACUCCAAUUUUUUUGAGGGGCCGCUUCCGCCAAAUAUAUUCAAGCUUUCCAAAUUAAGAGUUCUUUCCCUUGACAAUAAUAACUUUUCAGGUUGUGUUUCCAAUGAUAUAGGUUUGCUUUCUGAGCUUGAAACCCUCCGUCUUGGCUUCAAUUCUUUUGAAGGACCGGUUCCACCAAAUAUAUUCAAGUUUUCCAAAUUAACAGGUCUUGACCUCUCAGGCUAUAGAAAUUUAUUUGAAGGUAGUAUCCCUAUUGGACUGGGACUCUUGACUAACCUCAGCUACUUAGAUCUAAGUUCCAAUAAUCUCAGUGGCUAUAUUCCAUCUGAACUUGGAAACCUUAAGCUACUAGUAUUUCUUGAUCUCAGUUCUAACCAAUUGACUGGACCGCUUUUAAAGAUCGUUUCUAAUCUCACAAAUCUUAUAUAUCUCCAUGUACAAGAUAAUAGUCUUAGUGGGAAUAUUCGCAGUGACUUGUGGAAAAACUCUUUAUCCUUACGUUACAUUGAUCUUGAAAAUAAUUAUUUGUCUGGGAACAUUCCUAAGGAAUAUAACGAUCAUCCAACUUUGGAAUACAUCAAUUUAGGUGGGAACCAUUUUACAGGUAUAUUUUUCUCUAUAUAUCUUUUCCUUUUGUCAUAUGUAACUAAGCUAGUAAUCUGAUUGAUGCAGUUUUACCAAAGUUUCAACAAUCUUGACAGGUGAGCUUCCANNNNNNNNNNNNNNNNNNNNNNNNNNNNNNNNNNNNNNNNNNNNNNNNNNNNNNNNNNNNNNNNNNNNNNNNNNNNNNNNNNNNNNNNNNNNNNNNNNNNNNNNNNNNNNNNNNNNNNNNNNNNNNNNNNNNNNNNNNNNNNNNNNNNNNNNNNNNNNNNNNNNNNNNNNNNNNNNNNNNNNNNNNNNNNNNNNNNNNNNNNNNNNNNNNNNNNNNNNNNNNNNNNNNNNNNNNNNNNNNNNNNNNNNNNNNNNNNNNNNNNNNNNNNNNNNNNNNNNNNNNNNNNNNNNNNNNNNNNNNNNNNNNNNNNNNNNNNNNNNNNNNNNNNNNNNNNNNNNNNNNNNNNNNNNNNNNNNNNNNNNNNNNNNNNNNNNNNNNNNNNNNNNNNNNNNNNNNNNNNNNNNNNNNNNNNNNNNNNNNNNNNNNNNNNNNNNNNNNNNNNNNNNNNNNNNNNNNNNNNNNNNNNNNNNNNNNNNNNNNNNNNNNNNNNNNNNNNNNNNNNNNNNNNNNNNNNNNNNNNNNNNNNNNNNNNNNNNNNNNNNNNNNNNNNNNNNNNNNNNNNNNNNNNNNNNNNNNNNNNNNNNNNNNNNNNNNNNNNNNNNNNNNNNNNNNNNNNNNNNNNNNNNNNNNNNNNNNNNNNNNNNNNNNNNNNNNNNNNNNNNNNNNNNNNNNNNNNNNNNNNNNNNNNNNNNNNNNNNNNNNNNNNNNNNNNNNNNNNNNNNNNNNNNNNNNNNNNNNNNNNNNNNNNNNNNNNNNNNNNNNNNNNNNNNNNNNNNNNNNNNNNNNNNNNNNNNNNNNNNNNNNNNNNNNNNNNNNNNNNNNNNNNNNNNNNNNNNNNNNNNNNNNNNNNNNNNNNNNNNNNNNNNNNNNNNNNNNNNNNNNNNNNNNNNNNNNNNNNNNNNNNNNNNNNNNNNNNNNNNNNNNNNNNNNNNNNNNNNNNNNNNNNNNNNNNNNNNNNNNNNNNNNNNNNNNNNNNNNNNNNNNNNNNNNNNNNNNNNNNAAACCUGUCAGAGAAUGAACUGCAAGCUCCAAAUUGGUCCAAUUUUUCCCCCAUGCCUUUUUUGACCAUCCUCGACCUUUAUAAAAAUAAUCUUUUGUCAGAAUUUCCCGAAUUUAUAUCUAACUCGUGUAACCUUACGUACCUUGACCUCUCAUCCAACAAGUUUAGAGGGGAUCUUGCGCGAGAAUCAGUAUUAACCAAUCUAGGUGAUCUUGAAACCCUCUAUCUUAUUAGAAAUUCUUUCAAGGGGUCAUUUCCGUCAGAUUUAUUCAAGCUUUCUAAAUUAAAACGUCUUCACCUGUCGAGCAACAAAUUUUCAGGUUCAAUUCCUAAUGCCAUAAGGUUGCUUUGUGAUCUUGAAUUCCUAUAUUUAGGCAACAANNNNNNNNNNNNNNNNNNNNNNNNNNNNNNNNNNNNNNNNNNNNNNNNNNNNNNNNNNNNNNNNNNNNNNNNNNNNNNNNNNNNNNNNNNNNNNNNNNNNNNNNNNNNNNNNNNNNNNNNNNNNNNNNNNNNNNNNNNNNNNNNNNNNNNNNNNNNNNNNNNNNNNNNNNNNNNNNNNNNNNNNNNNNNNNNNNNNNNNNNNNNNNNNNNNNNNNNNNNNNNNNNNNNNNNNNNNNNNNNNNNNNNNNNNNNNNNNNNNNNNNNNNNNNNNNNNNNNNNNNNNNNNNNNNNNNNNNNNNNNNNNNNNNNNNNNNNNNNNNNNNNNNNNNNNNNNNNNNNNNNNNNNNNNNNNNNNNNNNNNNNNNNNNNNNNNNNNNNNNNNNNNNNNNNNNNNNNNNNNNNNNNNNNNNNNNNNNNNNNNNNNNNNNNNNNNNNNNNNNNNNNNNNNNNNNNNNNNNNNNNNNNNNNNNNNNNNNNNNNNNNNNNNNNNNNNNNNNNNNNNNNNNNNNNNNNNNNNNNNNNNNNNNNNNNNNNNNNNNNNNNNNNNNNNNNNNNNNNNNNNNNNNNNNNNNNNNNNNNNNNNNNNNNNNNNNNNNNNNNNNNNNNNNNNNNNNNNNNNNNNNNNNNNNNNNNNNNNNNNNNNNNNNNNNNNNNNNNNNNNNNNNNNNNNNNNNNNNNNNNNNNNNNNNNNNNNNNNNNNNNNNNNNNNNNNNNNNNNNNNNNNNNNNNNNNNNNNNNNNNNNNNNNNNNNNNNNNNNNNNNNNNNNNNNNNNNNNNNNNNNNNNNNNNNNNNNNNNNNNNNNNNNNNNNNNNNNNNNNNNNNNNNNNNNNNNNNNNNNNNNNNNNNNNNNNNNNNNNNNNNNNNNNNNNNNNNNNNNNNNNNNNNNNNNNNNNNNNNNNNNNNNNNNNNNNNNNNNNNNNNNNNNNNNNNNNNNNNNNNNNNNNNNNNNNNNNNNNNNNNNNNNNNNNNNNNNNNNNNNNNNNNNNNNNNNNNNNNNNNAAAACCAUUGAUAAGGAUGGUAAAUUCGACUCUAAAUCUUAUGAAGCUAUAUUCUUGGGUUAUUCUUUAACAAGUCGUGCUUAUAGAGUGUAUAAUCUUGCUAAACAUACUGUUGAAGAGUCUAUUGAUGUUUCAUUUCAAGAGUCUACUGAUGAUCUUGCAAGGGAUGAGGAAGAAUGUGCAGGUACAGGUACUAGCAGCAAGCUGACAGUGAAGGAAACUGGAAAUCAGCAAGCUGACAAGUCAACUGCCACAACUUCAGAAGGCAAUAAAGCUACUGAAUCCACUCCAUCUCUUGAAGAAACUUUGGAUAAGAUGUCUAAGCUCACAUUGGAUGAAUCCAGAGGUCAAACUUCAUCAGCAAGCCAAAAUGUUGUUGAUCAGACUCCUCCUAGGCAGACUACAAGGAAUGAAGAGGUCAUAGCUCAACAUAAUCUACCAAAAUCAACUAGAACAGUGAAGAAUCAUCCUCCUCAGUUGAUCAUUGGAGAUAAAUCAGCUGGAAUCAAGACAAGGAAAGCUCAAGCCAACAUUUGUGCUUAUGCUGCCUUCAUAGCUCAAGAGGAACCAAAGAAUGUUCAAGAAGCUUUACAAGAUGAAAAUUGGAUCAUGGCAAUGCAAGAAGAACUCAACCAAUUCGAAAGAUGUGAUGUUUGGGAACUUGUAGAUCCACCAGAGGAUGCUUCAAUUGUUGGAACCAAAUGGGUGUUCAAGAAUAAAGUUGAUGAAUUUGGUACUAUCACUCGGAACAAAGCUAGACUUGUUGCACAAGGAUACAAUCAGCAAGAAGGAAUUGAUUUUGAUCAAACAUAUGCUCCGGUUGCAAGAUUGGAAUCUAUUAGGAUGCUAUUAUCAUUUGCAUGCUACAAGAAGUUCAAGCUACAUCAAAUGGACGUCAAAAGUGCAUUCUUAAAUGGAUAUCUAAAGGAAGAAGUCUAUGUCAAGCAACCACCAGGAUUCGAGGAUGAAAAAUAUCCCAACCGUGUCUACAAGCUCAAGAAGGCACUAUAUGGAUUAAGGCAAGCACCUCGAUCAUGGUAUGAAAGGUUAAGUGAAUUUUUGAUCAAAAAUGGUUUCAUUAGAGGUAAAAUUGAUCCUACUUUGUUUACUAUCUUUAAAGGUCAAGAUAUAUUAGUUGUUCAAAUAUAUGUAGAUGAUAUUAUAUUUGGAUCUACUAAUGAUUCUUUGUGUAAGUGGUUUUCAAAGUGCAUGCAUAGUGAGUUUGACAUGAGCAUGAUGGGAGAGCUCAAUUAUUUCUUGGGGCUCCAAAUUAAGCAAACUCCAGAAGGAAUUUAUGUGCAUCAAUCCAAGUAUAUCAAGAAUCUACUCAAAAGAUUUGGAUAUGAGAAUAUCAAGGCGAAAUCAACACCAAUGAGCGUUGUCAGCAAGCUGACAGCAGAUGAAAAUGGUAAAGAUGUUGAUAUUCGAAUGUAUAGAGGUAUGAUUGGUAGUUUACUUUAUCUUACAGCCUCUAGACCUGAUAUUAUGUAUAGUGUUUGUGUUUGUGCUAGAUUUCAAGCAAAACCAAAGGAUUCUCACUUACAAGCUGUUAAAAGAAUAUUUAAAUAUUUAAGUGGAACCAUUACUUUGGGCUUAUUCUAUCCUAUCACAAAUGCUUUUGAUCUUGUUGGGUAUAGUGAUGCAGAUUAUGCAGGUAGUCAAACUGAUAGAAAAAGUACAAGUGGUGUUUGUGCAUUUUUGGGUCAAAGCUUAGUUUCUUGGUUAAGCAAGAAGCAAACUUCAGUUGCUCUAUCUACGGCUGAGGGGGAGUAUUUAGCAGCUGGUAGCUGUUGCUCUCAAAUGCUAUGGAUGAGACAACAAUUGAAGGACUUUGGAAUCAAAUGCAAGCAAACUCCUAUCUUUUGUGACAACACAAGUACAAUCAACAUUUCAGAAAAUCCAGUCAAUCAUUCAAGGACAAAGCAUAUUGAUGUUCGACAUCAUUUUCUGAGAGACAAUGUUGCAAAGGGUGCUGUCAAGCUGAUUUUUGUGGCUACAGCAGAUCAGCUAGCUGACAUCUUCACAAAACCUCUUCCUGAAGAACGAUAUGUCAUGCUGAGAAGGGAAUUGGGCAUGUGUGAUGUGCAGUCAGCAAGCUAAUAAGCUUGGUCCGGGUACUAUCAGCUUACUCUCAGUUAUUAUGACCAUUAUGUGCUGAUUUGGAUAAUUGUUGUGAUCUCGAUGACGAUGCUUGAUUUUCUACCCUUUUGAUGAUUAAGGGGGAGAAAAUUUAGGAACUUGGUUUGUGUUGUGAAUGUUGUGUUGUGAAUGUUAUAUUUGUUGUAUAGUUUAAUGUUAUAAGAUUGCUAUAUUCAGGGGGAGUAUUAUUACUUUUCCUAAAUAUAGUGUAAUCAUCAAAAAGGGGGAGAUUGAUACUCUCGAGAUUUUGAUGAUCACACUAACAGCAACUUGAUAACAUAAAACUGUACUCUGGUAGCUAGCUGAGAACGAGAUUAUAACUGUGCUAACAGCUAAUGUCUUUUGAAGUUAUCAUUGUUCUGUCAGCAAGCUUACAGGAAUAUUGACAGACUAUCAGCAAGCUCACAGCGUACUGACAGGAUGCUUAUCGGAUAAAGAUCAAGUCCUAUUUUCAAGGAGAUUUGUUAGGGAACGUUUUGUGAGGACUCUAAUACAUAUAUAUACAGUAUAUAAAUAUUAGAGCUCAUCUUUUAUCAAAGAGUUUUAUUCAAAAUCGUUUUCCUAAAAUAUAGGAGUUGAUUUCAAACCUUGUUUAUCCUUUUAGACUCCUACUUCUAUUCAAACUGUUUUGUUUUAUAAACAAACGUUUACUGAGUUGUUUCAAACGUCUUUAUGCUUUUACUCAGUAAAAAUACAUUGUUCAAACGUUCAUUAUUCAAGCAAAUUAAACGUGAGGUUGUUGGGCCAAGAACGUUGGAUAGUUUGUUGAGUUAUGACCGUUUGGAAUGAUGGUAUAUAAACUUGAGUGUGGUUUCCGUUUUGGUAGAGAACAAGAACACACUUCAAGCUUCUGAAAUACAACACACUUACAUUGCAAAAUCUUUACUUGAGCUCUAGUACUUAUAUUUGAUUAUAUAUCUAUAUUGAGUUCAUAGUUUCGGUUGUAUUACACUCAUACAUUGUAUUGUUCAAAGUGUAAAGGUUUGUUGCUGUGUAUCGAGCUUGUGAAACAAGGGAACAAGGGGACUAGUUAGCUAGAAGAGUAUACUUGGGAAGUAUAGGUCUUGGAGAGCUUUUGGUUCGUGGUUCAGGGGUUUCAGCAAGCUGAUAACAGGAACAAGGGAUAAAGGGAGUUAUAUUAUUGAAUCAUUGUAAUCGUUAACAUUAUUGAUUAAUAAUAUAAUCUCUUACCAGUUGGUAGGGGACCAGGACGUAGACCAUUAGGGUUAGGGGUCGAACCUGGCUAAAAUUCUCUGUGUUGCUAGCUUACUGAUUAUAUCUGUUUUGCAUUGCAUCUGCAUUGUUAGCUAGCUGACUGUUUACUCUGAAAUUAACAGCAAGCUGUCUGUGACAGUUUAACUAUUCGGUAACAAUUAAAAAUCGGUCAUAUUAGCCAUAACACCUAUUCACCCCCCUCUAGGUGUGUAAUUUCAGUUUCUUUUCGUUUUCAAAUCUCACCAAUCUCAUCAUUACACAUAACAACUUCACUGGUCCAAUACCACCCGAAAUUGGAAAUUUAACAGAUGUUCAGUACCUCGACUUUAGCUAUAGUAAUCUCAAUGGUACCAUUCCAUACCAGGUUAGCCAUCUUCAGAGGUCGGUCGUCUUAGGCCUCUCAUUUAAUCACUUGAAAGCUCCGAGCUUGUCCAAUUUUUCCCCCAUGCCUAUACUGGUUGGUCGCGGUCUUAGUGGUAAUAAGCUGGCAUCAAAAUUUCCAGAAUUGAUAUCUAAUUGCUAUAACAUGAUUAACCUUGAUCUUUCAUUUAACAUGUUAACUGGUAAACCUCUGUUCUAAAAGUCGGUGAUUAAUCACCGAUUAAUCCAUGUUUCCUAGCUCGCCAAACUGAUUAAAUAUCCGAUUAUUUUAAUUAAUGUCCGAUUAAUCACCGAUCAAUGCAAUUAAUCUACAAUUAAUCCUUAUUCUGGGACUUCACCGAUUAAGCUCGAUUCCCAUUUUUUACAACGACAUAACAGUGAAUCAUGAUUAUCAAGCAUCUGUCUUGUUAACAUUGAAACGAAGAGAGCAUGAAGUGAAAGGAAUCCUUUAUAUUUACGAUGUCAACAGCCCUACUGUCAAAAUUCCUUUCAAGUCGGGGCUUUUUACGAAUAAUUGGUAAUUCAGUGUUGAACUCCGCUCAACUUAUAAUUAGAUAAUCGAAAUCAAAAAUCUUGCAAUCAACAAAUAAAUUAUUAAGAACUUGCAAUUGAGUAAUGGCCGUCAAGUCACUUAACAAUACUAACCGGAAACUAACGUGACGGGCUGAUAUGUUUAAAAAAAUGCAUGAUGACUAUAUACUUGAUGUUUACGACCCUAACUAAAAUAUCCAACAAAUAAUACAUACAACCUGAUCUAAUAAUGUAAUACCUCUACUUAAGUAUAUUUUUAUGCCAAAUAUUUAUAGAUUUGUUUUUACAAAAAUGAUUAGAGACUUUGUAUAUACAAAAAUUGAGAAUUAUUGCUUGACUAGACGAAAAUAGGUGAGUUAUGAUUAUAAUAAAUAUUUAUUUCUACGAUGUAGUUUUUAUUAGUUAUAUAUAAAAAAAAUCUUGCUAUAUUUUGAUACUAGUGCAAUGAUUACUUCAAUUUAUUUUUUAUGAGAGUUACUAAGAUAUAUGACCAACUCAUCUUGCACUCGUAUUAAUUGUCUUAUAUAAUAAUAAUAAGAAAAAUAUGAGGCGGUGCUUAGUCAGAUGAUUUUAGUUGUUAAAAUAUUUUUUUGUUAUUUAUAGAUAGUGAAACAUGUCUAAUAUUUUAUCAAUUUUGUUUCGUUUCUUGAGAUUUCCAAAUAUUUAUUAGGACAUUGUACCAUGGUGUAUUUCAAGAUAUUAUUGUUAUUUAGAUAAUUAGUCAUAUUCAAUGAAUUUUGAGGACAAAAUUUAAAUAAGAGGAGAACAAUGUCAUAUCUCACAUAUUAGCAGUUUUAAUUAUUUUAUAUUUUUAUUUUAAAGAUAAGAUAAAGUUUAUUUAUUUAUUUGUUUUUAUCUUAAAAGCGAUUUUGAGUACUUUGUUUGAGUUAGAUAUAUACUUCUACUGUGGUUCAACUAGUUUUGCCGUCAGUGAAUAAUUUCCGGUCAAUAUUUUGAAAUUUGUUGUUAUCUUCUAAUUAAGAUAAGGGGUUAAAUAGCUUUUGAAAAAUGUGAAAAAAAUCAAAAAAAUUGGGAAACCAAAAGUGGCAAGCUUUUUUUUGUUCUUUUCAAAUUUUCUAAAAUCUGGGGAAAAAAGAACUUGCCACCUAAUUUUUUCCAAAUUUUUUCAAAUUCUUUUCAGAUGUUUGAAUUUUUUCCCAAUUUUUUCCUUUUUUUUUGAAUUUAUUAAGAUUUUUUUUGUUUUUUCUGCUUAUUCUGAAUUUUUUAAGAUUUAUUCGCAUUUUUUUUCAUAUUUUUAAAAAAUAUUUUUGAAAUUUCCGUUAAGUAAUUAAUGGAACUGACAGAGAGUGAUGCUUUUGAAAGUUUUUAAUUAUUUGAUGAUGCAUCUGAAAAUUUUUCAACAACAUGAUUCAGUUGCAAAUUUCCGGCGAGGUUAGUGAUAAAUUAGCUAUUUAACUCUUAAUAAAAUCUAUCUUAACAAUAUUAUAAAUAUUAUUGUUAUGGGUUCGAUGAGUCGUGUAAAACAUGGAAGAAGUUUAGGUGGGGUAAAAAGAGCCUAGCUGGGUGAUUUCCAUUCUGUUAUACGUGAUAUACUGUAGUUGAUCAUCUCCUUUGUCCGCUUCAUCCUGUGCAACCUUAACCUUUAAGGUAAAACUUAUGAGAUUCUCUGGAGCAUCUAAGGGGCCGUUUGGACAAACUUAAAAGAAGUGACUUCUUGCUUAAACUAGAGAAGUGGAGUAGAAGUGAGAAGUAAAUUAGUUAAUAAAGUGUUUGGAAAAAAAGCAGAAGCCAGAAGCAUCUUCGGCUUCUGUCAAACAAACAGGGCCUAAAUUUUUGUGUGAAAAAUGUUAGUCUCAAAUUAUUUUUCCUAAAAUGCUUACAUGUUACAUUUUAUAUGUAUGUCCUGUCUUUAAGUAUAAUUUAGCAUUUGUAUUUAGUAUUGUGUAAAAGUAAUUCAUUUUAUUCCGUCUUAUUAAAAAUAUAAUCAUGUUAUGCUGUAAAAGUAUUUGUGAAUUUCUUUGUUGCAUAUGUGUUUAAAUUAUUUUAUUUAUAUAUGUUUUACAAUUUUUACAAAUGUAUAGGUUGAGUAUUGCAUAAGAAUAUAAUUACACUCACAACUGUUAUGCGUGCAUGUAUAUUGCCGCUAAGUUUUAAACUUCUUACGAACCGGAAUAAUUUUGACAGAUGUGUGGAACUUGAUUAAUUUAGUUGCACUACAAGAGAAAGCGUUUUUACCAAUAGAAAUUGCUAAGGGAAAUUAGUCCGUCGGUAAUUUCCAACGAAUUUGUAACAAUUUGACUGGUCAAUGUUCUGCCAAUCAAUUCGCAACGAAAUACCCACGCUUAUUUACCAACGAGAUGUUCUGUUAGGAAAUAUAGCCACAUAAUGGAAUAAUAACAACAGCCCAAAGAAUGAGCAACAGACUAGCAACGAAAGCAUCUGUUACUACGUUCGUUGAUAUUCCGUUUAUAAAUACUAACAGUUCCGUUAGUAGUUAUUAGUUUUACAUUGGCAAUUGAUAUACACCAGAUGAGCACAUACACGGAUACAAUGCCAGUCUCUUAGUUGAAAUGUGUGUAAUGCUAAAGCCCAAUGAGCUUUAGUUGAUUAAAUUGAUUUGAGUUGUAGAAAAAAGCUAAUAAUAUAAUGGAUUUUGAUAUAUGUAUUGUAAAUAUUAAGUAAUUCUCUUGAAUUUAUAUAUGUAACAUAAUUGUUAAUUGGUUCAUCCUUGACUAGAAAUUUUAUAUUACAUUCUUAACUACAAAUUUUGUAUUUAAAAUUGUUUUAAAAAAUCAACUUUUAUUUGGCAUGUGGAUUUUGUAGUCAAAUGCGGUCAAUUUACUUAGCCUUUGAUCGAAUACCAACCUGAAACAUAAAAAUAUUUUUUAAUCAUUUAUUUUCGACGAUCCAACUAUAUUCUAUAAUUGUAAUGUGAUAAUAUUGAUUACAAAAUUUAAAAAAAAAAAUUAACCUUUUAUUUGGUAUGUGCAUUUUGUAGUCAAAUGCAAUUAAAUUACUUAGUCUUUAGUGAAAUCUUUACUCGAAACAUAAAACUUUUUCUUAAAAAAAAAUUGGACGAUCCAACCGUACAAAUGUUAUUGCAACGUGUUAAUAUUGGUUAAAAUAAAUUUUAAGAAAAUAUGUCUUUUAUUUGGUGUGUGGAUUUUGCGGUCAAAUAACUUAGCCUUUAAUUGAAUACUUACCCAAAACAUGAAACUAUUUUUUUUAAAUCAUUUCGGACGAUCCAACCGUACGGGUGUUAUUCUAACAUGAUAAUAUUGAUUAUUUUUUUUAAAGAAAAAAUAUAGCCUUUUAUUUGGUGUGUGGAUUUUGUAGUCAAAUGCAGUCAAAUUACUUAACCUUUAAUGAAAUGCUUACAUUAAACAUGAAAUUAUUUUUUUUAAAAUCAUUUGGAUGAUCCAAUCGUACGGAUGUUAUUAUGACAUGUUAAUUGAUUAAAAAAAAUAUUUAAAAAAUUGCUUUUUAUUUAGUGUGUGGAUUUUGUAGUUAAAUGCUACUUGGCCUUUAAUCGAAUACUUAACCGAAACAUGAAACUAUUUUUUUAAAAACCAUUUUGGACAAUCCAACCGUACGGAUGUUAUUGUAACAUGACAAUAUUGAUUGUUUUUUUAUAUAAUAACUUUUAUUUGGUGUGUGGAUUUGUAGUCAAAUUACUUAGCCUUUAAUCGAAUACUUACCUGAAACAUGAAACUAUUUCUUAGAAAAUUAUUUUAGAUGAUUCAACCAUACAGAUGCUAUUAUAACGUGAUAAUAUUGAUUAUUUUUUUUAAAAAAAUUAGUCUUUAAUUUGGUGUAUGAAUUUUAUAGUAAAAUGAUGUCAAAUUACUUAGUCUUUAAUGGUAUAUUUAUUAGAAUUAUGAAACUAAUUUUAAAAAUUUAGUUUGGACGAUCCAAACUGUAUGAAUGUUAUUUUAACAUGUUAAUAUUGAUUAAAAUUGUUUAAAAAAAUUUAGUGUUCUUUUAUGUGUGAAUUUUUAGUCAAAUAUGAUAAAAUAUUUAUUUAGCCUUUAAUGAAAUAUUAAAAAUCCCUACUUUAAAAGAAACUUGUCUAAAACUACCUAUACGCGUUAGAGAUUCAUCGAUUUAGUUAUCAAAUUAGUUAUAAUUAGGGUUUUACUCCGCUUUUCUCUGGUAUGAUGUUGAUUUUUGGGGUUCGAUUGGUCGACUUUCAUGUUUUAUAAGUUAUGUGAGUUCGAUUUUGAUGUUUUUACAAUUAGGUUUAUGUAUGUUUUUAUACGGGUUUUCAUGUUCAUGUUUUGAUUUGUUGAUUUCCUAUUUUUCCUAUUUGUUGAUUAGUUAUUUGUGUGGGUUUUGGAUUUUGAUGUGUGUGUAUGUAAUCUCCUGUAUUUUUUUUCAUUUUUUCUGGUUCGAACUCUUCGAUUAGUAGAUGAAAAAAACUGAUGCGGCAGUAGCGGCUAGCAAGGAGAUGGAUAACAAGAAAAGGACGAUUUUGAGGUCCUCUCGUGCAAGUCUUCAGGUAUAAUUUUGUUCCUUUAUGUUUUUAAUUAACAUAAAUUUUCACAUUUGCUGAUUAUAUUAUGGGGGAUUCUGGGUAUACUUGUAUAUAAUCUAGCAAGUAAUUAUAGUUCUGAAUGGGAAGCUUAUUGUGAAAUUAAAUUGAGGAAUAAGUUGUGUUAUUGGUUCUGGUGGAUUAAAUUUAUGUUAACACUUGAUAUAUGCAUUGAUGUCGUAAAAUAAGUUGUACAUCGAACUAUUUGGCUUGUUUAAGUUGUAUGGAGUAUGGUUGCCAAGCAUUGGUUGGUUGUACACGUAUAAACAAAAUGAUAUUUUAAUAUUUGAACAAAACAAUACAGAGCCCGUUUGGCUGAACUUGUAACUCAUAAAUUAACGUGAUUUAUGAUUUAACGUGACUUAUCUAAUAAGCUGAGAGUUUUAAAAUGUCUGUUUGGAUAAUUUUGACUUAUCAACGAUUUAUGGGUCAUUAAAAAUAUAAAAAUAAAAAUUAAAGUGUUUUAUGAGUAGGUUAUGAUUUAUGGAUAAUUUUUAUAUAAAAAAAAGUUCAAAAAAAUUAAGUUACUGGAAAAAUACCUCAAACUAAUUUCAGGCUUUAAGUCAGCUUCUGAUUUAUUAGUUUUUAAGUUUAAGCCGGCUUCUGACUUAUUAAAGCCAUCAGAAUAAUUUUAAACCGCAGCUCUAAGCUACGACAAACGGGCUCACAGUCAUAAACAGAUCGUGUCGGGCUGGACUGAUUGUGAUUUUCCUUUUUGGAACUCGUACUCGGCAUGUUCCACGCGAAUGAUAUUUAGAAGUAUACUCCAUGUCAUAAUAAGAGUUCUUUAAAUUUUUUAUAUGUAAUUUGAAGUAUAAAAAAAAUAUUUUAACAUAAUAUUUUUAAUUUUUUAUACAUAAAAAUAUAACAUCUAUAUUUUUAUUUAGAAAAAAAAAUUUGAAAAAUAAUAUAUAGAUGCAUGUUUUUUUUAUACGUGAAAUUACAUGUAAAAAUCAAAAGACUUUUAUUUUGAGUAAGAGAGAAUAUGAUGUACCAUAAAGUCAUCGAUUUUUUGUUAUCAAAUGAAUGUGAUAGUUAACUAUUUAAGAGCAAGUCCAAAAGUGUUCUAGUUCAUGCUCUAAAUAUAAUAUAAAAUAUUAUGUCCUAGUGAUUUGGGACAUAUUUUACUAACUUGGACUUCAACAAUGAGUCUUAAGGCUCAUUUGUUUUGAGCUUAACAUUGCUGAACGGAUUCCAGCUUACUGAUUAAUGCGAGUUCAGAUUGUUUGGCGACCAUAUUUUAUAAGCUUACCGAUUAAUGCGAGUUUAGAUUGUUUGACGAUCAUAUUUUAUAUUCUGAAUUGUUCAUAUACAGCUGAGCGGAUCAGUCUAAAGUGGGUGAAAGAAUCAUUCAGCGCCAUCCUUAUUAGCUUAUAAUACUGUAUGUCAACUUCAAUCUUAUAAAAAUAUAUUUUAUUUGUUUACUAUAUUUUAUAUAUAUGUUGAUUUUAUCCCAAGUUUUGUUCGUAUCAACUGAAAAUAAUAACUCUUUCAAAAAAUUAAAAAUAAUAUAAUAAUAAUCGAUAUAAUUUUUAACUUUAUAAUUAUUUUGAAUAAUAAUAUGUGAAUUUUUUUUAUAUGUCUAAAUAAGUUUUCAUCUUAUUAAAAAUCAAGUGAUAUAUAUUUUAUUCAAGUGAUAUAUAUUGUUUUAGUGAUAAAAAAGUUCACUAAAACAAUUUAUCAUAUUUAUAAUAUAUUAUUCAGAUAUUUCAAAUAUUAUUCAUCAAACAAUAUUAUUCAUUCAGAAUUCAGAUGAUUCAUCCGUUAAGAUCAUUCAGGUAUAUUAAUCAUUCAAUUCAGAUUUGCCAAAUGACCCCUUAUUCUCACACGAUGUUUAAUAUUUUAUUAUUAGAGAGAGAAAAGGAGUGUUGAUAAGAAUUAAUAACAAAAUAUGGACAGGGUAAGGAAAGAUGUACCUCAAAAAUAGGACUUGAGAAGGUUGUCCCAGUGAUAUAAGGCAUCACUAGGACAUUGUUGGAUCAAUUUUUUACAUCAAAUGCCUUAAAUAACAACUUAGGACGACAUAUAUGGAAAUUGUUGGACUUGCUCUAAGUUGUUACUCCUUCCAAGUAUAAAAGAUGAGUAAAGUUAAAUGAAGACGUGGUAAAAUAAUGUGACCUAUUUAUAUUUAAUAAUACAUUUGAAAUAGUGGAGGAAAGUAACAUGUGUAAUAACGUUUAUAUUAUUAUUGCAUAUAGAUAAGAAGAAAGCAAUGGGUAUAAAAGUGUAUUAUAUUAUUAAAAUUAUUAUUUUUAAAAUGUUUAGAAAUAAUGGGGCAUCCAAAAAGAAAACUGUAUAGAAAUGAAAAAGGAAAUACAAUUCAAAAAGUCAUAUAUCUAAAUUCAAACUAGGUAAUAUAUUUAUGAAUUAUAUUAAAAAAAAUAUUUGACAUUCAAAUAUAAAAAUUUAUUUUAUCAUCUCAACAAUGAAUAUUCGAUUAUUAACUUUCGUAAAUAACAUUAAUUUUUCAUUAUAAUAUACUCUAAACUUUUAUUUUAUGUGCCUGUUUGUUUACGAGAAGCUGGAAUUUACUUCUCUUGACUCGUUUGUGUAAAAAAGUAAAAGGUGCUUUUAAAAAGUACUGAGAACGAAAUGGAAGUAGAAAAUGCUAGCUUUUCUUUAUAAUAUCUAUUUCUUUUCCAGACAUUUUAAUAAUUUAUAAUUAUUAAUUUAUUUGUCAUUUCUACUUAUUUUUUUUAGAGAACUUUUUUUAAACUAACCGGCUCCUAUAACUAGUAAUUACUUCUAAAUCACAAAUUACUGAUAAAUCAUCACUUUUAUUAUUAUUAUUAUUAUUAUAUUUUUAAUAACUCAUAAAUUAUUAAUAAGUCAAAAUUAGUCAAACAGAUAUUUUUAAGUUGAGCUUAUGAGAUAACUAACGUUAAGUCUUCUGAGCCCCCAUUGGCUCACAAUUGGCCCAAAAAAUAUUUGGUUAUGCAUUGCUAUUCACACACUUAGACAUCAAAAUUUAUCAUCCGACAGCUAACUGCACACUAUUUUUCCCACAAGCUCAAAAAUCAACGAUCAAUUAAUUUUUUCUUAUCAAUUACUAAUAAAGUUAUGAUUUCACGUACACGGCAGGCAAAAUGCUAAUAAAUAGACGAGUGCAGUAUAGUAUGGGUUCAUGAUCCCCUUGAGAUUUAAUUGAAAAAUAUUAUGGUGAUAUAGAUUAAAUUAAAUUAUAAUAUUUUGAAAAGUUAUAAAUAAUUUUAAUUACUAAUAAUAUUUAUUUGUACAUUUAAAUAUUUUUAUAAAAACACAAUAAUAGCAUUAUACUCAUUUAAGUUUCUCGUAUCCGCCUCCUCUUCUUGGAGAUUGUGGAUUUGCGAUAUUUGUAUUGAUUAUUAUAGGAAAAUGUUAUUUUCAGAGCAAACAUUUUUAUUUCUGGAGCAAAUUCAAUUCCCACUUCCUUGUCCUUGUAGCUACAUAAAUCAUACAACUUCAAUACAAACUUUUCCAAAUUGUUCUGGAAAUUAAAAAAUUGAUAUGGAUAUAACAAUUCCCUUAUUAUAUCCUAUGUAUAUUACAUUAAUGCAAUUAACAUGGUUGGUUGUUUUAGUAUAUAAUUAUAUUAGUGUGGCCUUUUAGUAUAUAAUUAUAUUAUUUUUGUUAUAUUUUAUGCAUCUAGAAACAAUUUUUUUAUGAUAUUUAUUAUAUUAAUUAUAGUAAAAGAUAUAAUUUUGUUUAAAAAAUUGAAUAAAACUAAGAGGGAUAGCCUACGUCUCUCCGAGUCUUCGAGGACUCAUUCCAAGUCCGCAGAGGACCACCGCCUCAACCUUUAAGAGAUGUGAAAGUAGCUUGAGAGAGACAUAAAUUAAUGUUUGAUAAUAAAAUUUAAUAAUCAAAUAAAUUAAAUUAAAUUAAACUAGUUUAUAGUAAUCGAUUAAAAAUAUAUAAAUCAAAAUUAUUCCUGAAUUAUGAUAACAAUUAAAAUCAUAUUAAAAGUUGCAAAAAUCAAACCCAAAUCGAACAAAUUCCCCUAACACUAAAAUGUAGUUGCUUUAUUGUAGAUAAAAACAGUAUAAUAAUCGUAUUGAUGAAAAAUCAAAUUCAUCAAAUAAGUUUAUAAAAAAUACAUGAUUUUAGUGUGUUGUAUUAGUAGUGUGUCCACGCAUUUAUAUAUUAAAAUCUAUCCUCUAAAAACUAUCGAUCUAUUUACACAACUAUUGAUCUGUCGUGCAACAAAUUCCACGGAGAAGUUCCAAAGAGAGCUUAAAUGGCUUGCAUUGCUCAAUCUAUCUCAUAAUAGUCUUAACGACAUAUGUUCUGAAUUAUUAUUAUGCUUUCAACAAUAUUUUCAAACAUUUCUUAAUAUGUAUUUUCAAAGAAUUAAGAGAAUGCACAAAAAUUAAGAGAGAUUGCUCUGGGUCUCCCCAAGCCUUUCAGGACUCAUUCCAAGUCUUCCUAGGACCACUGCCUCACCCUUUCAAAGAUGUGAUAAUAGCUCGAGAGUAAUAUAAAUUAAUUUACGGACACUAAAAAUAAAAAAUCAGAUCAAAUUAAUCAAUAAUAAAUUAAGGAUGAAAUCCAAAUUAAUCCUAAAUUUUGAUAAUAUAUAAAUAUUAUAAUUAUAAAUUAUAUAACCAAAUCAGAAUUGAAUUAACUUACUUGGCACUAAAAUUGAUAAAGACAGAAUAAUAAUUUAAUCGAUGAAAAGUCAAAGUCUUCUAAUAAAUCCAUAAAAGAUAUGAUAAUCCAAAUAACACACUUAUAUAUCAAAAUUUAUGGUCCAAAAACUAUAGCAAAAUAUCCUAAAUACACCACAUUAAAUAAUAGUUCAAAAAUAUUCAAUAAACAAUUGUUUUCAUUCAUAAUUUUGUUAUUUUAAAAACUAAUAAUUUGGUUGAUGUUAACCUAUAUUUUAAUAUAUAAUUAUAUUAUUUUCAUCUUAUUUUAUUUAACCAGAAACAAUAUUUUUAUAAUAUUUAUUACUUUAUUUAUAUUAAAAUAUAUAAUUUCAUUAAAAAAAUUGAAUAAAAUUAAGAGAAUAACUCUAUGCCUCUCUAAGUCUACAAGACUCAUUUCAAGUCUACCGAGGACUACUACCUCAACCAUCGAGAGAUGUGAAAGUAUAGUUUGAGAGUGACAUAAAUUAUUUUCCUGACAAUAAAAUUUAAUAUCUAAUAUAAAUUAAUUAAAUUAGAUAAUAAUAAAUCAAAACUAAUUAUGAAUUAUGAUAAUAAUUAAAUAAAUUAUAAUUAAAUUAUAUAAAUCAACUCCAAAUGUACAAAUAACACUAAACCUUGGUUACUUUGUUGGUAAAUAAAUAUAAUAUAAUAAUCAAAUUGAUGAGAAAUCAAAAUCAUCUAAUAAAUUCACAAAAAAUAUAUAAUCAGUAUAUUAUAUUAGUAUCCACACACUUAUAUUUCAAAAUCUAUCCUCCGAACUUAUCAUCUCUGUAAACUACCCACAUAAAAUAAAAAUUUAAAGAUAUUAGAUAUUUAGUUAUUUUCAUUAUAUAUAAUUUUUCCACACUAAAUAACAAAAUAUCUUUAUCAAAUUAUUAUUUAUAAGUUUUUUGAAUAUCAGAUUCAUAACCCAGUUGAUCAGGAGAAACAUGGCCUACUCUGCAAAGCCUUCUCACCUUCUUCUCUUUGUUUUCUUUCUCUCAUCACUUGAAUCCAUUCUUGCAACAACACAAGAGGGAGAAGCUCUUGUGAAGUGGAAGAAUAGCCUAGCCCCUUCUUCUUUUCUCGACUCUUGGUCACUCACCAAUCUCGAAAAUCUUUGUAACUGGACUGGCAUUACUUGUAACUCUGCAGGUUCAGUCUCGGAGAUUAACCUUUGUGAGAAACAACUUGAUGGAAUGCUGUCCGAGUUUGGUUUCACUUCAUUUCCAAAUCUCAACAAUCUCAUCCUCGCAGAUAACUUCUUCUCGGGUCCCAUACCACCGGCCAUUGAGAAUUUAACACAGCUUCGAUUUCUUGAUUUAAGCUUUAAUUCUCUCCAUGGUCCCAUUCCGUUCCAGGUUAGCCAUCUUCAGAGCUUGCUCAUCUUAAACCUGUCACAGAAUGCAUUGCAAGCUCCAAAUUGGUCCCAUUUCUCUCCCAUGCCUUUCUUGCGCAUCCUCAACCUCAGUUACAAUCCUCUUGCGUCGAAAUUCCCAUAUUUUAUAUCCAAUUCUCAUAGCCUGACUCACCUUAGCCUUAAUUAUAACGAGUUUACUGGUGAUUUAGUACGUGAAUCAGUAUUUGCCAAUCUGCAUAAUCUUGAAGUGCUCAGUCUUGUUGGCAAUUCUUUUGAGGGGCCAUUUCCGCCGGAUGUAGUCCAGCUUUCCAAAUUAAAACGUCUCUUCCUGUCAGGUAACAAAUUUUCAGGUUCAAUUCCCAAUGACAUAAGGUUGCUUUGUGAUCUUGAAUACCUAUAUUUAGGCAACAAUUCCUUUGAAGGACCGCUUCCACCAAAUAUAUUCAAGCUUUCAAAAUUAAAAAAUCUUGUUAUUUGGAGUAAUAAGUUUUCAGGUUCUAUUUCCAAUGAUAUAGGUUUGCUUUCUGAGCUUGACACCCUCAAUCUUCGCUCUAAUUUUUUUAAGGGUCCGCUUCCGUCAAAUAUAUUCAAGCUUUCCAAAUUAACAAGUCUUGACCUCGCAGACAAUAGAAAUUUAUUUGAAGGAAGUAUUCCUAUUGGACUGGGACUCUUGACUAACCUCAGGUUCUUAGAUCUACAUUCCAGUAAUCUCAGUGGCUAUAUUCCAUCUGACAUUGGAAACCUGAAGCUACUAGUACUUCUUAAUCUCGGUUCUAAUAAAUUGACUGGACCGCUUUUAAAGAUCGUUUCUAAUCUCACAAAUCUUAUAUAUUUUGAUGUAAGUGAUAAUAGUCUUCGUGGAAAUAUUCAGAGUGACUUGUGGAUAUAUAACGAUCAUCCAACUUUGGAAUACAUCAAUUUAAGUGGGAACCAUUUUACGGGUAUAGUUUUUCUCUAUAGAUCUUUUCCUUUUGUCAUAUGUAACUAAGCUAGUAAUCUGGUUAUUGCAGUUUUACCAAAGUUUCAACAAUCUUGACAGGUGAGCUUCCAACAACAAUUUGCAAUGUCACUUCCCUUUCAAUUCUUGAUUUGUCAAAUAAUGAAUUAAGUGGUGCACUUCCAAACUGUUUCGGGAAUCUUGCUGAUGGAUUGCUUUACAUUAAUCUUGCUAAUAAUCAGUUUCGAGGAACAAUACCAACUACUUUCUCCAGGAGUUGUCAGCUGACAUAUCUAAACAUGGAUGAUAAUGAGUUUGAAGGAUUGUUGCCCCCAUCUUUGGCGAACUGUAAGCACUUGAAAAUUUUUGAUAUUGGCAAUAAUAAAAUAGGUGGUACAUUUCCGUCAUGGCUUUAUGCACUUGGAGAGCUAGAAGUCCUUGUCUUGCGAUCAAAUAAACUCUGUGGUACAAUAAGUGGAAGGAGCAUAGAAGAUCCCUUCCCCAAGUUGCGGAUUGUGGAUCUGUCCAACAACCACUUCACAGGCCAUUUGCCAAUUCAAUACUUUAAGAAUAUGAAAUCAACUGAUAAUUUGUAUAGUUAUCAGCUUUUCACAGCAGUUUUUUCUUUCCAUUAUGAAGCAGCAGUCUCAUUAAUUGUGAAGGGAACAGAGUAUGAAGUGGCAAAUAACCUUCAUAUUUACACAGCCAUUGAUCUGUCGUGCAACAAAUUUCAGGGAGAAAUUCCAAAGGUUACUGGAGAGCUUAGAUGGCUUGCAUUGCUCAACUUAUCUCAUAAUAGUCUAACAGGACCUAUCCCAUCAUUGCUGGGAAAUAUGAAAGAACUCCAAUCUUUAGAUUUGUCUUCAAAUCAACUGACAGGGGCCAUUCCACCUCAGCUAACUGCAUUGACAUUUCUAGAGGUCUUAAACCUCUCGGGAAACCAUCUUAGUGGAGAGAUUCCUCAGAAAGGACAGUUCAGCACAUUUAACAAUGAUUCUUAUCUAGGAAACUCCGCGUUAUGUGGAUCACCUUUGACGAAGAAAUGUGCAAACACAGCAUCACCUCCACAAGAAGUCGGAAAUGGUGAUGAAGANGAUUUGUCUUCAAAUCAACUGACAGGGGCCAUUCCACCUCAGCUAACUGCAUUGACAUUUCUAGAGGUCUUAAACCUCUCGGGAAACCAUCUUAGUGGAGAGAUUCCUCAGAAAGGACAGUUCAGCACAUUUAACAAUGAUUCUUAUCUAGGAAACUCCGCGUUAUGUGGAUCACCUUUGACGAAGAAAUGUGCAAACACAGCAUCACCUCCACAAGAAGUCGGAAAUGGUGAUGAAGAAGAUGGUGGUGAUGAAUUGACAUGGGAAGCAAUCGUGAUGGGAUAUGGAUGUGGACUGAUAUGUGGAUUGUCAUCGGCAUACAUUGUUCUCAAACUAGGAAAGCCUUGGUGGUUUGUGAGAUAUAUCGAAGUACUGCAACAGAAGUUGAUGAAAAGAUGCUUGAAGAAAGGUACUGGUCGAUCAAGACGAACUUGAAAGUUGUUGUCCAUGUGGACAUUUCUGAACCAGUAGUGUACUAGCUGCAUAAGUAUUUGGUAUUAUGUAAUAUUCUGUUUGGUGGGGAAUCAUAAUAAUUUUUCUUCCUGUAGGGGUAUUAAUAUUAACCUUGUUAUCUUGAUCAAUGUUAAUGCAAAUUAAAAUGAAUGAAAAAACAAAAAAUAUGCAUCAAAUCCACUCCUGCUGUACCAAGAUCCAUUAAUUUGCUUUGGUCUUUUACAUAACAAUUUAACAGCGCACUUCCCCACUGUUUGAAAGAAUUUAAUAAUAAACUCGAGUUUUCCAGGACUGCACCAAGUUCACAUAUUCAAUAUCACACAUUCCAGUCUCAGCUUCAGCUCCCAGGGUAGAAGAGAAGUUUUAUGUACAAUAACAGUUAAUUACCAUAGCUACUUUAGUCUUGGUUCAGUUUUUGCAGAGAUAAUUACCAGAUUUUGAAAUCCUUCAUGUGAGGAAACAAAUAUCGAGAGACAUUUCUGUUUACAAAUAUAGGUUUUCUAGACAUAAUUACAGGAACUUUUACCAUUAUACACUUUUAUAGUACUGGUUAAGAGUUUGUUGUUCAGCCUAGUGAAAGAAAUAAUUCCUCUGCUAUUUCAUUAACAUUGCUGGUAUAUAUACAAUGUACAACACACCCUUCAAGGCUAUAAUCAGGGAACCUAAAAUAUAUCCAAAACUAAUCAUAGAAACAGACUAACUAAUUACAAUAAAUCAUAUCCAGAAAUAUCUCCACAGAUGUCGCAUAGAUAUCUUUAACACACCCCCUCAGUCGAAGCGGGAGGUAAACGAACACUGAGACUGUCUCUGAAGUCUUCAAAAAGAACACGCGGAAGACCUUUUGUAAAAAUAUCUGCUACUUGAUAUCUGGAUGGCACAUGAAGAACCCGUACUUCACCUCGUGCAACUUUUUCCCGAACAAAGUGAAUAUCCAUCUCAAUGUGUUUAGUACGUUGGUGUUGUACUGGAUUACCCGAUAAAUAAAUAGCACUGACAUUGUCGCAAUACACCACAGUUGCCUUUGUAACUGGACAAUGCAAUUCCAACAACAGAUUUCGGAGCCAACAUGAUUCAGAGACCACAUUAGCUACACCCCUAUACUCGGCCUCUGCACUGGAUUUGGAAAGAGUCGGUUGUCGCUUAGAAGACCAGGAAAUCAAGUUGUCACCCAAAAACACACAAUACCCAGAUGUAGACCGCCUCGUGUCGGGGCACCCACCCCAGUCAGCGUCAGUAUAUGAAACAAGAGAGGACUGUGAAGAGGAAUAGAGAUGUAAACCAUAGUCCUGUGUUCCUUGAAUGUACCUAAUGAUUCUUUUAAGAGCUUGCAUAUGAGUAACCCGUGGAUCAUGCAUGUGCAGACAUACUUGUUGAACCGCAUAAGAAAUAUAUGGACGUGUGAAAGUCAGAUAUUAAAGUGCCCCAGCAAGACUCCGAUACAAUGAAGGAUUCUCAAACACAGAACCAACAGACGCACUAACCUUGGCCUUCGUAUCAACUGGUGUAGGUGAUGAUUUACAAGAGGACAUGCCAGCCCUCUCAAUUAUCUGUUGUGCAUAAUUCUUCUGUGACAGAAACAUGCCAGCCUUAUGACGAGUGACUGAUAUACCAAGAAAAGAACUCAAGGGGCCAAGAUCCUUCAUAGCAAAUUCUGAACUAAGAAGCUUUAUAAUCGAGACACGGAGAUCAUCAGACGACGCAGUGAGAAUUAUGUCAUCGACGUAAACCAGAAUAUAGGCCAUGUGAGAACCGUUGCGAUAAACGAAUAAUGAGGUGUCACAUUUGCUUCUAAUGAAACCAAUAGACAGAACAAAAUCAGCAAACUUCUCAGACCAAGUCCGGGGGGACUGCCUCAGGCCAUAAAUUGAUUUACGUAACAAACACACAUAAUCCGGAUGAGCACGAUCACGAUACCCCAAAGGUUGAUGCAUAUAUAUUGUUUCCUUUAAGUCACCAUGAAGGAAGGCAUUCUUUACAUCUAGCUGAUGAAUUGACCAGCCAUUCGAAAGAGAGAGAGAAAGCACUGUGCGGAUUGUAGCUGGUUUCACUACCGAGCUAAAAGUUUCGCCACAAUCAAUACCCACCAGCUGAGUUUUUCCAUUUCCGACAAGGCGAGCUUUAUGCCUCUGAAACACACCAUCCGAAUUUUCUUUAUGAGCAAAAACCCACAUAGACCGAAUAACAUUAACAUCAGGUGGACGGGGCACCAAAUCCCAUGUCUUAUUUUGAAUAAGUGCAUUAUACUCCUCAUCCAUGGCUAUUUUCCAAUUCGGGUCCCGAAGAGCAUCAACAGGGCUAUGUGGUAAAGGUGACCGAGGAGCUGUUGUGUUAUAUGCAUGAUCAGAAUAUCGCAUAUUUGGUUUAAAAAUACCUCGUUGGCUCCUGGUAACCAUUGGGUGCUGGUUUAUAGGAGUAGGGGAAGAUGUUGAUGUUUGUGGACUCGAGGAGGAAGAUGAACUCAAUGAGGAGGGAGAUGGCGACGUUGAUGAAAGUAAGGGAGAGGAGGAUUGGUUUGAGAGUACUGGACUCGGUGAAAGAGAAUGAGGAGAACUCCCAGGGGAAGGUGAGAAACUACCAUGUCGUGUCUCAUGUGUGUGAGUACUGUCUGGGUGAGCAGACACAGACACAGAAGGACUUUGAUUUUGCAGAUGAUACACUGAAUAAGGUGAUAAGCCAUCUGCUAAAAAAUCAUAGGUAGAAGUGGAUGAAUCAUGUAACUUAGCAAACGGAAACACAUGCUCGUCAAAUAACACAUGGCGACAAAUUAUAAUCUGUGCUGUGAUGAUAAAUCAUAACAUUUGUAACCACGGUGAUUAGCCGGAAACCCCAAGAAAACACAAGGUGUUGAACGAGAUUGCAAUUUAUUAAUUGUGGUAGAGGGAAUGAGAGGAUAGCACAAGCAACCAAAGACCCGAAUGUGAGAAAAUGAGGGAACCCGUUGAUAUAGGAUUUCAAGAGGUGAUAAAUUGCCUAAGACCUUGUUCGGAAGAACAUUUAGAAGAUAGGUGGCCAUUUGUAAUGCAUGAUUCCAAAAAGAUGAAGGAAGAGAUGCAUGAGCUAAGAGUGUUCGAGUGACAUUAUUAAUAGUUCGAAUUUUUCUUUCUGCUUUCCCAUUUUGAGAAGAAGUAUGAGGACAAGACAACCGAAAAGUCAUGCCAUUGUUCUUAAAAAAAUCCCAGAAAUGAUGAUUAGUAAAUUCCCUCCCAUUAUCGCAUUGCACAUUUUUAAUGGUACACUCGAAUUGGGUGAGAAUAUGAUUGUGAAACGCCACAAAUUUAUCAAAGACAUCAGAUUUCUUAGCAAUUGGAAAAGUCCAAAGAAAAUUGGAGAAAUCAUCUAAUAACACAAGAUAGUACUUAUGACCCAUAGUACUCAAAACCGGAGAUGUCCAAAGAUCACAAUGAAUUAUAUCAAAUGGCUUUAAAGUACUUGAACUAGACGAAACAAAUGGCAUCUUGAUAUGUUUUCCAAACACACAAGAUCGACAAAUGCUAGAAUGUGAAAGCUUAGAACAAUGAAUGCUUUUAUUGAGUCGAAGAGCAUCCAAAACUUGUGCACCGGGAUGGCCUAAACGAUCAUGCCAAAGAGAGGAAUUGAUGGCUGCAAAAGUAGAAUGAAGAGCUCGAUUGUUGAUAGAUUGUGUAAGAGGAUAAAGAUCGCCUUGGCUCUCACAUCUCAUUAUUAGCACUCACGUCUGUAAAUCCUUCACAGAAAACCCAAAAGGAUCAAAUUCCACCGUAACAGAAUUAUCAGUGGUAAAUUUGCGAACAGAAAUAAGGUUUUUAACAAUUUUGGGAGCGUGGAGGACAUUUUUAAGGGACAAAGGAAGGCCAGGAGAUGGUAAUGCAGUAUGACCAUAUCCUUGAAUUGAAAUAAUAUUGCCAUCACCCACAACAAUGCCAUUAUGAUGAGAAUUAUGUUGAUUGCUCAAAUUAACAUAGGACGAGAAAUUACCAUUUGAGGAUGUCAUAUGAGAUGUAGCACCAGUAUCCAUGUACCACGACGGAUCAGGUUGAUUGAGAGUCAUGGUAUGCAUUGCAGAUUCAAUAUCCGUUGGAACAAAAGAAGCUGACUGCCCAACCGUUGUUCCUGUGAAAGCCUGCUGUGGUCGAGGACCAAGAACUCCAGGCUGUGGUUGUUGAACUCCCGUGGAACGGGGCUGAGUCCAGCCCUGAGUUGGGAAUGGACAAGGGGGAGCGGACCAUCCCUGCAUCCAAGGUGGAGCAGCCAAGAUUGGAAAUAACCCGGUGCCCACUGUUGUGAACCCCAUUGCAUCCUAUUCUGUUGUUGUCCACCACCACGGCCUUGACCCAUACGACCCCCACCAGAACCACGACCUCCACCUGAACCAGAUCGUUUAUUAUUUUUCCUGUGGUUAUUAUGCUUAUUGCCACGGGGAGGUGCGGAUCCCUGAUUCGAGCCUGUGUCGUCAAAAUCCGUCUGUGAGGCAACCAACAUUGCAGAGUCAGACCCUGUGGCAGCUUCUUUUGCUAAAGCAGCCUCCUCUAAUGUUAACAUAGACCGGGCUUGAUAGAAUUGUGGGAGAGGGUCACUCUGUCGAAUUAAGGUCCCAACACCACGGUAUGCCCUUGGAAGGCCGGAAACCAGUUGAAUAACAAGUCUACUAUCCGAGAUUGGUGCACCAACAUUUUUCAGUUGAUCAGCAAGAGAUUUGAGACGCUGACAGUAAGCCGAAACAUUCGGAAAAUUCUCCAUUUUUGUACUGGAGAAUUCAGCCUCCAAAGUUACCACACGGGAAUUCUUGUUGUCCUGGAAUAUGUCACGCAACCUGUUCCAUGCCUCCAUAGCAGUGGCAUCUGGUUCAAUGAUCGUAUGUAAAAGAUCAUUGGAGAUAGUCGCAUAAAUCCAAGACAGAACCGUAGCAUCAAGCGUCGACCACAAUUCCUUUUCAUCCUCAGUAGAAAGAACCUUCUCUUUGCCUGUGGCAGGAGGAAUAAUAUGAGAAAGCACCUUAUGAGAACGUGCGGUAAUUUUGAAAAGCUCCGCCCAUGUCGAGUAUUGACCAUUCUCCAUCUCAAGAAUAAUGGGGAUAUGAUUGCGGAUAUUUGACACCGCAAGAGCUGGAUGAAAGGAGCUCUUGUUACCAGACAUUGGCUGCUGAUUAGUUGUAUCAGUCAUGAUAAUGAGAAAAGAAAAGAAGAUGAGUGCUUAGCGGAAGAAAAGAAAGAAAGAAAGAUCGUGGUAUUGCCUUAAGGCUCUGAUACCAUGAAAGAAAUAAUUCCUCUGCUAUUUCAUUAACAUUGCUGGUAUAUAUACAAUGUACAACACACCCUUCAAGGCUAUAAUCAGGGAACCUAAAAUAUAUCCAAAACUAAUCAUAGAAACAGACUAACUAAUUACAAUAAAUCAUAUCCAGAAAUAUCUCCACAGAUGUCGCAUAGAUAUCUUUAACACCUAGUCCUAAACUAAAAUUAUCAGUUCGAUGUGAAAUACGAAAUCAUAUUGCAGACGUCAUUCGUUGUUCCACCUAGUCCAAAACUACUCUAAAACUAUAUUGCUGGUAGUCUUUCAGUUCAUCCUACUGUAUGCAAUAGUUUCAUAUAUAGGUAACUCGGCCUUGUGUGGACUUCCUUUAACAAAAAAAUGUCUGCACUCAGUGUCACCACCACUGGAAGUCGAAAAUAGUGAUGAUGAAGAUGAUGCUCAUGGUGAACUUAAUUGGGAAGUAAUCCUGACGGGAUGUGGAUGUGGAUUGAUUUGCGGAUUGUCUUCUGGGUACAUUGUUUUCAAAAUAGAAAGGCCUUGGUGAUUUCUGCAAAGUGCUGCAACUUAAGUUGAUGUUACGAAGCACGAAAAAUAUUGUUCGACCAAGAUCAACAACUUGAAAAUGUGUUCUGAAUCUGUAUUAAUAUUAAAAUAUUAUAAUAUUAUUCAUUUAACACUAUCGUCCAAUCAAUUUAAUUGAUUAUCAUUUAAUCAAUAUAUUAGAUAAAUAUUAAUUGUCUUCCUUACCUCUAACCAAUGAUGAAAUUAAUAACCUCCCUAUAAAUCUAUUAAGACAGCUUUGAGUUGUCAAAGUCCUCAAACAUAUUAAACACUUUGAAAAAUUUGUUUCUGCAAGUCAAAAUUGCAAACAACACUUUGAAAACUUAGGUGCCGAAUAGUCCUUAUAUUGGAUUAAUCAGAUUUAAAUAUUUAAUGGCGCUAACAAAAUCUGUUGAAGUUAGCAGUUAUAAGGCAUAUAAUUAGAAAAAUGGCACAGUAUAUAAAGCCUCAUCAUCUUUUUCACUCUGUUUUAUUUCUCUCAUUACUUCCAUCCAUUCUUACAACACUAGCUGAAACAAGACGAGAGGGAGAAGCUCUUGUGAAAUGGAAGAAUAGCCUAGCCCCGUCUUCUUUUCUCGAUACUUGGUCACUAACCAAUCUCGAUGAUCUUUGCAACUGGACUGGCAUUACUUGUAACUCUGCAGGUUCAGUCUCUGAGAUUAACCUUAAACAAAAACAACUCAGUGGAACGAUUUCUGAGUUUGGUUUCACUUCAUUUCCAAAUCUCAACAAUCUGAACAUAGCACGAAACAACUUUUACGGUCCAAUACCACCAGCCAUUAAGAAUUUGACACAGCUUCAAUACCUUGAUUUAAGCUUUAAUCAUCUCAACGGUUCCAUCCCGUACCAGGUUAGCCAUCUUCAGAAAUUACAAAUCUUACACCUGUCGCAUAAUGAAUUGCAAGCUCCAAAUUGGUCCAAUUUCUCUUCCAUGCCUUUUUUGCGCAUCCUCGGCCUCGGCAGCAAUAAUCUGGAGUCAGAAUUCCCAGAAUUUAUAUCCAACUCUCAUGGCCUCACUUUCCUUGACCUUUCUUUUAACAAGUUUACAGGUGAUCUUGUGCAUGAAUCAAUUUUUACCGAUCUACGUAAUCUCGAAAACCUCCAUCUUGCUAAAAAUUACUUUGAGGGGCCGAUUCUACCUAGUAUAUUUAAGCUUUCCAAUUUAAAAAUUCUUGAACUAUCAGGUAAUAAAUUUUCUGGUUCUAUUUCCAACUAUAUAGGUUUGCUUUCGGAGCUUGAGACCCUCUAUCUUGACUUCAAUUUUUUUGAAGGACCAAUUCCACCAAAUAUAUUCAACCUUUCUAAACUAAAAAUUCUUGAACUAACAGGUAAUAACUUUUCAGGUCCUGUUUCUAAUGAUAUAAGUUUGCUUUCCGAGCUUGAAAACCUCAAUCUUGCCUUAAAUUCUUUUGAUGGGCCUUUUCCAUCAAAUAUGUUCAACCUAACCAUAUUGAGACAUCUAAAUCUCUAUGGCAAUAAAAAUUUAUUUAAAGGAAGUAUCCCACUGGAUAUCAAAAUAAGUCACAAGGACUAAUUAAUUACAUCUAUGAAGCAUCUAUCUCCUUAAAUGUGAAAGGAACAGAGUAUGAAGUGAAAAACAUUCUUCAUAUUUACACAACCAUUGAUCUGUCAUGCAACAAAUUUCAUGGACAUGUUCCAAAGAGAGCUUAAUUAAAUGGCUUGCAUUGCUCAAUCUAUCUCAUAAUAGUCUUAACAGACAUAUGUUCUGCAUUAUUAUUAUACUUUCAUCAAUAUUUUUAAACANAACAAAAACAACUCAGUGGAACGAUUUCUGAGUUUGGUUUCACUUCAUUUCCAAAUCUCAACAAUCUGAACAUAGCACGAAACAACUUUUACGGUCCAAUACCACCAGCCAUUAAGAAUUUGACACAGCUUCAAUACCUUGAUUUAAGCUUUAAUCAUCUCAACGGUUCCAUCCCGUACCAGGUUAGCCAUCUUCAGAAAUUACAAAUCUUACACCUGUCGCAUAAUGAAUUGCAAGCUCCAAAUUGGUCCAAUUUCUCUUCCAUGCCUUUUUUGCGCAUCCUCGGCCUCGGCAGCAAUAAUCUGGAGUCAGAAUUCCCAGAAUUUAUAUCCAACUCUCAUGGCCUCACUUUCCUUGACCUUUCUUUUAACAAGUUUACAGGUGAUCUUGUGCAUGAAUCAAUUUUUACCGAUCUACGUAAUCUCGAAAACCUCCAUCUUGCUAAAAAUUACUUUGAGGGGCCGAUUCUACCUAGUAUAUUUAAGCUUUCCAAUUUAAAAAUUCUUGAACUAUCAGGUAAUAAAUUUUCUGGUUCUAUUUCCAACUAUAUAGGUUUGCUUUCGGAGCUUGAGACCCUCUAUCUUGACUUCAAUUUUUUUGAAGGACCAAUUCCACCAAAUAUAUUCAACCUUUCUAAACUAAAAAUUCUUGAACUAACAGGUAAUAACUUUUCAGGUCCUGUUUCUAAUGAUAUAAGUUUGCUUUCCGAGCUUGAAAACCUCAAUCUUGCCUUAAAUUCUUUUGAUGGGCCUUUUCCAUCAAAUAUGUUCAACCUAACCAUAUUGAGACAUCUAAAUCUCUAUGGCAAUAAAAAUUUAUUUAAAGGAAGUAUCCCACUGGAUAUCAAAAUAAGUCACAAGGACUAAUUAAUUACAUCUAUGAAGCAUCUAUCUCCUUAAAUGUGAAAGGAACAGAGUAUGAAGUGAAAAACAUUCUUCAUAUUUACACAACCAUUGAUCUGUCAUGCAACAAAUUUCAUGGACAUGUUCCAAAGAGAGCUUAAUUAAAUGGCUUGCAUUGCUCAAUCUAUCUCAUAAUAGUCUUAACAGACAUAUGUUCUGCAUUAUUAUUAUACUUUCAUCAAUAUUUUUAAACAUUUCUCAAUAUGUAUUUUCAAAGAAUUCUCAAGCACUUGAACAUUUGGACCGGUUCUUUCGAAGCCAAGAUGCCCAGGUUAUAUCAUGGCCAUACACAAAAAUGCCCAAAAAUAAAUAAAUUAAGAGAGAUUGCUCUGGGUCUCCCCAAGCCUUCCAGGACUCAUUCCAAGUCUUCUGAGGACCACUGCCUCGCCCUUUCAAAGACGUGAUAGUAGCUCAAGAGUGAUAUAAAUUACUUUCCGGACACUAAAAAUAAAUAAUCCGAUCAAAUUAAUUAAUAAUAAAUUAAGGAUGAAAUCCAAAUUAGUCCUAAAUUUUGAUAAUAUAUAAAAAUUAUAAUUAUAAAUUAUAUAACCAAAUGAGAAUUGAAUUAACUUACUUGGUACUAAAAUUGAUAAAUACAGUAUAGUAAUUUAAUUGAUGAAAAGUCAAAGUCUUCUAAUAAAUCCAUAAAGAAUAUGAAAAUCAAAAUAACGAAAAUUAUAAUUGAAAAAUCAAAAUCAAUAGUGUAUUGGAAUAUUGUUCACACACUUAUAUAUCAAAAUUUGUGGUCCAAAAAUUAUAGCACAAUAUCCUAAAUACACCACAUUAAAUAAUAGUUCAAAAAUAUUCAAUAAAUAAUUGUUUUCAUUCAUAAUUUUGUUAUUUUAAAAACUAAUAAUUUGGUUGAUGUUAACCUAUAUUUUAAUAUAUAAUUAUAUUAUUUUCAUGUUAUUUUAUUUAACCAAAAACAAUAUUUUUAUAAUAUUUAUUACAUUAAUUAUAUUAAAAGAUAUAAUUUCAUUAAAAAAAUUGAAUAAAAUUAAGAGGAUAACUCUAUGCCUCUCCAAGUCUACAAGACUCAUUUCAAGUCUACCGAGGACCACUACCAUUGAGAGAUGUGAAAGUAGUUUGAGAGUGACAUAAAUUAUUUUCCUGACAAUAAAAUGUAAUAUCUAAUAUAAAUUAAUUAAAUUAGAUAAUAAUAAAUCAAAACUAAUCAUGAAUUAUGAUAAUAAUUAAAUAAAUUAUAAUUAAAUUAUAUAAAUCAACUCCAAAUGAUACAAAUAACACUAAACCUUAGUUACUUUAUUGGUAAAAUAAAUAUAAUAUAAUAAUUAAAUUGAUGAAAAAUCAAAAUCAUCUAAUAAAUUCACAAAAAAUAUAUGAUCAUUAGUAUAUUAUAUCAGUAUCCACACACUUAUAUUUCAAAAUCUAUCCUACAAAAUUAUCAUCUCUGUAAACUAGCCACAAAAAAUAAAAAUUUAAAGAUAUUAGAUAUUUAGUUAUUUUCAUUAUAUAAUUUUUCCACACUAAAUAACAAAAUAUCUUUAUCAAAUUAUUAUUUAUGAAUUAAAUAUUCAAGUUAUAAUUCCAGCAUGCAGCGUAUAAAUAGAAGUGUGCAGUAUGAUAUCAGAUUCAUAACCCAGUUGAGGAGAAACAUGGCACACUCUGUGAAGCCUUCUCACCUUCUUCUCUUUGUUUUCUUUCUCUCAUCACUUGAAUCCAUUCUUGCAACAACACGAGAGGGAGAAGCUCUUGUGAAAUGGAAGAAUAGCCUAGCCCCUUCUUCUUUUCUCGACUCUUGGUCCCUCACCAAUCUCGAUAAUCUUUGUAACUGGACUGCCAUUACUUGUAACUCUGCAGGUUCAGUCUCUAAGAUUAACCUUUUUGAGAAACAACUUAAUGGAAUGCUGUCCGAGUUCGGUUUCACUUCAUUUCCAAAUCUCAACUAUCUCACACUCGCAGACAACUUCUUCUCGGGUCCGAUACCACCAGCCAUUGAGAAUUUAACACAGCUUCAAUAUCUUGAUUUAAGCAUGAAUAGUCUUAAUGGUCCCAUUCCGUUCCAGGUUAGCCAUCUUCAGAGCUUGCUCAUCUUGAACCUGUCACAGAAUGCAUUGCAAGCUCCAAAUUGGUCCCAUUUCUCUCCCAUGCCUUUCUUGCGCAUCCUCGACCUUAGUUUUAAUAAUCUUGUGUCGAAAUUCCCAGAAUUUAUAUCCAAUUCUCAUAGCCUGACUCACCUUAACCUUUCAAAUAACAAGUUUACUGGUCAUCUUGUGCAUAAAUUUACCAAUCUACAAAAUCUUGAAACCCUCUACCUUCAGAUCAAUUCUUUUGAGGGGCCGUUUCCACCAGAUAUAGUCCAGCUUUCCAAAUUAAAACGACUCUCCCUGUCAUGUAACAAAUUUUCAGGUUCAAUUCCCAAUGACGUAAGGUUGCUUUUUGGUCUUGAAUCCCUAAAUUUAGGCAACAAUUCCUUUGAAGGACCGCUUCCACCAGAUAUAUUCAAGCUUUCAAAGUUAAAACGACUUGUUCUUUGGAGUAAUAAGUUUUCAGGUUCUGUUUCCAAUGAUAUAGGUUUGCUUUCUAAUCUUGAACACCUCGAUCUUGACUCUAAUUUUUUUGAGGGGCCGUUUCCGUCAAAUAUAUUCAAGCUCAGAUUAAAAAUUCUAAACCUCUCAAACAAUAGAAAUUUAUUUCAAAGAAGUUUUCCUAUUGGACUGGAACUCUUGAGUAACCUCAGCUACUUAGGUCUACAUUCCAGUAAUCUCAGUGGCAAUAUUCCAUCUUACAUUGGAAACCUGAAGCUACUAGAAUUUCUUGAUCUCGGUUCUAAUCAAUUGACUGGACCGCUUUCCAAGAUCGUUUAUAAUCUCACAAAUCUUAUACUUCUUGAUGUAAGUUAUAAUAGUCUUCAUGGAAAUAUUCAGAGUGACUUGUGGCAAUAUAACGAUCAUCCAACUUUGGAAUACAUGAGUUUGAGUGGGAACUAUUUUACGGGUAUAGUUUUUCUCUAUAGAUCUUUUCUUUUGUCAUAUGUAACUAAGCUACUAAUCUGAUUAAUUGCAGUUUUACCAAAGUUUCAACAAUCUUGACAGGUGAGCUUCCAACAACAAUUUGCAAUGUCACUUCCCUUUCGGUUCUUGAUUUGUCAAAUAAUGAAUUAAGUGGUGCACUUCCAAACUGUUUCGGGAAUCUUGCUGAUAGAUUGCUUUUCAUUAAUCUUGCUAAUAAUCAGUUUCGAGGAACAAUACCAACUACUUUCUCCAGGAGUUGUCAGCUCAAAUAUCUAAACAUGGAUAAUAAUGAGUUUGAAGGAUUGUUGCCCCCGUCUUUGGAAAACUGUAAGCACUUGAGAAUUCUUGAUAUUGGCAAUAAUAAAAUAGGUGGUACAUUUCCGUCAUGGCUUUAUGUACUUGGAGAGCUAGAAGUCCUUCUCUUGCGAUCAAAUAAACUCUAUGGCACAAUAAGUGGAAGGAGCAUAGAAGAUCCCUUCCCCAAGUUGCGGAUUGUGGAUCUGUCCAACAAUCAAUUCACAGGCCAUUUGCCAAUUCAAUACUUUAAGAAUAUGAAAUCAACUGAUAAUUUGUAUCGUUUCCAGGAUGGCAAAGGAGUUUUUUGUUUCCGUUAUGAAGCAUCUGUCUCAUUAACUGUGAAGGGAACAGAGUAUGAAGUGAAAAAAAUCCUUCAUAUUUACACAACCAUUGAUCUGUCCUGCAACAAAUUUCAAGGAGAAAUUCCAGACGUUAUUGGAGAGCUUAGAUGGCUUGCAUUGCUCAACUUAUCUCAUAAUAGUCUAACAGGACCUAUCCCAUCAUUGCUGAGGAAUAUGAAAGAACUCCAAUCUUUAGAUUUGUCUUCAAAUCAACUGACAGGGGCUAUUCCACCUCAGUUAACUGCAUUGACAUAUCUAGAGGUCUUGAACCUCUCGGGAAACCAUCUUAGUGGAGAGAUUCCUCAGAAAGGACAGUUCAGCACAUUCAACAAUGAUUCUUAUCUUGGAAACUCCGCGUUAUGUGGAUCACCUUUGACGAAGAAAUGUGCAAACACAGCAUCACCUCCACAAGAAGUCGGAAAUGGUGAUGAAGAUGAUGCUGGUGAUGAAUUGACAUGGGAAGCAAUCGUGAUGGGAUAUGGAUGUGGACUGAUAUGUGGAUUGUCAUCUGCAUACAUUGUUCUCAAACUAGGAAAGCCUUGGUGGUUUGUGAGAUAUGUCGAAGUACUGCAACUGAAGUUGAUGAAAAGAUAUGCUUGAAGAAUGGUACUGGCCGAUCAAGACGAACUUGAAAGUUGUUGUCCUUGUGCAUUUCUGAACCAGUUGUGUACUAUUCUCUUUGUGGCUGCAUAAGUAUUUGGUAUUGUGUAAUAUUCUGUUUGGUCUUGAAUCAUAAUGAUUCUUCUUGCUCCAGGGUUAUUAAUAUAAACCUUGGUAUUGUGUGCUAGCUGUAAUAUUCUGUUUGAUCAAUGUUUAUACCAGUAAUUUUAUGCUCCGCAGUGCAUCAUGCAGCUCUCAUAUUAUCUCUAUGAUUAACCUGAAUUCAGUUUCAUUUUGUUUCCGAAUCUCAACUACUUCAACUUGAGCUACAAUAGCUUCACUGGUCUAAUACCCCCAGAUAUUGAAAAUUUAACAGAGCUGCAAUACCUUGAUUUUAGCUCUAAUAAACUCACUGGUGCAAUUCCGGACCAGGUAAGCCAUCUUCAAACAUUGCGAACCUUAAACCUGUUGGAUAAUCACUUGGAAGCUCCAAACUGGUCCGCUUUUUCCCCUCUGCCUUCUCUGACAAACCUCUGUCUCAAUAAUAAUAAUCUUUCGUCGAAAUUCCCAGACUUCAUAUCAAAUUACAUCUUUUAUACGAUAUAUUAUGAAAACACUAUAUUUUGUAAUGUUCAUCUUAUCCUACCAGCAAAAUUACAUCGCUAACAAAAUUAUAUCAAUUUUAUUUUAUAAACUCAAAUAAUUUAAUUUAUGAAACAACUCUAUGAGAUUCUUAUCAUGAGUUAGAAUUCAAAUAAAUAAAGAGUUCAUAUUGAUAAGUGGAAUUGAUGUGCAAGUAAGGGGUAUAAAAAAAUCUCAAAAUAACUCCAAAAAGCACAUGACAUGUUUGAUUUAAUAGAACUGGUACAUAAACAGGGGGACCAUUAUAUUUAUAAGCAAGUGACCAACAAUAGUUUACUACUGAUAUUUUGUGAUAUUUUUUGUGAUAUUUUUUGAGACCUUUAACAUUAUUCUGUGAAGUGGUAUACUACUGUUACUAGUUCUGAAACUUCAAACAAAGUAGGCGCAACAUUGUAAGAGUGAUUAAUAAAGUUGAGAAACAGUGUGUACAUUGAGCAGUAUGACAAUCAGGUUCAGCAUAUAAUACAAUCAGAUUCACAAUCAGGUUCACGAGAAACAUGCUGCAUUCCAAAAAGCCUUAUUAUCUUCUUCACUAAAUAACAAGGCAAAUACAGCAUAUAAAUACAAGUGUGCAGUGUGGUAUUAGAUUCAUAACCCAGUUGAGGAGAAACAUGGCACACUUUGUAAGGCCUUCUCACCUUCUUCUCUUUGUUUUCUUUCUCUCAUCACUUGAAUCCAUUCUUGCAACAAGACAAGAGGGGGAAGCUCUUGUGAAGUGGAAGAAUAGCCUAGCCCCUUCUUCUUUUCUCCACUCUUGGUCACUCACCAAUCUCGAAAAUCUUUGNNNNNNNNNNNNNNNNNNNNNNNNNNNNNNNNNNNNNNNNNNNNNNNNNNNNNNNNNNNNNNNNNNNNNNNNNNNNNNNNNNNNNNNNNNNNNNNNNNNNNNNNNNNNNNNNNNNNNNNNNNNNNNNNNNNNNNNNNNNNNNNNNNNNNNNNNNNNNNNNNNNNNNNNNNNNNNNNNNNNNNNNNNNNNNNNNNNNNNNNNNNNNNNNNNNNNNNNNNNNNNNNNNNNNNNNNNNNNNNNNNNNNNNNNNNNNNNNNNNNNNNNNNNNNNNNNNNNNNNNNNNNNNNNNNNNNNNNNNNNNNNNNNNNNNNNNNNNNNNNNNNNNNNNNNNNNNNNNNNNNNNNNNNNNNNNNNNNNNNNNNNNNNNNNNNNNNNNNNNNNNNNNNNNNNNNNNNNNNNNNNNNNNNNNNNNNNNNNNNNNNNNNNNNNNNNNNNNNNNNNNNNNNNNNNNNNNNNNNNNNNNNNNNNNNNNNNNNNNNNNNNNNNNNNNNNNNNNNNNNNNNNNNNNNNNNNNNNNNNNNNNNNNNNNNNNNNNNNNNNNNNNNNNNNNNNNNNNNNNNNNNNNNNNNNNNNNNNNNNNNNNNNNNNNNNNNNNNNNNNNNNNNNNNNNNNNNNNNNNNNNNNNNNNNNNNNNNNNNNNNNNNNNNNNNNNNNNNNNNNNNNNNNNNNNNNNNNNNNNNNNNNNNNNNNNNNNNNNNNNNNNNNNNNNNNNNNNNNNNNNNNNNNNNNNNNNNNNNNNNNNNNNNNNNNNNNNNNNNNNNNNNNNNNNNNNNNNNNNNNNNNNNNNNNNNNNNNNNNNNNNNNNNNNNNNNNNNNNNNNNNNNNNNNNNNNNNNNNNNNNNNNNNNNNNNNNNNNNNNNNNNNNNNNNNNNNNNNNNNNNNNNNNNNNNAUUAAAACGUCUUUUUCUUUGGAGUAAUAAGUUUUCAGGUUCUGUUUCCAAUGAUAUAGGUUUGCUUUCUGAGCUUGAAUUUCUCAAUCUUUACGAUAAUUUUUUUGAGGGGCCGCUUCCAUGCAUCAAAUAUAUUCAAGCUCUCCAAAUUAAGGGUUCUUUACCUUAACGGUAAUAAACUUCUAGGUUCUCUUUCCAAUGAUAUAGGUUUGCUUUCUGAGCUUGAAAGCCUCGAUCUUAACUCCAAUUUUUUUGAGGGGCCGCUUCCGCCAAAUGUAUUCAAGCUCUCCAAACUAAAGAUUCUUUCCCUUUAUGAGAAUAACUUUUCAGGUUUUAUUUCUAAGGAUAUAGGUUUGCUUUCUGGACUUGAAACCCUCUAUCUUGACUCUAAUUUUUUUGAGGGUCCGCUUCCCCCACAUAUAUUUAGGCUGUCCAAAUUAAGAGAUCUGGACCUCUCAUACAGUAGAAAUUUAUUUGAAGGAAGUAUUCCUAUUGGACUGGGACUCUUGACUAACCUCAGGUACUUAGAUCUAUAUUCCAAUAAUCUCAGUGGCUAUAUUCCAUCUGACAUUGGAAACCUGAAGCUACUAGAAGGUCUUAUUCUCGGUUCUAAUAAAUUGACUGGACCAGUUUCAAAGAUCAUUUCUAAUCUCACAAAUCUUAUAUAUCUUGAUGUAAGUGAUAAUAGUCUUAGUGGAAAUAUUCAGAGUGACUUGUGGAAAUAUAACGAUCAUCCAACUUUGGAAUACAUCAAUUUAAGUGGGAACCAUUUUACGGGUAUAGUUUUUCUCUAUAGAUCUUUUCCUUUUCUCAUAUGUAACUAAGCUGGUAAUCUGAUUAUUGCAGUUUUACCAAAGUUUCAACAAUCUUGACAGGUGAGCUUCCAACAACAAUUUGCAAUGUCACUUCCCUUUCGGUUCUUGAUUUGUCAAAUAAUGCGUUAAGUGGUGCACUUCCAAACUGUUUCGGGAAUCUUGCUGAUGGAUUGCUUUACAUUAAUCUUGCUCAUAAUCAGUUUCGAGGAACAAUACCAACUACUUUCUCCAGGAGUUGUCAGCUGACAUAUCUGAACAUGGAUGAUAAUGAGUUUGAAGGAUUGAUGCCCCCAUCUUUGGCGAACUGUAAGCACUUGAAAAUUUUUGAUAUUGGCAAUAAUAAAAUAGGUGGUACAUUUCCGUCAUGGCUUUAUGUACUUGGAGAGCUAGAAGUCCUUGUCUUGAAAUCAAAUAAACUCUAUGGUACAAUAAGUGGAAGGAGCAGUGAAGAUCCCUUCCCCAAGUUGCGGAUUGUGGAUCUGUCCAACAAUCAAUUCACAGGCCAUUUGCCAAUUCAAUACUUUAAGAAUAUGAAAUCAACUGAUAAUUUGUAUCGUUAUCAGAAUGACACAAGAGUUUUUUCUUUCCAUUAUGAAGCAGCAGUCUCAUUAACUGUGAAGGGAACAGAGUAUGAAGUGAAAAAAAUCCUUCAUAUUUACACAACCAUUGAUCUGUCCUGCAACAAAUUUCAAGGAGAAAUUCCAGACGUUAUUGGAGAGCUUAGAUGGCUUGCAUUGCUCAACUUAUCUCAUAAUAGUCUAACAGGACCUAUCCCAUCAUUGCUGAGGAAUAUGAAAGAACUCCAAUCUUUAGAUUUGUCUUCAAAUCAACUGACAGGGGCUAUUCCACCUCAGUUAACUGCAUUGACAUAUCUAGAGGUCUUGAACCUCUCGGGAAACCAUCUUAGUGGAGAGAUUCCUCAGAAAGGACAGUUCAGCACAUUCAACAAUGAUUCUUAUCUUGGAAACUCCGCGUUAUGUGGAUCACCUUUGACGAAGAAAUGUGCAAACACAGCAUCACCUCCACAAGAAGUCGGAAAUGGUGAUGAAGAUGAUGCUGGUGAUGAAUUGACAUGGGAAGCAAUCGUGAUGGGAUAUGGAUGUGGACUGAUAUGUGGAUUGUCAUCUGCAUACAUUGUUCUCAAACUAGGAAAGCCUUGGUGGUUUGUGAGAUAUGUCGAAGUACUGCAACUGAAGUUGAUGAAAAGAUAUGCUUGAAGAAUGGUACUGGCCGAUCAAGACGAACUUGAAAGUUGUUGUCCUUGUGCAUUUCUGAACCAGUUGUGUACUAUUCUCUUUGUGGCUGCAUAAGUAUUUGGUAUUGUGUAAUAUUCUGUUUGGUCUUGAAUCAUAAUGAUUCUUCUUGCUCCAGGGUUAUUAAUAUAAACCUUGGUAUUGUGUGCUAGCUGUAAUAUUCUGUUUGAUCAAUGUUUAUACCAGUAAUUUUAUGCUCCACAGUGCAUCAUGCAGCUCUCAUAUUAUCUCUAUGAUUAACCUGAAUUCAGUUUCAUUUUGUUUCCGAAUCUCAACUACUUCAACUUGAGCUACAAUAGCUUCACUGGUCUAAUACCCCCAGAUAUUGAAAAUUUAACAGAGCUGCAAUACCUUGAUUUUAGCUCUAAUAAACUCACUGGUGCAAUUCCGGACCAGGUAAGCCAUCUUCAAACAUUGCGAACCUUAAACCUGUUGGAUAAUCACUUGGAAGCUCCAAACUGGUCCGCUUUUUCCCCUAUGCCUUCUCUGACAAACCUCUGUCUCAAUAAUAAUAAUCUUUCGUCGAAAUUCCCAGACUUCAUAUCAAAUUGUCGAAACCUGACUUACCUUGAUCUUUCAUUAAACUUGUUAACAGGUGAUUUGGUUCUUGGUAAUACGGAAUCGCUCUAUCACAGAAGUAAUUCUUUUGAGGGGUCAUUUCCACCAAAUAUAUUAAAACUUUCAAAAUUAAGAGUUCUUUCCCUAUCNCUUUCCCUAUCAUAUAAUAGAUUUUCAGGUUCUAUUCCGCAUGAUAUAGGAAUGCUUCGUGUUUUGGAAUCCCUUUUUUUUAGUAGCAGUUCUUUUGAUGGCCUGCUUUCACCAAAUUUAUUUAAGCUUCCAAAAUUAAAAGUUCUUUCCAUGUCAUUUAAUAACUUUUCGGGUUAUAUUCCAAAUGAAAUAGGAUUGCUUCAUGAUUUAGAGUCCCUUUAUUUUAAUGGAAAUUCUUUUGAGGCCGUUUCCACCAAAUAUAUUCAACCUUUCCAAAUUAAAAGUUCUUUACCUCUCAAAUAAUAACUUUUCAGGUUCUAUUCCUAAUGAUAUAAGUGUGCUUCGUGAUCUUGAGAUACUUGAUUUGUCCUCUAAUUCUUUUGAAGGGAUUAUUCCAUUGGAGCUGGGGUUCUUGAAUAAGCUGAGCUAUUUAUAUCUUGAUUCCAAUCAAUUGACUGGACCGCUUUUGAAGAACAUGUAUAAUCUCAGUAAUCUUAUUGAGAUCAACUUUAGUGGAAACCGCUUAACAGGUUUGCUAUUCAUUCUUGUUUUCUUCUUUAUGUAACUUCUUUAUGUAACUUCUUCAAUGCUGAUGAAAUGAUCACGAACCACAAUUUCACCAAAGCUCCUUUAAUUUCAACAGGUGAGUUUUCGACAGCAAUUUACAGAGAGAGAAUUACGAUGUUAUUAGGGAAAUCUAAAGAGAAGGUGCAGAGACCUCGGCAUAAUGAUCCUCCAACCUCUCAUUAACAAUGUCCAGGUUUCUUUAAAAGUAUUAAAUGUUAUUAACAUAGUACUUAAUGGUGUUAUAAAGAGAGUCGUGAUGUAACACUAUAUUUUGUUUACGAGAUAUUUUAAGUGUAAGAAGGUCCAUGCUGAGUUGUGAACAAUUAUUCUCACGUAUAUUAUCAAUGGUGAACAUCUUUAUUAGUAAGAUUGUGCUUUUUAGUUGGAUUGUGGUCCUUCUGUUGCUCCUUGGUAAGAUUUUUCGUCCUAGGUGGGAUUGUUAGGCACAAUGCCAGUCUAAUCAAGUUUGCGAAGGAAGUGUUAAAUACUAGAAUUAUUAAACCUGUAUAUAAAUUUAGAUGUCUGCACAGCGUUGUUACAUUGUCGAGUAGACAACUAAUUUUAAUCUGGUGGCAGGAAAUAGGGAAUCAAGAAGAAGAUGCAGCCAACAAUGAGAAGCUAGAGAAGCAAUUGAACUACUCGAACAAGAGCAAAAGCGGAUAGAAGCAGAACCAGAUGUUAAACUAGAGGCAAAAAAGAGAGCCUCCAACAGGCUUAUUUUAAGGUAAAUUACAAGAAAAGAAAGUCUGCCAUCAAUGUUAGACAAAAAGAUAUGCCGAUGCUCACAGAUAAUAAUAGUAGCAGGCGUACUUACUCUCUCUACAUAUAAUACUGUAACAAAGGUUUUCAAUGAGCCAAUUUAUUCCAACUAAGCAGGCACUAAGCAGCCACGUCAGAUCCACCUUAGCAAUCACUUUGCAUUUGUGAUGAUGAUCACAAUUAAAUCUUUAUCCCAAUGAUUUUUCUAUUAAUCUUUUGUGGAAUUCUAUGUCUGCAGAGAGAGCAAUACGUGUUGGUCAUGGUUUCUAUAAGUGAAGGUGAGACAACAAUGGUGUUCUCUUUGCCUCAAUUACACCCCUAAUUGCUGGCUAUUUGAGCUGCUGAAAGUUUAAUAAUGGCAAUCGUUUGUAGCUCGAAGAGAAUGAUGUAAGAAUUUAAUCUCAAUAGGAAGCUGUAGAACACAACAAUAUUGCAUAUAGAAGCCAUCCAGCUGCACACCCUGAUCACGGAGUUUUUGAGUCUUUAGAAUGCAAAAAUACAAUGCACAUGGGUAUGCCUACAAGUGGAGAUAUUUAGAAAACUGCUUCUUGUGCACAGUUAGUUAAAUAUUUACUAAUAAUAUAUCUUCAAUAACAACAUUACAGCUACAGUUCAGCAAUGAAUGAUCAUCAAAUGGCUUCUGCAGCACCGACACAGAAUGCCAGUGGACUAGUGGAGUAAUUCCAGGGGAUGCUCUGAUCAUAAAUUCUCGCUGGUGAAUUGAAGAAUUGAGCUUGAGCUAAGAAGGUGAUCUGCAUAUAAUCUUUAACCAUUUUCUGAUGGUACAAAUGUUGCUAUUUAAAAAAAUAAAGAUCAAAUAAACAAAUAUUACUUUACUAAUAUUUUACAUAGCUGCUGCUGUCGAAAACUGGAAACUUGUUGUGUAUUAUAAAAAUAGCAAGGAACUGAACUAAAUAAGCGAGGCAGGUAACUAUUGGAACAAACUGGCAUAUACCUUCUCUUUUCUUAUACUUCUUGCUUGGGGGCAAUAAGUCGUCUCUACCAUAAUAAAGUAAAAAGUAGUCAAAUUACAACUCCCUUGGGUUUCCGUUUGAAUUAGGACAUGUGUGGUGCACCAUACUCUCUUGUCAAAUAUUUUGAAGUUUUGCAUAUUGCAGUUUCACUUUUCAAAGAAACCUCUCUGUCAUUGCUAUAUUAGUAUGCGACUGUUAUUUGGAUUAGUUAUGAUCUGUAUCUAAAAUUAAUGGCACAGAUCUUGAUUUCUAGAACACCAGGUAAUAUUCUCAGAAACAGUGAUAUUCUGUUACAAAGUGAUUGUUGUCGACCAUCUUUACACAUUUUUCUUAUUAUUAAAAAAUAAAUUUUAUAAAAUAGAUUUUUAAAAUAUAGAUACUAUUGAUAUGGUCUUUAUAAUAGAUAUUAGAUAUUAAAAUUUUUAUUUAUAAAAAUUUAUGGAUGAGUUAUUGUAAUAACUGAUUGUCGAGAUCCUAGGUUCCUGGCUAAAUAGGAGUCCAUAUAUUUUGUUAUAAUAUAAUCAAAUAUCAAAACAUUCCUAGGAGGUCUAUAAGUUUAUAACGGUCCGAUAAAGGAAACAUGAAUAAAAUUGAUCAAAAUAUUUUGACCAUUUCAGGUGAUAAUGAUCAUAUAAUUUUCAUAUGACAGAACAAUAAGCCGUAGAGUUUGCUUAGGGGAUUAUGUAGGUUGCAGCAAGAUUUUCAAAAUAAAGCUGAUUUAUCAUUCAUAUAUUUUUUUGGUCCUCUUGGUUUAUGAGUGCUCUUUGUAUCUCUUGCUCUUAGCAUGCAUCCCCUCCCUUUAGUAAAUCAGCUUUGUGCUCAAUUACCUAAUUAUAGAUGAUGUUUCCUAAAUGGAAUAUUUCAAUUAAAUAUAUUAAUUGCUAAGCAACAGCCAAUAUGUUGUGUUGGUUAUUAAAUUAUUGUAGGCAUUUAUUCUUACAGAUGGUUUGGAGAUAAUUUCGAGCAAUCUAUGAGUUUGAAUAAUAUGUCUUAACAGUAUAUAGGGCCAUGAGGAGCUUGGCGCUGCCAGCUUGCGCUUGCGGGAAGAUGAAGAUUUUACGAGAUUUAAAAAUAUUGCAACUAUAGAGCUAGGAAGAUAAGAGAUUGGAAGUUGGUAAUUCUCCCCUUUCCCAUCAGAAUUCAAUGACUCUUUGAAACUGUACUUUCGUGAAUUUUGUCUUAAUUUCAUCAGGCGACCAGAACAACUUCAGAGACAUAUGGUGAGUUGUUGUCGAGUAUUUUGAAGAGUAUCGUUCGCAGGGAAGGAUUGAUAUCAAUACCAAUUUCAAGUCUUUUAUCUCUUAUGAUUCAGAAGUGUGGAGAAGAAUUUGGUGGGAUUUUCUAUCAACUAAUUAAUGUAAUAAGUAAAUAAAUAUAAUAAAUAUGAGAGAAAACAACCCAAGAAUUAGAGUUCUUCAAUCGCUAUCAUGAAUGUCUAAUUUGUGUCUCUUGUUUGCUAAAAACAAUCCUUCUAAUAUUAAUAAACUCCUCUCCCAAGGUAGAUUAUAAUGCUUACAAUUAUCCAUUAAAAGCCACUCCCAUGGUCAAUCAAAGAACACUUGUAAACUAUUAAGAACCAAGGAUUUUAAGUCUCACAAUUCUCAUAUCAAUCUCCCGAUCUAAUACUCAAAUUGUGUCCAUCAUAUCAUGUACUAGAAUUAUAACUCCUCUCCCGAUUCGUUAUAACUCCUAGAGAUUCAAUCACAAGUUAGCUACUCCUGUAAUUGUAUAAAGAGCUCAAUGACAGAUUAACAAAUCAAGAGAAAACACAAUCCAACUAAACAAACAUAUUAAGCCAAAGAAUACUACCUAACUCUUGGAUCAAAGGAUUAGCUACUCAUGAUAAGAUGAAACAAAUAUAUAUUUAUACCACAAACCAUGAGCGUAAGAAUUUAAAUACGAAGAAUACAACUUGACGAAAGAGCUUGAAGUCCGGAUGAAUCCCUUCACUCCUUCUUCCAAUAUCUCUCACAAGUGCUUCUCUCCCUUUUCUCUCUAAAAAAGCUAUCUCUAUAUUAUUCUAUAUGAUACAAAGUUAGUUGUCUCUAAUCUCUAUCAAAACCCUAAUAUAUAUAAGAGUUUUCUUAAUUUACAAGAAAAUAAAAUAAUAUCCUAAAACUAGUUGGAUUCUGAUGCUGAAAUUCGUAGGCUUCUGUUCAGGCCUGAUUCUGGGCUGAUCCAGUUGGAUUUUGACAUCUGGACCACCUUAAACUUGUAGAAAAUUCCUAUAUCUUCGCGUGGGCUGUUGAAUCGCCCAAUUCUGACAUCCAGAACUCAAGUUACGGCCCAAACAAGAUUUGCUUCGCUGGCUAUAUAUAAAGUCCGAAUUUCCAUCUAAUUAAGCCCAAAUAAGCUUGAUUUAAUCCAACUUUAGGAAUAUUUAUUUUCCUGCCACUAAACACUUAAAAUCAAUUAGUAAUAACCCGAUUAUUUACAAAAUACUAAAAUUAUGGGAAUAAAAUCAUAUAAAAACAUAUAUAAAUAUAUGCUCUAUCAUGAGUUUUGUGUCCUGCUUCUCAUUUCACAUACAUUGCCUUUUAAGAAGGGUGUUCUUAUAUAAUUUUGGAAGUGCUAUUGCUAAUUUGUUUCAGGUAAUAGCUGCACCGCAUAUAUAAAAUAUACAAAAAAUGUUUUUCCCGGCCUUCUUAAAAGUUUGAAUAAUAUUCCCCCUGUCUUGUGAUUGCAAACAAUAAUUGUUUUUGUAUCCAAGUACUUAAGCUUUUCCAUUAACUUUUUGGAUUUUGAACCAUGAUUGCCAAUGAGCAUUGAUAAUAUAGCCUAGGCCUCGGUCAUUUGAAUUUUUUGGAUAUUGUCUAAAGGCUUUCAAUGUAGUGAUUCUGUGACAACGUUGGACAAUAAUGUGUACAAGCUGGAUUCAGCAGAUUUCUAACAUGUGUUGAUUAUUACUAAUUAUGGAUUUACUGGUAUAGCAAGAAAUUACAGGCCCGAGGUCUUAAAGUUUGGGUGUCAUCACUUUUCUGGUCUACUUGCAAUCUUUUCUUCUUACUACCUCUUCUAGCAGUGUGUAGUUCCACUUUGCUAUUAAAUGAGCAAGUUAAUGACUGUUUAGGGGAUUGAGAUCUGACAAGUCUUGCUACUUUUGAUGGGUUUGAUAGGUUUGAUGAGUGCUUAAGUGAUAUUAAUCACCAAACUUAUGUAUAUGCAUUUUGAUGUGUUGAUUAUUUAGCAUAGUUGCUGCAUAACAAAUAUUAGUUAAAGGAUGAGAUCUUCUAAAAGAAGUCAGAAAUGUAAAAGCCAAUGUCAAAGUGGAUUUGAUCAAAAAGAGAUUCGCAUGCUGAUUAUUACUUUUUUGUGCAGAAAAAAUGUGAUCUCAAACAUCCCCUGGCAAUGAGAUAUAUCGCAGGGCACAUUGUCAAUGUUUUAGAUAUGUUUACAUGUUUAGCUGAUCUGCAAAUUCCUUUACGUCUUGGUUUCUGUCUCAUGUGAUUAUAUUCUCAGCGUUUGGAACUUGGAAUUGCAUAGCUUACCGCCAACACAAUUAUACAACUUCUUUUACUCAGUGAAUGAUGCUACACUUGAGACUUUCAUUAUGAUAUUUAUCUUGAGACACAUGUUCCCCAGUUUUAUAACUGGUAUAUUUGGCCUUGCUUUGUAUUUUUAAAUAUUACUGUUCAAUGGACUUAUACUAAACCCUUGCUUAUAAACAAGUACUCUUCAUCUGUUUGUUUGUUUAACUAUAUGACAUUUUACAUGUUUUUAUAGGUAGAUGGGAAAAAGAAUAAGGUUUAUGGGCAGAAUCUUUGUUAUCUGGAAAAAUUGUUUCUUGAUUACAAAACACUAUAUUAUAACGUCGAUUCACAAUAACUUAAUUGAUCAGCGCUCGGAGUCUCCUUUCUAAUCAAGGCUGUGGAGUGUGGAGGCCUAGGGCCUGAGCAUAUAAGGAUAUUCACAAUAAUUUUUUUUUUUUAUGAAUUUAUUUUCAUAGAUAUUUGUGUGUAGUUCCUUAAAUUGGGAAUACGGCUCGAGAGGAUAAGGGAUUGUUUGGUUGUUUAGUGUGAUUGGUAUUUUACUAGAUCAGAGAGUUUAUUACCACAAGCAUCCUAUGCAUUAACACUUGUCAGCAGCUGAAUUCCUGACAUAACACAUGAAUUCAGAAGACAUGACACAUGAAUUCAGUAUUUGGAAUUUGAUUGAAAUUCUGAAUGAUUUAUUGUUUACCAGAGGUUAUAACCACUACUUGUAUAUGGUAUCGGGUGUGUCCAUCUCCGGAAGAUCUAAUUGGCGUUAUAUGUUAAAUUUUCAAUAAAUAUCUCCGGAAGAUCUAAUUGGCGUUAUAUGUUAAAUUUUCAAUAAAUAUCUCCGGAAGAUCUAAUUGGCGUUAUAUGUUAAAUUUUCAAUAAAUAUCUGGAUGUGUAUUUUUGAUUAUCGAAAGAGUUCCCAUAUUAUUAUGUCGUUUUAUUUUCCUUCACUUUUGGCAGCCCCAAGUGAAAGUGAUGACUAUUGGUACUUGAGUUUUUUUGGCUGAAAUCACUAAUAUAAUUGUUACACUACAACAAAACUGGCAUCAGACAACACUAGUCACACAACGGACGCUGGAAAAAGUGUUGGCCGAAACAAAGACACAACACUUUAUUUUCGUCCUCGAAAAACUAUUGUCUAACACCUACGACCUACAACGGUUAAAAAACUGUUGUCUAAUAAAUUUAAUCAGACAACGGUCUCUUAACUGUGGUAUUGUGUAAUGAUGCACGUUAGACAACUGUUUUUAGAGCCGAUGUGUGAAGAAACUUCAGACAAUAUUCCGAGAAACCGUUGUUGUAAUGAGACAAGUGUUUUAUUUGUUGUGUUGUUUACGAAAAGAUCAGACAAGGGUUCCAUAGAGUGUUGUGUGACUGGGAAGCUAACAUACAAGUGUUUUUGUUAGCAUCGUAUCAUGGCCUUAUAGACAAGCCUUUAGCUAGUAAAACGUUGUCUGACUGAAUGACUUAUAAGAAAAUAAAUGUACAUAAAAGAGUGCAAACAUUCAAAAGUCCUAACCAAAGUUACAAAUAUAUAUUCAUUUUCUUAGUAGUCAUAGGCUUUUCUAGCAUUAGAUCAAGUAUUGAUCAAGGAAAUGCGAAUUUUUAACUCAUAAAAAUGAAAGUUUAUUAUACAACGGUUUUCUUCCCAUAAAUCGUUGUGUCAUUUUCAAUGAUACAACUUAGAUGCUUAUAAAAACCGUUGUGUGUUAGACACUACGGGACAAAAAAUACCUUUUUAUAAUAAGACAAAAUUUACAAUUAACAAGUAAUGUUAAAAAAACAUACAAAAUGAAUAUAAAAAAUUUAGAUUUUUUUUAUACAUGACUAAUAUUGUUAGUUCUCGACAUCCGUACGGUUAGAUCAUCGAAAAAAAUAUUUAAAAAUUAAUAUUAUGCUCAUCUUAUACAUAACAAAGAUUNNNNNNNNNNNNNNNNNNNNNNNNNNNNNNNNNNNNNNNNNNNNNNNNNNNNNNNNNNNNNNNNNNNNNNNNNNNNNNNNNNNNNNNNNNNNNNNNNNNNNNNNNNNNNNNNNNNNNNNNNNNNNNNNNNNNNNNNNNNNNNNNNNNNNNNNNNNNNNNNNNNNNNNNNNNNNNNNNNNNNNNNNNNNNNNNNNNNNNNNNNNNNNNNNNNNNNNNNNNNNNNNNNNNNNNNNNNNNNNNNNNNNNNNNNNNNNNNNNNNNNNNNNNNNNNNNNNNNNNNNNNNNNNNNNNNNNNNNNNNNNNNNNNNNNNNNNNNNNNNNNNNNNNNNNNNNNNNNNNNNNNNNNNNNNNNNNNNNNNNNNNNNNNNNNNNNNNNNNNNNNNNNNNNNNNNNNNNNNNNNNNNNNNNNNNNNNNNNNNNNNNNNNNNNNNNNNNNNNNNNNNNNNNNNNNNNNNNNNNNNNNNNNNNNNNNNNNNNNNNNNNNNNNNNNNNNNNNNNNNNNNNNNNNNNNNNNNNNNNNNNNNNNNNNNNNNNNNNNNNNNNNNNNNNNNNNNNNNNNNNNNNNNNNNNNNNNNNNNNNNNNNNNNNNNNNNNNNNNNNNNNNNNNNNNNNNNNNNNNNNNNNNNNNNNNNNNNNNNNNNNNNNNNNNNNNNNNNNNNNNNNNNNNNNNNNNNNNNNNNNNNNNNNNNNNNNNNNNNNNNNNNNNNNNNNNNNNNNNNNNNNNNNNNNNNNNNNNNNNNNNNNNNNNNNNNNNNNNNNNNNNNNNNNNNNNNNNNNNNNNNNNNNNNNNNNNNNNNNNNNNNNNNNNNNNNNNNNNNNNNNNNNNNNNNNNNNNNNNNNNNNNNNNNNNNNNNNNNNNNNNNNNNNNNNNNNNNNNNNNNNNNNNNNUUUUUUUAUACGUGACUAAUAUUGUUAGUUCUUGACAUCCGUACGGUUAGAUCAUUGAAAUAAAUAUUUAUGAAUUAAUACACAACUAAUUGAAUACAUAACAAAGAUUAUAUCUACUACUUUUUAAAUUGUAAACAUAAAACACAUACUAAUACAUGCGUCCGAAGUACAAAAUUGUCUCGGUUUUACACAUGAACAAUACAUAUUUGCAUAUAUACAUAACAUAAAUAUAUUUUUUUAAUACAAAGAGUGCAAAAACAAGAAUUAAUCAAGGAAAUGCGAAUUUUUAACUCAUAAAAAUUACCUUUUUAUAAUAAGAAAAAUUUUANACGAUUGACUAGUGUUGUUAAAAACCGUUGUCUGAUGCUGUUUUUGUUGUAGUGUUAUAUUAAAUUCUUGUGCUAAAACUUGUAUGGUUUGCCCCGCCCGCGGCUUCAAACAGCCAACAAGGUAAGCUAUUAUACUCAGGGGACCGAAAAAGGUAACAAAUGCAUAAACGAUUAGCUUUUCUUCUUUGCUGCAUAGUUUUUUUUUUUUUGUCAGGUUCUUUGCUGCAUAGUUAAUAACAAAUAACAUGAUCUCAAAAAAAAAAAAGAGGCGCGUACUAUGAAUGUAAAAAUAACAAUUUCAAUACUCUUUUUCACUAUAGAAAAACAAAAUUAUUGUGCUAGAUCUUUGCCCGUGCCUUGCACGGGCUUUAAAGCUAGUUUUUUAUUAAUAUGUGAAACUCCAAUAUAUAUUAUUAUACGAUAUAUUAUGAAAACACUAUGUUUUGUAAUGUUCAUCUUAUCCUACCAGAAAAAUUACAUCGCUAACAAAAUUAUAUCAAUUUUAUUUUAUAAACUCAAAUAAUUUAAUUUAUGAAACAACUCUAUGAGAUUCUUAUCAUGAGUUAGAAUUCAAAUAAAUAAAGAGUUCAUAUUGAUAAGUGGAAUUGAUGUGCAAGUAAGGGGUAUAAAAAAAUCUCAAAAUAACUCCAAAAAGCACAUGACAUGUUUGAUUUGAUAGAACUGGUACAUAAACAGGGGGACCAUUAUAUUUAUAAGCAAGUGACCAACAAUAGUUUACUACUGAUAUUUUGUGAUAUUUUUUGUGAUAUUUUUUGAGACCUUUAACAUUAUUCUGUGAAGUGGUAUACUACUGUUACUAGUUCUGAAACUUCAAACAAAGUAGGCGCAACAUUGUAAGAGUGAUUAAUAAAGUUGAGAAACAGUGUGUACAUUGAGCAGUAUGACAAUCAGGUUCAGCAUAUAAUACAAUCAGAUUCACAAUCAGGUUCACGAGAAACAUGCUGCAUUCCAAAAAGCCUUAUUAUCUUCUUCACUAAAUAACAAGGCAAAUACAGCAUAUAAAUACAAGUUAUAAGUACAAGUGUGGUAUUAGAUUCAUAACCCAGUUGAGGAGAAACAUGGCACACUUUGUAAGGCCUUCUCACCUUCUUCUCUUUGUUUUCUUUCUCUCAUCACUCGAAUCCAUUCUUGCAACAAGACAAGAGGGGGAAGCUCUUGUGAAGUGGAAGAAUAGCCUAGCCCCUUCUUCUUUUCUCCACUCUUGGUCACUCACCAAUCUCGAAAAUCUUUGUAAAUGGACUGGCAUUACUUGUAACUCUGCAGGUUCAGUCUCUGAGAUUAACCUUUGUGAGAAACAACUUGAUGGAAUGCUGUCCGAGUUCGGUUUCACUUCAUUUCCAAAUCUCAAGAAUCUCACCCUGGCAGACAACUUCUUCUCAGGUCCAAUACCACCAGCCAUUGAGAAUUUAACACAGCUUCAAUAUCUUGAUUUAAGCAUGAAUAGUCUUAAUGGUCCCAUUCCGUUCCAGGUUAGCCAUCUUCAGAGCUUGCUCAUCUUGAACCUGUCACAGAAUGCAUUGCAAGCUCCAAAUUGGUCCCAUUUCUCUCCCAUGCCUUUCUUGCGCAUCCUCGACCUUAGUUUUAAUAAUCUUGUGUCGAAAUUCCCAGAAUUUAUAUCCAAUUCUCAUAGCCUGACUCACCUUAACCUUUCAAAUAACAAGUUUACUGGUCAUCUUGUGCAUAAAUUUACCAAUCUACAAAAUCUUGAAACCCUCUACCUUCAGAUCAAUUCUUUUGAGGGGCCGUUUCCACCAGAUAUAGUCCAGCUUUCCAAAUUAAAACGACUCUCCCUGUCAUGUAACAAAUUUUCAGGUUCAAUUCCCAAUGACGUAAGGUUGCUUUUUGGUCUUGAAUCCCUAAAUUUAGGCAACAAUUCCUUUGAAGGACCGCUUCCACCAGAUAUAUUCAAGCUUUCAAAGUUAAAACGACUUGUUCUUUGGAGUAAUAAGUUUUCAGGUUCUGUUUCCAAUGAUAUAGGUUUGCUUUCUGAGCUUGAAACCCUCCAUCUUUACUCUAAUUUUUUUGAGGGGCCACUUCCGCCAAAUUUAUUCAAGCUCUCCAAACUAAAAGAUCUCACCCUGUCAAGUAACAAAUUUUCAGGUUCAAUUCACAAUGAUAUAAGGUUACUUUGUGAUCUUGAAGACCUAUAUUUAGCUAACAAUUCCUUUGAAGGACCGCUUCCACCAGAUAUAUUCAAGCUUUCAAGAUUAAAACGUCUUUUUCUUUAGAGUAAUAAGUUUUCAGGUUCUGUUUCCAAUGAUAUAGGUUUGCUUUCUGAGCUUGAAAGCCUCGAUCUUAACUCCAAUUUUUUUGAGGGGCCGCUUCCGCCAAAUGUAUUCAAGCUCUCCAAACUAAAGAUUCUUUCCCUUUAUGAGAAUAACUUUUCAGGUUUUAUUUCUAAGGAUAUAGGUUUGCUUUCUGGACUUGAAACCCUCUAUCUUGACUCUAAUUUUUUUGAGGGUCCGCUUCCCCCACAUAUAUUUAGGCUGUCCAAAUUAAGAGAUCUGGACCUCUCAUACAGUAGAAAUUUAUUUGAAGGAAGUAUUCCUAUUGGACUGGGACUCUUGACUAACCUCAGGUACUUAGAUCUAUAUUCCAAUAAUCUCAGUGGCUAUAUUCCAUCUGACAUUGGAAACCUGAAGCUACUAGAAGGUCUUAUUCUCGGUUCUAAUAAAUUGACUGGACCAGUUUCAAAGAUCAUUUCUAAUCUCACAAAUCUUAUAUAUCUUGAUGUAAGUGAUAAUAGUCUUAGUGGAAAUAUUCAGAGUGACUUGUGGAAAUAUAACGAUCAUCCAACUUUGGAAUACAUCAAUUUAAGUGGGAACCAUUUUACGGGUAUAGUUUUUCUCUAUAGAUCUUUUCCUUUUCUCAUAUGUAACUAAGCUGGUAAUCUGAUUAUUGCAGUUUUACCAAAGUUUCAACAAUCUUGACAGGUGAGCUUCCAACAACAAUUUGCAAUGUCACUUCCCUUUCGGUUCUUGAUUUGUCAAAUAAUGCGUUAAGUGGUGCACUUCCAAACUGUUUCGGGAAUCUUGCUGAUGGAUUGCUUUACAUUAAUCUUGCUAAUAAUCAGUUUCGAGGAACAAUACCAACUACUUUCUCCAGGAGUUGUCAGCUGACAUAUCUAAACAUGGAUAAUAAUGAGUUUGAAGGAUUGGUGCCCCCAUCUUUGGCGAACUGCAAGCACUUGAAAAUUCUUGAUAUUGGCAAUAAUAAAAUAGGUGGUACAUUCCCGUCAUGGCUUUAUGUACUUGGAGAGCUAGAAGUCCUUGUCUUGCGAUCAAAUAAACUCUAUGGUACAAUAAGUGGAAGGAGCAUAGAAGAUCCCUUCCCCAAGUUGCGGAUUGUGGAUCUGUCCGAUAAUCAAUUCACAGGCCAUUUGCCAAUUCAAUACUUUAAGAAUAUGAAAUCAACUGAUAAUAUGUAUAAUUAUCUGAAUUCCACAGGAGGAAUAUAUUUCACUUAUGAAGCAGCAGUCUCAUUAACUGUGAAGGGAACAGAGUAUGAAGUGACAAAUAACCUUCAUAUUUACACAGCUAUUGAUCUGUCGUGCAACAAAUUUCAGGGUGAAAUUCCAAAAAUUAUUGGAGAGCUUAGAUGGCUUGCAUUGCUCAAUUUAUCGCAUAAUAGUCUGACAGGACAUAUCCCAUCAUUUCUGAGAAAUAUGAAAGAACUCCAAUCUUUAGAUUUGUCCUCAAAUCAACUGACAGGGGCCAUUCCACCUCAGUUAACUGCAUUGACAUUUCUAAAGGUCUUAAAUCUCUCGAAAAACCAUCUCAGUGGAGAGAUUCCUCAGGAAGGACAGUUCAGCACAUUCAACAAUGAUUCUUAUCUAGGAAACUCCGCGUUAUGUGGAUUACGUCUGACAAAGAAAUGUGCAAACACAGCAGGGAUUCCUCAGAAAGGACAGUUCAGCACAUUCAACAAUGAUUCUUAUAUAGGAAACUCCGCGUUAUGUGGAUCACCUUUGACGAAGAGAUGUGCAAACACAGCAUCACCUCCACAACAAGUCGGAAAUGGUGAUGAAGAUGAUGCGGGAGAUGAAUUGAGAUGGGAAGCAAUCGUGAUGGGAUAUGGAUGUGGACUGAUAUGUGGAUUGUCAUCUGCGUACAUUGUUCUCAAACUAGGAAGGCCUUGGUGGGUUGUGAGAUAUGUCGAAGUACUGCAACUGAAGUUGAUGAAAAGAUAUGCUUGAAGAAUGGAACUGGCCGAUCAAAACGAACUCGAAAGCAGUUGUCCUUGUGGACAUUUCUGAACCAGUAGUGUACUAGCUGCAUAAGUAUUUGGUAUUAUGUAAUAAUCCACAUAUUCAAUAUCACACUCUUCCUGUGAGGAAACAAAUAUGGAGAAACAUUUCUAUUUACAAAACUUUUACCAUUAUACACUCUUAUAGUACUGGUUAAUAGUUUGUUGUUCAGCCUAGUCCUAAACUGAAAUUAUCAGUUCUAUGUGAGUAUGCUUUCAAAUAAGAAUUAGGUGAUCUGCCUAGUCCAAAACUACUCUAAUACUAUAUCGCUGGUAGUCUUUCAGUUCAUCCUAUUGUAUACAAUAGUUUCUUCCUUUGACACAAAAAUGUCUGCAGUCAGUGUCACCACCACAGGAAGUCGAAAAUGGUGAUGAAGAUUGAUUUGCGGAUUGUCUUAUGGGUACAUUUUUUUCAAAAAAGGAAGGCCUUGGUGGUUUGUGAGAUACAUCGAAGUGCUGCAACUUAAGUUGAUGUUACCAAGAAUGAAAAAUAUUGUUCGACCAAGAUCAACAACUUGAAAAUGUGUUCUGAAUCUGUAAUAAUAUUAAAAUAUUAAAAUAUUAUUCAUUUAACAAUAUCGUCCAAUCAAUUUAAUUGAUUAUCAUUUAAUCAAUAUAUAUAGAUGGAUAUUAAUUGUCUUCCCUAGCUCCAACCAAUGAUGAAAUAACCUCCCUAUAAAUCUAUUGAGUCAAAAUUGCAAACAACACUUUCAAAACAUAGGUGCCGAAUAGUCCUUAUUUUAAAUUAAUCAGAAUUGAAUAUUUGAUGGCGCUAAAAAAAUCUGUUGAAAUUAGCAGUUUAUAAGGCAUAUAAAUAGAAGUGUGCGUUACUUUAAGGAUUCAUGAUCAAGUUGAGGAGAAAUAUGCACAGUAUAUAAAGCCUCAUCAUCUUUUUCUCUUUGUUUUCUUUCUCUCAUUACUCCCAUCCAUUCUUACAACACUAGCUGAAACAAGACGAGAGGGAGAAGCUCUUGUGAAAUGGAAGAAUAGCCUAGCCCCUUCUUCUUUUCUCGACUCUUGGUCCCUCACCAAUCUCGAUAAUCUUUGUAACUGGACUGGCAUUACUUGUAACUCUGCAGGUUCAGUCUCUAAGAUUAACCUUUUUGAGAAACAACUUGAUGGAAUGUUGUCCGAGUUUGGUUUCACCUCAUUUCCACAUCUCAACAAUCUCACCCUUGCAGACAACUACUUCUCGGGUCCGAUACCACCAGCCAUUGAGAAUUUAACACAGCUUCAAUUUCUUGAUUUGAGCAAUAAUUAUCUAGAUGGUCCCAUUCCUUUCCAGGUUAGCAAUCUUCAGAGGUUGCUCAUCUUAAACCUGUCACAGAAUGCAUUGCAAGCUCCAAAUUGGUCCCAUUUCUCUCCCAUGCCUUUUUUGCGCAUCCUCAACCUCAGUAGCAAUCCUCUAGCGUCGAAAUUCCCAAAUUUCAUAUCCAAUUCUCAUGGCCUGACUCACCUUAGCCUUAAUUAUAACGAGUUUACUGGUGAUUUAGUACGUGAAUCAAUAUUUGCCAAUCUGCAUAAUCUUGAAGUCCUCGGUCUUGUUGACAAUUCUUUUGAGGGGCCAUUUCCCCCGGAUAUAUUCAGGCUCUCCAAAUUAAAACGUCUCUCCCUGUCAGGUAACAAAUUUUCAGGUUCAGUUCCCAAUGACAUAAGGUUGCUUUGUGAUCUUCAAUCUCUAUAUUUAGCUAACAAUUCCUUUGAAGGACCGCUUCCACCAAAUAUAUUCAAGCUUGCAAAAUUAAAAGAUCUUGCUCUUUGGGGUAAUAAGUUUUCAGGUUCUGUUUCCAAUGAUAUAGGUUUGCUUUCUGUGCUUGAAAUUCUCAAUAUUCACUCUAAUUUUUUUGAGGGGCCCCUUCCGCCAAAUAUAUUCAAGCUCUCCAAAAUAAGGUUUCUUUACCUCGGGGGUAAUAACUUUUCUGGUUCCGUUUCCAAUGAGAUAGGUUUGCUUUCUGAGCUUGAAUCCCUAUAUCUUGGUUCUAAUGUUUUUGAGGGGCCGCUUCCACCAAAUAUAUUCAAGCUUUCCAAAUUAAAAUGGCUUGACCUCGCAGACAAUAGAAAUUUAUUUGAAGGAAGUAUUCCUAUUGGACUGGGACUCUUGACUAACCUCAGCUACUUAGAUCUAAGUUCCAGUAAUCUCAGUGGCUAUAUUCCAUCUGUCAUUGCAAACCUGAAGCUACUAGUAUUUCUUGAUCUCAGUUCUAAUCAAUUGACUGGACCACUUUCGAAGAUCGUUUCUAAUCUCACAAAUCUUAUACUUCUUGGUGUGGAUUAUAAUAGUCUUAGUGGAAAUAUUCAGAGUGAUUUGUGGAAGAACUCUAUAUCCUUACGUUACAUUGAUUUUGAAAAUAAUUAUUUUUCUGGAAACAUUCCUGAGGAAUAUAACGAUCAUCCAACUUUGGAAUACAUCAAUUUAAGUGGGAACUAUUUUACAGGUAUAUUUUCUUAAUAUAUCUUUUCCUUUUGUCAUAUAUAUGUAACUAAGCUAGUAAUCUGAUUAUUGCAGUUUUACCAAAGUUUCAACAAUCUUGACAGGUGAGCUUCCAACAACAAUUUGCAAUGUCACCUCCCUUUCGGUUCUUGUUUUGUCAAAUAAUAAAUUAAGUGGUGCACUUCCAAACUGUUUCGGGAAUCUUGCUGAUGGAUUGCUUUACAUUAAUCUUGCUAAUAAUCAGUUUCAAGGAACAAUACCAACUACUUUCUCCAGGAGUUGUCAGUUGACAUAUCUAAACAUGGUUAAUAAUGAGUUUGAAGGAUUGAUGCCCCCAUCUUUAGCGAACUGUAAGCACUUGAAAAUUCUUGAUAUAGGCAAUAAUAAAAUAGGUGGUACAUUUCCGUCAUGGCUUUAUGCACUUGGAGAGCUAGAAGUUCUUGUCUUGCGAUCAAAUAAACUCUAUGGUACAAUAAGUGGAAGGAGCAUAGAAGAUCCCUUCCCCAAGUUGCGGAUUGUGGAUCUGUCCAACAAUCAAUUCACAGGCCAUUUGCCAAUUCAAUACUUUAAGAAUAUGAAAUCAAAUGAUAAUUUGUAUCGUUAUCUGAAUUCCACAGGAGAAAUAUAUAUCUCUUAUGAAGCAGCAGUCUCAUUAACUGUGAAGGGAACAGAGUAUGAAGUAGCAAAGAACCUUCAUAUUUACACAGCCAUUGAUCUGUCGUGCAACAAAUUUCAGGGAGAAAUUCCAAAGGUUACCGGAGAGCUUAGAUGGCUUGCAUUGCUCAAUUUAUCUCAUAAUAGUCUAACAGGACCUAUCCCAUCAUUGCUGGGAAAUAUGAAAGAACUCCAAUCUUUAGAUUUGUCCUCAAAUCAACUGACAGGGGCUAUUCCACCUCAGCUAACUGCAUUGACAUUUCUAGAGGUCUUGAACCUCUCGGGAAACCAUCUUAGUGGAGAGAUUCCUCAGAAAGGACAGUUCAGCACAUUCAACAAUGAUUCUUAUCUAGGAAACUCCGCGUUAUGUGGAUCACCUUUGACGAAGAAAUGUGGAAACACUGUAUCACCUCCACAGGAAGUCGGAAAUGGUGAUGAAGAUGAUGCGGGUGAUGAAUGGACAUGGGAAGCAAUCGUGAUGGGAUAUGGAUGUGGACUGAUAUGUGGAUUGUCAUCUGCGUACAUUGUUCUCAAACUAGGAAAGCCUUGGUGGUUUGUGAGAUAUAUCGAAGUACUGCAACAGAAGUUGAUGAAAAGAUAUGCAUGAAGAAAGGUACUGGUAGAUCAAGAUGAAAAGAUAUGAAGAAGUAUUUGGUAUUAUGUAAUAAUCCGUUUGGUCGGGACUCAAAAUGAUUUCUCUUGCUUCAGGGGUAUUAAUAUUAACCUUGCUAUCUUGUUCAAUGUUAAUGCAAAUUAAAAAGAAUAUAAAAGCAAAAAAUUUGCAUCAAACACCUGUUGUACCAACAUGCAUCCAUUAAUUUGCUUUCAUCUAUUAAGUAACAAUUUAAGAGCGCUUCCACUCUGUUUAAGCAUGGAGAUUACACAAAGAAGGCAAGUCCAUGGAUUAACACGUAGUCCACAUCUAUGCUACGAACAAUUCACAUUGAUCUUAUAUCUGUUCAACAGUCUCCCGAAGAUAGGCCAUAAAUGUCAUCUGUGGCUCUUAUGUUUGUCAGUAAAGGAGAAUCUCUGAUGCCUAUAACCUGGUUUUCUUACAAGAUGCCCAGGUUAUCAUGGCCAUGCAGAAAAAUGCCCAAAAAUGAAUAGCUCAGGUCUCCCCAAGCCUUCCAGGACUCAUUCCAAGUCUUCGGAGGACCACUGCCUCCCCCUUUCAAAGAUGUGAUUGUAGCUCGAAAGUGAUAUAAAUUAUUUUCCCCACAUUAAAAAUAAAAAAUCAGAUUAAAUUAAUCAAUAAUAAAUUAAGGAUGAAAUCCAAAUUAAUCCUAAAUUUUGAUAAUAUAUAAAAAUUAUAAUUAUAAAUUAUAUAACCAAAUCAGAAUUGAAUUAACUUACUUGGCACUAGAAUUGCUAAAGACAGUAUAAUAAUUUAAUUGAUGAAAAGUCAAAGUCUUCUAAUAAAUCCAUAAAGAAUAUGAUAAUAUGAAAAUUAUAAUUGAAAAAUCAAAAUCAAUAGUGUAUUGGAAUAGUGUUCACACACUUAUAUAUCAAAAUUUGUGGUCCAAAAACUAUAGCACAAUAUCCUAAAUACAUCACAUUAAAUAAUAGCACAAAAAUAUUCAAUAAAUAAUUGAUUUCAUUCAUAAAUUUGUUAUUUUAAAAACUAAUAAUUUGGUUGAUGUUAACCUAUAUUUUAUAUAUAAUUUCGUCUUAUUUUAUUUUACUAGAAACAAUAUUUUUAUAAUAUUUAUUACAUUAAAUAUAUUAAAAGAUAUAAUUUUAUUAAAAAAAUUGAAUAAAAUUAAAAGGAUAAGUCUCGGCCUCUCCAAGUCUACAAGACUCAUUUCAAGUCCACCGAGGGCCUCAACCAUUGAGAGAUGUGAAAGUAGCUUGAGAGUGAUAUAAAUUAAUUAAAUUAGUUAAUAAUGAAUCAAGACUAAUCAUGAAUUAUGAUAAUAAUUAAAUAAAUUAUAAAAUUAAAUUAUACAAAUAACACUAAACCUUAGUUACUUUAUUGGUAAAAUAAAUAUAAUAUAAUAAUUAAAUUGAUGAAAAAUCAAAAUCAUCUAAUAAAUUCACAAAAAAUAUAUGAUCAUUAGUAUAUUAUAUUAGUAUCCACACACUUAUAUUUCAAAUCUAUCCUCCAAAAUUAUCAUCUCGAUAAACUAGCCGCAUAAAAUAAAAAUUUAACGAUAUUAGAUAUUUAGCUAUUUUCAUUAUAUAAUUUUUCCACACUAAAUAACAAAAUAUCUUUAUCAAAUUAUUAUUUAUGAAUUAAAUAUUCAAGUUAUAAUUCCAGCAUGCAGCGUAUAAAUAGAAGUGUGCAGUAUGAUAUCAGAUUCAUAACCCAGUUGAGGAGAAACAUGGCACACUCUGUAAAGCCUUCUCACCUUCUUCUCUUUGUUUUCUAUCUCUCUUAACUUGAAUACAUUCUUGCAACAACACAAGAGGGAGAAGCUCUUGUGAAAUGGAAGAAUAGCCUAGCCCCUUCUUCUUUUCUCGACUCUUGGUCACUCACCAAUCUCGAUGAUCUUUGUAACUGGACUGGCAUCACUUGUAACUCUGCAGGUUCAGUCUCUCAGAUCAACCUUUUCGAAAAACAACUUGAUGGAAUGCUGUCCGAGUUUGGUUUCACUUCAUUUCCGAAUCUCAACAAUCUCACCCUCGCAUACAACUUCUUCUCGGGUCCGAUACCACCGGCCAUUGAGAAUUUAACACAGCUUCGGUAUCUUGAUUUAAGCUUUAAUUCUCUCCAUGGUCCCAUUCCGUUCCAGGUUAGCCAUCUUCAGAGCUUGCUCAUCUUAAACCUGUCACAGAAUGCAUUGCAAGCUCCAAAUUGGUCCCAUUUCUCUCCCAUGCCUUUUUUGCGCAUCCUCAACCUCAUUAGCAAUCCUCUUGCGUCGAAAUUCCCAAAUUUUAUAUCCAACUCUCAUAGCCUGACUCACCUUAGCCUUAAUUUUAAUGAGUUUACUGGUGAUUUAGUACGUGAAUCAGUAUUUGCCAAUCUGCAUAAUCUUGAAUUGCUCAGUCUCGUUGAAAAUUCUUUUGAGGGGCCAUUUCCGCCGGAUAUAUUCAGGCUUUCCAAAUUAAAACAUCUUCACCUGUCAAGUAACAAAUUUUCAGGUUCAAUUUCCAAUGACAUAAGGUUGCUUUGUGAUCUUGAAUCCCUAUAUUUAGGCAACAAUUCCUUCGAAGGACCCCUUCCAUCAAAUAUAUUCAAGCUUUCAAAAUUAAAAAAUCUUGUUAUUGGGAGUAAUAAGUUUUCGGGUUCUGUUUCCAACGAUAUAGGUUUGCUUUCUGAGCUUGAAAGCCUCUAUCUUGACUCCAAUUUUUUUGAGGGGCCGCUUCCGUCAAAUAUAUUCAAGCUCUCCAAAUUAAGGAUUCUUUCCCUUUGGCAUAAUAACUUUUCAGGUUCUAUUUCUAAGGAUAUAGGUUUGCUUUCUGGACUUGAAACCCUCUUUCUUGACUCUAAUUUUUUUGAGGGUCCGCUUCCCCCGCAUAUAUUUAGGCUCUCCAAAUUAAGAGAUCUGGGUCUCUCAGACAAUAGAAAUUUAUUUGAAGGGAGUAUUCCUAUUGGACUGGGACUCUUGACUAACCUCAGGUACUUAGAUCUAUAUUCCAAUAAUCUCGGUGGUUAUAUUCCAUCUGACAUUGGAAACCUGAAGCUACUAGAAGUUCUUGAUCUCAGUUCUAAUCAAUUGACUGGACCGCUUUUAAAGAUUGUUUCUAAUCUCACAAAUCUUAUGUUUCUUGAUGUAAGACAAAAUAGUCUUAGUGGAAAUAUUCAGAGUGACUUGUGGAAAUAUAACGAUCAUCCAACUUUGGAAUUCAUCAAUUUAAGUGGGAACCAUUUUACGGGUAUAGUUUUUCUCUAUAAAUCUUUUCUUUUGUCAUAUGUAACUAAGCUAGUAAUCUGAUUAAUUGCAGUUUUACCAAAGUUUCAACAAUCUUGACAGGUGAGCUUCCAACAACAAUUUGCAAUGUCACUUCCCUUUCAAUUCUUGAUUUGUCAAAUAAUGGAUUAAGUGGUGCACUUCCAAACUGUUUCGGGAAUCUUGCAGAUAGAUUGCUUUUCAUUAAUCUUGCUAAUAAUCAGUUUCGAGGAACAAUACCAACUACUUUAUCCAAAAGUUGUCAGCUGACAUGUCUAAACAUGGAUAAUAAUGAGUUUGAAGGAUUGUUACCCCCAUCUUUGGCGAACUGUAAGCACUUGAGAAUUCUUGAUAUUGGCAACAAUAAAAUAGGUGGCACAUUUCCGUCAUUGCUUUAUGUACUUGGAGAGCUAGAAGUCCUUGUCUUGCGAUCAAAUAAACUCUGCGGUACAAUAAGUGCAAGGAGCAUAGAAGAUCCCUUCCCCAAGUUGCGGAUUGUGGAUCUGUCCAACAAUCAGUUCACAGGCCAUUUGCCAAUUCAAUACUUCAAGAAUAUGAAAUCAACUGAUAAUUUGUAUUGGUAUCGUAUUUCCACAGGAGAAUUAUUUUUCCAAUAUGAAGCAGCAGUCUCAUUAACUGUGAAGGGAAGAGAGUAUGAAGUAGCAAAUAACCUUCAUAUUUACACAGCCAUUGAUCUGUCGUGCAACAAAUUUCAGGGAGAAAUUCCAACGGUUACUGGAGAGCUUAGAUGGCUUGCAUUGCUCAAUUUAUCUCAUAAUAGUCUAACAGGACCUAUCCCAUCAUUGCUGAGAAAUAUGAAAGAACUCCAAUCUUUAGAUUUGUCCUCGAAUCAACUGACAGGGGCUAUUCCACCUCAGUUAUCUGCAUUGACAUUUCUAGAGGUCUUGAACCUCUCGAAAAACCAUCUUAGUGGAGAGAUUCCUCAGAAAGGACAGUUCAGCACAUUCAACAAUGAUUCUUAUCUAGGAAACUCCGCGUUAUGUGGAUCACCUUUGACGAAGAAAUGUGCAAACACAGCAUCACCUCCACAAGAAGUCGGAAAUGGUGAUGAAGAUGAUGCUGGAGAUGAAUUGACAUGGGAAGCAAUCGUGAUGGGAUAUGGAUGUGGACUGAUAUGUGGUUUGUGAGAUAUAUCGAAGUACUGCAACAGAAGUUGAUGAAAAGAUAUGCAUGAAGAAUGAUACUGGCCGAUCAAGACGAACUUGAAAGUUUGUUGUCCUUGUGGACAUUUCAGCUGAACCAGUAGUGUACUAUUCUCUUUGUGACUGCAUAAGUAUUUUGUAUUGUGUAAUGUUCUGUUUGGGCUUAAAUCAUAAUGAUUUUUCUUGCUUCAGGGGUAUUAAUAUAAAACCGUUUGGUCGGGACUCAUAAUGAUUUCUCUUGCUUCAGGGGUAUUAAUAUCAUCCUUGCUAUCUUGAACAAUGAUAAUGCAAAUUAAAAAGAAUGAAAAAACAAAAAUAUUGCAUCAAACACCUGUUGUACCAAGAUCCAUUAAUUUGCUUUCAUCUCUUACGCAACAAUUUAACAGCACUUCCACACUGUUUGAAAGAUUAUCAUAAAUUCGAGUUUUCCUCUCCAGCACCAAAUCCAAAUUAAUAUACAAUGCCACACAUUCCAGUCUCAGCUUCAGCUCCCAGGGUAGCAUUCAUUUAGCCAAGCACGACAGUGGCCGCUUACGUGCCUAACAAUAACAGUUGGGGAUUUGAGUGAACUUGCCUUGGUCCUGCCUUCAAAUGUCUGACAAUAACAGUUGGAUAUGUCGACAAAAAAAUUGUUCCUCACAGAGGAGCUAAUAGCAAUUGACUUCGAAUAAAUCCGACAGUUCUUUUCAUCCAGUUAUUAUUUCAGCAAUAUGUCUAGCAAAUAUGUAGUGCACUGGACACCAUACUACCAACACAAGUAGUAAAAGGAGAGACCAUUGUUUCGAAUGCUCGGAAAUUUGAACAGGGUUUUUUCCACCUGCCCCCUGACUUUUUACACAAACAGGUCAAGAAAAACAGAAGCCGGCUUCUGGAAAAAUGAAGCACUACUUUAUGAGUGACCAUUGUUUUGAAUGCUCGGAGAUGUGAAGUGGAUUUUUUCAGCCUGCCCCCAGACUUCUUUUUGUAAAACUAGAUUUCUUUAGCUCCGGUGUCUUAGUAUUGGAGAUUAUGAGUGACUGUAGAAAAGACUUUAAUAUGAGUGUGAGAUAUACCCCGGUGGAAACAGGACCUUGAUCCAAAGGGUCACGGGUUCAAACCUCACCUGAUCGGGUUCCACUCCACGCUCGGUCCACAUCUAUGCUGGAUUCAUAUUAAAAUGAUAAUGGAACACGGGCGUCCAUGGUUGGGGAUAUCAUAUUAAAAAGAUUAGCUGGGCACAGAUGAAUAUUUAUAUGGAUUUUAAAAACAAACUAUGACUUAAUAUAAGAAAAAUCAUUAUUUUUUAUUUUUCCGACUAAACAUUUGUUAGCCUUCUCUGGUGCCCAUCCAAAUCAUUCAGCGGGUUCUACUUUCAGCUCAUCACAAGAACAUCAUUCUGCAGGUACUUUCUUAUAUUGUUUGCCAGCGGUGACCGAGCCAGAAACUUUUUCGAGGAGGGGCCGGAAUAGAAAUAUUAUUUAAAUUUGAAAAUAUUAUAUAUCAUAUUGAAAAUAGUAUUAGUAACAAAAAUCCAUUUAUUUUAGGUUUCUAUGAGAAAACUCAGUCGUUUCAUUAAGAAAAUUUAAUUACUUAAUUACCAAACGGUUGAGGAUGAAGAUUUGAAAGAACGAGUUGCAACGGGGAGACUCAUAGACGCGACAGAAAAAAAUAGAAAAAGAUAUUGUUCAACAACCGAGUCUAUAUUAUUAAAAUUUAUGAUAAAUGAGAUAAUUUUAUUUUAUAAACUAACUAAAUACAUAUAAUAUAGUAUUAUAUGUAAUGCUACGUAAAAUUGGAUACAAGAUUUUGCACAAAAUGAUAUGAUAACUAAAGUGAAAUAUUUUAAUUGGUGCUAUUAAUGUAUAUAUACAUUUAUUACAAUUAAAACUUAACACAUAUUAUUAAUUUUGUGAAUAAAAUAUUUUUCUUAAUAAUAUAUAAGUAAAAAAAAUAAAAAUCUAGGAGGGGCUCAGGCCCCCUCUGGACCCCUCUAGCUCCGUCUGUAUACACCUAUCAUAUUAUUGACAGGUGGCUCUCUCAUAUUGCUCACAGGCGAACUCCUGCAUAUACUUUGUGAACCAAUCAUGACAAAAAUAUCAUCAUCCAAUCAAUUCGAUUAAUUAUUCUUUAAAUCAGUACAAAUAUUGUUAAAUAUAUGGAUGAUUAUCGUGUUUCCGCGAACCAAUCAUGAAAUGAAAUUACCUCUGUAUAAAUCCAUCGGAAAUAAGACAAUUAAUGGGGCCGUUUGGGCAAGCUUAAAAGAAGUGACUUCUUGCUUAAACUAGAGAAGUGGAGCAGAAGUGAGAAGUAAAUAAGUUAUUAAAGUGUUUGGAAAAGAAGCAGAAGCUGUGAGACAAAAGCUAGCAUUCUCAGCUUUUUAAAAGUGACUUCUUUACACAAACGGGUAAAAAAAGCAGAAGCCAGAAGCAGCUUCUGCUUCCGUUAAACAAACAGGCCCAAUAUCUCAAUCGAAUACACCCCGUGAGUUGUCAAACUCCUCGAAACGUAUUAAUCACUUUAGAAAUUUGUUCCACUGGCGCCAUUCAGUUCCAGAGUUGGUGGUAGGGGCCGUGCUUCUUGUGUUUCUUCUUUUCAUUAUUGACAUUGUCAUCUAGGUCCUUGCUUCUGGGCUUUGGAGAAGUAAACAAUGGAUCUAUUAGUCUUCCAUAUCGCUGAUACGCGCUAACGCGCAUUAUAGUGGAUUGAUCUUUAUUAGUGAUUUCUGUGGAGAUGCAUAAUCAUUAUAAGCUCCAAUAUAAAAUAAACCUAAUUUAAAGUUAGUAUGGGCAUUUGUGUUGAUAAUUUACGCAAUGUUAACAGGGAUUGCUCCCAAGUCUUGGACGGAUUCUUUCCAAGUCUUCUGAGGACCUAUUUGCACACUAAUUUGUCGCCAACUAAAAAUUCAACGAUAUUGCUAGCUCCCUCUACUAAUUUUUUGCGGGACGUUUUUUACUUUUAACACAUAUCUUUAGAUAGAAUUAGUAUUGUAAAAAGCGGGAAUCAGACUUAAUCGGUGAAGUCACAGAACAACGAUUAAUCGAUGAUUAAUUGGAUUGAUUGGGUAUCAAUCGGAUGAUUAAUGAAAUAAUCGGAUAUUUAAUCCGUUCGACGAGUUACGGAACAGGGAUUAAUCGUGAUUAAUCACCGACUUUUAGAACAGAGGAUAGGAUAAUAAAAUUAUUAUUUUUGAUUAUUUUUUUUGUGAAUAAAAAUUUUGAUUAUAUAUUUUUAUUAAAAAAGAAUUUAAAAUAAUAUUUUUAACUAACCGGUCCAAACAGCUAAAAGUGUGUGCCCAAGCGUCAUAUAAAAACGGAGGGAGCGAGCAUGUGCUGACUAACGGUUCAACUAACAGUUUACAAGUACUCCAUCUGUCCCAUUUAGUCCUAUUUAAUUAUAUACGUUUUUUUUUAACUGUUUGACACGCACUUCAAUGCUCUUCUAAAAUAUGGUUCUAUAACUUAUUUUUAAAAUUUUCUUUUUCUGAAUAAAAAUAUAACAUUCAAACUUUUAUUCAGAAAAAAAUAUCGUAAAAAUAAGUUAUAGAAUUAUAUUUUAUAAGAGCAUUAAAGUCCAUGUCGCGUCCCCGUCUUCUGAUGUAUAAAUUUGCGCAAUGUUAACGGGGAUUGCUCAUUUGCUCUCAAGUCUUGGACGGACCAAGUCUUCUAGGACCCAUCUGCACACUAAUUUGUCUGCCAACUAAAAAAUCAACGAUAUUGCUGCCUCUGCUAUUUUUUACCAGGACGUUUUUUACUUUUAACACAUGUUUAGAUAGGAUAAUAAAUAUUAUUAUUAUUGAUUAAUUUUUUUGUGAAUAAAAAUUUUGAAUAUAUAUUUUUAUCAAAAAAAGAAAAUUUUAAAAAUAAUAUUUUUAAGGGAAAUUAUUAAUGGUACUAUUGUGCUACUGGCUUUUCUAAAUGGUACUAUUUUGGUGUUUUCGACUUACAUGCAUUAUCACUUCCAUUAACGAUACUACCAUUCCGUCCCUCAAAACGUUAAAACCAUUAGUUGACCGUAUUUAUUUUGUAUUUUCCUUGUAAAAAAAACAAAAGAAUACAACUAAUAUUUGUAUUUUUUGUUUGUGUUCAAAUCGUCGAGAUAUGGAAGAGGUUAUCAGAAUUUUAGAAUUGAUUCGAUGUCCUUCAGAAAGUCAGGGGGAAACGGAAUGAGAUACGAGUUUUGAACAAGAAUCCAGUUUAGUUGUUGUUUAUCUUGAAAAACAGAUUUGGAAGUCAUAUAUUUUCAGCCUUUGGCUUCAUGUAUUUCUGUCUCAUCAUUCCCAGAUACUUGCUGAGGUUUAUAGUCACUGUUUAUUAAAUGUUGUCGUACAUUUUCCUGUAUUAUGCACCCAUGUGGCGCCUGUGUUUUGCAUGUCAUGCACAAUUUGCUCAACUACAUACAGGUCACAGGAUGAGUGCAUGUGCCAAAGGGAUUAGUGCAUUGAUCUGUGUAGUGUGAGGACACUGUGAUACAAGGCACAAUUUCUCAGAUUUCUUCUGUCAACACCACUCCCAUCCAUAGCUCCCACCUUUUCUCUCUCAAUCUCAUGUUUCUCUCUUUCUCUCGCAGCUCCGCCGCCACCACUACAUCAGUCUUCAAGAACUCAAGAAAAAAUAUGGAUAUCAGUUAUAUUUUUUGUGUUUUUUAAAGAAGUAUAUGAAAUAAAUAUAGUCAACUAAUGUUUUUAACGUUUUGAUGGACCGAAUGGUAGUAUCAUUAACGGAUCAUAAACUGAGUGGUACCACUUGUAAGUAAAAACCAGUGUUGUAAAAAGCGGGAAUCGGAUUUAAUCGGUGAAGUCACGGAACAAAGAUUAAUCGGAGAUUAAUCGGACUAAUCGGUGAUUAAUCGGAUAUUUAAUCAGUUCGGCGAGCUACGGAACAGGGAUUAAUCGGUCGUGAUUAAUCACCGACUUUUAGAACAGAGGUAAAAACACGAAAUGGUAUUAUUCAUAAAAGCCAAUACCACGAUGGUACCAUUAAUAAUUUCCCUAUUUUUAAUUACCGAGUCCAAAUAUUUAAACGUGUGUGCCCAAAAUUAAAGCCGCAUAUAAAAAAACGGAGGGAGCAUGUACUAACCGUUUCCAUAACAGUUUACAAGUAUAAGUUAUACUCCCUCUCAAUUUUUUUAUUUUUUUAUAUGACGUUUUGAUCUUGGGCACACAUUAUUAAGUGUUUUGACCGGAUAGUUAAAAAUAUUAUUAUUUAAAUUUUCUUUUCUGAAUAAAAAUAUAUAACCAAAAAUUUUAUUCACAAAAAUUUUUAGUGAUUUUUUCGUGAAUACCUAAGGCCAAUUUUUCAAAUAUUUUGUAAAAAUACCAAUUUUUUGAAAAUAUUUGCAAAGAUAAUGUAUUCAACCACAUGCAACCAUACUUAUAACCAGAUGUAACCAUAAUUGCAACCUCUGCGGGACCAAUUAACUGAAUUUGUAUUUGGUUGCACUAGUUAGUAUUUUCUUAAAGUUAGUAUUUUUGUAAAUAUUUUUAAAAAAAAGUAAAAUCGCAAAAAAAAAAAUCGAAAAAAUGGUUUGAUAAAUUUCUAAAUAUUUAAUCACAGAACAAUAACUUUUACAAUCCGAUCAACUCAUUUAAAAAUGUGUGUCAAAAGUAAAAAUGUCAUAUAUAUAUAUAUCAUAUAAAUGUCAUAUAAAUUUAAAACAAAGGGAUNCAUAUAAAUGUCAUAUAAAUUUAAAACAAAGGGAUAUAUAUUUUUUAAUAAAAUAUACUCCCUCUAUCCCAAAUAAGUGUCAGUGACAUUUUGCAAAAAUAGCUUGGGACAAUAGAUUUUUUUGCCACUCAACUUAAUGUGUUUUUAGAAAUUCGCCACCCAACUAAUUUUUUUUUCCUUUUACUCACUAAUGUUAGGUUUGGAUUUUUUUUAGCCACCAACUUAGGUUCGGAUUUGAUUACUAGUAUUAUGAUAAUUUUAUUUAUCACUAAACUUACUGCGUCUUUAGGAAUUAACCACUGAACUAUAAUUUUUUUAUUUUACUCACUAAUGUUAGGUUCAUUUUUUUUGUCACUGAAGUUAGGUUCGGAUUUGAUUAUUAGCAUUAUAUUAAUUAUGUGUAACAUUAUUAAAAUAUAGUGGUCUAUAAUAUUUUGAUGAUUUGGUAUAUGUCUGUAUCUUUAUAUAUAGUACUUUUUAUGUCUCCAAUGUCGUUUAACUUGAGUGGUAAGAAUUUUACACGCAUUUUAUGGCUUUUAAAAGAUGUAGUUUCAUAAAUAAUUUUAUUUUUUUCUUCCGAAUAAAAAUUCAGCGUUUUACACACAAAAAAAUAACAAAAAAAAGUUAUGAAGCUAUGUUUUAUAAGAGUCUUAAAAUACGUGCUAAGCAGUAGAAAAAACUGUAAACUAAUGAGAGGGACAUGUAGUAAUAAUAAUAAAAUGAUGCAUUAUAGAGGACAAUCAUCGAAAAUUAAGUUAACCUCUCUAUUUAUUUAUCUUGAAAAUUGUAGUAAAAUAAAGUUAUUAAAAUUUAUGAAGAUAAAUUUGAGAGAGAUCUUGGACUGAGCUAGUCAAUUGAAACUUUAAUAGCGAAAGAUGAUGCAUCAUAUCAAUCAAUUACACUUUAUCUUCUUAUCAUCAGGGAGGGUGAAUUGUUUGAAGUCAUUGAUUUCAUAUUCAUGAUUUAUUGAAUUUUAGAAUUCUAAUUACGAUUUUUCCUGGUUUUAAUUUUUCAUCGGCUCAUUUUAUAUUAUUUUUGUUAUAUAUAAGGAUAUAAACAUACGACACAUCAUCAAAAUAUUACAUACUAUCACUAUGUAUAAAUGAUGCGACAAAAAUUAUCAUAAUGCUAGUAAUUAAAUCCGAACCUGAGUAGUGGCUAAAAAAAAAUCCAAACCUAAUAUUAAUGGUAAAAGGAAAAAAAAAAUAGUUAGGUGGCAAGUUUCUAAAAACACUAUAAAUUGAGUGGCAAAAAAAAUCUAUUUUCCAAACAUAGCUUGGGGUAAUAACAAAACCUUAAUCAACGCAAGCACAGCAGACCGCAGGCAUAAGGCUUAUAAAUAGAAGUGCAGUAUUGUGUUGAUGGUCAAGUUGAGUGGAAAUAUGGUACACUUUGUAAAGCCUUGUUAUCCUCUUCUCUUUGUUUUCUUUCUCUCAUUACUUCAAUCCAUUCUAACAACACUACCUGAAUCCAGACGAGAGGGAGAAGCUCUUGUGAAAUGGAAGAAUAGCCUAGCCCCGUCUUCUUUUCUCGACUCUUGGUCACUCACUGAUCUCGAUAAUCUUUGUAACUGGACUGGCAUUACUUGUAACUCUGCAGGUUCAGUCUCGGAGAUUAACCUUUGUGAGAAACAACUUGAUGGAAUGCUGUCCGAGUUUGGUUUCACUUCAUUUCCAGAUCUCAACUAUCUCACCCUCGCAGACAACUUCUUCUCGGGUCCGAUACCAUCAGCCAUUGAGAAUCUAACACAGCUUCAAUAUCUUGAUUUAAGCAUGAAUAGUCUCAAUGGUCCCAUUCCUUUCCAGGUUAGCCAUAUUCAGAGCUUGCUCAUCUUAAACCUGUCACACAAUGCAUUGCAAUCUCCAAAUUGGUCCCAUUGCUCUCCCAUGCCUGUCUUGCGCAUCCUCGACCUUAGUUUUAAUAAUCUUGUGUCGAAAUUCCCAGAAUUUAUAUCCAAUUCUCAUAGCCUGACUCACCUUAACCUUUCAGAUAACAAGUUUACUGGUGAUCUUGUGCGUGAAUUUACCAAUCUACAAAAUCUUGAAACCCUCUACCUUCAAGAUAAUUCUUUUGAGGGGCCGUUUCCGCCUGAUAUAGUCCAGCUUUCCAAAUUAAAACGUCUCGCCCUGUUAGGUAACAAAUUUUCAGGUUCAAUUCCCAAUGACAUAAGGUUGCUUUGUGUUCUUGAAUACCUAUAUUUAGGCAACAAUUCCUUUGAAGGACCACUUCCACCAAAUAUAUUCACGCUUUCAAAAUUAAAAUUACUUGUUCUUUGGGGUAAUAAGUUUUCAGGUUCUAUUUCCAAUGAUAUAGGUUUGCUUUCUGAGCUUGAAACCCUCGUUCUUGACUCUAAUUAUUUUGAGGGGCCACUUCCGCCAAAUAUAUUCAAGCUCUCUAAAUUAAAGGUUUUUUCCCUUGUGUACAAUAACUUUUCAGGUUCUGUUUCCAAUGAUAUAGGUUUGCUUUCUGAGCUUGAAUAUCUCCGUAUUGGCUGCAAUUCUUUCGAGGGACCGUUGCCAACAAAUAUAUUCAAGCUUUCCAAAUUAAGUAAACUUGACCUAUCAAAUAAUAGUAAUUUUUUUGAAGGAAGUAUUCUUAUUGGAUUGGGACUCUUGACUAACCUCAGCUACUUAGAUCUAGAUUCCAAUAAUCUCAGUGGCUAUAUUCCAUCUGAGAUUGGAAACCUGAAGCUACUAGUAUUUCUCGAUCUUAGUUCUAAUCAAUUGACUGGAUCGCUUUCAAAGAUCUUUUCUAAUCUCACAAAUCUUAUAUAUCUUCAUGUAUAUGAUAAUAGUCUUAGUGGAAAUAUUCAGAGUGACUUGUGGAAAAACUCUGUAUCCUUGCGUUUCGUUGAUCUUGCAAAUAAUUAUUUGUCUGGAAACAUCCCUAAGGAAUAUAACGAUCAUCCAACUUUGGAAUACAUUAAUUUAAGUUGGAACCAUUUUACAGGUAUAUUUUCUCUAUAUAUCUUUUCCUUUUCUNCUCAUAUGUAACUAAGCUUGAUUAUUGCAAUUUUACCUAAGUUUCAACAAUCUUGACAGGUGAGCUUCCAACAACAAUUUGCAAUGUCACUUCCCUCUCGGUUCUUGUUUUGUCAAAGAAUGGAUUAAGUGGUCCACUUCCAAAUUGUUUCGGAAAUCUUGCUGAUAGAUUGCUUUCCAUUAAUCUUGCUAAUAAUCAGUUCCGAGGAACAAUACCAACUACUUUCUCCAGCAGUUGUCAGCUGACAUAUCUAAACAUGGAUGAUAAUGAGUUUGAAGGAAUGUUGCCUCAAUCUUUGGCGAAAUGUAAGCACUUGAAAAUUCUUGAUAUUGGCAAUAACAAAAUAGGUGGUAUAUUUCCGUCAUGGCUUUAUGUACUUGGAGAGCUAGAAGUCCUUGUCUUGCGAUCAAAUAAACUCUAUGGUACAAUAAGUGGAAGGAGCAUAGAAGAUCCGUUCCCCAAGUUGCGGAUUGUGGAUCUGUCCAACAAUCAAUUCACCGGCCAGUUGCCAAUUCAAUACUUUAAGAAUAUGAAAUCAACUGAUAAUUUGUAUCGUUAUCGGAAUUCCACAGGACCAUUAUCUUUCUCUUAUGAAGCAGCAGUCUCAUUAACUGUGAAGGGAACAGAGUACGAGGUAGCAAAGAACCUUCAUAUUUACACAGCCAUUGACCUGUCAUGCAACAAAUUUCAGGGAGAAAUUCCAAAGGUUACUGGAGAGCUUAGAUGGCUUGCAUUGCUGAAUUUAUCUCAUAAUAGUCUGACAGGACCUAUCCCAUCCUUGCUGAAAAAUAUGAAAGAACUCCAAUCUUUAGAUUUGUCCUCAAAUCAACUGACAGGGGCUAUUCCACCUCAGUUAACUGCAUUGACAUUUCUGGAGGUCUUCAACCUCUCGGGAAACCAUCUUAGUGGAGAGAUUCCUCAGAAAGGACAGUUCAGCACAUUUAACAAUGAUUCUUAUCUAGGAAACUCCGCGUUAUGUGGAUCACCUUUGACAAAGAAAUGUGCAAACACAGCAUCACCUCCACAAGAAGUCGGAAAUGGUGAUGAAGAUGAUGCUGGUGAUGAAUGGACAUGGGAAGCAAUCGUGAUGGGAUAUGGAUGUGGACUGAUAUGUGGAUUGUCAUCUGCGUACAUUGUUCUCAAACUAGGAAAGCCUUGGUGGUUUGUGAGAUAUAUCGAAGUGCUGCAACUGAAGUUGAUGAAAAGAUAUGCUUGAAAAAUGGUACUGGCCGAUCAAGACGAACUUGAAAGUUGUUGUCCUUGUGGACAUUUCUGAACCAGUAGUGUACUAGCUGCAUAAGUAUUUGGUAUUAUGUAAUAAUCCGUUUGGUCAGGACUCAUAAUGAUUUCUCUUGCUUCAGGGGUAUUAAUAUUAACCUUGCUAGUUAAUUCAAAUUAAAACAAAUAUAAAAUCAAAAAAUUUGCAUCAAACACCUGUUAUACCAACAUCCAUUAAUUUGCUUUCAUCUCUUACGUAACAAUUUAACAGCGAUUCCACACUGUUUUAGGCAUGGAGAUUACACAAAGAAGGCAAGUCCAUGGACUAAUAUACGAACAAUUCAUAUUGGUCUUCCAUCUGUUCAACCGUCUCCCGAAGAUAGGCCAAAAAUGUCAUCUGUGGUUCUUAUCUUUGUCAGUAAAGGAGAAUCUCUGAUGCCUAUACAACCUGGUUUUCUUACCGAAAGGAAUGUAGGUGAAACCAGGGGCAUAAAAUGAAUCGGGACUAAAAUCUGCUAAAAUGAUAAUUAUUUACUCAUCAUUCGAGAUUAGUCGGGCUCGAAUGAAGAUUUAUAUGGAUUUUAAGAACAAACUAUGACUAAAUAUGAAAAAAUCAUUAAUUUUUCCGACUCAAUAUUUUUAGCCUCCCCCGGCCCUGGGUGAAACCAUAAGCUUCUCUGGUGCACAUCCAAAUCAUUCAGCUGGUUCUACAUUCAGCUCACCCACAGGAACAUCAUUCUGCAGGUACUCUCUUAUCUGUACUUUCUUAUAUUGUAUGCCAGAAAAUUUAAUAUCGACAAACUGCACAAUACACCUCGAUCUCAUAUUAUUGACAGGUGAGCUCCUCUCAUAAUGCUCACAGGCGAACUCCUGCAUAUAUACUUUGUGAUGUCAUUGAUGAUCGAUAGGCUUGAAAAAAAAUUAUGACAAAGAUUCAUAAAAUAUCUACUUCCAUCCUAAUUCAGUAUUCAAUAUUAUUCAUUCCGUAUCAUCAUCCAAUCAAUUCUAAUAGUUCUUCUUUAAAUCAGUAUAAAUAUUGUUAAAUAUAUUGAUGAUGGUUGUCUUUCCGCGAACCAAUCAUAAAAUUACCUCUGUAUAAAUCCAUCGGAAAUAAGACAGUUAAUAUCCCAAUCGAAUACACCCCUGUCAGUUGUCAAACUCCUCGAAACGUAUUAAUCACUUUAGAAAAUUUGUUCCACUGGCGCUAGUCAGUCCCAGAGUUGGUGGUGGGUGCUUCUGGGCUUUCGAAAAGCACCCAUUUACUCCAUUGUUUAGAGAAGUAAAACCCCACCUUCCGCUCAUUUGAUUGAUCAGCUGAAUUAGGCAGAGUUUACAUGGUCAUGAUCAUAGUCUCCCAUUUCCCAGAUACGCGCAUUAUAGUGGAUUUAUCUUUAUCAGUAAUUUCUGUGGAGAUGCAUAAUCAUUAUAAACUCCAAUAUAAAAAUUUAAAGUUGGUAUGGGCAUUUGUGUUGAUAAUUUGCGCAAUGUUAACAGGAAUUGCUCCCAAGUCUUGGACGGACUCUUUCAAAGUCUUCUGAGGACCCAUCUGCACACUAAUUUGUCUCCCAACUAAAAAAUCAACAAUAUGUUACUCCCUCCGUUUUUCUUAAACGAGGUUAAAAUUUUUGACACAAGAUGGGUUGACAGUAUAAUAAAAAUUUUUGUGAAUAAAAUUUUUUUUAUUUAGAAAGAUAAUCUUGAAAAUAAUAUUAUUAACUAAGUUAAAUCACUUAAAAGUGUAUGUCCAAAAAUUAAAGCGGCAUAUAAAAAAAAGGGAGGGAGCAUGUACUAACUGUUUCCAUAACAGUUUACAAGUAUAAGUUAUACUCCCUCUCUAUUUUUUUAUAUGACGGUUUGAUUUUGGGCACACAUUUUUAAGUGUUUUGACCAGAUAAUUAAAAGGGGUUUUCUCAUAAAUACCUAAGUCUAAAAUUAUUUUUACGAAAAUAUUAUAUCUUUUUUUAAAUAUUUUGCAAAAAUACCAAACUUUGUAAAUAUUUACAAAAAUACGGUAUGCAACCCGUUGCAACCACAUGCAACCUUACUUGCAACCAUAUUUGCAACCCCUGCGGGGUCAAUUAACUGAAAUUGCAUCUGGUUGCGUUUAGUUGCAGACCGUAUUUUUGCAAAUAUUUUCUAAAAAGUUAGUAUAUUUGCAAUUUUUUUAAAAAUAUAAGAAAAUCGCAAAAAUUAUAACAAAGCUUCAAGAUUUUUAACAGGUGAGCUUCCACUAAAAAUUUGCAAAGUCACUUCCCUUUCGCGUCUCAUUAUGUCAGAUAUUGGUCAAGUGGUGCACUUCCACAGUGUUUGGGGAACCUUUCUUUGCUUGGUUUCAAUAAUCUUGCUAAUAAUCAAUUUCAAGGACCAAUACCAACGACUGUCCAAGACUUGUCUGUGCAUAUCUAAACAUCCAUAACAAUCACUUUGAAGGUUUGUUGCUCCAAUCUUUGGCAAACUGUAAACACUUACAAAUUCUUGAUAUUGGAAACAACAAAAUAGGUGGUACAUUUCCGUCAUGGCUAUUUACUGUUGGAGAGCUAGAUGUCCUAGUUAGGACGGUAUUUCGACUAGAGCAAGCCGAGUUUUGAGCGGAGCCCAAUUCGAGCCAAGUUUAAUCGAGUCGAGCCGAGUCAGUUCGUUUGGCUAAUCGAGCCUAAAACUCUGUCCGAACUCGACUCGUUUAAUUUCACGAGUUGAGUCAAGCCAGCUCAUUUAGCUAAACGAGUUGGUUUUAACGAGUUAAACGAGUGAGCUCGUAUAAUUUUAACUUAAUCGAGCCUGGAUCUCUAUCCGAACUAUUGGCUCGUGUAAUUUCGCGAGUCGAAUCGAGCCGGCUCGUUUUAUUAAACAAACCGAAAUUUUUGCCCAAAUUUUGCUCGUUUAACAAGCCGAUCUGAACCUAGUUAAAUGAGUUCGAGCUAGUCGAGCUCGCAGCUUGCGAGCUCGCCGGACAGCUCUAGUACUAGUCUUGCGAUCAAAUAGGUUUCACGGUAUAGAAAGUGGAAGGAACACAAGGCAUCUGUACUUUCUUGUACUGUAUGCCACUUUGACAGUAAAAUUUAUACUCCCUCCGUCCGAAUGAAUUGUAUACAGUUUACUUUUUGGGACGUCCCAUCAAUUGUAUACAUUCCUAAAGUAGUAAACUUUUAUAAUAUAAAACAUCAUUAAACCAACUACUUUCUUCCCCUAUCUCCAUUCUAUAAUAAUAUAAACACUAUUACACCCACUACUUUCCUCCACUAUCUCAAAUUUAUUAUUAAAUAUAAAUGGGUCCCACCACUAUACUCACUUUUCAUCCAACUUUACUCAUUUCUAAUAAAAUUUCUUGGUCUCCGUGUCCCAGCCAUUUGUAUACAAAUGACUGGGACGGAGGGAGUAUCAACAAACUGCACGAUUAAAUCCUCGUACAAUUGACAGGUGAACUCCUGCAUAUGUUCUGAACUAUUACGUACUAUAUUAUGCAAGCUGUUUGCAACUUUCAUCAAAAUUUUCAAACAUUUCUUAAUAUGUUUUUUCAAAAAAUUCUCGGGCCCUCUUAAGGCCUAUUAUUAUUGCAACUCUCACGUUAUGGACCACUAUGUAUUUUACAAGCACGACGAAUCAUGUGGUCAUUAUGGACUCCCCAAGCCUUCGAGGACUCACUCCAGGUCUUAGGAGGACCACUGCCUAGCUCACCCUUUCGGAGUGAUGUAAAUUAUUUUCUAGACACUAAAAAUAAGUAUUCAGAUUAAUCAUUACAAAAUUAAGGAUAUAAAAUCAGAAUAAAUCCUAAACUUUGAUGAUACAAAAAAAUUAUAAUUGUAAAUUAUACAAUCAAAUUAAAAUCGAAUUAACUUCCCUCACACUUAAAAUUUAUAGCGAUCAAAUCAAAAUCGAAUUAACUUUCCUAUUACUAAAAUAUAAUUACAAUAUUAUUAGAUAAAGAGAAUAUAUAAUAAUCAAGAGAAAAUAGAUUUUUUUUUGCCACUCAACUUAUCGUGUUUUAAGAAACUUACCACCCAACUAAAUUUUUUUUCCUUUUGCUCACUAAUGUUAGGUUUGGAUUUGUUUUUAGCCACCAACUAAGGUUCGGAUUUGAUUACCAGCAUUAUGAUAAUUUUUUUUGUCACUAAACUUAUUGCGUCUUUAGAAACUAACCACUCAACUAAAUUUUUUUUUAUUUUACUCACUAAUGUUAGGUUCAGUUUUUUUUUGUCACUGAAGUUAGGUUCGGAUUUGAUUAUUAGCAUUACAUUAAUUCUGUGUAGCAUUUUUAAAAUAUGGUAGUACUCUGUGAUAUUUAGAUGAUUUGAUAUAUGUCUGUAUUUUUAUAUAUAGUAUAUUUUAUGUCUCCAAGAUCAUUUACCUUGGGUCAUAAGAAUUUUACACGCAUUAUAUGACUUUUAAAAGAUGUAGUGUCAUAAAUAAUUUUAUUUUUUUUUCCGAAUUAAAAUUCAGCAUUUGAAUUUUACACACACAAAAAUCGCAAGAAUAAGUUAUGAAAUUAUGCUUUAUAAGAGUCUUAAAAUACGUGCUAAACGGUAGAAAAAACGGUGAAAUAAUGAGAGGUACAUAGGAGUAAUAAUAACAUAAAAUGAUGCACAAGUUAGUAUAUUGGACUAAUAUUCACGCAUUUAUAUACGAGAAUAUAUGGUCCACAAGUUAGUGCACAAUGUCCAAGAAUCUUUAUCAAAGUAACACGGCAAGCAUGCAGCAUAUAAAUAAGAGUGGGCAGUAUGGUAUUGCAUUCAUAACCCACUUGAGGAGAAAUAUGGCACACUUCCUAAAGCCUUCUCACCUUCUUCUCUUUGUUUUCUCUCUCUCGUUACUUCAAUCCAUUCUACCAACAAGACCAGAGGGAGAAGCUCUUGUGAAAUGGAAGAAUAGCCUAGCCCCUUCUUCUUUUCUCGAUUCUUGGUCACUCACCAAUCUCGAUGAUCUUUGUAACUGGACUGGCAUUACUUGUAACUCUGCAGGUUCAGUCUCUGAGAUUAACCUUUAUGAGAAACAACUUGAUGGAAUGCUGUCCGAGUUUGGCUUCACUUCAUUUCCGAAUCUCAACAAUCUCACCCUCGCAUACAACUUCUUCUCGGGUCCAAUUCCACCAGCCAUUGAGAAUUUAACACAGCUUCAAUAUCUUGAUUUAAGCAUCAAUAGUCUCGAUGGUCCCAUUCCGUUCCAGGUUAGCCAUCUUCAGAGGUUGCUCGUCUUAAACCUGUCACAGAAUGCAUUGCAAGCUCCAAAUUGGUCCAAAUUCUCCCCCAUGCCCUUUUUGUGCAUCCUCAACCUCAGUAGCAAUCCUCUUGCGUCGACAUUCCCAAAUUUCAUAUCCAAUUCUCAUGGCCUGACUCACCUCAGCCUUGAUCAAAACGAGUUUACAGGUGAUUUAGCGCGUGAAUCAAUAUUUGCCAAUCUGCAUAAUCUUGAAGUCCUCAGUCUUGUUGGCAAUUCUUUUGAGGGGGCCAUUUCCGCCAAAUAUAUUCAAGCUUUCCAAAUUAAAACAUCUUAGCCUGUCAGAUAACAAACUUUCAGGUUCAAUUCCCAAUGACAUAAGGUUGCUUUGUGAUCUUGAAUACCUAUAUUUAGGCAACAAUUCCUUUGAAGGACCGCUUCCACCAAAUAUAUUCAAGCUUUCAAAAUUAAAACAUCUUAUUCUUUGGGGUAAUAAGUUUUCAGGUUCUGUUUCCAACGAUAUAGGUUUGCUUUCUGAGCUUGAAAGCCUCUAUCUUGACUCCAAUUUUUUUGAGGGGCCGCUUCCGCCAAAUUUAUUCAAGCUCUCCAAACUAAAGAUUCUUUUCCUUUAUGAGAAUAACUUUUCAGGUUUUAUUUCUAAGGAUAUAGGUUUGCUUUUUGAACUUGAAACCCUCUAUCUUGACUCUAAUUUUUUUGAGGGGCCGCUUCCCCCACAUGUAUUUAGGCUCUCCAAAUUAAGAGAUCUGGGUCUCUCAGACAAUAGAAAUUUAUUUGAAGGAAGUAUUCCUAUUGGACUGGGACUCUUGACUAACCUCAGAUACUUGCGUCUAUCUUCCAAUAAUCUCGGUGGCUAUAUUCCAUCUGACAUUGGAAACCUGAAGCAACUAGAACUUCUUGAUCUCGGUUCUAAUCAAUUGACUGGACCGCUUUCAAAGAUCGUUUCUAAUCUCACAAAUCUUAUAUAUCUUGAUGUGAGUUAUAAUAGUCUUAGUGGAAAUAUUCAGAGUGACUGGUGGAAAAACUCUGUAUCCUUACGUUACAUUGAUUUUGAAAAUAAUUAUUUGUCUGGGAACAUUCCUAAGGAAUAUAACGAUCAUCCAACUUUGGAAUACAUCAAUUUAGGUGGGAACCAUUUUACAGGUAUAUUUUCUCUAUAUAUCUUUUCCUUUUGUCAUAUGUAAAUAAGCUAGUAAUCUGGUUAUUGUAGUUUUACCAAAGUUUCAACAAUCUUGACAGGUGAGCUUCCAACAACAAUUUGCAAUGCCACUUCCCUUUCGGUUCUUGUUUUGUCAAAUAAUGGAUUAAGUGGUGCACUUCCAAAAUGUUUCGGGAAUCUUGCUGAUGGAUUGCUUUACAUUAAUCUUGCUAAUAAUCAGUUUCGAGGAACAAUACCAACUACUUUCUCCAGGAGUUGUCGGUUGACAUAUCUAAACAUGGAUAAUAAUGAGUUUGAAGGAUUGUUGCCCCCAUCUUUGGCGAACUGUAAGCACUUGAAAAUUCUUGAUAUAGGCAAUAAUAAAAUAGGUGGUACAUUUCCGUCAUGGCUUUAUGCACUUGGAGAGCUAGAAGUUCUUGUCUUGCGAUCAAAUAAACUCUAUGGUACGAUAAGUGGAAGGAGCAUAGAAGAUCCCUUCCCAAAGUUGCGGAUUGUGGAUCUGUCCCACAAUCAAUUGACAGGCUAUUUGCCAAUUCAAUACUUUAAGAAUAUGAAAUCAACUGAUGAUUUGUAUAGUUUCCGGAAUUCCACAGGAACCGCAUCUAUCUCUUAUGAAGCAUCGGUCUCAUUAACCGUGAAGGGAACAGAGUAUGAAGUAGCAAAUAACCUUCAUAUUUACACAGCCAUUGAUCUAUCGUGCAACAAAUUUCAGGGACAAAUUCCAAAGGUUACUGGAGAGCUUAAAUGGCUGGCAUUGCUCAACUUAUCUCAUAAUAGUCUAACAGGACCUAUCCCGUCAUUGCUGAGAAAUAUGAAAGAACUCCAGUCUUUAGAUUUGUCUUCAAAUCAACUAACAGGGGCUAUUCCACCUCAGUUAACUGCACUGACAUUUCUAGAGGUCUUGAACUUCUCGGGAAACCAUCUUAGUGGAGAGAUUCCUCAGAAAGGACAGUUCAGCACAUUCAACAAUGAUUCCUAUCUAGGAAACUCUGCGUUAUGUGGAUCACCUUUGACGAAGAAAUGUGUAAACACUGUAUCACCUCCUCAGGAAGUCGAAAAUGGUGAUGAAGAUGAUGCUGGUGAUGAAUUGACAUGGGAAGCAAUCGUGAUGGGAUAUGGAUGUGGACUGAUAUGUGGAUUGUCAUCUGCGUACAUUGUUCUCAAACUAGGAAAGCCUUGGUGGUUUGUGAGAUAUAUCGAAGUACUGCAACUGAAGUUGAUGAAAAGAUAUGCAUGAAGAAAGGUACUGGUAGAUCAAGAUGAACUUGAAAGUUGUUGUCCUGGUAGACAUUUCUGAACCAGUAGUAUACUAGCUGUGUAAGUAUUUGGUAUUAUGUAAUAAUCCGUUUGGUCGGGACUCAAAAUGAUUUCUCUUGCUUCAGGGGUAUUAAUAUUAACCUUGCUAUCUUGAUCAAUGUUAAUGCAAAUUAAAAAGAAUAUAAAAGCAAAAAAUUUGCAUCAAACACCUGUUGUACCACAGGCUUCCGACUCAAUAUUUGUUAGCCUCCCGUGCCCUGUGUGAAACCAUAAGCUUCUCUGGUGAAUAUCCAAAUCAUUCAGCUGGUUCUACUUUCAGCUCACCGCAGGAACAUCAUUCUGCAGGUACUCUCUUAUCUGUACUUUCUUAUAUUGUAUGCCAGAAAAUUUAAUAUCGACAAACUGCACAAUACACCUCGAUCUCAUAUUAUUGACAGGUGAGCUCCUCUCAUAAUGCUCACAGGCGAACUCCUGCAUAUACUUUGUGAUGUCAUUGAUGAUCGAUAGACUUGAAAAAAAAUUAUGACAAAGAUUCAUAAAAUAUCUACUUCCAUCCUAAUUCAGUAUUCAAUAUUAUGCAUUCCGUAUCAUCAUCCAAUCAAUUCUAAUAGUUCUUCUUUAAAUCAGGACAAAUAUUGUUAAAUACAUGGAUGAUGGUUGUCUUUCCGCGAACCAAUCAUGAAAUUACCUCUGUUUAAAUCCGUCGAAAAUAAGAAAAUUAAUAUCCCAAUCGAAUACACCCCGUGAGUUGUCAAACUCCUCGAAACAUAUUAAUCACUUUAGAAAAUUUCAACAAUCUUGACAGGUGAGCUUCCAACAACAAUUUGCAAUGUCACCUCCCUUUCGGUUCUUGUUUUGUCAAAUAAUAAAUUAAGUGGUGCACUUCCAAACUGUUUCGGGAAUCUUGCUGAUGGAUUGCUUUACAUUAAUCUUGCUAAUAAUCAGUUUCAAGGAACAAUACCAACUACUUUCUCCAGGAGUUGUCCGUUGACAUAUCUAAACAUGGAUAAUAAUGAGUUUGAAGGAUUGAUGCCCCCAUCUUUGGCGAACUGUAAGCACUUGAAAAUUCUUGAUAUAGGCAAUAAUAAAAUAGGUGGUACAUUUCCGUCAUGGAUUUAUGCACUUGGAGAGCUAGAAGUUCUUGUCUUGCGAUCAAAUAAACUCUAUGGUACAAUAAGUGGAAGGAGCAUAGAAGAUCCCUUCCCCAAGUUGCGGAUUGUGGAUCUGUCCAACAAUCAAUUCACAGGCCAUUUGCCAAUUCAAUACUUUAAGAAUAUGAAAUCAAAUGAUAAUUUGUAUCGUUAUCUGAAUUCCACAGGAGAAAUAUAUAUCUCUUAUGAAGCAGCAGUCUCAUUAACUGCGAAGGGAACAGAGUAUGAAGUAGCAAAUAACCUUCAUAUUUACACAGCCAUUGAUCUGUCGUGCAACAAAUUUCAGGGAGAAAUUCCAAAGGUUACCGGAGAGCUUAGAUAGCUUGCAUUGCUCAAUUUAUCGCAUAAUAGUCUAACGGGACCUAUCCCAUCAUUGCUGAGAAAUAUGAAAGAACUCCAAUCUUUAGAUUUGUCCUCAAAUCAACUGACAGGGGCCAUUCCACCUCAGUUAACUGCAUUGACAUUUCUAAAGGUCUUAAAUCUCUCGAAAAACCAUCUCAGUGGAGAGAUUCCUCAGGAAGGACAGUUCAGCACAUUCAACAAUGAUUCUUAUCUAGGAAACUCCGCGUUAUGUGGAUUACGUCUGACAAAGAAAUGUGCAAACACAGCAUCACCACCACAAGAAGUCGGAAAUGGUGAUGAAGAUGAUGCUGGUGAUGAAUUGACAUGGGAAGCAAUUGUGAUGGGAUAUGGAUGUGGACUGAUAUGUGGAUUAUCAUCUGCGUACCUUGUUUUCAAACUAGGAAAGCCUUGGUGGUUUGUGAGAUAUAUCGAAGUACUGCAACUGAAGUUGAUGAAAAGAUAUGCAUGAAGAAUGGUACUGGCCGAUCAAGACGAACUUGAAAGUUGGUCCUUGUGGACAUUUCAGCUGAACCAGUAGGUACUAUUCUCUUUGUGACUGCAUAAGUAUUUUGUAUUGUGUAAUGUUCUGUUUGGUCUUAAAUCAUAAUGAUUUUUCUUGCUUCAGGGGUAUUAAUAUAAAACUUGGUAUUGUGUACUAGCUGUAAUAUUCCGUUUAAUCAAUGUUAAUACCUGUAAUUUUAUGCUCCUGACUGCAUCAUGCAGCUCUCAUAUUAUCUUCAUAUGUGUAUUUAUUUGGAUAUUGAAGUUGCAUGGACAUAUGGAUAUGUGUUAACGGGGAUUGCUCCCAAGUCUUGGACGGACUCUUUCCAAGUCUUCCGAGAUCCUAUUGGUUCAAAUUAGUCCAAUUUGAACUGCCAUCAAAUGCAACUCUGUAGAUUCUGUCUCUGAGAUUAACCUUUCAGGACAUCAGCUCAAUGGUACACUUGCUGAAUUCAGUUUCGUUUAAUUUCCGAAUCUACAAAUUAAGCUACAAUAACUUCACUUGUCCAAUACCCCCAGACAUUGGAAAUUUAACAGAGCUGCAACACCUUGAUUUUAGCUCUAAUAAACUCACUGCUGCAAUUCCGGACCAGGUAAGCCAUCUUCAAACAUUGCGGACCUUAAACCUGUAGGAUAAUCAACUUGGAAGCUCCAAACUGGUCCGCUUUUUCCCCUAUGCCUUCUCUGACAAACCUCUGUCUCAAUAAUAAUAAUCUUUCGUCGAAAUUCCAAGACUUCAUAUUAAAUUGUGGUAACCUGACUUACUUUGAUCUUUCAUUAAAUAUGUUAACAGGUAAUUUGGUUCCUUCAUCAAUUUUUAGAAAUUUGUAUAAUCUUGAAUUCCUUUAUCUUUCUAGCAAUUAUUUUGAGGGGCCUUUCCCGCCANNNNNNNNNNNNNNNNNNNNNNNNNNNNNNNNNNNNNNNNNNNNNNNNNNNNNNNNNNNNNNNNNNNNNNNNNNNNNNNNNNNNNNNNNNNNNNNNNNNNNNNNNNNNNNNNNNNNNNNNNNNNNNNNNNNNNNNNNNNNNNNNNNNNNNNNNNNNNNNNNNNNNNNNNUUUCCCUAUCAUAUAAUAGAUUUUCAGGUUCUAUUUCCAUAUGAUAUAGGAAUGCUUCGUGUUUUGGAAUCCCUUUUUUUAGUAGUAGUUCUUUUAAUGGCCCACCUCCACCAAAUUUAUUUAAAUUUUCUAAAUUAAAAGUUUUUUCCCUAUCAUUAAUAACUUUUCGGGUUCUAUUCGAAAUGAAACAGGGAUGCUUCAUGAUUUAGAGUCCCUCUAUCUUAAUGAACAUUCUUUUAAGGGGCCGUUUCCACCAAAUAUAUUCAACCUUUCCAAAUUAAAAGUUCUUAAUUACCUCUCAAAUAAUUCCUUUUCAGGUUCAGUUCCUAGUGAUAUAAGUGUGCUUCGUGAUCUUGAGAUACUUAAUUUGUCCUCUAAUUCUUUUGAAGGAAUUAUCCCAUUGGAGCUUGGGUUCUUGAAUAACGUGAGCUAUUAUUAUAUCUUGAUUCCACUCAAUUGACUGGACCGCUUUUGAAGAACAUUUAUAAUCUCAGUAAUUUUUUGUGUUGGCUUGAAUGGAUCAUUCCAUUCCCUCCAAAACUCAUUCCGUUCAUGUCAACCAAACAGAGCAUCAAUUACUAGUUACUGGGAAAUGCAUUAGCCUAAAUGUUCCUGGUUCAUUGUUACCGGUAUUUCUUAACUGCUGUGAUUGCAAAUUCAGUUGCAGAUUGUUCAUAUAUAUCUAGAGAGACCUGACAUAACUUUAGCCUCUGAUAUACAGCUUCCUUUCACAGUUGUGCCUAUUCACCUAGACGCGUUUUUAACUGCAUAAUGUUGGGUCAACUUCCGACCAUUUAUUUUCUCAUUUGAAAUUAGUGUAUUAAAGUUCGACUUUAAGAAAAUAUAUAGUUUUGUUAAACAAAAAUUCCAAAAGGUUUGGUACGUUUUGAGCUGGGACUUUGAAAUUGUUUGUCGUUAAAGAUGAAGAUUCACUUUUUAAGUUAUAUUAAUCUGUAGUGGUAGACUGGUAGUUUUUCUUUAUUGCUACUUUCCUUGUGCGUUCUUUAUAUUGAUUUAUUAUUUAAUUCGUAAAGUGUUGCGAACUACAUUCCUGCAAAAGUAAAAUCAGUGGAAUUUGUUUGAUAGCAUGAUGAAUAUUUAAAGGGGUUAAUUAUCAAAUUGGUCACUGAAGUGACUUUAAUGUAUCAAGUUGGUCACUGAACUCAAAACGGUAUUAAGAUAGUCACUGAAGUGGACAUAAAUAUCAAACAGGUACCUUGAAAUAUAAGUUCAAGCAGUAAAGAUAUUAUUUAUAAAAUUUUACACAUUAUUUUUAAAUGUUACCACAACCAACUAAAAGGUUAUGACUUCUAGUAUUUAAAUUAAUAUAUUUAUUUUAUCAAGUUUAUUUAUUAUUUAUAUUUUAUUAUAUAGUUAUUUUCUUUGUUUUAAUUAAAAAUAAAUAAUAAAUAAACUUGAUAAUAUCUAAAUAUAUUAUCAUAAAUAUUAGAAUUCAUAACCUUUUACUUGGUCUAGGUAACAUUCAAAAAUAAUGUGUAAAACUUUAUAAAUAAUAUUAUCUUUAUAUUCUUUCCUUUUCUAUGUACCUAUGCUAAUUAUCUGAUUAUUAAAAUUAUAACAAAGCUUCAAGAUUUUUAACAGGUGAGCUUCCACUAAAAAUUUGCAAAGUCACUUCCCUUUCGCGUCUCAUUAUGUCAGAUAUUGGAAACAACAAAUAGGUGGUACAUUUCCGUCAUGGCUAUUUACUGUUGGAGAGCUAGAUGUCCUAGUUAGGGCGGUAAUUCGACUAAAGCAAACCGAGUUUUGAGCGGAGUCAAAUUCGAGCCAAGUUUAAUCGAGUCGAGCCGAGUCGGCUCAUUUAGCUAAUCGAGCCUAAAACUCUGGUCGAACUCGACUCGUUUAAUUUCGCGAGUCAAGUCGACCCAGCUCGUUUAGUUAAAUGAGCUGGUUUUAACGAGUCAAGCGAGUGAGCUCGUAUAAUUUUAACUUAAUCGAGUCUAAAUCUCUACCCGAACUAUUGGCUCGUGUAAUUUCACGAGUAGAAUCGAGCUGGCUCGUUUUAUUAAAGAAGCCGAAAUUUUUGCCCGAAUUUGGCUUGUUUAACAAGCCGAUCUUUCAUCAAAAUUUUCAAACAUUUCUGAAUAUGUAUUUUCAGAGAAUUUCUCCGGCACUCUUAAGGCCUAUAAUUAUUGCAACUCUCACGUUAUGGACCACUAUGUAUUUUACGAGCACGACGAAUCAUGUGGUCAUUAUGGACUCCCCAAGCCUUCGAGGACUCAUUCCAGGUCUUAGGAGGACCACUGCCUAGCUCACCCUCUCGGAGUGAUGUAAAUUAUUUUCCAGACACUAAAAAUAAGUAUUCAGAUUAAUCAUUACAAAAUUAAGGAUAUAAAAUCAGAAUAAAUCCUAAACUUUGAUGAUACAAAAAAAUUAUAAUUGUAAAUUAUACAAUCAAAUUAAAAUCGAAUUAACUUCUCUCACACUUAAAAUUUAUAGCGAUCAAAUCAAAAUCGAAUUAACUUUCCUAUUACUAAAAUUUAAUUACAAUAUUAUUAGAUAAAGAGAAUAUAUAAUAAUCAAGGGAAAAUAGAUUUUUUUUUGCCACUCAACUUAUUGUGUUUUAAGAAAUUUACCACCCAACUAAAUUUUUUUUCCUUUUGCUCACUAAUAUUAGGUUUGGAUUUGUUUUUAGCCACCAACUAAGGUUCGGAUUUGAUUACUAGCAUUAUGAUAAUUUUUUGUCACUAAACUUAUUGCGUCUUUAGAAACUAACCACUCAACUAAUUUUUUUUUUAUUUUACUCACUAAUGUUAGGUUCAGUUUUUUUUUUGUCACUGAAGUUAGGUUCGGAUUUGAUUAUUAGCAUUACAUUAAUUCUGUGUAGCAUUUUUAAAAUAUGGUAGUAGUCUGUGAUAUUUAGAUGAUUUGAUAUAUGUCUGUAUUUAUAUAUAUAGUAUUUUUUAUGUCCCCAAGGUCGUUUACCUUGGGUCAUAAGAAUUUUACACACAUUUUAUGACUUUUAAAAGAUGUAGUUUCAUAAAUAAUUUUAUUUUUUUCUUCCGAAUUAAAAUUCAGCGUUUGAAUUUUACACACAAAAAAAUCGCAAAAAUAAGUUAUGAAACUAUGUUUUAUAAGAGUCUUAAAAUACGUGUUAAACGGUAGAAAAAACUGUAAACUAAUGAAAGGUACAUAGGGAGUAAUAAUAACAUAAAAUGAUGCACAAUCAUCGAAUUAAGUUUUCCUCUCUCUCUAUAUAUUUAUUUUGAAAAUUAUAAUAAGAUAAAGUUAUUAAAAUUUAUGAUAUAAAUUUAAAAGAGAUCUUAGACUGAGUGGCAAAAAUUUAGUUGGAUGGUAAGUUUCUAAAAAUACAAUAAAUUGAGCGGGAACAAAAUCUAUUUUCCCAAUAAUCAAAGUGAUGAAAAAUUAAAGUCAUCUAAUAAGUCCAGAAAAAAUAUGACCAUUAGUAUUUUGGAAUAAUAUUCACGCAUUUAUAUACGAGAAUAUAUGGUCCACAAGUUAGUGCACAAUGUCCAAGAAUCUUUAUCAAAGUAACACGGCAAGCAUGCAGCAUAUAAAUAAGAGUGGGCAGUAUGGUAUUGCAUUCAUAACCCACUUGAGGAGAAAUAUGGCACACUUCCUAAAGCCUUCUCACCUUCUUCUCUUUGUUUUCUCUCUCUCGUUACUUCAAUCCAUUCUACCAACAAGACCAGAGGGAGAAGCUCUUGUGAAAUGGAAGAAUAGCCUAGCCCCUUCUUCUUUUCUCGAUUCUUGGUCACUCACCAAUCUCGAUGAUCUUUGUAACUGGACUGGCAUUACUUGUAACUCUGCAGGUUCAGUCUCUGAGAUUAACCUUUAUGAGAAACAACUUGAUGGAAUGCUGUCCGAGUUUGGCUUCACUUCAUUUCCGAAUCUCAACAAUCUCACCCUCGCAUACAACUUCUUCUCGGGUCCAAUUCCACCAGCCAUUGAGAAUUUAACACAGCUUCAAUAUCUUGAUUUAAGCAUCAAUAGUCUCGAUGGUCCCAUUCCGUUCCAGGUUAGCCAUCUUCAGAGGUUGCUCGUCUUAAACCUGUCACAGAAUGCAUUGCAAGCUCCAAAUUGGUCCAAAUUCUCCCCCAUGCCCUUUUUGUGCAUCCUCAACCUCAGUAGCAAUCCUCUUGCGUCGACAUUCCCAAAUUUCAUAUCCAAUUCUCAUGGCCUGACUCACCUCAGCCUUGAUCAAAACGAGUUUACAGGUGAUUUAGCGCGUGAAUCAAUAUUUGCCAAUCUGCAUAAUCUUGAAGUCCUCAGUCUUGUUGGCAAUUCUUUUGAGGGGGCCAUUUCCGCCAAAUAUAUUCAAGCUUUCCAAAUUAAAACGUCUUACCCUGUCAAGUAACAAAUUUUUAGGAUCAAUUCCCAAUGACAUAAGGUUGCUUUGUGAUCUUGAAUUCCUAUAUUUAGGAAACAAUUCUUUUGAAGGACCGCCUCCACCAAAUAUAUUCAAGCUUUCAAAAUUAAAACAUCUUGUUCUCUGGAGUAAUAAGUUUUCAGGUUCUGUUUCCAAUGAUAUAGGUUUGCUUUCUGCGCUUGAACUUCUGAAUCUUCACUCUAAUUUUUUUGAGGGGCCGCUUCCGCCAAAUGUAUUCAAGCUCUCUAAACUAAGGUUUCUUAACCUCUGGGGUAACAACUUUUCAGGUUCUGUUUCCAAUGAUAUAGGUUUGCUUCCUGAGCUAGAAAUCCUCAAUCUUCACUCUAAUUUUUUUGAGGGGCCGCUUCCGCCAAAUAUAUUCAAGCUCUCUAAACUAAGGUUUCUUAACCUCUGGGGUAACAACUUUUCAGGUUCUGUUUCCAAUGAUAUAGGUUUGCUUCCUGAGCUAGAAAUCCUCAAUCUUCACUCUAAUUUUUUUGAGGGGCCGCUUCCGCCAAAUGUAUUCAAGCUCUCUAAACUAAGGUUUCUUAACCUUUGGGGUAAUAACUUUUCAGGUUCUGUUUCCAAUGAUAUAGGUUUGCUUCCUGAGCUAGAAUUCCUCAAUCUUCACUCUAAUUUUUUUGAGGGGCCGCUUCCGCCAAAUGUAUUCAAGCUCUCUAAACUAAAGUUUCUUCAUCUUCGAGGUAAUAAGUUUUCAGGUUCUGUUUCCAAUGAUAUAGGUUUGCUUCCUGAGCUUGAAAUCCUCAAUCUUCGCUCUAAUUUUUUUGAGGGGCCGCUUCCGCCAAAUGUAUUCAAGCUCUCCAAACUAAGGUUUCUUUCCCUUAAGGAAAAUAAAUUUUCAGGUUCUGUUUCCAAUGAUAUAGGUUUCCUUUCUGAGCUUGAAUACCUAUAUCUUGACUAUAAUUUAUUUGAAGGAAGUAUUCCUAUUGGACUGGGACUCUUGACUAACCUCAGCUACUUAGAUCUAAGUUCCAAUAAUCUCAGUGGCUAUAUUCCAUCUGACAUUGGAAACCUGAAGCUACUAGUAUUUCUUGAUCUCAGUUCUAACCAAUUGACUGGACCGCUUUUAAAGAUCGUUUCUAAUCUCACAAAUCUUAUGAAUCUUGAUGUAAGUGAUAAUAGUCUUAGUGGAAAUAUUCAGAGUGACUUGUGGAAGAACUCUAUAUCCUUACGUUACAUUAAUUUUGCAAAUAAUUAUUUGUCUGGGAACAUUCCUAAGGAAUACAACGAUCAUCCAACUUUGGAAUACAUCAAUUUAAGUGGGAACCAUUUUACAGGUAUAUUUUUCUCUAUAUAUCUUUUCCUUUUCUCAUAUGUAACUAAGCUGGUAAUCUGAUUAUUGCAGUUUUACCAAAGUUUCAACAAUCUUGACAGGUGAGCUUCCAACAACAAUUUGCAAUGUCACUUCCCUUGCGGUUCUUGUUUUGUCAAAUAAUGGAUUAAGUGGAGCACUUCCAAAUUGUUUCGGGAAACUUGCUGAUAGAUUGCUUUCCAUUAAUCUUGCUAAUAAUCAGUUUCGAGGAACAAUACCAACUACUUUCUCCAGGAGUUGUCAGGUGAAAUAUCUAAACAUGGAUAAUAAUGAGUUUGAAAGAUUCUUGCCCCCGUCUUUGGCGAACUGUAAGCACUUGAAAAUUCUUGAUAUUGGCAAUAAUAAAAUAGGUGGUACAUUUCCGUCAUGGCUUUAUGUACUUGGAGAGAUAGAAGUCCUUGUCUUGCGAUCAAAUAAACUCUAUGGUACAAUAAGUGGAAGGAGCGUAAAAGAUCCCUUCCCCAAGUUGCGGAUUGUGGAUCUGUCCAACAAUCAAUUCACUGGUCAUUUGCCAAUUCAAUACUUUAAGAAUAUGAAAUCAACUGAUAAUUUGUAUCGUUAUCAGAAUUCCAAAGGAUAUCUAUCUUUCCAUCAUGAUGCAGCAGUCUCCUUAACUGUGAAGGGAACGGAGUAUGAGGUAGCAAAGAACCUUCAUAUUUACACAGCCAUUGAUCUGUCGUGCAACAAAUUUCAGGGACAAAUUCCAAACGUCACUGGAGAGCUUAGAUGGCUUGCAUUGCUCAAUUUAUCGCAUAAUAGUCUAACAGGACCUAUCCCAUCAUUGCUGAGAAAUAUGAAAGAACUCCAAUCUUUAGAUUUGUCUUCAAAUCAACUGACAGGGGCUAUUCCACCUCAGCUAACUGCAUUGACAUUUCUAGAGGUCUUGAACCUCUCGAAAAACCAUCUUAGUGGAGAGAUUCCUCAGAAAGGACAGUUCAGCACAUUUAACAAUGAUUCUUAUCUAGGAAACUCCGCGUUAUGUGGAUCACCUUUGACGAAGAAAUGUGCAAACACAGCAUCACCUCCACAAGAAGUUGUAAAUGGUGAUGAAGAUGAUGCUGGUGAUGAAAUGACAUGGGAAGCAAUCGUGAUGGGAUAUGGAUGUGGACUGAUAUGUGGAUUGUCAUCUGCGUACAUUGUUCUCAAACUAGGAAAGCCUUGGUGGUUUGUGAGAUAUAUCGAAGUACUGCAACUGAAGUUGAUGAAAAGAUAUGCAUGAAGAAUGGUACUGGCCGAUCAAGACGAACUUGAAAGUUGUUGUCCUUGUGGACAUUUCUGAACCAGUAGUGUACUAGCUACAUAAGUAUUUAGUAUUAUGUAAUAAUCCGUUUGGUCGGGACUCAUAAUGAUUUCUCUUGCUUCAGGGGUAUUAAUAUUAAACUUGCUAUCUUGAUGAAUGUUAAUGUAAAUUAAAAAGAAUAUAAAAUCAAAAAAUUUAAAUCAAACACCUGUUGUACCAAGAUCCAUUAAUUUGCUUUAGUCUCUUACAUAACAAUUUAAUAGCACACUUCCACACUGUUCACACGUGUAAUGUAUAAAAAUUCCAGUCUUCUUCGGAGGCCUACAGCUUCAACAACCUCUCAAAGAUGUAGCAGUUGCUUGACAGUGAUAGAUAUAUAUUAGAUAAACACUAUGCAAUAACCAAAGUGACAGAAAAAUCAAAGUCCGCUAAUAAAUUCAUAAAAAAUAUAAUAAUCAACAACAAGAAUCAUAGUCUUACAAGUUCAUAUAAAAUAUAGGAUCAUUAGUAUUCCACAUGUAUAUUUUCUUCUCUUUCUUUUCGAGUUUUCCUCUCCAGCACCAAAUCCAAAUUAAUAUACAAUGCCACACAUUCCAGUCUCAGCUUCAGCUCCCAGGCUAGCAUUGAUUUAGCCAAGCACGACAGUGGCCGCUCUUGGUCCUGCCUUCAAAUGUCUAACAAUAACAGUUGGAUACGUCGACAAAAAUAUUGUUCCUCAUCAUACUGAGGAGUUAUUGAAUUCGACAGUUUUACACAAAGAAGACAAUUCCAUGGACUAAUCUAUUAGUAACACGUAAGCUAUAAACACGUAGUCCACAUCUAUGCUACGAACAAUUCAUAUUGGUCUUCUAUCUGUGCAACAGUCUCCCGAAGAUAGGCCAAAAAUGUCAUCUGUGGUUCUUAUCUUUGUUAGCAAAGGAGAAUCUCCGAUGCCUAUACAACCUGAUUUUCUUACAGAAAGAAAUGCAAGUGAAACUAGGGUCGGAUACCAUGUUAAAUGAUCAAUUCUCCUAAAACUAGGUUCAGGAUGAUCAUGAUAUAUUCUAACAUCAAGAUUAGCAGGACUAAAAUGAAGAUUUAAAUGGAUUUUAAAAACAAGCUCCUACUGAAUAAAAAGAAUCAUUAAUUUUUCUGACUCAACAUAUGUUAGCCUCCCCUGGCCCUGGGUGAAACCAUAAGCUUCUCUGGUGCACAUCCAAAUCAUUCAGCUGGUUCUACUUUCAGCUCAGCACAGGAACAUCAUUCUGCAGGUACUCUUGUAUCUGUAGUUUCUUAUUAAUUUAUUAACAAAAUUUAGCUAUUAAAUAUUUUGAUAAAAUAUCUAUUUAUUAAAAUAUUUUUUUAUUUAAUUGGUCUGAUAAAAAUAUUAUUGAUAUAUAAAUUUUACCUUUUUUCUGAAACAAAUUAUAAUUUUUGCUUCAAGCUUUUGUAUGAUAAGUUGAGAAAUAUUAGUUUUCUUUAUCACCGUGAGAGUAGAUCCUCGUUCCACAAAAAUUUGUAACUGAAAAAUAAAAUAGAGCCCUAAAACUUUUCGAUAAAUAUGGACUAAACAAUUUUGAUGCUCAAGUCUCAAUAGGAUUUAUAAACGGUCAUGAUGAGUUUGAUUAUCAAUGACACCAAAAAAAUAUUAGAAUUAUAUUUAAGUUAUAAAUUUGUCAAUAAAUUGUGUGAUAAUCAUACUUUCCAAGUCUUCUUCAGAGGCCUCCUGCCUCAACAACCUUUCAAAGAUGUAGUAGUUGUUGCUCGAGAGGGACAAAUAUAUUAGGUAAAGACUAUGCAAUAAUCAACGUGACAGAAAAACCAAAGUCCUCUAAUAAAUUAAUAAAAAAUAUUAUAAUCAAUAUCAAGAAUCAUAUUAUCAUAGUCUUCUAAGUUCAUAUAAAAUAUAGAAUCAUUAGUAUAUAAAUAGAAGAGUGCAGAGUAAAGCCUUUCAUAAUCCAGUUGAGGAGAAAUAUGGCAUACUUUGUAAAGCCUUAUCACCUUCUUCUCUUUGUUUUCUUUCUCUCAUCACUUGAAUCCAUUCUUGCAACAACACGAGAAGGAGAAGCUCUUGUGAAAUGGAAGAAUAGCCUAGCCCCUUCUUCUUUUCUUGAUUCUUGGUCACUCACUCAUCUCGAUAAUCUUUGUAACUGGACUGGCAUUACUUGUAACUCUGCAGGUUCAGUCUCUGACAUUAACCUUUUCAACAAACAACUCACUGGAAAGCUUUUUGAGUUUGGUUUCACUUCAUUUCCAAAUCUCAACAAUCUCACCCUUGCAGAUAACUUCUUCUCUGGUCCAAUACCAUCAGCCAUUGGGAAUUUAACACAACUUCGGUAUCUUGAUUUGAGCAAUAAUUAUCUCAAUGGUUCCAUUCCGUACCAGGUUAGCCAUCUUUCAAGAUUACACAUCUUAAACCUGUCAGAGAAUGAACUGCAAGCUCCAAAUUGGUCCGAUUUCUCCCCCAUGCCUUGUUUGACCAUCCUCGACCUUUAUCAAAAUAAUCUUAUGUCGGAAUUUCCAGAAUUUAUAUCUAACUCGCGUAACCUGACAUACCUUGACCUUUCAUAUAACAAGUUCACAGGCGAUCUUGUGCGCGAAUCAGUAUUAACCAAUCUAGGUGAUCUUGAAACCCUCUAUCUUAAUGAAAAUUCUUUUAGGGGGCCAUUUCCACCAGACAUAUUCAAACUUUCCAAGUUGAGAGUUCUUGCCCUGUUCAAUAAUUUUUUUGAGGGGCCGCUUCCGUCAAAUAUAUUCAAGCUCUCUAAACUAAGAUUCCUUUUACUUUGGAGUAAUAAUUUUUCAGGUACUCUUUCGAAUGAAAUAGGUUUGCUUUCUGAGCUUGAAGACCUAGAUCUUCACUCCAAUUUUUUUGUGGGGCCGCUUCCGCCAAAUAUAUUCAAGCUGUCUAAACUAAGAACCCUUUUCCUCUGGGGUAAUAACUUCUCAGGUUCUAUUUCCAACGACAUAGGUUUGCUUUCUGAGCUUGAACACCUAUAUCUCGACUCCAAUUCUUUUGAGGGACCUUUUCCAACAAAUAUUUUCAAGCUUUCCAAAUUAAUACAACUUGGUCUCGCAAACAAUACAAAUUUAUUUGAAGGAAGUAUUCCUCCAGGACUGGGGCUCUUGACUAACCUAGAGGACUUGUCUCUUGCUUACAAUAAUCUUGGUGGCUAUAUUCCGUCUUCCUUUGGAAACCUAACACUACUAGUAUAUCUUAAUCUCGCUCGUAAUCAAUUGGUUGGAACACUAUCAAAGACCAUUUCUAAUCUCACAAAUCUGUGGUUUCUUGAUGUACAUCAUAAUAGUCUCUCUGGGAAUAUUCAGAGUGACUUCUGGAAAAACUCUACAUCACUGCUUUACAUUAAUUUGGCAGACAAUAAUUUUUCUGGGAACAUUCCUAAGGAAUAUAAUGUUCUUCCAAUCCUGGAUCACAUCAAUUUUAGGGGGAACAACUUUACAGGUAUUUUUAAUUCCAUAUUUUUUCCUUCUGUUGUAUUUAAUUAUGCUAACAACUACUGCCUCUGUUUUCAAAUACAUAUCGUUUGACUUUUUGGCACAAAACUCUAUAAUAAUUCUAACUAUAAGGUCAAUGAACUUAGAAAUAUAUGUCAAAAAGUCAAACGUCAUAUAUUUGAAAUUAGAGGGAGUAUGGCUUAAUGACCUUUUAGCCCUUAAAGUUUGGGUAGAAGUUCCGAUGCGGCGUCGAAGUUUAAAAACGUACCUUUCGACCCUCAAAGUAUCUUUGUCGUACCUUUUAACCCUUAUGGCGUAUACCGGUAUAUAACGGGUGGGCAAAGUUGACAUUUCACACGUGAGGGUUAAAUGGGGCAUUAAACAUUAAGGGUUAAAAGGAACAUUUAAUAUAUUUUAAUGUAUUAUUUAGGGAUUAAAAGGAACGAGAUGUAUACUUUAAGGGUUAAAAGGUACGCCCAAACUUCACCCCGAAUAUGAAUUGUCAAGUUUAUCCCCCGAUUUGUAUCGGUAUUUUUAAAAAGGGCUAAAAAGUACGACAAAGAUACUUUGAGGGUCGAAAUGUACGUUUUUAAACUUUGAGGCCGCAUCGGAACUUCCACCCAUUCUUCGAGGGCUAAAAGGUCAUUAAGCCGAGUAUAUAUUACAGUUUUACCAAAGUUUCAACAAUCAUGACAGGUGAGCUUCCACCAACAAUUUGCGAUGCAACUUCCCUUUCGAUUCUUGAUCUGUCAAAUAAUGGAUUAAGUGGUGCACUUCCACAUUGUUUGGGGAAUCUUGCUGAUAAAUUGAUUUCGAUUAAUCUUGCUAAUAAUCAGUUUCGAGGACCAAUACCAACAAAUUUCUCCAAGAGUUGUCGUCUGACGUAUCUUAACAUCUAUAACAAUCACUUUAAAGGAUUGGUUCCCCAGUCUUUGGCAAACUGUAAGCACUUGCAAAUUCUUGAUUUUGGAAAAAAUGAAAUAGGUGGAACAUUUCCGUCAUGGCUUUUUACUCUUGGAGAGCUAGAAGUCCUGGUCCUGCGAUCAAACAGAUUUUUCGGGAGAAUAACUAGAAGGAGCAUACCACACCCCUUUCCCAAGUUGCGGAUUUUGGAUCUAUCCAACAAUCAGUUCACCGGCUAUCUGCCAAUUUCAUACUUCAAGAAUAUGAAACCAAAUGAUAAUAAUUAUGAUUAUUUCAACAACACAAACGAAGCCUAUUACGUUUAUCAAGUUUCUAUCACAUUAAAUGUGAAAGGAAGCGAGCAUGAAGUGACAAAUAUUCUUUAUAUUUACACGGCCAUUGAUCUGUCGUGCAACAAAUUUGAAGGAAAAGUUCCAGACAUUACCGGAGAGCUUAGAUGGCUUGCAUUGCUAAAUUUAUCUCAUAAUAGUCUUUCGGGGCCUAUUCCAUCACAACUGGGAAAUAUGAAAGAGCUCCAGUCUCUAGAUUUGUCGUCAAAUCAAUUGACAGGUGUUAUUCCGGAUCAACUUACUAGUAUGACAUUUCUUGCUAGUUUGAACCUGUCAGAAAACCAUCUUUCUGGGAAAAUCCCUCGGAAAGGACAGUUCAGCACUUUUGGCGAAGAAUCUUACUUAGGUAACUCGGCCUUGUGUGGAGUUCCUUUGACAAAGAAAUGUAUAGACGAAGUGCCCCCUUCACAAGUUGGAAAUGGCGAUGAUGAAAAUGUUGAUGAAGAUGAUACCGUUGAUGAAUUCAAUUGGAAAGUGAUCCUGAUGGGAUAUGCAUGUGGAUCAAUAGGCGGAUUGUCUGCAGGAUACAUUGUCUUCACAGUUGGAAAGCCUUGGUGGUUUUUGAGGUACAUUGAGACACUGCAGCAGAAGUUGAUGUGAUGCGCAACUAGAAACAACCUUAUCUUAGAAUGAAUCUGAUCAAUGUUAGCAUAUACUGAACUUUUUUUUUUGUAAAUAUGAUUUCAAGUUCUCAUACUAAUACAAGAACCACUUGUUAAAUCUUGACCAUGCUAAGAGGAUGCUGAAUGCUGAUUUAACACUUUGCGAUGCAAAGCAGGGGCGCAUUAGUAUUUUAUAUGUGUUGAUAAUUUGCGCAAUGUUAACAGGGAUAGGUCUUCUUCUCUGCCAGAUCUUCGACAGACUCUUUCAAGGUCUUCUGAGGACCCAUCGGCUCGAAUUAGUCCAUCGUGAAUUAUGAUCUGAGAGCUAUCUGCACACUAUUUCCAGGUCUUCUGUCUCGUUAACUAUGAAAGGAAGAAAUCAUGAAGUGAAUAAAAUUCUUCAUAUUUACACAAUUGAUCUAUCAUGCAACAAAUUUUGAGGAGAAAUUUCAGAGGUUUCCGAAGAGCUUAAAUGGCUUGCAUUGCUCAAUCUAUCUCAUAAUGAUCUUACUAGACAUCUCCCCGUUGCUCGCCAUUAGAAAACAGGGAUUAUUCACUCGUCCGCCGCACCGCGAACUCAUUCUUAGGUGCUCGGAGGUUUUUGAGGAUUCUUGUUGAUUAUUAAUUUUGUGAUUUUGUUGAAUACUCUAUCACUUAAUAAUGUAAUAAUUGUGUUAUUAAAUAAUUAUAUUUUAAAUUGUUAAGGAUAUUGAACUAUUUGUUUGAUUAUUUGGUUUAAAUAUAAAUGUAACUCUUGAAAUACAUUUAUUAUAUAUAUAUUUAACAUGUUAAUAUUUACUGAAUCCCUCGCAUCCGAAUCCCGAUAUUUUUAAAUUUACGGAUUCUCGUAUUCAUGUACCGUGCACUACCAUACCUUCAACCACACUCAUACUUUCUAGCUGCUCGGAAAUAUGAAUCAAUCUUUAGAUUUGUCUUCAAAUCGAUUGACGGAGGCUAUUCCACACCAGUUAGGCAGUUAACUAGAUUGACAUUUCUAGAGGUCUUGAACUUCUCAGAGAAUAAUCUUACCGGGAAAAUACCGCAAAAAGGAAAAAUCAGCACUUUCGAGAAUAUAUGAGUCAGUGUGGUUCACCUGUCUAGACCAAAAAUGUCAUCUGAGAUUCUUAUGUUUUUUAGCUAUAUAUGAGUGGAAGAAAAUUGUCGAGUCGAGGUUAAUCGAAUAAGGCGAGCCGGCUCAUUUUAAUUUAAUUGAGACAAAACUUCUACGGAGUUCGACUCCUUUAAUUAAACGGCUAUGAAAUCUCAUUAAAGUCAGCCUUGUAUAUAAACUCAAGCCAGGUCGAGUUUUAUUGAACAAAUUUCAGCUCAAACCAGUCGCGAGCAGCCCAGCUCAAGUUCGAGGCCUGCUCAUCUGUCUUCGAGUCUUGGACGAGAUUUGAAUCAUCAACUCCUUCCAAAAAGAGUAUUACACUGACAAAAAUGCAGUAACAUGUUUAAUUUAAAAGUAUAUCAUCUGUUCCCGCAGUUUAAUUUUACCCAUAUUUUUGAGAUUCAUAUAAAUUAUAAUUCCAUAAUAUUUUUUCAAUCAUAUUGGUUUUGAAUAAAAAUAUAAAUAUCAAACUUUUAUUUUUAAAAAAAUUAUAAAAUUAUAUUUUAUAAGAGUCUCAAAUACGUGGGAAAGUGGGAGUAUUAAUUUCGCCCACUAAGUCACUGACAGGUUUGUUAAUUUGUUUCCAUUUGAAGGUGUACACUGCAUAUUUUCACCAGGGAUGGCAACAAGUCGAAUCAGUUCAGAUAUAUCAGAUAUCUCAAUCCAAAUCCAAAUUAUUUUUAAAAUCCAAAUCCAAUCGAGUUUCACAUAUCAAAUUCAAAUCCAAAUUCACGGGUUUCAGAUCGGGUUCAGGUUUGUUUGGGUUUAUCCAAAACCCGAAUCCAGAAAUGUAAGUAGUAUUGUAAAAAUAUUAUUUUUUAUUUUUUCACCCUUGAAUUUCAUUAUAUUUAAAACUAAACUACACACAUUCACACUUUAUCUAUCCAUAUUAUAAACACAAUUUAGUAUAUUUAAAAUUGAAAAAAAGUAUAUUAGUAUACUACAUACAUAUAUUUGGAUAUUUGGAAAUUUUUUCGGGUUUUGUGUUUGGAUCGAAUUUAGAUUUCGGGUCCGGUUUUGAUACGGAAUACUUAAUAUCUAAAUCCAAAUUCAAACUGGUUCGGGUCUAAAAAUUAAAUUCAAAUCCAAAUCCAAAAUAUCAUGUUCGUUAAAAUUCAUUCGGGUCGAGGUUGAGUAUCCAUUCGGAUCAGAUUUUUCUCUAACCAAUAAAUUUUGUAAAUGGUCUGCACAAACGCAGUUACCGGCCCAUUUCCGUAUGAAGCCCAUGAACAAUUAUUUGUUCUGUAUAUUUUUCAAUCAAACCAAACCCAAACGCUAACAGCAGAAUUAAUUAAAUUCCUUUCACAUGUGAUUUUGUAAUGGGCCUACAUUACAAAAAUACUGUAGGACUAUCCCACUAUCCCUGACCCUACAUGUUUUCUCAAUAAUUUUGAUAAAUAUAUUAAACAGAUAUUGAACUGUUACAAAAAUAUAACGUCUGUUUUUCAAAUAAGUAACGUACGGUUUCCGAGAGAUAAAGUUUGACUUAUAUUGACAAGAUAACGCUUGAAUUUAAUAUCUUUUUAAAAAAAACUAAUAUAAAAUCUAAAUUAAAUCUUCUUCUUAAAUGAGAAUCCAGAAAAAUCUCAAAAAUUCACAACUACAUCAAUAAAAUAUAAUAUCCAACAUUAAAUAAAAAUCUUUCAAUAUCCAUUUUUUGUGUAAUUUUCAACCAAUCUGCUCUAAUUAUUUCGUCACCUUUUAAAAUUUAAAAUUUUUAAAUACUCAAAACAAUUACCCUAACCGCCAACCACCUUAGAAUUAUAAAAUCUUAAAAUUAAAUGCUAAUAAGAUUAUCAGUGUUACUCACCUAAACCAAAACGGUUACAAAAUCUAACGGCAAUAUUAUAAACUUUUAAAAAUUAAAUUUUUAAUUAAUUUGGCAAGUGGUAUUCAUAUAGAACAAAACAGUUACAAAAUCAAACUGCAAAUUAUAAAAUCUUGAAAUUAUAUUUAAUACUGUAAGAUUUAGCAUGUGGGUCCCACACAAUCAGAAAAUAAUAUGAACACGAAAUCUUGCUCUAUUAAAUACACACACCUGUACAUACAUAUAUAAACACCCACCGCCUCUUCAACUUUCCAACAUCAAAACCCUCGUAAUUCAAUUGGGUUUCUGCUGUUAUUCUCCCCUCUCUCCUCUCUCUCGCCGAGAUUUUUAUAUGCAUACAUGCGUGGGUAUAUGUAUAUGUACACCCCCUUGGCAAAAACACAGACUAAACACUAAAAGAACCCACAGAAUCAUACCCAUGUUAUGGAUAUUAUCUGGGGUUUGUUGAAAUUGUUGUAGAAGGCCUAAAGAUUUGAUUUUGGAGUAGCCCAUUUGGUUCUUGAUUGAAUUUGGUUGUGUUUUGAGUGUGAAAAGGCAAGAUUUUAUGAUUCUUGAUGGAUGAAAGUGCUAUGUUUGGCUUGAAUGGAGAUAAUGANACAAAAUCUUGAAACGCUGUUUCUUGAUGGUAAUUCUUUUGAGGGGACGUUUCCACCGAAUAUAUUCAGGCUUUCUAAAUUAAAACACCUUUCCCUAUCUGCUAAUAAGUUUUCAGGUUCUGUGCCGGAUGACAAGUUGGUGUCGAAAGUGAGAAUGUUGCGGUAGGGGGUGAUUCGGAUGAGCUUGUUGUUGUUGGGGAGACAGGGCAGGUAUAAUGCUGCAUUUGUUGUUUUUGUCGAUAUUAUGUGUUGCUUUUGUGUUUUUUGUUAUGUUUUCAUAUGUUUAGUCCGUUAUUUUUUGGAGAAUUAAGUAGUCUGAUGAAUGUUGAUUAAUCCAAUAUAUAAGCUGGGCGUUUUUGUUUAAUGUGCUUAUUAUGAUUAUAUUAUUUUGUUUGAUAAUUGAAUUGUGUUUAGAUUGUUAAUCCAAAGCCAAGGUCAAAAGACGUAAGGUAACAUUGAUGUUAAUUGAUAAAACUAACCUCAGAAAGUAGAUUGUUUGAGGCAAUAGAGAGUGUGAGCCUCUAUCAUGACAAUUUAAGAAGUUUAUAGUUGAGUCGUUGACUGCAUUACUAUCAAAUGCAUAGGGGUAUGGAAAUGAAAACGGUUAAUAACAUAUGGGCAUUUAACCUAAUAAUUUGACAACUCGACACUCGGACUUGUAUAUGUAAGUUGUAGUAGAUGCAUACGGUGUUUUAGUAGUUUAUUUGUGUACAAAUUAUUUCAUUGGGUAUUAUUUGAAGUGAAUAGUAUAUUGGAUUCAUGCAUGUUCAGACUUUAAUAUCAACAUCUUUCAGAUUUUUCUGGAUAAUGGUUAAUAAAUUCUUUGUUUAAUAAUGACCGCUUCACUUAAUGUCAUUUCUCUUCUUUCUUUUUUUAAUUAUCGGAGUGGAUAUUUAUUUAAUUUUUUCUGAUUUAUGUUGCAACUUCCAAUAUAAUUUGUUUGGGUGCUAUACUUUGAUGGAUUAUAGGUCGCAUGUCGAGACUAUCCUCACCCACGAGAUCUUUGUGCUAAACUUCCCUUUACAUCUACUCCUCAUGAANUGCUAAACCAGGUAAUAAUAUUUUUUCUCAGAAUUAAUUAUUACACCUCUUUUCAGUGCCGAACGUUCUGCGUAUCUUAUUUGACCAUUGUCUGUUGCAGUGUCACUGUUAUGUUUGUGAUGCACCGGCUCCAUGUCUCAAAUGGGGAACUGGCAUAUCUGUCAGUGACCAUUGUCAUGCCACUGGGAAGGUGGAAUUCUGGAAUCAACAAAGCCUAAAUUUUUUGAAAAGGCUUUAAAAAAUUUGGAAUUUUUUAAAAAAAUGAAAAAUGUAAAAAUUAAAAAAAUCUAAAAAUAUCUGGAAAUUCAAAAAAUAUACCUAAAUUUUUGAAAUUAAAAAAUUUUAGAAUUUUUCCAAAUUUUCAGAUUUUUUCAAAGUUUUAAAUUUAUUUUCAAAAUUUUUAGAUUUUUUCGAUGUUUUUUCAUAUUUUUUAAAGUAUUUUAAAAAAAUUCAACUUUAUUAAAAAAUCGAUAUUUAUAUUUUUCUCAAAGUUUUUUUUAUUUUUUUUAAAGGAUUCUGUUAAAGGCAGCUGAUAUUUAACGUCGCAGUGACCUAUUUGCAAACUUUUAUUAGUUCAGUGAGUUGACUGCAACUUAAAUCGAGUUCUGUGAUCCGUUUGCAAACUUUUUAAGUUCAGUGACUUAACUGCAAGUUGGCCAUGAGUUCAAUGAUCUUUUCGCCUAUUAACCCGGACUAAAUCUACUAAAAUGAUAAUUAUGGACUCACAAUGUAUAUUUUUAAUUUAUAUGUUUAGUUAAAAAUUGGUUAAUUUGACUUUCGAAAAUCAAAAUGAACAUGUAAAAGGAGAUCGUGGUAAUAAGCCCCUCAACGUGUGUAAAUGUUAAGUAAAAGGGAUAUGUUUAUUUUUAUUUUAAAAAAGAAUUAAAAAUAUUAUUUUACAAAUUAAAUUAUAAAAUACUCUCUAUAUUCCAAAUUAGUGAGUUCGUUAAUUUUAGGCACACUAAUUUAGAUGAUUUAACUGCAUAGCUAUAUAAUUUAUUUUUAAUAUUUUUAAAAAACAAUUAAAAAUAAUUUCACGAAUAACAGAUGAUCAUUAUCUUUUAAAUCACAUGCUGAAAAUCGGAUGUUGCCCUUAUCAUUAUCACAUUUUUAAGUAGUAAUGUCUCGAAAAUUAAAUAUUAGAUCCAAUAUGAUUUCAAAUAUCACUUUAUAAUAUUCUUUUUUGUCAUAAUAUCACUUAAUAAUGUUAAAUGAGUGACGUUUAUAUUUUUUUUAAAGUGUUACACAAUGAGAAACUCUAAAAAAUAUAACGGUAGAUAAUGUAGUAUCAUAUCAAAACAUUACUUUAUCUAACCAGAACAUAAUAUUCCAAGGACAAUUUAACUUUUUUUAUAAUAUUCAGAACCUUCUUUUUUUUUUUUGAAUAAAAGACAAAUUUCAUUAAUACGAAAUGUCAUACAGAAAAAUCUCCAACAAUACAUCUCGAGGAGACAUAAACACUUUUUGACAAUUUAAAGAACAGGAUAAUUUAGCUACUAGAUGAGCUACUCCAUUCGCUUGUCGUUUAACAAAUGAAACUGAAUAACAUGGCUUCGAAUUUAAAAUAAGCUUGCAGGCAUUCAAGAUGUGACCAACUUCUAAAAGAUUUUCCUGAGAGUCAUGCAAGGCUUUAAUGGCCAGGAGAGAGUCUGAUUCAAUUUCCACCACCUCAUGAUUUAAUGAGCACAACCACGGGAGACCUUCAAAAGAGAAAAGGCCCCCAGUAACCUUUUUUUAGUGUCAAAUGCCCUAGUUGUCAUUAUAAUAAAAAAUGGCCCUCAUUAUCACUCUAUAACACUACUUAAACUCACGUUCUGUUUUUCCAUCAUAAACGGCACACGCAACAGUGUUUCCAGGUUUAAUACUUUUUAAAAAAAGUCUAACGUAACAUGAAGUUACGUUCACUGAUCUGAGUUUUUUUUUCAUAUUACUCACAUCUUGCUUAUUUCCAUAUAGAAAGAAAUUCACUCACUAGUCAACGUUAUAACAAAUUAUAAUAAUAUUUAACCAGUGCACCCCAAAGGGUAGCGGCUGCGGUUUCCUACGUUAAAAAGAAUAUUUAAGCGUUCAUACAUGGGGUUUAGAAAAAUUUGUUUAUAAUUGUAAAUUAAUUUUCUGAACGUUAGGGUUUAGGAUUGAGGGUGUAGGGCCGGUAGGCCCUACUCCCUCGAGCCUAAAACCUAAUUAAUGCGAGGCUGAAGGGCCGAAGGCCCUGAAGCCGAGAAAUCGGCAGAAUAAAUAAAUUUACAAUCGUUAACAUUUAGGGUUUAGAUUUGGGUUGCAGAAUGAUUAAUUCAUACUGUAAAUUAAUUGGCCGAACGUUAGGGUUUAGGAUUGAGGGUGUAGGGCCGGUAGGCCCUACUCCCUCGAGCCUAAACCCUAAUUAAUGCGAGGCUGAAGGGCCGAAGGCGAGAAACCGGCGGAAUAAAAAAAUUUACAAUCGUUAACAUUUAGGGUUUAGGUUUGGGUUGCCAUAAUGAUUAAUUCGUACUGUAAAUUAAUUGGCUAAACGCUAGGUUUUAGGAUUGAGGGUGUAGGGCCGGUAGACCCUCCUCCCUCGAGCCUAAACCCUAAUUAAUGCGAGGCUGAAGGGCCGAAGGCGAGAAACCGGCGGAAUAAAUAAAUUUACAAUCGUUAACAUUUAGGUUUAGGUUUGGGUUGCCAUAAUGAUUAAUUCGUACUGUAAAUUAAUUGGCCAAACGCUAGGUUUUAGGAUUGAGGGUGUAGGGCCGGUAGACCCUACUCCCUCGAGCCUAAACCAUAAUUAAUGCGAGGCUGAAGGACCUUCAAGCCCUAAACGCUCGAGCCUAAACCCUAAUUAACUCGAGGCUCUAGGGCCGUGAGACCCUAAAGCCGAGGAACCGGAAUUAAAAUAUAAAACAAAAUUUUAAAUGGCGUUUAAAGUGGCGACAGAAUUGUAAGUUGGGUGUUAAGCUAGCAAACGACAUUAAGUUACGUUUUAGAUUUUUAGGUUAUUAAAAAAUAAAAAAAAAAAUCAAGAACGUCACAUGAAGGCACGUUUUACUUCUGAUAUCAAGAACGUCACAUGAAGGCACGUUUUACUUCUGAUAAACACACCAGCACGUGACUAAAGUCUCGUUUUCAUAUAUAACAGCAAUUGAAGUGACGUUUUGCUUUUUUUAGUUUAAAAUAAUAACCCCAUAACGUGACCAGGAGUCACGUUUUAGUAUAAAUCCUAAACGCUGCUUCAGAACAUGUUUUGGAGUGACACCCGGGGCCAUUUUACGGGAUUGUGACUUUAAGGUCCAUAUUGUUACUGAUGGUGACUCACAGGGCCAACACCCCCUUCAAAAAUAGCGCUUGCUUCGGCUUCAAGGACAGUAGCCACCAUGGCUUUACAUAUUGUUUUACCCAUCACAAAAACUCCCUCGCUGUCACGCAGAACCAAACCCAACGAGACCGAGGCCUCACCGAAACGCACACCUGCAUCAACAUUUAGUUUGAGAACUCCAUCCGUCAGCUUUUUCCACUUCACUCGAGAAGAAGAUGCGGAACUAGAAGUACUACCAACCUGAACAACACGCUUAGCUUUAGCCUCCUUCCAGUCAGAAAUAAUCUUAGCGCUCCAAUCCAUAGCUAUAGCAGCUGUAACAACCUUGUGAUCCCAAACCUUCUUGUUUCGAAAAAACCAAAUUCCCCAAAGAACUCGAGCAAUAUUAAAAGUUUCAUGAUCAGGACCUGAUUCAAACCUAGCAAGUAACCAAGAGGGGGCAAACUCCACCAGAGACAAAUCAAAGACCAUACCUGAGUAUUGCCAACAUAACAUUGCAAACUGGCAGGUGAAAAAUAUGUGAAUAAGGUCUUCGUCACCAGAGUUACACAUGGGACAGUCAAGAGAAAGAUUUACUCCCUUAGAUUGUAAUCGACUUUUCACAGGCACAUUAUUCCUGCAAAAACGCCAUAAAAACACUUUGAUCUUAAGAGGAACCUCCAACUGCCAGAGUUUCUUCCACCCACUAGAUUGUGUAACAGUGCCAGUGCCAAUAUUUUGGGCAUGUCAAAACUGGUAACCUGUUUUCACAGAAUUUUGGCUGUUAGUAGUCUUUGACCAAGCUAGACGAUCCACGGUCGACCUACAGGGAACAUAAGUUUUUAAAAAUUAUGUAAUUCAUUCAAUUCCGUAUCAGACAAUACAUCUUAUCAUCGGUGAUAAUGAAAAUAGUGUAGAUGUUUGACCUAGUCCCUGUUUGACAACCAAUAUAAUAAGAAAUAAAUUCUUAUUUUUCUAAAAAAUAUAUUUUUGUAUAUAAAUGUUAAAGAGAUAUUUCUUAUUUGUUGUUUGAAAAAAGUAAAGACUUAUUUCAGAAUAAAAAAAAAUUAUUGUACAUUCUCUUUAUUUCUGAAAAUAAGUUUGGUCAAAUCAUCCAUAAUUCACGUAAUUCAAAAGCCCAUUAAUUUUUUUUUUCUUGCUAAUUGAUCAGCACACGCACACGUUUCCAACUUCCCGCAAAGGGUACAGGAGUACCACCGGAGUACCAUCACACCGACGCUUUGUUGGGCCCAAUAAUUGGCUGAAGUUGAACGGGGCUUUCUGCCUCCGCUGGACCCCAGUUGGGAGGACUCUUUCCAAGUCUUUCGGAGCCUCUUUCCCAUUGACUCCAACUUUCCAGGGUGUAUACAAAUUUUUUGAAAGAGGGUGUAUACAAAUUAUUCACGGCCAUCAAAUCAACCAGCGUAGCUGGUGAACAAAUAUUAUUGUUUAUUAUAAUUUUAUUUAAUUUAAAUGUGAUUAUAAGAACAUAAGAGGACGUUUGAAAGUGUGGGUCUUAUUUCAAACAGUAGAUUUAAAAAAAUAUGAUUUCAAUUGUUAUUUAAAAUUCUUAAAUUUAUAUUAUAUUAAAAUGUUCUUAUUCUAAUUAAUGAGUCACUAUUCGUAUUCUCAAGCAUGUUAGUUUGUUAAAAUUUAAAAUUUCAAAUGAAAUUAGGCUAAAAGACCAUAAUAUCAAAGCAAAAUCUCAUUAUCCAAUAUAUUGGUGGGCAAAAAUAUUAAACCUGGCUAUUCAUUAAUAUUGGUUCUUUAUUCAAAUUAUGUCAAAUUUAUAUAAAAUUUCGAAAAUUAUUUAUGAAUAAGAGUCGGCAUUCAUAUAUUUAUUAAGGAUACAAGUGAGAAAAUGUUAUUAAAUUAAUAUUUUUUUAAUAUACGUAAGUUUUUUAAAAUAAAUUUGUAGCGUGGGACGGGAGUAUUAGACUGAUUCUGGCUUGGAGUGAAUCAGCCCAUAAAGUUUACAGGGUAGAUGACCAUUCUUAAAUCUUAAAGAAUCUUACGGUGACAGCUAACUGAACGACUCGGUUUCAGAAGUGCUGAAAAGUUUCGACGUAAACUACAAUUUGCCUAGCAUGUAAUUUCCAUGCAUUUUCUCGUUACUAGUGACAGAUAACUUUUUUGAUAUUUAUAUAUUUUUAAUUAUAAUAAAGAUACUAGUGAUUAUGGUUAGCUUUUGGAGUACUUUCGGAGUACUUGGAAAUUUUCUUUUCGAGAAAGACGAGAGUACCUAUUUCAAUUUUUUACCAAAAAUUAUAAUUGAAAACAACGGACUUUUAUACUUAUCAUAACAAUUUUUAACAUCUUGUUUAGAAAUAACCUGUUGUUGUAUUAUGCAAAAGUAAUAUCACUAGUUUCUAUAUUCGUAUUCUAAUGAUAAUAAAAACAUCUCUAAUUCAUUAAAACUCUUACAUAGAAAAUGAUAAAAAAAAAAAAGAAGAUAUAAAAUAAUUUAUUAAAAAUAUAUCAAAGNGAAGAUAUAAAAUAAUUUAUUAAAAAUAUAUCAAAGUUUUUGCACUCGGUUAUAAUUAUUGUGUAAUUUCUUUUUUCAAUUCCAAGAUAUUGUUAUAAGAAAAUUUUACAUCAUAUAUAUAUUACAAAAAAAAUUAAUGUAUUCUAUAUAUAUAUAUAUAUAUAUAUAUAUAUAUAUAUAUAUAUAUAUAUAUAUAUAUAUAUACAAUAAANNNNNNNNNNNNNNNNNNNNNNNNNNNNNNNNNNNNNNNNNNNNNNNNNNNNNNNNNNNNNNNNNNNNNNNNNNNNNNNNNNNNNNNNNNNNNNNNNNNNNNNNNNNNNNNNNNNNNNNNNNNNNNNNNNNNNNNNNNNNNNNNNNNNNNNNNNNNNNNNNNNNNNNNNNNNNNNNNNNNNNNNNNNNNNNNNNNNNNNNNNNNNNNNNNNNNNNNNNNNNNNNNNNNNNNNNNNNNNNNNNNNNNNNNNNNNNNNNNNNNNNNNNNNNNNNNNNNNNNNNNNNNNNNNNNNNNNNNNNNNNNNNNNNNNNNNNNNNNNNNNNNNNNNNNNNNNNNNNNNNNNNNNNNNNNNNNNNNNNNNNNNNNNNNNNNNNNNNNNNNNNNNNNNNNNNNNNNNNNNNNNNNNNNNNNNNNNNNNNNNNNNNNNNNNNNNNNNNNNNNNNNNNNNNNNNNNNNNNNNNNNNNNNNNNNNNNNNNNNNNNNNNNNNNNNNNNNNNNNNNNNNNNNNNNNNNNNNNNNNNNNNNNNNNNNNNNNNNNNNNNNNNNNNNNNNNNNNNNNNNNNNNNNNNNNNNNNNNNNNNNNNNNNNNNNNNNNNNNNNNNNNNNNNNNNNNNNNNNNNNNNNNNNNNNNNNNNNNNNNNNNNNNNNNNNNNNNNNNNNNNNNNNNNNNNNNNNNNNNNNNNNNNNNNNNNNNNNNNNNNNNNNNNNNNNNNNNNNNNNNNNNNNNNNNNNNNNNNNNNNNNNNNNNNNNNNNNNNNNNNNNNNNNNNNNNNNNNNNNNNNNNNNNNNNNNNNNNNNNNNNNNNNNNNNNNNNNNNNNNNNNNNNNNNNNNNNNNNNNNNNNNNNNNNNNNNNNNNNNNNNNNNNNNNNNNNNNNNNNNNNNNNNNNNNNNNNNNNNNNNNNNNNNNNNNNNNNNNNNNNNNNNNNNNNNNNNNNNNNNNNNNNNNNNNNNNNNNNNNNNNNNNNNNNNNNNNNNNNNNNNNNNNNNNNNNNNNNNNNNNNNNNNNNNNNNNNNNNNNNNNNNNNNNNNNNNNNNNNNNNNNNNNNNNNNNNNNNNNNNNNNNNNNNNNNNNNNNNNNNNNNNNNNNNNNNNNNNNNNNNNNNNNNNNNNNNNNNNNNNNNNNNNNNNNNNNNNNNNNNNNNNNNNNNNNNNNNNNNNNNNNNNNNNNNNNNNNNNNNNNNNNNNNNNNNNNNNNNNNNNNNNNNNNNNNNNNNNNNNNNNNNNNNNNNNNNNNNNNNNNNNNNNNNNNNNNNNNNNNNNNNNNNNNNNNNNNNNNNNNNNNNNNNNNNNNNNNNNNNNNNNNNNNNNNNNNNNNNNNNNNNNNNNNNNNNNNNNNNNNNNNNNNNNNNNNNNNNNNNNNNNNNNNNNNNNNNNNNNNNNNNNNNNNNNNNNNNNNNNNNNNNNNNNNNNNNNNNNNNNNNNNNNNNNNNNNNNNNNNNNNNNNNNNNNNNNNNNNNNNNNNNNNNNNNNNNNNNNNNNNNNNNNNNNNNNNNNNNNNNNNNNNNNNNNNNNNNNNNNNNNNNNNNNNNNNNNNNNNNNNNNNNNNNNNNNNNNNNNNNNNNNNNNNNNNNNNNNNNNNNNNNNNNNNNNNNNNNNNNNNNNNNNNNNNNNNNNNNNNNNNNNNNNNNNNNNNNNNNNNNNNNNNNNNNNNNNNNNNNNNNNNNNNNNNNNNNNNNNNNNNNNNNNNNNNNNNNNNNNNNNNNNNNNNNNNNNNNNNNNNNNNNNNNNNNNNNNNNNNNNNNNNNNNNNNNNNNNNNNNNNNNNNNNNNNNNNNNNNNNNNNNNNNNNNNNNNNNNNNNNNNNNNNNNNNNNNNNNNNNNNNNNNNNNNNNNNNNNNNNNNNNNNNNNNNNNNNNNNNNNNNNNNNNNNNNNNNNNNNNNNNNNNNNNNNNNNNNNNNNNNNNNNNNNNNNNNNNNNNNNNNNNNNNNNNNNNNNNNNNNNNNNNNNNNNNNNNNNNNNNNNNNNNNNNNNNNNNNNNNNNNNNNNNNNNNNNNNNNNNNNNNNNNNNNNNNNNNNNNNNNNNNNNNNNNNNNNNNNNNNNNNNNNNNNNNNNNNNNNNNNNNNNNNNNNNNNNNNNNNNNNNNNNNNNNNNNNNNNNNNNNNNNNNNNNNNNNNNNNNNNNNNNNNNNNNNNNNNNNNNNNNNNNNNNNNNNNNNNNNNNNNNNNNNNNNNNNNNNNNNNNNNNNNNNNNNNNNNNNNNNNNNNNNNNNNNNNNNNNNNNNNNNNNNNNNNNNNNNNNNNNNNNNNNNNNNNNNNNNNNNNNNNNNNNNNNNNNNNNNNNNNNNNNNNNNNNNNNNNNNNNNNNNNNNNNNNNNNNNNNNNNNNNNNNNNNNNNNNNNNNNNNNNNNNNNNNNNNNNNNNNNNNNNNNNNNNNNNNNNNNNNNNNNNNNNNNNNNNNNNNNNNNNNNNNNNNNNNNNNNNNNNNNNNNNNNNNNNNNNNNNNNNNNNNNNNNNNNNNNNNNNNNNNNNNNNNNNNNNNNNNNNNNNNNNNNNNNNNNNNNNNNNNNNNNNNNNNNNNNNNNNNNNNNNNNNNNNNNNNNNNNNNNNNNNNNNNNNNNNNNNNNNNNNNNNNNNNNNNNNNNNNNNNNNNNNNNNNNNNNNNNNNNNNNNNNNNNNNNNNNNNNNNNNNNNNNNNNNNNNNNNNNNNNNNNNNNNNNNNNNNNNNNNNNNNNNNNNNNNNNNNNNNNNNNNNNNNNNNNNNNNNNNNNNNNNNNNNNNNNNNNNNNNNNNNNNNNNNNNNNNNNNNNNNNNNNNNNNNNNNNNNNNNNNAAUCAUCUGACAGGGCCUAUCCCCCAAAAAGGACAGUUCAGCACAUUCAACAAGGAUUCUUACCUAGGUAACUUUGCCUUGUGUGGAUUACCUUUAACUAAUAACUGUACACACACUGUGUCACCACCACAAGAAGGCGGAACUGGUGACAAUGAUGCCUAUGAUGAACCCGAUUGGGAAGUGAUCCUCAUGGGAUAUGGAUGUGGACUAAUAUGCGGAUUGUCCACUGGGUACGUUGUCUUCACAUUCAGAAAGCCUCAGUGGUUUAUGAGAUACACUGAAAGCGUGCAACAGAAGUUGAUGAGAUGAUGCAUGUUGAGUACCGUUCAAUCAUGAAGCACAACUGGAAACAAUGUUAUCUUAGGAAAACAUGUGUUCUGAACCAGUAGUGUUUGCACAAAAUUUGUGGUGCUAUGUAAUACUUAUAUAAUUGUACGUAUGAUUAUUGAUUAGUCGUUGAGAAAAUGCAUUUUAUUUCAGUGUCAAUGAUAAUCUACAUGUUUUGGAUACUUCCAGCUUCUCAUACUAAUAUAGGAACCACUUGAAAAAUUUUGCGAUGCAAAGCAGGGACUCAUGAGUAUUUUCAUAUGUGUAUUAGUUUUGAAGAUAAAAGUUGUAUGGACAAUUGUGUUGAUAAUUUGCGCAAUGAUAACUGGGAUAGGUCAUCUUCUCUCCCAAGUCUUGGAUGGACUCUUUCCAAGUCUUCUGAGAACCCAUCAGCUCAGAUUAGUCCAUACAAUGUCAAGGGUCCUAUGAUAUGGUCUACUAACAGCCCAGUGUCGGUAAUAAAUCCAAUUGCAUAUAACCUAUUCAAAAUCAAUCCCCUAUAAACAAUCAUCUCUAAAAACUAUUCACAUAAAAUAAAAUUUUAAAAAUAUAAAAUAUCUAGUUGUUUUCAAUAUAUAAUUUUCCACAGUAGAUAACAAAAUAUCUUUAUCAAAUUAUAUUAUUUAUGGGUUCAAUAUUUAAGCUAUAAUUCCAAUAACACGGCAAGCAUGCAUGCAGCAUAUAAAUAGAAGUGUGCAGUAUGUAUGGUAUUCAUAACCCAGUUGAGGAGAAACAUGGCACACUUUGUAAAGCCUUCUCACCUUCUUCUCUUUGUUUUCUUUCUCUCAUCACUUGAGUCCAUUCUUGCAACAAGACGAGAGGGAGAGGGAGAAGCUCUUGUGAAAUGGAAGAAUAGCCUAGCCCCUUCUUCUUUUCUCGACUCUUGGUCACUCACCAAUCUCGAUAAUCUUUGUAACUGGACUGGCAUUACUUGUAACUCUGCAGGUUCAGUCACUGAGAUUAACCUUUUCGGAAAAAAACUUGAUGGAAGGCUGUCCGAGUUUGGUUUCACUUCAUUUCCAAAUCUCAACAAUCUCACCCUUGCAGAUAACUUCUUCUUGGGUCCAAUACCACCAGCCAUUGAGAAUUUAACACAGCUUCAGUAUCUUGAUUUAAGCUUUAAUUAUCUCGAUGGUCCCAUUCCGUUCCAGGUUAGCCAUCUUCAAAGGUUGCUUGUCUUAAACGUGUCACAGAAUGCAUUGCAUUCUCCAAAUUGGUCCAAUUUCUCAAACAGAUGAAAUUAUGCAACUGAAAUUGAUGUAGUCUUAAAGAAUUCUCAGGCACUUAAACAUGUUUCAAAGAAUUCUCAGGCACUUAAACAUUUGGACGGGUUCUUUGGAAGCCAAGAUGCCCAGGUUAUCAUGGCCAUGCACAAAAUGCAGUAUAAAAAAAAAAUGAAUACCUUAAGAGAGAUUGCUCUGGGUCUCCCCAAGCCUUCUAGACUCAUUCCAAGUCUUCUGAGGACCACUGCCUCGCGCUUUCAAAGAUGUGAUGGUAGCUCGGGAGUGAUAUAAAUUAUUUUCGGGACACUAAUAAUAAAUAAUCAGAUCAAAUUAAUCAUCAAUAAUAAAUUGAGGAUACGAAAUCAAAAUUAAUCCUAAAUUUUGAUAAUAUAUAAAAAUUACUUUACGUACACUGUUUGCACGCAUUUUGAGCUCGUAUAAAGUAUAGUUUCAUAACUUUUUUUAAAAAAUUUCUUUUUUGAUAAAAGUUUAAACGUCAAACUUUUAUUCAGAGAAAAAAAAUUAAAAAAUAUAUCACGGAACUAUACUUUAAAUUAGUAUGGAAAAACGUGCCAAAAUUAACGUAAAGAAAUGAGGGGAACAAAGAUAGUAUAAUUAUAUUAUAAAUUAAAAUUGAAAUAACUUACGUGGCACUGAAAUUGAUAAAGGCAAUAUGGUUAAAUUGAUGAAAAGUCAAAGUCCUCUAAUAAAUCCAUAAAGAAUAUAAUAAUCAAAACGACGAAAAUUAUAAAUGAAAAAUCAAAAUCAUCCUAAUAAGUACACAAAAAGAAUAUGAUCGUUAGUGUAUUGGAAUAGUGUGCACACACUUAUAUAUCAAAAUUUGUGGUCCAAAAGCUAUGGCACAAUAUUCUAAAUACACCACAUUAAGUAAUAGUUCAAAAAUAUUCAAUAUAUAAUUGUUUUCAUUCAUAAUUUUGUUAUUAUUUUAAAAAAUAAUUUGGUUGCUGUUAACCUAUAUUUCAAUUAUAUAAUUAUAUUAUUUUUUAUUUUAUGUAUCUAGAAACAAUAUUUUUGUAAUAUUUAUUACAUUAAUUAUAUUAAAAGAUAUAAUUUGUUAAAAACUUGAAUAAAAUUAAGAGGAUAACUUUAUGUCUCUCCAAGUUCACAGCACGGGUGAGCAUUGGGUUCGGAUAUCCAUAUACCGAAUGGAUAUAUCAAAUCAAAACUAAUCAUGAAUUAUGAUAAUAAUUAAAUAAAUUAUAAUUAAGCUAUAUGAAUCAACUCCAAAUGACAACAACAGCACCAAACCUUAGUUACUUUAAUAUUGGUAAAUAAAUAUAAUAUAAUAAUCAAAUUGAUGAAAAAUCACAUCAUCUAAUAAAUUCACAAAAAAUAUAUGAUCAUUAGUAUAUUAUAUUAGUAUCCACACACUUAUAUUUCAAAAUCUAUCCUCCAAAAUUAUCAUCUCUGUAAGCUAGCCACAUAAAAUAAAAAAUUUAAAGAUAUUAGAUAUUUAGUUAUUUUCAUUAUAUAAUUUUUCCACACGAAAUAACAAAAUAUCUUUAUCAAAUUAUUAUUUAUGAGUUAAAUAUUCAAGUUAUAAAUCCAGUAUUCAGCGUAUAAAUAGAAGUGUGCAGUAUGAUAUCAGAUUCACAUAACCCAGUUGAUGAGGAGAAACAUGGCAUACUCUGCAAAGCCUUCUCACCUUCUUCUCUUUGUUUUCUUUCUCUCAUCACUUGAAUCCAUUCUUGCAACAACACGAGAGGGAGAAGCUCUUGUGAAAUGGAAGAAUAGCCUAGCCCCUUCUUCUUUUCUCGAUUCUUGGUCCCUCACCAAUCUCGAAAAUCUUUGUAACUGGACUGGCAUUACUUGUAACUCUGCAGGUUCAGUCUCUGAGAUUAACCUCUGUGAGAAACAACUUGAUGGAAUGCUGUCCGACUUCGGUUUCACUUCAUUUCCAAAUCUCAAGAAUCUCACCCUCGCAUACAACUUCUUCUCGGGUCCAAUACCACCAGCCAUUCAGAACUUAACAAGGCUUCAAUGCCUUGAUUUAAGCUUUAAUUAUCUCAAUGGUCCUAUUCCGUUCCAGGUGAGCCAUCUUCAGAGCUUGCUCAUCUUGAACCUGUCACAGAAUGCAUUGCAAACUCCAAAUUGGUCCCAUUUCUCUCCCAUGCCUUUCUUGCGCAUCCUCAACCUCAGUUACAAUCCUCUUGCGUCGAAAUUCCCAGAUUUUAUAUCCAGUUCUCAUAGCCUGACUCACCUUAGCCUUAAUUAUAACGAGUUUACUGGUGAUUUAGUACGUGAAUCAGUAUUUGCCGAUCUGCAUAAUCUUGAAAAGCUCAGUCUUGUUGGCAAUUCUUUCGAGGGGCCAUUUCCGCCGGAUAUAUUCAGGCUUUCCAAAUUAAAACAUCUUAGCAUGUCAGAUAACAAACUUUCAGGUUCAAUUCCCAAUGACAUAAGGUUGCUUUGUGAUCUUGAAUACCUAUAUUUAGCCAACAAUUCCUUUGAAGGACCGCUUCCACCAAAUAUAUUCAAGUUUUCAAAAUUAAAACAUCUUGUUCUUUGGGGUAAUAAGUUUUCUGGUUCUGUUUCCAAUGAUAUAGGUUUGCUUUCUGAGCUUGAAACUCUCGAUCUUAGCUCUAAUUUUUUUGAGGGGCCGCUUCCGCCAAAUGUAUUCAAGCUCUCCAAACUAAAAGUUCUCACCCUGUCAAUUAACAAAUUUUUAGGUUCAAUUCCCAAUGACAUAAGGUUACUUUGUGAUCUUGAAUACCUAUAUUUAGGCAACAAUUCCUUUGAAGGACCGCUUCCACCAGGUAUAUUCAAGCUUUCAAAAUUAAAACAUCUUUUUCUUUGGGGUAAUAAGUUUUCAGGUUCUGUUUUCAAUGAUAUAUGUUUGCUUUCUGAGCUUGAAACCCUCGAUCUUAACUCUAAUUUUUUUGAGGGGCCGCUUCCGCCAAAUGUAUUCAAGCUCUCCAAACUAAAGAUUCUUUCCCUUUAUGUGAACAACUUUUCAGGUUUUAUUUCUAAGGAUAUAGGUUGGCUUUUUGAACUUGAAACCCUCUAUCUUGGCUCUAAUUUUUUUGAGGGGCCGCUUCCCCCACAUGUAUUUAGGCUCUCCAAAUUAAGAGAUUUGGACCUCUCAGACAAUAGAAAUUUAUUUGAAGGAAGUAUUCCUAUUGGACUGGGACUCUUGACUAACCUCAGGUACUUAGAUCUACAUUUCAGUAAUCUCAGUGGCUAUAUUCCAUCUGACAUUGGAAACCUGAAGCUACUAGUACUUCUUGAUCUCAGUUCUAAUAAAUUGACUGGACCGCUUUCAAAGAUCAUUUCUAAUCUCACAAAUCUUAUAUUUCUUGAUGUAAGUGAUAAUAGUCUUAGUGGAAAUAUUCAGAGUGACUUGUGGAAAUAUAACGAUCAUCCAACUUUGGAAUACAUCGAUUUAAGUGGGAACCAUUUUACGGGUAUAGUUUUUCUCUAUAGAUCUUUUCUUUUUCUCAUAUGUAACUAAGCUAGUAAUCUGAUUAUUGCAGUUUCACCAAAGUUUCAACAAUCUUGACAGGUGAGCUUCCAACAACAAUUUGCAAUGUCACUUCCCUUUUGGUUCUUGAUUUGUCAAAUAAUGAAUUAAGUGGUGCACUUCCAAACUGUUUCGGGAAUCUUGCUGAUAGAUUGCUUUUCAUUAAUCUUGCUAAUAAUCAGUUUCGAGGAACAAUACCAACUACUUUCUCCAGGAGUUGUCAGCUGACAUAUCUAAACAUGGAUAAUAAUGAGUUUGAAGGAUUGUUGCGCCCAUCUUUGGCGAACUGUAAGCACUUGAAAAUUCUUGAUAUUGGCAAUAAUAAAAUAGGUGGUACAUUUCCGUCAUGGCUUUAUGCACUUGGAGAGCUAGAAGUCCUUGUCUUGCGAUCAAAUAAACUCUAUGGUACAAUAAGUGGGAGGAGCAUAGAAAAUCCCUUCCCCAAGUUGCGGAUUGUGGAUCUGUCCAACAAUCAAUUCACUGGCCAUUUGCCAAUUCAAUACUUUAAGAAUAUGAAAUCAACUGAUAAUUUGUAUAGUUAUCAGAAUGACACAGGAGUUUUUUCUUUCCAUUAUGAAGCAUCUGUAUCAUUAACUGUGAAGGGAACAGAGUAUGAAGUGAAAAAUAUCCUUCAUAUUUACACAACCAUUGAUCUGUCCUGCAACAAGUUUCAAGGAGAAAUUCCUGACGUUAUUGGAGAGCUUAGAUGGCUUGCAUUGCUGAACUUAUCUCAUAAUAGUCUAACAGGACAUAUCCCAUCAUUGCUGAGAAAUAUGAAAGGACUCCAAUCUUUAGAUUUGUCUUCAAAUCAACUGACAGGGGCUAUUCCACCUCAGUUAACUGCAUUGACAUUUCUAGAGGUCUUGAACCUCUCGGGAAACCAUCUUAGUGGAGAGAUUCCUCAGAAAGGACAGUUCAGCACAUUCAACAAUGAUUCUUAUCUAGGAAACUCCGCGUUAUGUGGAUCACCUUUGACAAAGAAAUGUGUAAACACAGCAUCACCUCCACAGGAAGUCGGAAAUGGUGAUGAAGAUGAUGCUGGCGAUGAAUGGACAUGGGAAGCAAUCGUGAUGGGAUAUGGAUGUGGACUGAUAUGUGGAUUGUCGUCUGCGUACAUUGUUCUCAGACUAGGAAGGCCUUGGUGGUUUGUGAGAUAUAUCGAAGUACUGCAACUGAAGUUGAUGAAAAGAUAUGCAUGAAGAAAGGUACUGGUAGAUCAAGAUGAACUUGAAAGUUAUUUUCGUGGAUGACAUUUGUGAACCAGUACUGUACUAGCUGCUUAAGUAUUUGGUAUUAUGUAAUAAUCCGUUUGGUCGGGACUCAUAAUGAUAUUUCUUGCUUCAGGGGUAUUAAUAUAAACCUUGGUAUUGUGUACUAGCUGUCUGUUUGGUCGUGACUCAUAAUCUUUCAUGUAUUAACAUAAGGUUUUAAUACAUCCCGUACCAGGUUAGCCAUCUUCAGAUAUUACACAUCUUACUGCUGUCGCAUAAUGAAUUGCAAUCUCCAAAUUGGUCCAACUUCUCUUCCAUGCCCUUUUUGCGCAUCCUCGGCCUUGGCAGCAAUAAUCUGGUGUCAAAAUUCCCAGAAUUUAUAUCUGACUCUCAUAGCCUCACUUUCCUUGACCUUUCUUUUAACAAGUUUACAGGUGAUCUUGUGCUUGAAUCAAUUUUUACCGAUCUACAUAAUCUUGAAAACCUCCAUCUUGCUGGAAAUUCCUUUGAGGGGCCGAUUCCACCUAGAGUAUUUAAGCUUUCCAAUUUAAAAGUUCUUGAACUCACGGGUAAUAACUUUUCUCGUUCUAUUUCCAACGAUAUAGGUUUGCUUUCUGAACUUGAGACCCUCUAUCUUGACUUCAAUUUUUUUGAUGGACCAAUUCCCCCAAAUAUAUUCAACCUUUCCCAAUUAAAAAUUCUUGAACUAACAGAAAAUAACUUUUCUGGUCCUGUUUCCAAUGAUAUAAGUUUGCUUUCUGAGCUUGAAAACCUCAAUCUUGCCUUAAAUUCUUCUGAUGGGCCUUUUCCAUCAAAGAUAUUCAACCUAACCAAAUUGAGACAUCUAAAUCUCUAUGGCAAUAAGAAUUUAUUUAAAGGAAGUAUCCCACUGGAUAUCAGAAACCUGAAGCUCCUGGAAUCUAUUAAUCUCGGUUCUAAUCAAUUGGUUGGACCACUUUCAAUGCUCAUUUCUAAUCUCACUAAUCUUAAGAUGGUUGGGCUAAGCGAUAAUAGGUUUUUUGGCAAAAUUCCUAGUGACUUCUUGAAAAACUUGCCAUCCUUACACGUCAUUGAUCUUUCAAAUAAUAAUUUGUCCGGAAAUAUUCCCAGGGAGUAUAACGUGCAUCCAAUUUUAGAAUACAUCAAUUUAAGUGGAAACCAUCUUACAGGUUUACUUCUCCCUCAAUAUAUUUUAUUUUCCUUUUGUAUGUUACAUUGAUUACACUUUUACCGAAGCUCAAACAAUUUUAACAGGUGAGAUCCCAGCAACAAUUUGCAAUGCUACAAACCUUUAUAUUCUGGUUCUGUCAGAUAAUGGAUUAAGUGGUGCCCUUCCGCAUUGUUUGGGAAAUCUUGCAGAUAAAAUGCAUUGCAUUGAUCUCGCUAAUAAUCAGUUCCGAGGACCAAUACCAACAACCUUCUCAGAGAGUUGCCAGUUAAGAUAUCUAAACAUGUAUGACAAUCAGUUAGAAGGACUUUUGCCCCGAUCUUUGUCAAACUGUAAGCACUUGAAAAUUCUUGACAUCGGGAACAACAAAAUGGGCGGUACAUUUCCUUCAUGGCUAUUCACUCUCAGAGAGCUAGAAGUCCUAGUCUUGCAAUCAAAUAAACUGUAUGGUCCAGUAAGUGGAAGGAGCACACAUCACAUCCAUUCCCCAAGUUGCGGAUUCUAGAUCUCUCCAACAACCAAUUCACGGGCUAUUUGCCAAUUCAAUACUCUUUAAGAAUAUGAAACCAGCUGCUGAUAACAUUUGUCUUAGGAUGACACAUGUUCUAAACUAUGACAAUAGUAUGCAAUCUCGUUUAAUACUUUCAUAUUAUGAACUAGUUCUGUUGAAUAAAUAAAUAUUAUUAAUUAAUCAAUCAUGUGCGCUCGAGUUUCCCUGGCCAGAUGCCCAGAUUAUUAGAGCAUCUCCAGCAGAGUCUUAACCGGUUCUCUAAAUAUAUAAUAAAAUAUGUAUCUUUUAAGGGAUUACUACAUUUUAGUGAAUGAGAACUCCAACAACAUUCCCUAUUUACAUUCUCUAUUAUUAUUAUAAUAUUAUAUUCAACUUGUAAUAAGAGAGAGAAAGUUUGGAAAGAGUAAAAGUGAGAAAAAAUAAGUGAAUAUUUUAUUCUUCAGAAUAAUAUAAGGAAAGAAAAUGCCAAAACAAUUAACUAUAAUCUACGCAAUAAUUUUUUAUAUUGAUUAGACGUUAUCUUUAUCAAUAUUUAGUCAGAUAUUCGGAUAUAUAUCAUUCCCUUUGUUUUUAUACCAUCUUUUUUUUGACUUUCGGGCCAAAUCACUACGUGGGUUGACUGGAUAGUAGAAAUUAAUAUUUUUGUCUGUUUUUUAAAAUAAAAAUCUGUAUUUUUAUUUUGAUUUCGAAGAAUAUAAUCCAUAAGGUAAAUAAUUUUUAANNNNNNNNNNNNNNNNNNNNNNNNNNNNNNNNNNNNNNNNNNNNNNNNNNNNNNNNNNNNNNNNNNNNNNNNNNNNNNNNNNNNNNNNNNNNNNNNNNNNNNNNNNNNNNNNNNNNNNNNNNNNNNNNNNNNNNNNNNNNNNNNNNNNNNNNNNNNNNNNNNNNNNNNNNNNNNNNNNNNNNNNNNNNNNNNNNNNNNNNNNNNNNNNNNNNNNNNNNNNNNNNNNNNNNNNNNNNNNNNNNNNNNNNNNNNNNNNNNNNNNNNNNNNNNNNNNNNNNNNNNNNNNNNNNNNNNNNNNNNNNNNNNNNNNNNNNNNNNNNNNNNNNNNNNNNNNNNNNNNNNNNNNNNNNNNNNNNNNNNNNNNNNNNNNNNNNNNNNNNNNNNNNNNNNNNNNNNNNNNNNNNNNNNNNNNNNNNNNNNNNNNNNNNNNNNNNNNNNNNNNNNNNNNNNNNNNNNNNNNNNNNNNNNNNNNNNNNNNNNNNNNNNNNNNNNNNNNNNNNNNNNNNNNNNNNNNNNNNNNNNNNNNNNNNNNNNNNNNNNNNNNNNNNNNNNNNNNNNNNNNNNNNNNNNNNNNNNNNNNNNNNNNNNNNNNNNNNNNNNNNNNNNNNNNNNNNNNNNNNNNNNNNNNNNNNNNNNNNNNNNNNNNNNNNNNNNNNNNNNNNNNNNNNNNNNNNNNNNNNNNNNNNNNNNNNNNNNNNNNNNNNNNNNNNNNNNNNNNNNNNNNNNNNNNNNNNNNNNNNNNNNNNNNNNNNNNNNNNNNNNNNNNNNNNNNNNNNNNNNNNNNNNNNNNNNNNNNNNNNNNNNNNNNNNNNNNNNNNNNNNNNNNNNNNNNNNNNNNNNNNNNNNNNNNNNNNNNNNNNNNNNNNNNNNNNNNNNNNNNNNNNNNNNNNNNNNNNNNNNNNNNNNNNNNNNNNNNNNNNNNNNNNNNNNNNNNNNNNNNNNNNNNNNNNNNNNNNNNNNNNNNNNNNNNNNNNNNNNNNNNNNNNNNNNNNNNNNNNNNNNNNNNNNNNNNNNNNNNNNNNNNNNNNNNNNNNNNNNNNNNNNNNNNNNNNNNNNNNNNNNNNNNNNNNNNNNNNNNNNNNNNNNNNNNNNNNNNNNNNNNNNNNNNNNNNNNNNNNNNNNNNNNNNNNNNNNNNNNNNNNNNNNNNNNNNNNNNNNNNNNNNNNNNNNNNNNNNNNNNNNNNNNNNNNNNNNNNNNNNNNNNNNNNNNNNNNNNNNNNNNNNNNNNNNNNNNNNNNNNNNNNNNNNNNNNNNNNNNNNNNNNNNNNNNNNNNNNNNNNNNNNNNNNNNNNNNNNNNNNNNNNNNNNNNNNNNNNNNNNNNNNNNNNNNNNNNNNNNNNNNNNNNNNNNNNNNNNNNNNNNNNNNNNNNNNNNNNNNNNNNNNNNNNNNNNNNNNNNNNNNNNNNNNNNNNNNNNNNNNNNNNNNNNNNNNNNNNNNNNNNNNNNNNNNNNNNNNNNNNNNNNNNNNNNNNNNNNNNNNNNNNNNNNNNNNNNNNNNNNNNNNNNNNNNNNNNNNNNNNNNNNNNNNNNNNNNNNNNNNNNNNNNNNNNNNNNNNNNNNNNNNNNNNNNNNNNNNNNNNNNNNNNNNNNNNNNNNNNNNNNNNNNNNNNNNNNNNNNNNNNNNNNNNNNNNNNNNNNNNNNNNNNNNNNNNNNNNNNNNNNNNNNNNNNNNNNNNNNNNNNNNNNNNNNNNNNNNNNNNNNNNNNNNNNNNNNNNNNNNNNNNNNNNNNNNNNNNNNNNNNNNNNNNNNNNNNNNNNNNNNNNNNNNNNNNNNNNNNNNNNNNNNNNNNNNNNNNNNNNNNNNNNNNNNNNNNNNNNNNNNNNNNNNNNNNNNNNNNNNNNNNNNNNNNNNNNNNNNNNNNNNNNNNNNNNNNNNNNNNNNNNNNNNNNNNNNNNNNNNNNNNNNNNNNNNNNNNNNNNNNNNNNNNNNNNNNNNNNNNNNNNNNNNNNNNNNNNNNNNNNNNNNNNNNNNNNNNNNNNNNNNNNNNNNNNNNNNNNNNNNNNNNNNNNNNNNNNNNNNNNNNNNNNNNNNNNNNNNNNNNNNNNNNNNNNNNNNNNNNNNNNNNNNNNNNNNNNNNNNNNNNNNNNNNNNNNNNNNNNNNNNNNNNNNNNNNNNNNNNNNNNNNNNNNNNNNNNNNNNNNNNNNNNNNNNNNNNNNNNNNNNNNNNNNNNNNNNNAUAUACACUUCCAUUUCCACUUUCCAGUAUUAAGUUUAGAAUUAAGAUCUUAACAACAUAGCAAUCAUUUAAACCUCGAAGAAAAUUGUGCACAUUAACAAGACCAAAGAGAAAACAGAUAGCAUAAAAUUGUGUAACACGUAUAAUUUAAAUCCACUUCUCAGUAUACUCCACAUUCAAGGUGAUCUAACUGCUACAAUAUUCUAAUUUUCACAGCUACGACACUGAACAAUAUAAGAACCAGUUUACUGUAAGUUUACUGAACAUAUAUAUACGACAUUGAACAAUAUAAAAUAGCUAUCCUUUGUAAGACCAAAAACAAAGGACACUAGCUAGCUAAUUCAAUAUACAAAACCACUCCAAUCAGUUUAUGAUAAGCAACUACAAACAUACAAAUACAUAUAAACAUACAAAUACAUAUAAACAUACUAUCUCAUUUUCCAAAAACCACAACUACAAACUAUCUCAUUUUCCAAAAACACACACUGAAAUACAUAUAUACAUACACAUACAACCACAAGGAUACCCAAACUCAAGUAAUAAAUAAGAAAUUACCUCCUCCAACUCGAAGAGAGCUUGAAUAGACUUGAACAGAGCUUGAACAGACUCCGAGCUCGAACUCCCUACAAACUCGAACUGAAGUACGAGCACCCACUAAACCCACAAACUCCACACUCGAACUGAACUCUGAGAUCUGUUGAAAAAACGAAUUAAAGAAGCAAAUGAGUAUUGUAAUCGAACAAACAUCAGUUUAUUAGGUACAAAUCAACCUUUAUCGCACAAAUUUAAGGAUGAAAUCGGCCGAAUUGGAACCUAGGGUUCGCUCGCUGAGAAAGGGGGAAGAACGGGGAGAGAGAAUGUAUUUUGUACAAAUGAUUUAAUUUAGGUAGUUUUAUUAGUUUUAUGUCUUUUUCCUUUUAAUUUUAUGUUUAAAGACAGGUGUUGAUGUCUUGUUCAGACAACACAUCAACUAAGCAGCGGGGUUUUAAAGGCGGGGUUUUUUUGUUUGUGAAAAAUUUGGCUAAGUGGGGAAUAGAAGCGGGGAAGCGCGGCCAAUUUUUUAAAAACAUGUUUUAGACAUCGGUUCUACACUAAGAUGAUGUCUAGUUUUUUAAUAGACAUCGGUUUUUAAAAUUUCGAUGUAAAAAAGGGUUUUAACAUCGGUGGUUUUUUUAACCGAUGUCUAAUCUGUGAUGUCUGAUCCUGUUUUUCUAGUAGUGAUCACUGCAACAAAAUAUUAGUUACGACGGAACAAUGUCGCUGGACUUUAUUUGUUUACAUUUUUUUAAUAGUAGUUAAUUUUUAAACUUGCGACGGAAAACAUACGACAGUCUACUUCGCGAGAGAAAAUCAUUUUAUUUUAUUUUUUAGCGCCAGAAUUUUAAUACUAAACUACUAUAGGGCCGUUUGGGCUAGCUUAAAAAAAGUGAUUUUUUACUUACAGUAAAGAAGUGGAUUAAAAGUGAGAAGCAAAUAAGUCAAUAAAAUGUUUGGAAAAGAAGUAGAAGCUGUGAGAGAGAAGUUAGCAUUCUCAGCUUCUUAAAAGUGCUUCUGCUUAUUUACAUAAACGGGUAAAAAAAAAAAAGCAAAAGCCAGAAGCAGCUUCUACUUCUCGAAACAAACAGGGCCAAUAUAUAUGAAGGAAACUGAUCUCUAUUGUUUUCAGCUUGCUCAUCCAUGGUAAGUAAUCCGUCGAAAAAGUUAGUUUGUUGUCGUGGUGUCUUAUCAUGAGAGAAAAUGGUAAUAUCGCAAAAUAUUUGCAACUGAAAGAUAAAUUAUAGUUCUAGAAACCAUUUAGGUAACGAUGCGCGGAGUUAUUUUCACUCACUUAGAAUUAAUGAUAAAUAUUUGCAACUGAAAGAUACAUUAUAGUUCUAGAAAAGGAUCCACGGAAUUAUUUUCACUCACUUAGAAUUAAUCCUAAGUUAUUGUGAGUUUUUGAAUAUGGAUUAUCUCAAAUUUUAUUAAAACACAUAUCGAUUCAUAUAGACAAAUUUGCCUACCUAAUAUUAUAAUAUUUAUGGCGAAGUUGUAUGAACAAUUGUGUAGAUAAUUAUACUUUACAAAGCAUACUUCUGCUAGCUGAAUUUUGAUUAAAAAAUCGAAAGGGAUAGGUCUGGGUCUCUCCAAGUCUUUGAGGACUCAUUCCAAGUCUUCUGAUGAGGACAAAAUAUAUCGCUGGUAGUCUUUCAGUCCUUCCUAGAGUAUUUUAUGCUCUGCACUGCAUUUGUGUUGAUAAUUUGCGCAAUGUUGAUGAGGAUUGCUCCAAGUCUUGGCGGACUCUUUCCAAAUCUUCCGAGGACCUAUCGGUUCAAUUUAGCCCAUUAAAAAUUUUAUUAUCUCAAAGCUAUCUGCAAAAUAAUAUAUAAGGUAAAAAUGAAUAUAUACCAUUGUUUUGUGAUUAAGUUGUAUAGGCAAUAUGCAUUGCAAAAUCAGCAACAGGAUAUAUGAAUACUAAUUAAUUACCUGAUAUCAGUAUGAACAAAUACUUUCUAUGUAGUUGUAAUAUUAGUCUUCUUUAAAAGUUAUCAUGAGGGAAGGUAUAUAUUGUGAUGCGGGAGAAAUAUUGUCACUGAAAAUAAUUAUAAUUCUAAAAUUUCCAUUAUACACUUUUUUUAGUGUUUGUACGUGGUAAGUACUUCAGACGACAUUUCUCGCGUAUGCCUCCGAUUAAGAAUUUGAUGUUCAGCCUAGUCCUAAACUAAAAUUAUUAUAAAUGUGUACUUCAAAAUUAUAUAUAUUGCUGGUAGUCUUUCAGUUCUUCCUGGUGUAUGCAAUUGUUUCAUUCAAUACCAAUUAUUUUAUACUAUGCACUCUGAUAUCAUGUUGAGAACAAUCCAUCAAAAACUUUAAACCUUAAUUAAGGUGUUAGAGGAAAAUACCAAUUAGAUCUUAUGCUAUAUUUCAAUACUUCCAACACUCUGCGAUGCAAAGCAGGGACUCUUGAGUAUUUUCAUAUGUGUAUUAGUUUUGAAGAUAAAAGUUGUAUAGAGAAUUGUGUUGAUAAUUUGCGCAAUUGCGCAAUGAUAACUGGGAUAGGUCAUCUUCUCUCCCAAGUCUUGGAUGGAAUCUUUCCAAGUCUUCUGAGAACCCAUCAGCUCAGAUUAGUCCAUACAAUGUCAAGGGUCCUAUGAUAUGGUCUACUAACAGCCCAGUGUCGGUAAUAAAUCCAAUUGCAUAUAACCUAUUCAAAAUCAAUCCCCUAUAAACAAUCAUCUCUAAAAACUAUUCACAUAAAAUAAAAUUUUAAAAAUAUAAAAUAUCUAGUUGUUUUCAAUAUAUAAUUUUCCACAGUAGAUAACANNNNNNNNNNNNNNNNNNNNNNNNNNNNNNNNNNNNNNNNNNNNNNNNNNNNNNNNNNNNNNNNNNNNNNNNNNNNNNNNNNNNNNNNNNNNNNNNNNNNNNNNNNNNNNNNNNNNNNNNNNNNNNNNNNNNNNNNNNNNNNNNNNNNNNNNNNNNNNNNNNNNNNNNNNNNNNNNNNNNNNNNNNNNNNNNNNNNNNNNNNNNNNNNNNNNNNNNNNNNNNNNNNNNNNNNNNNNNNNNNNNNNNNNNNNNNNNNNNNNNNNNNNNNNNNNNNNNNNNNNNNNNNNNNNNNNNNNNNNNNNNNNNNNNNNNNNNNNNNNNNNNNNNNNNNNNNNNNNNNNNNNNNNNNNNNNNNNNNNNNNNNNNNNNNNNNNNNNNNNNNNNNNNNNNNNNNNNNNNNNNNNNNNNNNNNNNNNNNNNNNNNNNNNNNNNNNNNNNNNNNNNNNNNNNNNNNNNNNNNNNNNNNNNNNNNNNNNNNNNNNNNNNNNNNNNNNNNNNNNNNNNNNNNNNNNNNNNNNNNNNNNNNNNNNNNNNNNNNNNNNNNNNNNNNNNNNNNNNNNNNNNNNNNNNNNNNNNNNNNNNNNNNNNNNNNNNNNNNNNNNNNNNNNNNNNNNNNNNNNNNNNNNNNNNNNNNNNNNNNNNNNNNNNNNNNNNNNNNNNNNNNNNNNNNNNNNNNNNNNNNNNNNNNNNNNNNNNNNNNNNNNNNNNNNNNNNNNNNNNNNNNNNNNNNNNNNNNNNNNNNNNNNNNNNNNNNNNNNNNNNNNNNNNNNNNNNNNNNNNNNNNNNNNNNNNNNNNNNNNNNNNNNNNNNNNNNNNNNNNNNNNNNNNNNNNNNNNNNNNNNNNNNNNNNNNNNNNNNNNNNNNNNNNNNNNNNNNNNNNNNNNNNNNNNNNNNNNNNNNNNNNNNNNNNNNNNNNNNNNNNNNNNNNNNNNNNNNNNNNNNNNNNNNNNNNNNNNNNNNNNNNNUGUAUUAGUUUUGUAAGAUAAAAGUUGUAUGGACAAUUGUGUUGUAUAAUUUGCGCAAUGAUAACUGGGAUAGGUCAUCUUCUCUCCCAAGUCUUGGAUGGAAUCUUUCCAAGUCUUCUGAGAACCCAUCAGCUCAGAUUAGUCCAUACAAUGUCAAGGGUCCUAUGAUAUGGUCUACUAACAGCCCAGUGUCGGUAAUAAAUCCAAUUGCAUAUAACCUAUUCAAAAUCAAUCCCCUAUAAACAAUCAUCUCUAAAAACUAUUCACAUAAAAUAAAAUUUUAAAAAUAUAAAAUAUCUAGUUGUUUUCAAUAUAUAAUUUUCCACAGUAGAUAACAAAAUAUCUUUAUCAAAUUGUUAUUUAUGGGUUCAAUAUUUAAGCUAUAAUUCCAAUAACACGGCAAGCAUGCAGCGUAUAAAUAGAAGUGUGCAGUAUGUUAUCAGAUUCAUAACCCAGUUGAUCAGGAGAAACAUGGCAUACUCUGCAAAGCCUUCUCACCUUCUUCUCUUUGUUUUCUUUCUCUCAUCACUUGAAUCCAUUCUUGCAACAACACGAGAAGGAGAAGCUCUUGUGAAAUGGAAGAAUAGCCUAGCCCCUUCUUCUUUUCUCGAUUCUUGGUCCCUCACCAAUCUCGAAAAUCUUUGUAACUGGACUGGCAUUACUUGUAACUCUGCAGGUUCAGUCUCUGAGAUUAAUCUCUGUGAGAAACAACUUAAUGGAAUGCUGUCCGAGUUUGGUUUCACUUCAUUUCCAAAUCUCAACUAUCUCACACUCGCAGACAACUUCUUCUCCGGUCCAAUACCACCAGCCAUUGAGAAUUUAACACAGCUUCAAUAUCUUGAUUUGAGAAAUAAUUAUCUAGAUGGUCCCAUUCCGUUCCAGGUUAGCCAUCUUCAGAGCUUGCUCAUAUUAAACCUGUCACAGAAUGCAUUGCAAGCUACAAAUUGGUCCAAUUUCUCUCCCAUGCCUUUUUUGCGCAUCCUCAACCUCAGUAGCAAUCAUCUUGUAUCGAAAUUCCCAGAAUUUAUAUCCAAUUCUCAUAGCUUGGCUAUCCUUGACCUUUCACAUAACAACUUUACAGGUGAUCUUGUGCGUGAAUUUACCAAUCUACAAAAUCUUGAAACCCUCUGGCUUUAUUGUAAUUCUUUUGAGGGGCCAUUUCCGCCGGAUAUAUUCAGGCUCUCCAAAUUAAAACGUCUCUCCCUGUCAAGUAACAAAUUUUCAGGUUCAGUUCCCAAUGACAUAAGGUUGCUUUGUGAUCUUGAAUCCUUAAACUUAAGCAACAAUUCUUUUGAAGGACCGCUUCCACCAAAUUUAUUCAAGCUUUCGAAAUUAAAGAGUCUUUUUCUUUGGAGUAAUAAGUUUUCAGGUUCUAUUUCCAAUGAUAUAGGUUUGCUUUCUGAGCUUGAAUUUCUCAAUCUUUACGAUAAUUUUUUUGAGGGGCCGCUUCCAUGCAUCAAAUAUAUUCAAGCUCUCCAAAUUAAGGGUUCUUUACCUUAACGGUAAUAAACUUCUAGGUUCUCUUUCCAAUGAUAUAGGUUUGCUUUCUGAGCUUGAAACCCUCAAUCUUCGCUCUAAUUUUUUUGAGGCUCCGUUUCCGUCAAAUAUAUUCAAGCUUUCCAAAUUAACAAUUCUUGACCUCGCAUACAAUAGAAAUUUAUUUGAAGGAAGUUUUCCUAUUGGACUGGGACUCUUGACUAACCUCAGCUACUUAGAUCUAACUUCCACUAAUCUCAGUGGCUCAUCUGCCAUUGGAAACCUCAAGCUACUACUAUAUCUUGGUCUCAGUUAUAAUCAAUUGACUGGACCGCUUUCAAACAUUGUUUCUAAUCUAACAAAUCUUAUAUUUCUUGGUGUGGAUCAUAAUAGUCUUAGUGGAAAUAUUCCGAGUGACUGGUGGAAAGCCUCUGUAUCCUUACUUUACAUUGAUCUUGGAUAUAAUUAUUUGUCUGGGAACAUUCCUAAGGAAUAUAAAGAUCAUCCAACUUUGGAAUACAUCGAUUUAAGUGGGAACCAUUUUACAGGUAUUUUUUUCUCUAUAUAUCUUUUCCUUUUGUCACAUGUAACUAAGCUAGUAAUCUGAUUAUUGCAGUUUUACCUAAGUUUUAACAAUCUUGACAGGUGAGCUUCCAACAACAAUUUGCAAUGCUACCUCCCUUUCGGUUCUUGCUUUGUCAAAUAAUGGAUUAAGUGGUGCACUUCCAAACUGUAUUGCGAAUCUUGCUGAUGGAUUGCUUUACAUUAAUCUUGCUAAUAAUCAGUUUCGAGGAGCAAUACCAACUACUUCAUCCAAAAGUUGUCAGCUGACCUAUCUCAACAUGGAUAAUAAUGAGUUUGAAGGAUUGCUGCCCCCAUCUUUGGCGAACUGUAAGCACUUGAAGAUUCUUGAUAUUGGCAAUAAUAAAAUAGGUGGUACAUUUCCUUCAUGGCUUUAUGCACUUGGAGAGCUAGAAGUCCUUGUCUUGCGAUCAAAUAAACUCUAUGGUCCAAUAAGUGGGAGGAGCAUAGAAAAUCCCUUCCCCAAGUUGCGGAUUUUGGAUCUGUCCAACAAUCAAUUCUCAGGCCAUUUGCCAAUUCAAUACUUCAAGAAUAUGAAAUCAACUGAUAAAUUGUAUCGCUAUCAGAAUGCCACAACAUUAACGGGUUUCCAAUAUGAUGCAUCAGUCCCAUUAACUGUGAAGGGAACAGAGUAUGAAGUGAAAAAUAUCCUUCAUAUUUACACAGCCAUUGAUCUGUCCUGCAACAAGUUUCAAGGAGAAAUUCCUGACGUUAUUGGAGAGCUUAGAUGGCUUGCAUUGCUGAACUUAUCUCAUAAUAGUCUAACAGGACCUAUCCCAUCAUUGCUGAGAAAUAUGAAAGAACUCCAAUCUUUAGAUUUGUCGUCAAAUCAACUGACAGGGGCUAUUCCACCUCAGUUAACUGCACUGACAUUUCUAGAGGUCUUCAACCUCUCGGGAAACCAUCUUAGUGGAGAGAUUCCUCAGAAAGGACAGUUCAGCACAUUUAACAAUGAUUCUUAUCUAGGAAACUCCGCGUUAUGUGGAUCACCAUUGACGAAGAAAUGUGCAAACACAGCAUCACCUCCACAAGAAGUCGGAAAUGUUGAUGAAGAUGAUGCGGGUGAUGAAUUGACAUGGGAAGCAAUCUUGAUGGGAUAUGGAUGUGGACUGAUAUGUGGAUUGUCAUCUGCUUACAUUGUUCUCAAACUAGGAAAGCCUUGGUGGUUUGUGAGAUAUAUCGAAGUGCUGCAACUGAAGUUGAUGAAAAGAUAUGCAUGAAGAAUGGUACUGGCCGAUCAAGACGAACUUGAAAGUUGUUGGACAUUUCUGAACCAGUAGUGUACUAUUCUCUUUGUGGCUGCAUAAGUUUUUGGUAUUGUGUAAUAUUCUGUUUGGUCUUGAAUUUCAGGGGUAUUAAUAUAAACCUUGGUAUUGUGUAAUAUUCUGUUUGAUCAAUGUUUAUAUCAAUAAUUUUAUGCUCCUCACUGCAUCAUGCAGCUCUCAUAUUAUCUUCAUAUGUGUAUUAUUUGGAUAUCAAAGUUGCAGGGACAUAUGGAUAUGUGUUAACAGGGACUGCUCGGUCUUGGACGGACUCUUUCCAAGUCCUCUGGGGUCCUAUCGGUUCAAAUUAGUCUAUUAUCUGCAUACUAAUUUGUCCAACUCGGGCUUGAAUAGUAAAGAUAAAGAGUGCGAGUUGAGUUUCUCAAAGUAUGAGUACAAUAUCGUUUUUGAAUGAUAGUUAGGGGUGCGAUAUGCAAUUACCUCAAAAAUAUAUGAUCAUUAGUAUAUUAUAUUAGUAUCCACACACUUAUAUCUCAAAAUCUAUCCUCCAAAAUUAUCAUCUCUAUAGGCUAGCCACAUAAAAUAAAAAUUUAAAGAUAUUAGAUUUUUAGUUAUUUUCAUUAUAUAAUUUUUCCACGCAAAAUAACAAAAUAUCUUUAUCAACUUAUUAUUUAUGAGUUAAAUAUUCAAGUUAUAUAAUUCGGACAUGCUGGGUAUAAAUUGAAGUGUAACGCCUAAUUUCCGGGGUCUGGGAGUAGUUGGCGGGGUAUGAGAGAGCAGGCUAUUUAGAAGUCUUGGUCAUGAAAACUUCCAAGCUAAACUUCGACAACGGAAUCUUCUGAGGCUACUAUUCUAAAGCACGCAUAAUCAUUGUAUCCAUUUUCCGACAAAAAGUCUAUUUAAGCAAAUGAAAUACAAACAACUGAGUGGAAUGCUGACCGAAAGUCUUUUUGACUAAGCUUAUGAUUUAUUAGUACAUGAUUAAUAUGAUAAGCUAAGCUGAGAGCAUAAGAUAUCGUGUGUAUAAUUUUGUGUUUAUUAAUGACUUAUAAAUUAUUAAAAAUAUAAUAAGAAAAAUAAAAAUGAUUUAUAACUAAUUUAUGUUUUAUGAGUAAUUUUUAUUAGAAAAAAGUUUUAAAAAAUUAUUUCACUGGAAAAAAAACCUCCAACUAACUUUUGGCUCUAAGUCAGUUUUUGAUUUAUUUAUGACUUUAUGUCGGAUUCUGAUUUUUACACAAAAAUCUGGUUUUAAACCUCUGAGUUUGGUUUCACUUCAUAUACAAACCUCAACAAUUUCACCAUCAAACACAAUGACUUCUCCAAUCUCCGGUCCAGUACCACCAGCCAUUGAGAAUUUGGCACAACUUCAAUUCCAUACCAGGUUAGUCGUCUUCGGAGAUUACACGUCUUAGACCUGUCAAAUACAAAUUUCAAUCUCCAAACUGGUCCGAUUUAUCUUCUAUGCUUUUUGUUGAGUCCGGCUCAUCUAAAGCCUUAAGAUGUUAGAGGAAGCACCCAAUGAAUCUUAUAUAUGCUAUAUUUUAACAAUUCUGAGCACACUCAACCUUGGUAUUAAUAAUAUUGUGUCGAAAAUUCCAGAAUUUAUAUCUAAUUCUCAUAGCCUAACUUUCCUUGACCUUUCCAUAUAACAAAUUUACAGUUAAUCCUGUGCUUGAAUCAGUAUUUGCAACCAAAAUUAUGCAAUUAUAGUGCAGGUAGUCUUCCAGUUUACGCUCUACACUCCAGGAUAAGCUCGCAUAUAAUUGACAGCUAUAAUCCUUCCAACACUUUGUGAUGCAAAGCAGAGGGAUAGGUUGGCUUAAAAAUAUAUAAGGUCACUUAUGCAUCGCUCUUCACACACUUAGACCCUGUUUGUGUGGGCUUUAAGUCCCGGCUCAAGCUAUUUCGACUUAAUCACUUCCGAGACCAAUACCAACAAGUUAAGAUAUCUAAAUAUGUAUGACAAUCAGUUAGAAGGACUAUUGCCGGGCAACAACCUUCUCAAAGAGUUGCCAGUUAAGAUAUCUAAACAUGUAUGACAAUCAGUUAGAACUUUAGAAGGACUAUUGCCCCCAUCUUUGUCAAACUGUAAGCACUUAAAAAUUCUUGACAUCGGGAACAAUAAAAUGGGUGGUACAUUCCCUUCAUGGCUAUUUAAUCUCGGAGAGCUAGAAGUCCUAGUCUUGCGAUCAAAUAGACUGUACGGUCCUGUAAGUGGAAGGAGCACAUCACAUCCAUUCCCCAAGUUGCGGAUUCUAGAUCUCUCCAACAAACAAUUCGCGGGCUAUUUGCCAAUUCUAAACUUUAAGAAUAUGAAACCAGCUGCUGAUGAUAACGCGUAUAGUUAUAAAAAUAAGUCACAAGGACUAAUUAAUUACAUCUAUGAAGCAUCUAUCUCCUUAAAUGUGAAAGGAACAGAGUAUGAAGUGAAGAACAUUCUUCAUAUUUACACAGCCAUUGAUCUAUCGUGCAACAAAUUUCACGGAGAAGUUCCAAAGAGAGCUUAAAUGGCUUGCAUUGCUCAAUCUAUCUCAUAAUAGUCUUGCCGGACAUAUGUUCUGAAUUAUUAUUAUGCUUUCAUCAAUAUUUUCAAACAUUUCUCAAUAUGUAUUUUCAAAGAAUUCUCAAGCCCUGGAACAUUUGGACCGGUUCUUUGGAAGCCAAGAUACCCAGGUUAUCAUGGCCAUGCACAAAAAUGAAUAAAUUAUUCCAAGUCUUCCAUGACUCAUUCCAAGUCUUCGGAGGAGACCCUGAGCACAAAGAUGCUCAGGGUCUCCCCAAGCCUUCCAGGACUCAUUCCAAGUCUUCGGAGCACGGUCUCGCCUCGCCCUUUCAAAGAUGUGAUAGUAGCUCGAGAGUGAUAUAAAUUAUUUUCCCGACACUAAAAAUAAAUAAUCAGAUCAAAUUAAUCAAUAAUGUAUUAAGGAUGAAAUCCAAAUUAAUCCUAAAUUUUGAUAAUAUAUAAAAAUUAUAAUUAUAAAUUAUAUACCAAAUCAGAAUUGAAUUAAUUCCUUGGCACUAAAAUUGAUAAAGAAAGUAUAAUAAUUUAAAUUUAAUUGAUGAAAAGUCAAAGUCUUCUAAUAAAUCCAUAAAGAAUAUGAUAAUCAAAAUAAUGAAAAUUAUAAUUGAAAAAUCAAAAUCAUUAGUGUAUUGGAAUAGUGUUCACACACUUGUAUAUCAAAAUUUGUGGUCCAAAAACUAUAGCACAAUAUCCUAAAUACACCACAUUAAAUAUUAGUUCAAAAAUAUUUAGUAAAUAAUUGUUUUCAUUCAUCAUUUUGUUAUUUAAAAAACUAAUAAUUUGGGUUGAUGUUAACCUAUAUUUUAAUAUAUAAUUAUAUUAUUUUCGUCUUAUUUAUUUAACUAGAAACAAUAUUUUUAUCAUACAUCAAUUAUAUUAAAAGAUAUAAUUUUAUUAAAAAAAUUGAAUUAUUAUUUAUGAAUUCCAGCAUGAAGCGUAUAAAUAGAAGUGUGCAGUUGAUCAGAUUUAUAACCCAGUUGAUCAGGAGAAACAUGGCAUACUCUGCAAAGACUUCUCACCUUCUUCUCUUUGUUUUCUUUCUCUCAUCACUUGAAUCCAUUCUUUCAACAAGACGAGAGGGAGAAGCUCUUGUGAAGUGGAAGAAUAGCCUAGCCCCUUCUUCUUUUCUCGACUCUUGGUCACUCACCAAUCUCGAAAAUCUUUGUAACUGGACUGGCAUUACUUGUAACUCUGCAGGUUCAGUCUCUGAGAUUAACCUUUGUGAGAAACAACUUGAUGGAAUGCUGUCCGAGUUUGGUUUCACUUCAUUUCCAAAUCUAAACAGUCUCACCCUCGCAGACAACUUCUUCUCGGGUCCAAUACCACCAGCCAUUCAGAACUUAACAAGGCUUCAAUACCUUGAUUUAAGCUUGAAUUAUCUCAAUGGUACCAUGCCUUUCUUGCGCAUCCUCAACCUCAGUAGCAAUCCUCUUGCGUCGAAAUUCCCAGAUUUUAUAUCCAGUUCUCAAAGCCUGACUCACCUUGACCUUUCAUAUAACAUGUUUACCGGUGAUCUAGCAUGUGAACCAUUAUUUGCCAACCUGCAUAAUCUUGAAGUCCUCAGUCUCGUUGAAAAUUCUUUUGAGGGGCCAUUUCCACCGGAUAUAUUCAGGCUUUCCAAAUUAAAACAUCUUAGCCUGUCAGUUAACAAACUUUCAGGUUCAAUUCCCAAUGACAUAAGGUUGCUUUGUGAUCUUGAAUACCUAUAUUUAGCCAACAAUUCCUUUGAAGGACCACUUCCACCAAAUAUAUUCAAGCUUUCAAAAUUAAAACAUCUUGUUCUUUGGGGUAAUAAGUUUUCAGGUUCUGUUUCCAAUGAUAUAGGUUUGCUUUCGGCGCUUGAAGCCCUCGAUCUUUAUUCUAAUUUUUUUGAGGGGCCGCUUCCACCAAAUAUAUUCAAGCUCUCAAAACUAAGGAUUCUUUCCCUUGGGAACAAUAACUUUUCAGGUUCUGUCUCUAAUAAUAUAGGUUUGCUUCCUGAGCUUGAAACCCUAUGUCUUGACUCUAAUUUGUUUGAGGGGCCGCUUCCCCCACAUAUAUUCACGCUCUCUAAAUUAAGAUAUCUAGACCUCUCAAACAAUAGAAAUUUAUUUGAAAGAAGUAUUCCUAUUGGAUUGGGACUCUUGACUAACCUCAGGUACUUAGAUCUAUAUUCCAGUAAUCUCAGCGGCUAUAUUCCAUCUGACAUUGGAAACCUGAAGCUACUAGUAGGUCUUAAUCUCGGUUCUAAUAAAUUGACUGGACCAGUUUCAAAGAUCGUUUCUAAUCUCACAAAUCUUAUAUUUCUUAGUGUAAGAAAUAAUAGUCUUAGUGGAAAUAUUCAGAGUGACUUGUGGAACUUCCCUAAGGAAUAUAACAAUCAUCCAACUUUGGAAUACAUCGAUUUAAGUGGGAACCAUUUUACAGGUAUCUUUUCUCUAUAUAUCUUUUCCUUUUCUCAUAUGUAACUAAGCUAGUAAUCUGAUUAUUGCAGUUUUACCAAAGUUUCAACAAUCUUGACAGGUGAGCUUCCAACAACAAUUUGCAAUGUCACUUCCCUUUCGGUUCUUGAUUUGUCAAAUAAUGGAUUAAGUGGUGCACUUCCAAACUGUUUCGGGAAUCUUGCUGAUGGAUUGCUUUACCUUAAUCUUGCUAAUAAUCAGUUUCGAGGAACAAUACCAACUACUUUCUCCAGGAGUUGUCGGCUGAAAUAUCUAAACAUGGAUAAUAAUGAGUUUGAAGGAUUGAUGCCCCCAUCUUUGGCGAACUGUAAGAACUUGAGAAUUCUUGAUAUUGGCAACAAUAAAAUAGGUGGUACAUUUCCGUCAUGGCUUUAUGCACUUGGAGAGCUAGAAGUCCUUGUCUUGCGAUCAAAUAAACUCUAUGGUACAAUAAGUGGAAGGAGCAUAGAAGAUCCCUUCCCCAAGUUGCGGAUUGUGGAUCUGUCCAACAAUCAAUUCACAGGCCAUUUGCCAAUUCAAUACUUUAAGAAUAUGAAAUCAACUGAUAAUUUGUAUCGUUAUCAGAAUGACACAGGAGAUUUUAUUUUCCAUUAUGAAGCAUCUGUCUCAUUAACUGUGAAGGGAACAGAGUAUGAAGUGAAAAAUAUCCUUCAUAUUUACACAGCCAUUGAUCUGUCGUGCAACAAAUUUCAGGGAGAAAUUCCAAAGGUUACUGGAGAGCUUAGAUGGCUUGCAUUGCUCAACUUAUCUCAUAAUAGUCUUACUGGACCUCUCCCAUCACUGCUUGGAAAUAUGGAAGCACUCCAAUCUUUAGAUUUGUCUUCAAAUCAACUGACAGGGGCUAUUCCACCUCAGUUAACCGCAUUGACAUUUCUAGAAGUCUUAAACCUCUCGAGAAACCAUCUUAGUGGAGAGAUUCCUGAGAAAGGACAGUUCAGCACAUUCAACAAUGACUCUUAUCUAGAAAACUCUGCGUUAUGUGGAUCACCCUUGACGAAGAAAUGUGUAAACACUGCAUCACCCCCACAGGAAGUCGGAAAUGGUGAUGAAGAUGAUGCUGGUGAUGAGUUGACAUGGGAAGCAAUCGUGAUGGGAUAUGGAUGUGGACUGAUAUGUGGAUUGUCAUCUGCAUACAUUGUUCUCAAACUAGGAAGGCCUUGGUGGUUUGUGAGAUAUGUCGAAGUACUGCAACUGAAGUUGAUGAAAAGAUAUGCAUGAAGAAAGGUACUGGUCGAUCAAGACAAACUUGAAAGUUGUUGUCCUGGUAGACAUUUCUGAACCAGUAGUGUACUAGCUGCAUAAGUAUUUGGUAUUAUGUAAUAAUCCAUUUGGUCGGGACUCAUAAUGAUUUCUCUUGCUUCAGGGGUAUUAAUAUUAACCUUGCUAUCUUGAUCUGUGUUAAUGCAAAUGAAAAAGAAUGGAAAAACAAAAAAAUUGCAUCAAACCUGUUGUACCAAGAUCCAUUAAUCUGCUUUCAUCUCUUACGCAACAAUUUAACAGCACUUUCACACUGUUUGAAUGAUUAUCAUAAAUUCGAGUUUUCCUCGCCAGCACCAAAUCCAAAUAUACAAUCCCACACAUUCCAGUCUCAGCUUCAGCUCCCAGGCUAGCAUUGAUUUAGCCAAGCACGACAGUGGCCGCUUGUGUGCCUAACAAUGACAGUUGGGGAUUUGAUGGAACGUGCCUUGGUCCUGCCUUCAAAUGUCUAACAAUAACAGUUGGAUAUGUCGACAAAAAAAUUGUUCCUCACACUGAGGAAUAACUCUGACAGUUCUUUUCAUUGUGCCUUGGUCCAGUAAGUGGAAGGAGCACAUCACAUCCAUUCCCCAAGUUGCGGAUUCUAGAUCUCUCCAACAACCAAUUCACGGGCUAUUUGCCAAUUCAAUACUUUAAGAAUAUAUGAAACCAGCUGCUGAUAAAGCGUAUAGUUAUCAAAAUAAGUCACAAGGACUAAUUAAUUACAUAUAUGAAGCCUCUAUCUCCUUAAAUGUGAAAGGAACAGAGUAUGAAGUGAAAAACAUCUCUUUAUAUUAUAGCUCCUGAUGCGUGAUUUGUACAGUUACCACACUGCUUAAUUCUUCACCUCAAAGUUCCACCUUAUUACAAAAAUGCCACCGCUCUAUUAAGCGGCACCCACGUAAGCUCAUUGCCACCACGUGCUAUCUUCCUGCUGUCUUUUGUUUAUUUUAUUCACUAAACCGUACUUACCCGAAGCUUAUGUAACAAGCUUACAUUCUUUACAUUUUACUCAUUUCAAAAUUUAAAACCCAGCCUCCACGGCUCCCUUACAAAAGUAACCGGUUUGAACGUAAAGUUUUCAAAACUAACCAGCCUACGUUCAACUUUUCAAAACUAACCAGCCUAAAUCAAAAAAAGUCGGGCGACCCUUACCUGUUUUUUUCCCGAGCACCGGUCGCCCUCCUCAGGGGCGUCCCCCAUUGGAGUUCAUCAAGCACAGGUCGCCCUCCUCAGGGGCGUCCCCCCUUGAAGUUCUGUGACGUGGUCCGCCCAAUCACGGGCGACCACGUGUGACACUACCCCCUUAAAACCCCCUCCCAGCCACACAAACACACAAUUACACACACAUUUGCACACACUCAGUUUGAAAACAACACUGCAGCAGCCACAGCAAGGAGCCGAAAGGGGAGAUUUUGGUAAAGGAAGGAAGAAAAGUGGGAGAGGAUCGCCCGAGCUAGCAUCAAGGUCGCCCACCCUAGCAAAAAAUUUGAAGGUACUACCUUAUUCCUCCCCUAAAUAUUAGUAUAUAAAGCCUUGAUUUGUAAUUUAUUACUUGAUUAGUUUGUCUUGCAUGUUACAAAUAUCGAUUAUGUUCAUGAUUAUGGCUAAUUUAUAGACUAGUGUUAUAAUUACCGGCUUGAGAUUAGUGUUAUAAUUACCGGAUUGAGAUUUGGUACAUUAUGAUUUUUAAAUUUGUUAAAAAAUUUAAAGAUUUAUAAUAGAAAUUAAGGAUAAUUUAUAGAUUUGAUAUGUUGGAAUUUAAGAUUUUAUGCUUUUUAGAUUUUGUAGGUAGUAAUUAAAUUUAGUUGGAGAGAAAAAAUAUAAUAUAAUAUUCGAAUUAAAAAGAUAUUGAGAAUAUAAUAUUCGAAUUAAAAAAUAUUCGAAUUAAAAUAUAUUAAAAUAUAAUAUUCGAAUUAAAAAUAUAAUAUAAUAUUCGAAUUAAAAUAUAAUAUAAUAUAUAUUCGAAUUAAAAAAUAUUCGAAUUAAAAUAUAUUAAAAUAUAAUAUUCAAAUUAAAAAUAUAAUAUAAUAUUCGAAUUAAAAUAUAAUAUAAUAUAUAUUCGAAUUAAAAAAUAUUCGAAUUAAAAUAUAUUAAAAUAUAAUAUUCGAAUUAAAAAAUAAUAUAAAAUAUAUUGAGAAUUAAAAAAAUUAGAAAGCAAAUAAAAUAUUCGGAUAAAAAAGAUAUUAAUAGCUAAUAUUAAAAAAAAUCGAUUUAUAAUAAUAAAAAUUCGAAAAAAAGCAAAAUAAUCGAAUUAAAAUAAAAUUUUCGAACAUAUAUUAAUAAAAAUCUUAAUUAUAUUAAUAUAUAAUUCGAAUAUAUGAAAUUUCGAGAAUUAGAAUAUUUAUGAAAUUAAGAGAAUUAAAAUAAAUAGGAAAUUCGAACAAAAAUUAAUUUAAGGUACGCUCUCGAUUCUCUCUAAAUUAAUGUGUAUAUAUAUAUAAUGACUUGAUUUGGAUUAUUGUUGUUUUAUUAGCUUGAGUUGCAUGUUAUAAGAUCGGUUAGUUUAUUGAUUGUGGCUUGAGAUUUGUUAUAAUUGAAAUUAAGGCUAAUUUAUAGAUUUGAUAUGUUGGAAUUAAGGCUAAUUGAAAUUAAGGCUAAUUUAUAGAUUUGAUAUGUUGGAAUUAAGGCUAAUUGAAAUUAAGGCUAAUUUAUAGAUUUGAUAUGUUGGAAUUUAAGAUUUUGUGCAUGUUAGAUUUUGUAGGUAGUAAUUUAAUUUAGUUAGAAACAAAAGCUUUGAAUUCGAAUUACAAAUAUUAUGUUGGAAUGAGAUUUUGUAUAUAUACAAAAGCUUUGAAUUCGAAUUAUAAAUAUAUUUGAAAAUUGUUGGCGCAGAUGGAUCCUGCAGCUUAUCAUCCCGGGCCGGUUAACGGCACUUUGUUGACAUUGCAGGACACGCAUAGGUCCACUUUUGUGUGGAACAGUAGUACGGUAAUGACUUGAUGGACUGUUGUUUAUUAAAGUUAAUGUUUGCUUCACUAUAAACUGCUGACAAGUUCCUGUAUUUUAAAUUGCAGGACAUUCCUGAUCUUAGAGUCAGGACGAACUUCGGUGAGUACUGGAAUGUAGUUGACCAAACCAGGCCGCCUCAGACGAUAAUAGAUGCUAUUAAUGAUGCGGGCUUUGAGUGGGUGUUCAGGUUGGGUCAGGUCAAGCAUGACAGGGGCUUGAUCACUGCUUUUAUCGAGAGGUGGCGUCCAGAGACGCACACUUUUCAUCUACCUUUCGGGGAGGCCACCAUUACACUGGAGGAUGUCCAUCACAUUCUCGGGUUACGAACCACUGGCCGGCCAUUUAUUCUACAUGGCUUCACCACCACAGCUCGCGAGAGAUUGGCCAUGAUACGCGAUGUUCUUGGAGUGACUCCUAAGCCGGCUGAUGUGAGGAAGAACGGCUUGAGGAUCGGUUGGUUGAUUGAAAAAUUUGGCGACUGUGCCCGGUUGGACGAGGCAGCGGAGGAUUUUGAUGCACAGACUAUCUUUCACAUCAGGGCACACCUACUGUGUGUUAUUGGAUCGUUGUUUCCUGAUAGCAGCGGGAACUAUGUGAAUCUCAACCUCCUUUGGAUGCUACGUGACUUGCAGAGCGUGGAUGGUUAUAGCUGGGGGAGUGCUGUUCUUGCAUACCUUUAUAGGAAGAUGUGCGAUUCCACCCAUAAAGUCACAACCGGCUUCAUUGGCUACGCCACCACUACGCCAUAUAUGAUCUAUCGCAAUGGUAUGAACGCGAGUGUUGCAAAAUUAUGUUGCAAUAGAGACACUGAUCCAUAUCUACCGCAACGAUAACCAUUCAUGUCAAUUAUAUGUUGCAAUAGCAAACAUUAUGUGUUGCAGCUUGUAAUAUACUUGUAAAAGUGUUAGCUUAAAGUAUUAUAAUAUUAUUUUAACAUUAAAUAAUAAUUUAAAUUAUUUUAACAAUAUUUUAAAGUGAUAUGCAAAUUAAAUAAAUAAGAUACGCGAUGAUAUGCAAAUUUUAUUCAUAAUAAUUAAAAAAAUUAAAAUAGGAAUUUUAAAAGUAAUUAAUUUUUUUAAAAGCAAUGAAAAGUAAAAAUAAUUAAAUUCCCCUUGUUUUGAUAUCAGAACUGAUAUAUAAGUUUCAAAAAUAAAAAUAUAGAUAUACGAAUUAUAAGUAGUAAUAAAUACAUAUAAUGAAUUUUGUUCCUAAAAUAAUUACAUGAAUUUUAUUUGUUAAAAUAAUAAAGUAUAGGUGCAGACGUGCAGUACAUUAUUUGACUUUAUUGAACUGGGCAAAUAUCGAGCUCAAAGCGGGUAAAAAUUAGGCUUACAGCCGCCCAAAUUUUCAGCCAAGUUUGAAAUUUUCACACAUACACUAUACACGCUCGAGUCUCCUUGAAUACCCUCAACACUCACUACACUCUCUCCCUCGCUCAACUCUCUCUCCCUUCUCUACUCUCUCUCUCUUGUUAAUCUCUCUGAAGCUAAUCUCUCUCUGGCCACCAUUUUCACUCAAUCUCGCCAUCACUUUUAAUUAACUUGGAUUUGCAUUUAUAGUUGGAGCACAGUUGAUUUGUGGGUCGAGGUUCCAAUUCUUCAAUUAGGGUUUUGGCUUUUCAAUCAGGGUUUUGGUUCUUCAUUAAACUUCAAUUAGGGUUCAAUUACUUACAUAUAAUCUCUUAAACUUCAUCUGAUAUCUCUUUCUCUUUGAUUUCAGGUGUUCUUAGUUUGGGUUUGCACUCCAAGACUUUAUUAUAAGGUAUUUUUGAAUUUAGGGCUUCAUGUUAUGAGUUUAUUUGCAUUUAGUGUUCUUUGUUUUUAUGUUUAUUUGGUUUAUUAUCUUUAUCUAGUUUAUUUCCUUUGAUUUUUUGUUUUUUUUUUCAUUUGUUUUGUGAAAUUGCAAUACUCUGUUUUUGUGUUAAUUUUUUUGUUGCUUAAAAGUGUUCAACAACAAUAUUCUUCUUAAUUAUAAAAGAUCUAUCACGAGGAAGAGGUCCCUGUUUUGUAUAAUAUCUUGUAUGUCUUUUCUUUUCUGUAUAUUAUUAAGCUACCUUGGGGCAUCCUUUUUCUAGACCAGAUUUCGUGCGCAAUCUUUAGUAAAGAGCAAAUAUUCCGAUUCUUUUGCAUUUGUCUCAAUGUCAGUGCUUUGCAUAUAUGGAUAUAUUUUACAUGAAAAUGGUGCUUUUGUUGUUGGCCUGCUUAAUGUUCAAGACAUGUAGUCAACUCAGUUUAGUGUGACAAUAAGACUUUCUCAUUUCAUUAUGAUUCUCACAUAUUUUAUGCUCGUCACAGUACAACACAGUUUUGUAUUUGGUGUGAGUGAGCAGUAAAGAAUUCUAUGGAAGAUGCUAGUGACUACCGGUGGUAUAUAACCAGGUAAAAAUAAUGCUCAGUUGAUAAUCCUUAUAAGGGAGGCUCUUACUAUUUCUUCCUCUUUAACAUUGAGUUGUUUUAAUGUACAUACUAGCUGGUUGCUCAAGUGUUCUAUCAUUAUAAUGUAUACAUUGGAUACAAUAUUUGUUCAAUGAGGUAUCUAACUAGCUUGCUGAUGGCCGGGGACUAUAGAUUUAUUCAUUGCUAAUUGGUUAUAUUCGUUGUACCUGUUAUGCCUCAAUCAUAAUGGCAUAGUGACAAUAAAAGGAAAACGAAUUAUAAAUAUUUCACAUAGCAUGCUCUAGUUAUCUACAACUAUUGUUUUGGACUUCUGGUUUGGCAUUUAUAAUAAGUUGGCAUAUGUCUUUGAAUUCAUAUAGUUUGUAGCAUGACCUAAUUGGCACAAGUCAUCCUCUGCCAUGUCUUAUAUCUUUAGUUAGUAAGAAUUAAUAUUUCCCAUGUUUCAGCCACUAUACAAAUAUUGAUCAUGGACGAAGUUCUUACCCUGUUUAGUAUUAAUUUCAUUAUCUGCUGCAACUUUAUUGUGUUAUCUGUGCACUGCCCAACUAAGUACACAUAAUUUGAGUUUAAAAUAAAGCAUGCUUCUUUACUGGAGCUCAGCUUAGUAGUUGCAUUGUAUUGUUGCAGGAGAAGCUUAAGCCGUUAAUGGAUCAACUUAACAAAGUCAAAGACUUGACUGUUCCAGAAUUUGGAAAUUUCCGAACUUGAGAAGUGCGAGCAAAUGCAAGAAUAUGUUUAUAUAUAAUAGUGUAGUGUAGUGGGAUGUUUGGUUGGAUUCGUUUAAUACUUUGAUUUGGUUGGAUUUGUUAGGUAGUUUUGUUUGGUUGGAUUUGUUAUAAACUUUGAUUUGUAUGAAAGAAUAGUUUAAUGUUUCAGUGGAUAUAGUGAAAUAUUGCAAAGUUGUUAAUUUAGUCUUGCAUUAGCACAUAUAUGUUGUAGUAGCUAAUAUAUAUAUGUUUCAAUUUAUAACAAAAAAUGUUGCAAACAUGCAACUGAAAAACAGGUGUCCAAACAUAGGACCCACAUGUGUGACCCACGUGUGGGUCCCACUUUUUUUGAAAUCAGGAGGUCUAACGUAACAUAAUAUAUUUGUUGCUAUAGGGUAGUCAGAUGUUGCAAUAUCACGUCUAUUGUAACAUAAAAAGCCGUGUUGCAGUAGGUUACCCAAAUGUUGCAAUAGAAGCCUAGGGCAACAUGAAAAAAUGCAACUUAAAUUUUAUGUUGCAAUAGCCCUUUUUCGGGCUAUGGCAACAUAUUUUGGGGUUAUGGCAUCAUUUUUUUGAUGUUGUCNNNNNNNNNNNNNNNNNNNNNNNNNNNNNNNNNNNNNNNNNNNNNNNNNNNNNNNNNNNNNNNNNNNNNNNNNNNNNNNNNNNNNNNNNNNNNNNNNNNNNNNNNNNNNNNNNNNNNNNNNNNNNNNNNNNNNNNNNNNNNNNNNNNNNNNNNNNNNNNNNNNNNNNNNNNNNNNNNNNNNNNNNNNNNNNNNNNNNNNNNNNNNNNNNNNNNNNNNNNNNNNNNNNNNNNNNNNNNNNNNNNNNNNNNNNNNNNNNNNNNNNNNNNNNNNNNNNNNNNNNNNNNNNNNNNNNNNNNNNNNNNNNNNNNNNNNNNNNNNNNNNNNNNNNNNNNNNNNNNNNNNNNNNNNNNNNNNNNNNNNNNNNNNNNNNNNNNNNNNNNNNNNNNNNNNNNNNNNNNNNNNNNNNNNNNNNNNNNNNNNNNNNNNNNNNNNNNNNNNNNNNNNNNNNNNNNNNNNNNNNNNNNNNNNNNNNNNNNNNNNNNNNNNNNNNNNNNNNNNNNNNNNNNNNNNNNNNNNNNNNNNNNNNNNNNNNNNNNNNNNNNNNNNNNNNNNNNNNNNNNNNNNNNNNNNNNNNNNNNNNNNNNNNNNNNNNNNNNNNNNNNNNNNNNNNNNNNNNNNNNNNNNNNNNNNNNNNNNNNNNNNNNNNNNNNNNNNNNNNNNNNNNNNNNNNNNNNNNNNNNNNNNNNNNNNNNNNNNNNNNNNNNNNNNNNNNNNNNNNNNNNNNNGCUUAUCCUCGUAUGUAGUUUGUUUAUGGUUAUGUACCUGACCAUGUACUCGUACAUUUUUAUUUCUUGAUCUGAUUAUGUACUCUUAGUCUAGUAGAUCGGUUGUUACGUUAUUAUGCAGUUCUUGUGCAUUCUUAUGUCAUAAUGUUUUAUAAUGAUUCAAGCAUUGAAAUUCAUAUGGACAAUAAAGGAAACCUAACAUAACAUAAUAAACGACAGAACACUAAAACACAUACACAUGUUGAUCUUUCUCGAAACCAGUAAAACUGACUUUAUUUUGACUAAACUUUACAUAUAUCAAAUAACUGAAAAAAAUAAUAUAAAAUUUGAAUUACUUGAACAACAAAAGUUGAGACAUUACAUAUAAGAUACAAUACAUAUAGUAAUGGGGGUGAUCUUUUGGAGAAAAUACCUAACUCAAAGGGAUUUCUUCAAAUAAUUUGAGAUGGGUCAGAGCUUCAAGAAUCUGUGUACUCUGCUUUUACAAGUACAAAGUGGGAAAAAGUGAGACAUAAAUAAAAUGUAGUGAAGUAUUUGAGAUGGGAGAAAGUAAAACUAACUUAAUUUCAUAUUAAUAUUGUGAAGAUAUUAGCAUAGAAUGAUAAAUAUACAUUUCUACUACCCAUUUAUAAAAGAAAUAUUAUAAAAUAUAAAACUCUACGCUUUAAAUUUAAAUUGUUUUAAGUUGUUUUCUAUUAAAUUAUUUUCCCCACAGGGGAAAAUAAUAUUAAAUUGUUUUAAUAUUAUUGUUUUAUUAUUAUUUGAUUAUUAAAUUAACGAGUACAUAAUUUGUAAAGUUUAGUGCUAAGAUAUAUAUAUUAUUUAAUUUUAUUAAUUAUAUUAAUUUCACAAAACAAUUAAAAUUUGAUUUUAAAUAAAAUAUUAAAUAUAUAAUACAAUAAUAUUAAAUGGCGUAUAAUCAGUGUUACAGAAAUCGGGAAUCGGACCUAAUCGGUUGAGCUACCGAUUCAGGGAUUAAUCGGAAAUCGGAGAUUAAUCGGACUGAAAAUCGGAUUUAUUUUAAUAUUAAAAUAUUAUUUAUUAUUUAGUUAUUAUUAUAUUAGGUAUCUAGUAACUAAUAUAUUUACUAUAUUCAUAAACUCUAUAAUUAUUCAUAUUUAAAGUAAUAUAGUAUUUUAAUUCUAAUAAUUUAUCACAUAUACUUCUAUUAGAAAAUAUGUUAUAAGGAUUAAUCGGAUUUUAAAAAUCGAAUCGGUGGCCGACCUUGCAGGAGAUUAAUCGAGGAUUAAUCAGUUAAAUCGGGGAUUUUUAGAACAUUCGGCGUAUUAUAAUACAAUUAUAUCAAAAUUUAAAAAAAAAUCAGUACCUCAGUUUGGGUAUCGGUCAGCCACCUAGGACAAGUGAAUGAGUGAAACCGCUACAAAAAAUGUAGUAGUAUGGGUCGCCCCUGUCAAGGGCGAUCCUAACUGUAUUUUGUAACAGUAUGGGUCGCCCCUGACGAGGGCGACCUGAACGGGGAAAAACUUCAGCUUGGGUCGCCCGACUUUUUUUGAUUUAGGCUGGUUAGUUUUGAAAAGUUGAACGUAGGCUGGUUAGUUUUGAAAACUUUACGUUCGAACUGGUUACUUUUGUAAGGGAGCCCAGCCUCCACCAUUGCAGCUCUGAGCAGCCAUGAACCAGGUUAUACUCCAGUCUCCUUUUCUCCCCCGCGUGUGUAAGUCUGUACUGCAGCCCACAUUUUCAACACGCUUCUGUCCUAAGCUUCGCAAGAAAUAUCUUUUUUUUGAAAUUCAAAAAAUUUGCGCACCAUAUCAUCGUCCAGCCAAACCACCAUCGGCGAAUCAGCAAAUAUACAUAUCAGAUCUAAUAUACACCAAUCUGAGCUUUGAUGACUGAGGUUUGAUUUGUGUUUUAUUUAAUAAAAUGAUAAAAUGAUGUCUUCUUUCAUGAUCAUGCGAUUAAUCGAUUGUAACUUUAAGGGAGAUGGAACAAGCAAUUCACGACGUCUAUUUACCUCCGAAGACAUGAUUAGUGGUAUGGUUACAUAAAUUUAACUUCUCUAUUUUUCUACCAUGUGUGGCCUAAUUGUUUCAUCUCUUGCUUUGUAGGUUAUCAGUCCAAAAAGCGGAGGAAAAGGGGCUACACAAUUAAGAGAUGAAACAGUAUUGAGCAUGUGAGCUUUAAAACUUGAUGAUUAAAUUUUUCAUAUUAUAUUUGUUCUGUAUUUAGAAAUUUGUGGAGGAUGUGUUUGAUAAUAUGUCUGAGAGAAGAAGUUAAUAAAUUUAUCGUGUUGAGGAUGUGUUUGAUGAUAUGUCCGAGUGAAAAAAUUAAUAAAUUUAUUUUCAAAAUGUUGCGAACAAAUUGUAAUUUAUAUCUAGCAGCUUCAAAUAAUUUUUUUUAGAGCAAAAAGAAUCGCAAUUGCAUGUGAAGAGAUGCACCUCCCUGAUAUUAGACUUUUAGUGUAAUUGCAUGUGUAACUAAACCGCUUGACUAUAAUGUUGGUGUAGAGUACGGAGCUUUAAUUUAUGAUGUUCUCCUCAAUCUGUCCAAAUUAUAGCUGAUCGUGGGAAUCAACUUUAGGGUAAGCUCUGCUCUGAAACUCAUUUUCUUAUAUUGGAACUUGGUUAUUUCUUAAAUGAAACGACUUUGACGUUUUCACCGAGUAGUCAUAGAUGCGUGAGUUGUACAAUAGUAAAAGAAAAAUAAAUUACAUAAAGACUGUCUGAGGUAAAAUAGUAUACAAGCUGCAAUUUUAUAUUUGGUACAUUGACGUAAAAAGUUAUUGUUAUGUUCAGGGGGAGGUGCUGAGAAAUGACAUGAUUAUAUCAUACGAGCGGCGACAAACUACUGAAGUUGCAAAAGAAAUGAUCUUAAAGAAAGCAGAGAAAGUGGGGGAGUUUUUUCAAGAAAAGAAUUUAAAGAGGAGAUGAGAUGCCAGAGUAUUACGCGCUAUUGCCGAAACAGGAUUAAAAACUAUAUUGGGUAUCUCUUCUUGAUCUCUUGAUUAAUUCCACUAGGAAGCUUCAAUAUUAUAUAGGAAGUUUUCUUUUUAAGCUUAAUUUUGAAUUUGAAUCCUCAAACUAUAACUACUGUAUAUCUCUUUAUAUUAUAGCUCCUGACGCCGGGAACUUCCCCUUCUACAACCAGCCCAACUGUACAUAACAGUUGCUUGCUUAUGAAUUUCAAAUUUAUAUUAUAAUGUUUAUAUGUAAUAUUGAAUCAAAGUUGCUUGCUUGCUUAUGUAAUAUUGAAUAUCUACUGUUGGAUGAUUGUUAACUGCUGUGUUACCAAGUGUUUGAUUAAAUUCCUACAAGUUUUGUUUGAAUUUUGUUCUUUAUUUAUCAUUAGUAUGUUUCAUUUUUAUGUUUGACUCUAUGCUAAUCGCUGAUAAGAUUUCUAUGAUUAUAGGAGAUGAGUGUUCUUAUGGCAUGAAUGAUAUUGGAAAAGUGAAAUGUGUUGAUGCUUUGUGUAAAUAAAUCAUGAUCUGCCGUUAUAGUUUUCUGUUUGUUUUCAAUUUGUGUGUACCUAGGUGGUUGUUACUGAGCAUUGAUCAACUGUGUUAAUUAAUUUAUUAAAAUGGAGUUGAGUCUGAGAACUAAAGGGCAAUUAUAUACUUCUUUAGGCUUUCCUUAACAUGUUUUUAUUCAUUAAAAAAAAUCGAUGAGUUUUUAUAAAUAUAUAUACUCUGUUAUUUUCUCUGUACCUAAUUAAAAGGAUUUUAAUUCGAAUUAUAGGUGUUUGUCAUGUGAAUAUUAUCUAAAAGAUAAUGGGGCCGUUUGGGUUAGCUUAAAAGAAGUGACUUUUUGCUUAUAGUAAAGAAGUGGAGUAGAAGUGAGAAGUAAAUAAGUUAAUAAAGUGUUUGGAAAAGAAGCAGAAGCUGUGAGAGAGAAGCUAGCAUUCUCAGCUUCUUAAAAGUGCUUCAACUUCUUUACACAAACAGGUCAAGAGAAGCAGAAGCCAGAAGCAGCUUCUGCUUCUCUUGGCCAAACAGGCCCAAUAUCUUUAAGGUCUCUUGCAUUGGUCAUUUAAUGUGUUAAUUAAAAGUUUACAUUUAAAUUUUUUGAUCUAAUAAUUUUGGAUAGAUGGUUUGUGAGGUUAAUGAAUGAACUAAUAUGGAAUGAUAAAAUGUAGGAGGUCUGGAAAGAUGGGUUUCAAUGCAGGUUUAUUGCUACUUUCCUUCAGGUCUGCAUUGCUUUGGUCUGUCUUCAGGACUGAGACUGUGAUUGGUUUCGGAACAGACACAAGUAUAUAUAUGGACCAAUGCAAAGCACCUGAUUAUCAUACUUUAGGCUUUUGCUCUGCUUUCUAUGGUAAAAAAAAGUGACAUUACUUCGAAUCUGAUACAGUUUAUCCAAGAGCUUGCUUCAAUAUUAAGAAUGCAAUACGUGUUGCAGAUAAAAUUUUGACCAGCAACAUUGGGGCACCCAACCCAAAUCUAGCAACAUUGGCCGUGGAGCUUUAAAUAUCUCCGUAAGAUUCUUUUCCCUCGCAGGCAGGCAUCUUUUUCUGCGAAAAAUAUACAAGAAAAAAGGACUAAUUUGUUUAAUUGAAAAUAAAUUUCGGAUGAGUUGGAUUAAGAAUCAAAUGGAGAGUCCUGUUUUGGUUUCAUUUUGAUGGAGAGGUUGCUUAGGUCCUGUUUUGAUCGAAAGGUUGAAAAAAUAUUUGGUAUUUUUUGGUCUCAUUUUGGUUUGUUUCGUUCCUUCACAGGUGUGCAACAAGUGAUGAUAGUAUUUAAACAUGAUUAGCAAACUGCCCAGCAAUCCAUGCAUGGCAAGGGGAAUGCACAGCUUAAUGAUUUCAGUCUCCGUACCAUCCAAGUGCAACAAAAAUCAAUUAUCUUGUGAUGUCUAGGAUUCUACAAAAGUAAGAAGCCUUCAUUCAUCUUCAUUCAUCCCCUGUUACUAGAAAAGCAUUGGUAGCCUAUAAGCAGGUACACUAAGUAGCUCACCUAAUUUUUGCAUUUCAGUAUCAACGGAAAGUGGUGCAGGACUCCACUUUAUAAUUAAAUUAUGUGUCUAAAUUAUGCGUGUUGUAAUGUUUAGUGACCAUGUUCCAGACCCGACAUGUCCUUACUUGGCAGAUCAAGUUAUCCAAGAUUUGGGAAGGAGUUUCGCCUUUGAGAUCUCCAACAAGUAAGAAGAAAUAAUGUCAAGGAAUGAACUAAUGUAAAAUGAUAAGAAGAUGAAGGUAUAAAACAAUGAUUAUAAUGUAGGCUUCUUCGUAAUGUAAUGAACAAAAUAAUGGAGUAACUAUAACUAUUCUUGCUGCAAGCCUGUGUUUGUUUAAUGCUAUCUGGCAGUAGUUUAGCAUUGGUAUAUUCCUUAAGGUGGAUUUGGAUAGAGUGAGAGGAGACAUUACUUAUCUUUACCUAGCUACUGCUUUUCAUGAGAUUUGGGCAGAGCGUAACAUUAGAAUUCAUCAUCCUAAGAGUUUUAAAGUUGCAAACCGGCUUAUCAAGGACAUAAUAGCCUCUGUUACUAUUUUUACAUGCUCCUCUAUUGUUGUGUGAACUUGCUGAACUCCUUUUUUCUGUUGUUCUACUUACUAAAAUCUUUUUAAUUUUCUUUUGUUAGGUACACUAAGUGGUUCACUCAAUUUUGGCAUUUUAGUAUCAUUGGCAAGUGGUGUAGGACUCCAUGAUUCUGUGUUGUCCACAAGCAACGAAAAAAANNNNNNNNNNNNNNNNNNNNNNNNNNNNNNNNNNNNNNNNNNNNNNNNNNNNNNNNNNNNNNNNNNNNNNNNNNNNNNNNNNNNNNNNNNNNNNNNNNNNNNNNNNNNNNNNNNNNNNNNNNNNNNNNNNNNNNNNNNNNNNNNNNNNNNNNNNNNNNNNNNNNNNNNNNNNNNNNNNNNNNNNNNNNNNNNNNNNNNNNNNNNNNNNNNNNNNNNNNNNNNNNNNNNNNNNNNNNNNNNNNNNNNNNNNNNNNNNNNNNNNNNNNNNNNNNNNNNNNNNNNNNNNNNNNNNNNNNNNNNNNNNNNNNNNNNNNNNNNNNNNNNNNNNNNNNNNNNNNNNNNNNNNNNNNNNNNNNNNNNNNNNNNNNNNNNNNNNNNNNNNNNNNNNNNNNNNNNNNNNNNNNNNNNNNNNNNNNNNNNNNNNNNNNNNNNNNNNNNNNNNNNNNNNNNNNNNNNNNNNNNNNNNNNNNNNNNNNNNNNNNNNNNNNNNNNNNNNNNNNNNNNNNNNNNNNNNNNNNNNNNNNNNNNNNNNNNNNNNNNNNNNNNNNNNNNNNNNNNNNNNNNNNNNNNNNNNNNNNNNNNNNNNNNNNNNNNNNNNNNNNNNNNNNNNNNNNNNNNNNNNNNNNNNNNNNNNNNNNNNNNNNNNNNNNNNNNNNNNNNNNNNNNNNNNNNNNNNNNNNNNNNNNNNNNNNNNNNNNNNNNNNNNNNNNNNNNNNNNNNNNNNNNNNNNNNNNNNNNNNNNNNNNNNNNNNNNNNNNNNNNNNNNNNNNNNNNNNNNNNNNNNNNNNNNNNNNNNNNNNNNNNNNNNNNNNNNNNNNNNNNNNNNNNNNNNNNNNNNNNNNNNNNNNNNNNNNNNNNNNNNNNNNNNNUUUUACAUGCUCCUCUAUUGUUGUGUGAACUUGCUGAACUCCUUUUUUCUGUUGUUCUACUUACUAAAAUCUUUUUAAUUUUCUUUUGUUAGGUACACUAAGUGGUUCACUCAAUUUUGGCAUUUUAGUAUCAUUGGCAAGUGGUGUAGGACUCCAUGAUUCUGUGUUGUCCACAAGCAACGGAAAAAAAGCCUGCAGAAAUGUUUCGAAUACUUUGAACGAAAUAAAGGUACAUUAUUAGGCAAGUGAUUGUGGCGGCAGAGAUAGCAGUUUGAUUGCUACACAAUUAUGUGUUUCACAAGAUUUUGCUAUUUUAAAUUAUAGUAAAUUUGAUUAAAUCCCACUCGGAAAGUUUGAAAUUUCUUGAUGUUGCUUAGUUAAAAUUUGGAUAUGGACAAUUAUGAUAUUUGUGAAUUUGGGUUCUUUUUAUAGGUGAUUUUUGAACAUUGCUAGAAUGAUAUAUGAUCUCAGGCCUCACACUCUUAACAUCUUUACGAGGCUUACGAGGUUCGAGAUGAGUUGGUUACUUAACAUGAUUCGUUUAAUUUAAUUAUGUGUUUGUGUAGUUGGGUUGAUUUGUUGUUUGUUUCGUUUAAUUGUACAAUUAAGGAGAUGGUGUUUACAAUAAUAAUAUUGAAGAUAGUUUGUAACUAGAGUAUGUUGUUAAUAAUUUGGUUAUGAGAAAUUGAGGCCGACACAAGUUUAAUCUGGCUUUCUCGAGAUGAUCUGACCUCGAGAAGAAAGAUUAUCUCAAAGUAGUUUUGUAAGUUGCUUCUCUCUGUUUUUGGACAAUGUAAAUUCUUACAUUACAUCUGCCUCUUGCAGGUAACAUCUUUGCUUUUAGGCUCUUUAUAUCGCCGAUGUAAGUUUUGCUCCAUAAAUUUCAGUGUUUGGCUAGAUCUCCUACAACUGUACUUUUAAAGAAAAAUAGAAGAAAUCAAGAACUGAGUUUACUGUACUUUUGCAGUGAUAAUCAGAUAUGUACCGGUUUUGCUUCGCAUAGUCACACCUUUUCUUUGUACAAUUGCAGACCCACUUUUAGGGGUAUUAUGAUGAGGAACGAGUGUACAGAAGACUUCUCAGGUCUUCCAUAUCUAUAUGCCCUCCUGCACUGCUUGAUUUGUGCCUGGUAUGGCAUGUCGUUUAUGUCAGAUGAUAAUGUGCUUGAUAACUGUAACCUUAUACAGCUACAUUUACUUUAAAUGUCUUGAACACAGUGGUUGCAAAUAAUGGUUAAAUGAUUAAUAUUUACACUGAUCUACUGCUUUUACACUGAUCACUGCUUAUGAUGUUGAAAAACCAAAAUUUGGUGGAGAAAUUGGGAUCAAUGGAGGGAGCUUGCACUGACACACGAAAUCUGUCAAAGCCUAGAUUACAAAGUAAUACUUUACUUGACUGAUCGACGGUUCAACUCAGCAGGAUAUGGAGUAUGCUCGCAGUGUACAUAACAUCCAAUCUCCCAAGGUCUCAUCAUCUACUUUGGAGACAACCUCAAAAUGGGUGUAGUUGCACUUGCACCCAAAAAUGAAGCCAGUGCAAAAAUCAAAGAGAUGACCCAUUUGUUAAAAAUGUUGAGGCUGAAGAGUACAAGGGAACCAAGGUCAGAGAUGUCUCCUCCGCUAAGAGAUGAGGAAAUAUGGCAGUCGUUGGUAUUUGGGAAAUGCAUGUUAGCAAAUACAUGGAUUAUAAAUUGUAUGAGUGACAGGAUGAUAAUAUAGCGUCUCAUAGUCUAAUAUUGCCAAUGACAGGGCUAAUAGCAAUAGCACUUUCAAAAGUAGGUUUGCAGCUGUGAAAUUCACUCAAAGUUGUGAAAUUUGUGAAAUUUGCUUUUGCUCUAACAUGUAAUACCCCGGGUUCCAUUCUUUUGUUUACUUGAAUUUGAAUUGUAUUGUUAUCUUUGUUUUUUUAUUAUAAUUAUCCAAAAAUAGAUGUCCAUCUUGACUUUUGGUUGGUUAUUAGACAGAGGAAUUGAGCCCGGAAAUAAAAGUGUUACUAAUUAUCAUCCAUUAUUAAAGCAAUUAUUAUAUUAGACCAAUUUUAUUUUUGCACUAUUUGAAAUAUUCACUUUAUCUGAAUGAUGAAUGGUUCUUCUUUCAGUUAAUACAGUGUCAUUCACUGGUUAACAAAUGACCUCUUAAAUUAUUCAUGAAAUCAUUUAAAAAUAUAUAAAGUUUAAUUGACAAAUUUAUCUUUUUUAAUAAAAUUAUACUCAAAUUUUUGGUUGAAAUGUAUGUAGCUUUAAGAUUAUAAUCACUUUUAGCCGAAAGUACUUUAAUAUUAGUGUUCAUAAAAAUAAUUUUUGAAUAACUUAUUAAUGAUUAAUUAUUUUAUGUAACGGUUUAAUAAAAUUAUACAAAUAUAAUGAUUUCUAAUUUGAGAAUAGUUUUUUAUAGUUCAAAACAAAAUUUAUAAUAAAAAAAUUUAACGAGUUAUCAGUAAUUAAUAAUAUACAUUUACAAUUAAAUUAUCCAAAUUAAUUAUAAAAUAUUAAAAUUUAAAAUAUUUGACUAAAGUGCGAGGCGUCACCGCUCGGCGACGUCGAGGGGCACUUGAUAGAAUAUGACUUUUCAUAUAUUACAAAGUUUAGCUAUAUAAUUAUUUUGAUUAUAAGAUAUUAAAAUAUAAAAUAUUCGACUAAAGUGUGAGGCGUCGCCGCUCGACGACACCGAGGAGGACUUGAUAAAAUAUGACUUUUCAUAUAUUACAAAUGUUUAGCUAUAUAAUUAUUUUGAUUAUAAAAUAUUAAAAUAUAAAAUAUUCUACUAAAGUGUGAGGCGUCACCGGUCGGCGACGACGAGGAGCACUUGAUAGAAUAUGAUCUUUCAUAUAUUACAAAGUUUAGCUAUAUAAUUAUUUUGAUUAUAAGAUAUUAAAAUAUAAAAUAUUCGACUAAAGUGCGAGGCGUUGCCGCUCGGCGAGCCGAGGAGUACUUGAUAAAAUAUGACUUUUCAUAUAUUACAAAUGUUUGGCUAUAUAAUUAUUUUGAUUAUAAAAUAUUAGAAUAUAAAAUAUUCGACUAAAGUGCGAGACAUCGCCGGGGAGCACUUGAUAAAAUAUGACUUUUCAUAUAUUACAAAUGUAUUAUAUAAUUAUUUUGAUUAUAAAAUAUUAAAAUAUAAAAUAUUCGACUAAAGUGCGAGGUGUCGCCGAGGAGUACUUGAUAAAAUAUGACUUUUCAUAUAUUGAAAAUGUUUAGCUAUAUAAUUAUUUAAAUUAUAAAAUAUAAAAUAUUCGACUAAAGUGCGAGGCGUCGCCGAGCGGCGACGCCGAGAAGUACUUGAUAAAAUAUGACUUUCAUAUCUUUAAAAAUAUUAUGUAAUUUUCGAACGUAAAUGAAUUUUAAUUACGAAUUAACUUUUAUAAAUACUCAAGUUAUACAACGGUUUUUGUUGAAUUUGAUUUUUAUUUUACACUGAACUUUUAUUUUUAUAACUACAAAAUCACAAGUUAUAUUUAAUAUUUUUUUUAUAACUCAAUUGUUGUUUUCUUGCAUAUAAAAGUUUGUAAGUAUAAGUAAUGGAUAUAAUAACGUCAUAUUAAUUUUCAAAAUAUAAUCAAUAUUUUAAAUCUUAUUGACAAAAAAAGGACUAAAUUCUAUCUAUUAUUUUAAAAUAUUAUUUUAAAAUAUUAUUGUAUAUACAAAUACUCACAAAUACUCCAUGACGCUGACGAACAUCCAAUAAUCAUUAUCAGGUAGUGAAAGAUCUGAGGAACACAUUAAAAUUUGUACUUCAAUAAAACACAAUUGAAAGAUGAAUUUUAGCCAAAAUAAAUAUGCAUGAAUACAGGUUGGCAAAUUGGCGUAACAACCACUGAGCUACUCAAGUACAAGGACUCGAUGAAAGGCCUCUACUACUCCCAGAACCUGAAAAUGCUAUUUCUAUAAUUCCAUCACGUUAUUUAUCUUAUUUAAUGUACUGUUCUGUGAUAACGUAUGGGAACUCGCUAAUAUGGAAUGCUAGCUUUGCAUUUGGUCUCCUCGCCAUAUUCACAAAUCAUUAGGAUUCAUAUAGAAUUGGUGCGUGUUCAAAACAGAAUUUUUUCAAGCACAAGAUCAGCAAAAAUAAAUUUAUUAAUCUUCUGCAAUUUAAAAUGCCCAGCAAGGCGGGCAUAAAUACUAGUUCUUCAUAUUUACACAACCAUUGAUCUGUCUUGCAACAAAUUUCAAGGAGAAGUUCCAAAGGUUACAUGAGAGCUUAAAUGGCUUGCAUUGCUCAAUCUAUCUCAUAAUAGUCUCACCGGACAUAUCCCAUCACUCCUCGGAAAUAUGGAAGCACUCCUAUCUCUAGAUUUGUCUUCAAAUCAAUUGACAGGGGCUAUUCCACACCAAUUAACUAAAUUGACAUUUCUAAAGGUGUUGAACCUCUCGGGAAAUAAUCUUACUGGGGAAAUCCCGCAAAAAGGGCAAUUCAGCACUUUUGGAAAUGAGUCAUACUUGGGGAACCCGGCCUUGUGUGGACUUCCUUUGACGGAAAAAUGCAUGCAUGCAGUGUCACCAACUCAAGAAGUCGGAAAUGGUGAUACUGAUGAAGAUGACGAUGCUGAUGAUGAACUUAAUUGGGAAGCCAUCCUGAUGGGAUAUGGAUGUGGAUUGAUAUGCGGAUUGUCUUUGGGGUACAUUGUUUUCAAGAUAGGAAAGCCUUGGUGGUUUGUGAAAUACAUUAAAAUACUACAACUGAAAUUGAUGAAAACAUGCACAAAGCAUAGCAGACGAAAGACUUGAGGAGAUGUUGUCUUAGGAUGCAAUCUCGUUUAAUACUUUCAUCAUUAUUCUCCAAGAUGUCUGAACAUGUAUUUUCAAAGAAUUCUCAGUUCACCUUUAGCCUUAUAAAGUAAAAGACAUUUUAAAGGCACUCUCAACUUACACCUAUAUAUACACGUACGGUUCACUUCAGUACAAAGAUUAUUAGCCAUGCAAAACAUGCAGAACCACUAGUAAUGCAGAAAAACAAAAUAUCAGUUUUCUCCAAAUAUCACUACAACAAAACUGCCAUUUUACGACGGAAAUCUAAUAUUCUAAAGGUUUACGACCAAACUAUGUUGGUGGACUUUAUUUUAAUUUACAGUUUUAACAGUAGUUAAUUUUGGAUAUCUAAACUUGCGACAGAAAACAUACGACAGUCUACCUCGCGAGAGAAAAUCAUUUUAUUUUAUUUUUUAGCGCCAGAAUUUUAAUACUAAAAUAUUAUAUAUAUGAAGGAAACUGAUCUCUAAUGUUUUCAGCUUGCUCAUCCAUAUGUAAGUAAUCCGUCGAAAAAGUUAGUUUGUUGUGGUGGUGUCUUAUCAUGAGAGAAAAUGAUAAUAUCGCAAAAUAUUUGCAACUGAAAGAUAAAUUAUAAUUCUAGAAACCAUUUAGGUAACGAUGCACGAAGUUAUUUUCACUCACUUAGAAUUAAUGAUCAUAAAUAUUUGCAACGGAAAGAUACAUUAUAGUUCUAGAAAAGGAUCCACGAAGUUAUUUUCACUCACUUAGAAUUAAUUGUAAGUUAUUGUGAGUUUUUGAAUAUGGAUUAUCUCAAAUUUUAUGAAAACACAUAUUGAUUCAUAUAUACAAAUUUGCCUACCUAAUAUUAUAAUAUUUAUGGAGAAGUUGUAUGAACAAUUGUGUAGAUAAUUAUACUUUACAAAGCAUACUUCUGCUAGAUGAAUUUUGAUUAAACAAAAUCGAAAGGGAUAGGUCUGGGUCUCUCCAAGUCUUUGAGGACUCAUUCCAAGUCUUCUGACGAGGACAAAAUAUAUUGCUGGUAGUCUUUCAGUCCUUCCUAGAGUAUUUUAUGCUCUGGACUGCAUUAUGCAGCUCUCAUAUAACUUUGCGAUGCAAAACAGUGGCAAGUAAGUAUUUCCGUAUGUGUAUUUAUUUGUAUAUUAAAGUUGCGUAACAUUUGUGUUGAUAAUUUGCGUAAUGUUGAUGAGGAUUGCUCCCAAGUCUUGGACGGACUCUUUCCAAAUCUUCUGAGGACAUAUCGGUUCAAAUUAGUCCAUUAAAAAUUUUAUGAUAUGAAGCUAUCUGCAAAAUAAUAUAUAAGGUAAAAUGAACCAUUGUUUUGUGGUUAAGUUGUACAGGCAAUAUGCAGUGCAAAAUCAGGAACAGAAUAUAUGAAUACUAGUAAUAUGAUAUCGGUAUGAACGAAUAUUUUCUAUGUAGUUGUUAUUGUGAUGCGGAAAAAAUAUUGUAACCAAAAAUAAUUAUAAUUCUAAAAAUUUCCAUUAUACACUUUUUUAGUGUUCGUGGUACUUCAAAUGACAUUUCUCGCGUAUGCCUCCAAUUAAGAACUUGAUGUUCAGCAUAGUCCGAAACUAAAAUUAUUAUAAGUGUGUAAUUCAAAAUUAUAUUGCUGGUAGUCUUUCAGUUCUUCCUAGUGUAUGCAGUAGUUUCAUUCGAUACCGAUUAUUUUAUGCAUUGCCCGAGAACCAGUCUAUCUAAAACCCUAAGAUGUUAUAUUUUUAUACGUGUAUUAGUUUUGAAGAUUAAAGUUGUAUGGACAAUUGUGUUAAUAAUUUGCGCAAUUGCGCAAUGAUAACUGGGAUAGGUCAUCUUCUCUCCCAAGUCUUGGAUGGAAUCUUUCCAAGUCUUCUGAGAACCCAUCAGCUCAGAUUAGUCCAUACAAUGUCAAGGGUCCUAUGAUAUGGUCUACUAACAGCCCAGUGUCGGUAAUAAAUCCAAUUGCAUAUAACCUAUUCAAAAUCAAUCCCCUAUAAACAAUCAUCUCUAAAAACUAUUCACAUAAAAUAAAAUUUUAAAAAUAUAAAAUAUCUAGUUGUUUUCAAUAUAUAAUUUUCCACAGUAGAUAACACAAUAUCUUUAUCAAAUUAUUAUUUAUGGGUUCAAUAUUUAAGCUAUAAUUCCAACAACACGGCAAGCAUGCAGCAUAUAAAUAGAAGUGUGCAGUAUGGUAUUGCAUUCAUAACCCAGUUGAGGAAAAAUAUGGCACCCUUCCUAAAGCCUUCUCACCUUCUUCUCUUUGUUUUCUUUCUCUCAUCACCUGAGUCCAUUCUUGCGACAACACGAGAAGGAGAAGCUCUUGUGAAGUGGAAGAAUAGCCUAGCCCCUUCUUCUUUUCUUGAUUCUUGGUCACUCACUCAUCUCGAUAAUCUUUGUAACUGGACUGGCAUUACUUGUAACUCUGCAGGUUCAGUCUCUAAGAUUAACCUUUUUGAGAAACAACUUAAUGGAAUGCUGUCCGAGUUUGGUUUCACUUCAUUUCCAAAUCUCAGCAAUCUCACCCUCACAUACAACUUCUUCUCGGGUCCCAUACCACCAGCCAUUGAGAAUUUAACCCAGCUUCGGUAUCUUGAUUUGAGCUAUAAUUAUCUGGAUGGUCCCAUUCCGUUCCAGGUUAGCCAUCUUCAGAGCUUGCUCAUCUUGAACCUGUCACAGAAUGCAUUGCAAGCUCCAAAUUGGUCCCAUUUCUCUCCCAUGCCUUUCUUGCGCAUCCUCAACCUCAGUUACAAUCCUCUUGCGUCGAAAUUCCCAAAUUUUAUAUCCAAUUCUCAUAGCCUGACUCACCUUAGCCUUAAUUUUAAUGAGUUUACUGGUGAUCUAGUACGUGAAUCAAUAUUUGCCAAUCUGCAUAAUCUUGAAGUCCUCAGUCUUCUUGGCAAUUUUUUUGAGGGGCCAUUUCCGCCAGAUAUAUUCAAGCUUUCCAAAUUAAAACAUCUUCACCUGUCAGGUAACAAAUUCUCAGGUUCAAUUCCAAAUGACAUAAGGUUGCUUUGUGGUCUUGAAAACCUAUUUUUAAGCAACAAUUCCUUUGAAGGACCGCUUCCACCAAAUAUAUUUAAGCUUUCAAAAUUAAAACAACUUGUUCUUUGGAGUAAUAAUUUUUCAGGUUCUAUUUCCAAUGAUAUAGGUUUGCUUUCUGAACUUGAAACCCUCAAUCUUCAAUUUAAUUUUUUUGAGGGGCCGCUUCCCCCACAUAUAUUUAGGCUCUCUAAGUUAACAGGUCUAGAACUCGGAGACAAUAGAAAUUUAUUUGAAGGAAGUAAUAUUCCUAUCGGACUGGGACUCUUGACUAACCUCAGGUACUUAGAUUUACAUUCCAGUAAUCUCAGUGGCUAUAUUCCAUCUGACAUUGGAAACCUGAAGCUACUAGUACUUCUUAGUCUCGGUUCUAAUCAAUUGACUGGACCGCUUUCAAAGAUCGUUUAUAAUCUCACAAAUCUUAUAUUUCUUGAUGUAAGUAAUAAUAGUCUUAGUGGAAAUAUUCAGAGUGACUUGUGGAAAUAUAACCAUCAUCCUACUUUGGAAUACAUCGAUUUUAGUGGGAACCAUUUUACAGGUAUAUUUUUUCUCUAUAGAUCUUUUCCUUUUGUCAUAUGUAACUAAGCUAGUAAUCUGAUUAUUGCAGUUUUACUGAAGUUUCAACAAUCUUGACAGGUGAGCUUCCAACAACAAUUUGCAAUGUCAUGUCCCUUUCGGUUCUUGAUUUGUCAAAUAAUGAAUUAAGUGGUGCACUUCCAAACUGUUUCGGGAAUCUUGCUGAUGGAUUGCUUUACAUUAAUCUUGCUAAUAAUCAGUUUCGAGGAACAAUACCAACUACUUUCUCCAGGAGUUGUCAGCUGACAUAUCUAAACAUGGAUAAUAAUGAGUUUGAAGGAUUGUUGCCCCCAUCUUUGGCGAACUGUAAGCACUUGAGAAUUCUUGAUAUUGGCAAUAAUAAAAUAGGUGGUACAUUUCCGUCAUGGCUUUAUGUACUUGGAGAGCUAGAAGUCCUUGUCUUGCGAUCAAAUAAACUCUAUGGUACAAUAAGUGGAAGGAGCAUAGAAGAUCCCUUCCCCAAGUUGCGGAUUGUGGAUCUGUCCAACAAUCAAUUCACAGGCCAUUUGCCAAUUCAAUACUUUAAGAAUAUGAAAUCAACUGAUAAUUUGUAUCGUUAUCAGAAUUCCACAGGAGUUUUUUCUUUCCAUUAUGAAGCAUCUGUCUCAUUAACUGUGAAGGGAACAGAGUAUGAAGUGAAAAAUAUCCUUCAUAUUUACACAGCCAUUGAUCUGUCCUGCAACAAGUUUCAAGGAGAAAUUCCUGACGUUAUUGGAGAGCUUAGAUGGCUUGCAUUGCUCAACUUAUCUCAUAAUAGUCUGACAGGACCUAUCCCAUCAUUACUGCGAAAUAUGAAAGGACUCCAAUCUUUAGAUUUGUCCUCAAAUCAACUGACAGGGGCUAUUCCACCUCAGAUAACUGCACUGACAUUUCUAGAAGUCUUAAACCUCUCGGGAAACCAUCUUAGUGGAGAGAUUCCUCAGAAAGGACAAUUCAGCACAUUCAACAAUGAUUCUUAUAUAGGAAACUCCGCAUUAUGUGGAUCACCAUUGACGAAGACAUGUGCAAACACAGCAUCACCUCCACAAGAAGUCGGAAAUGUUGAUGAAGAUGAUGCGGGUGAUGAAUUGACAUGGGAAGCAAUCUUGAUGGGAUAUGGAUGUGGACUGAUAUGUGGAUUGUCAUCUGCAUACAUUGUUCUCAAACUAGGAAAGCCUUGGUGGUUUGUGAGAUAUCUCGAAGUACUGCAACAGAAGUUGAUGAAAAGAUAUGCAUGAAGAAUGGUACUGGCCGAUCAAGACCAACUUGAAAGUUUGUUGUCCUUGUGCACAUUUCUGAACCAGUAGUGUACUUGCUGCAUAAGUAUUUGGUAUUAUGUAAUAAUCCGUUUGGUCGGGACUCAUAAUGAUUUCUCUUGCUUCAGGGGUAUUAAUAUUAACCUUGCUAUCUUGAUCAAUGUUAAAGCAAAUUAAAUGAAUGAAAAAACAAAAAGUAUGCAUCAAAUCCGCUCCUGCUGUACCAAAAUCCAUUAAAUUGCUUUGGUCUCUUACCUAACAAUUUAACAGCACACUUCCACACUGUUCAUACCUAAUUUGCGUGUAAUAUGAAAACUAAGAGGCAUGGCUUUUGUCUCUAUAAGUCUUUGAGAACUUAUUCUUCCAAGUCUUCUUCGGAGGCCUGCUGCCUCAACAACCUUUCAAAGAUGUAGCAGUUGCUCGAGAGUAACAUAUAUAUUAGAUAAAGACUAUGCAAUAAUCCACGUGACAGAAAAACCAAAGUCCAAUUAGUUUUCCAAGUUCAUAAAAAAUACUAUAGGAUCAUUAGCAUUACAUUAGUAUUCCACUAGCAUACAGCAUAUUAUAAGACAAAAGUAAGCGGAAAUAAACAUAAUUUCAAUAGAUUUAACUUACUCUUCAGAAUCGAUAAGUUUGGAACACGUUGAUUGAGCACAAGACGAAGGCCACACAUGCGCAUCAUCUGAUGCAGCUAUAUAUGGUGCCUUUACAGUUGCUCAUACAUAUAGUGAAACAAUAAGGAUCAACUCCUCCAUUGUACGUACACAUUUUCAUACAAGCUAUAAAGCAUGGUGAUAGAGUCUUUGCAAUCUCGUCAUGACCGGCACAUCCGAUUAUGAUAAACUCUAGCAGGAUCAUCCAAGUAAUAAUUUUCAUAAUGAUAUUAAUUAUCAUUGUGAAUAGUUGCAUUGAGUUAUAUAUGUGUGUGUAUAUAUAUGCAAUGGAUUUUGUGGUUGAGAAUAUCUAUUAGAUUUUGUAUAUCCAUAACAAUUAUUAAAAUUUAAACAAGAAUAUCUAUUAUUGGUUGUGGUUGACUAUUGUAGUAGUCCAAGAAAUCAAUGCAAGUGAAAUCUAUAUUAUAUUUUAAAAGAUUAUACAUGAAAUACAAAAGGUUUUUUUAGGACUGCUGUUAAAAAUUGUUAUGUUGUACGAAAAAAUGCUGAUAAAAAGAGUGUUAUACGAAAAAAUGCUGAUAAAAAAAAUGUCGUAUAAAUCAGAUAUGACAGCUUCCCACAAAAACUAAAAAAAACAGUUUUCCGUAAUAAUAUGGGAGAGGAAAAACUGUUUGUAGAUUUAUAGAACAAUUUUUCGGUAAAAAACUGUUGUUGUUUUCGAGAGUAAUGACAAACAGUGCCGAAAUCAUUUUGCAGGUAGUUAAUCUCACUUCCAUAUAAUAUACUCCUAUAUAUUACCGAAAAAACAUGAAAUGAUGCAAACCUCAUACUAUUGACAACAGCUAAACUCCUUGCAAUACUUUCAGCUGCAAAAUCCAUCAAAUUUUUUGAUUUAUCAUGUAACUGUUUGACAGAGUACUUCCAAGCCUAAGUAUCAAAAAUCACUACCUUACGAAAUAUAUCUCACCCUACCUUCUCUGCUUAACUGUUUCGAGUGCUUUUACCAAGCAUAUUUUCCAUUAAGCGUGAAAGGCACAGAAUAAUUAGGAUCACCGAAUAUCCCAUCAGUGCUGGGGAAUAUGGAACCAUCUUAUCAAUUAACUAGUUUAACAUUUCUUGCGGUCUUGAACCUCUCAGAAAACCAUCUUAUCCUAAUGUGCCGACUUCCUUUGACGGAGAAAUGGUGAUGCUGAUGCUAAUGAUAAUGAACUCAACUGGGGAGUGAUCCUUAUGGGAUACGGAUGUGGAUUGAUAUGCGGAUUUUCUUUGGGGUUUAUAUUUUGUGGUUUGUGAGAUACAUUGAAGUACUGCAGCUGGAGUUGAUCAUUAUAAAGAACAUAGGCAAGUUAAUCGCUUAUUGAAAUUAGUAAUUGUCAAAAGUAAAAUGUUGAAAUUACUUUUUUCGAUUGAAAUCAUUGAAAAAAAGUCUCUGUCGAAAUUGAUCUGCCAAAAUUAUGUUUAAUAUCUACGGCCAAGAUUAUCUGUCGAAUAUAUUUCCCGACAAUUUUAAAAGACAAAUUUUUCGCCUCUCAGCUGUGAGCGGGAACAGAUAUUUUCGACAGAAUUCCAUUGAAAUUAGCUAAUUUCAACAUAAAUUUUCUAUCGAAAUUACUUGAGUUCUUUGUAGCUUGUUUUCACAAAUACGCUGAUAGCCUUUGGGGACGGGUAUAUUGUUUUCACAAAGCCCUGGUGGUAUGUGAGAUGCUUCGAAGGACUGCAACUGAAGUCGAUAAGAACAUGCAGAAAGAAAACCGAUCCAUCUUGAUAAACUUGAAAAAUGUUGUCAUAUGGUGAUAUAUACUCCCUGGCCCCAGUCUCUUGGAAAGAACUUGGUUGAUUUUUUUUUUUCAGUAUUGUUGGAGCUGUCAUACUAGUGCUAGUGUGCCGACUAGCACUAGUAUGACAGCUCCAACAAGUAUCCAUCCCUAAUAAUUGCAGCAAAUUAAAAAAUAUAGCUAUAUCUUUUUAGCAAUGGUGCAAUUUGGAAAGCUUUCUCAUCAUCUUCUUCUUUUCUUUAUCUCAUUACUCUCAUCUAGUUCCACUGUCCUAUCUGCAACAAUUCGCGAAGGAGAAGCUCUUGUGGAAUGGAAGAACAGCCUAUCCCCGAAUUCAUUUCUUGGUUCUUGGUCACUAAUUAAUCUCACUUAUCUUUGUAAUUAAGUGGACUGGCAUUGUAUGCAACUCUGCAGGUUCAGUCAGUCAGAUUAAUCUUCAAGAACUCACACUUGCUAACCUCCGUUUCUUUUCGUUUCCAAAUCUCACCAAUCUCAACAUUACACAUAACAACUUCACUGGUCCAAUACCACCCGAGACUUUAGCUAUAGUAAUCUCAAUGGUACCCUUCCAUACCAGGUCAGCCAUCUUCAGAGGUCGGUCGUCUUAGGCCUCUAAUUUAAUCACUUGAAAGCUCUAAGCUUGUCCAAUUUUUCCCCCAUGCCUAUACUGGUUGGUCGCGGUCUUGGUGGUAAUAAGCUGGCGUCAAUUUUUCCAGAAUUCAUAUCUAAUUGCUAUAACAUGAUUAACCUUGAUCUUUCAUUUAACAUGUUAACUGGUGAUCCCUUCAACAACUUGCGAAUCUUGGAUCUCUUCGACAAUGAAUUCACUGGUUACUUGCCAAUCCAAUAUUUUAAUAAUAUGAAACCAGUUAAUACCGUGAUUGAUUAUUACAACAUAACAGUGAAUCAUGAUUAUCAAGCAUGUCUUGUUAACAUUUUGCACUCGUAUUAAUUGUCUUAUAUAUGACUAACUCAUCUUGCACUCGUAUUAAUUGUCUUAUAUAAUACUAAUAACAAAAAUAUGAGGCGGUGCUUAGUCAGAUGAUUUUAGUUGUUAAAAUAUUUUUGUGUUAUUUAUAGAUAGUGAAACAUGUCUAAUAUUUUAUCAAUUUUGUUUCGUUUCUUGAGAUUUCCAAAUAUUUAUUGGGACAUUGUACCAUGGUGUAUUUCACAUAUUCGCAAUUUUAAUUAUUUUGUAUUUUUAUUUUAAAGAUAUGAUAAAGUUUAUUUAUUUAUUUGUUUUUAUCUUAAAAGCGAUUUUCGAGUGUUGCUUAAACCUCGAAGAUUCCAAUCGAGUUUUAUUCUCGGAUCUGUUUCGGAAUUGAGCUUGGCCUUGAUUGUUUUCUGAAUAAAUCAGAUCUUUUGAAAUCAAAGGUUCGAUUGUGUUUUCCCGUCUCGCCUUUUGGCGUGUGUUGAUUUAGUACCCAAUUUUUGGGUGAUUCUGCGUUGUUAUAUUUGUGGUUGUUAUGUCUUUCUGUGUUAUCAAUGAGAAUGAUUGGGAUGGAGUUUUGGGAGAUUUGGCUUAUCGCAUCAUUACAUCUUUCGGCAUGUCUAUAGCUGGCUCCCGGCAUGUAGAUAGCUGGGGUAUGCUUGGAACGGUGGCGAUCGCAUGUGCUCACCUGUCACAAAUUAUAGUUGUUCAUUAUUCGAGGGCUCUUGUUCCUCGUUGCUUAGUUUUUACAACUGAGUCGUCUGAACACCGCAACAGCCAUGGAACUAUUGUGAAGGUCAAUUGUGAAGCUAUCAUUUUCGAGAUUGAUGUAGGCUGGAUUACUCGAGAAGCUUUUGUAUUCAUUUUCAGUUUCAAGAAUUCUUGAAUUCAGUGUGUUAAGCAGUCUGGAAACAAUGCGGCUAUUUGAUUAGCUCGUUUUAUUGUUUAUCAACCUGAUUGCAUUGUCAGUUGGGGAUUUGUCCCGAUUAAACUUGUUUUAAUAUAAUGGAAUGAAUUUGCAUUUUGUCAAAAAAAAAAAAAAAAAGCGAUUUUGAGUUGUUUGAGUUAGAUAUAUACUCCUACUGUGGUUCAACUAGUUUUGCCAUAAGUGAAUAACUUCCGGUCAAUAUUUUGAAAUUUGUCGUUAUCUUCUAAUUAAAAUAAAGGGUUAAAUAGCUACUUCAUCAUUAAUAUCGUUGAAAAUUUGCAGCUGAGUCAUGUUGUUGAAAAGACUUUCAAACUGCAUCAUUAAGUAAUUAAAAAAUUUCAAAAACACCACUCUCCGUCAGUUAUGUUAAACAAUUAACGGAAAGUUCGAAAAAAAAUAAAGAAAAGACAAAAAAACAUUAAAAAAAUUUGAAAAAAAAACCCGAAAAAAUGUGAAUAAACUAUGAUAUUUUUUUUCUUUUUUUGAAAAAUGUGAAUAAAAUCAAAAAAUCAAAAAAAAUGGGAAACCAAAAGUGGCAAGCUUUUUUUUUUUUUGUUCCUUUCAAAUUUUCUAAAAUCUGGGGAAAAAAGAACUUGCCAACUAAUUUUUUCCAAAUUUUUUCAAAUUCUUUUCAGAUUUUUGAAUUUUUUUCCAAUUUUUUCCUCACUUUUUUUCUGUUUUUUUUUGAAUUUAUUAAGAUUUUUUUUGUUUUUUCUGCUUAUUCUGAAUUUUUUAAGAUUUAUUCGCAUUUUUAAAAAAUAUUUUUGAAUUAUCCGUUAAGUAAUUAAUGGAACUGACGGAGAGUGAUGCUUUUGAAAGUUUUUAAUUACUUGAUAAUGCGUUUGAAAAUUUUUUCAACAACAUGACUCAGUUGCAAGUUUCCGGCGAGGUUAGUAAUGAAUUAGUUAUUUAACUCUUAAUAAAAAUCUAUCUAAACAAUAUUAUAAAUAUAAUGUUAUGGGUUCGAUGAGUCGUGUAAAACAUGGAAGAAGUUUAGGUGGGGUAAAAAGAGCCUAGCUGUGUGAUUUCCAUUCUGUUAUACGUGAUAUACUGUAGUUGAUCAUCUCCUUUGUCCGCUUCAUCCUGUGCAACCUUAACCUUUAAGGAAAAACUUAUGAGAUUCUCUAGUGCAUCUAAAUUCUUGUGUGAAGAAUGUGAAGAAAAAUGUUAGUCUCAGAUUAUUUUUCCUAAAAUGCUUGCAUGUUACAUUUUAUAUGUAUGUCCUGACUUUAAGUAUAAUUUAGCAUUUUUAUUUAGUAUUGUGUAAAAAUAAUAUAUUUUAUUCAGUCUUAUUAAAAAUAUAAUCAUGUUAUACUGUAAAAGUAUUUGUGAAUUUCUUUGUUACAUAUGUGUUUAAAUUAUUUUAUUUAUAUAUGUUUUACAAUUUUUUACAAAUAUAUAGGUUGAGUAUUGCAUAGGAAUAUAAUUACACGUUAGCAAAUAUGAUUAUGUGUAAACUGUUCUGCGUGCAUGUAUAUUGCUGCUAAGUUUUAAACUUCUUACUAACCGGAAUAAUUUUGACAGAUGUGUGGAACUUGAUUAAUUUAGUUGCACUAUAAGAGAAAGCGUUUUUGUCAAUAAAAAUUGUUAAGGAAAUUAGUCCGUUGGUAGUUCUCAACGGAUUUGUAACAAUUUGACUGGUCAAUGUUCUGUCAACCAAUUCGUAAUGAAAUACCCACACUUAUUUACAACGAGAUGUUCUAUUAGGAAAUAUAGCCACACAAUGGAAUAAUAACAAAAGACCAAGGAAUGAGCAACAGACUAGCAACGAAAGUAUCUGUUAUUACAUUCGUUGAUAUUCCCUUGAUAAAUACUAGACUUUUUAGCACUUUGGUGGCUUGUACUAUUUCAAAUUUGCACGUUAGUGGCCGACCUUUAAAAGUCAUCAAUUGUGUUGCUGAACUUAUUUUUUUUUAACACAUUAGGGGCUCCGCAUCAUAUCCGUUAAAUCGAAGUAACGGCGUCAAAUGAUCAAUACAUAUCUCCUCCUCCUCUUAUUUCCCUCCAAAUUAAAAAACGAAACGGCUACCCUCUUUUCCGAAGCAAGAACGACGACGAAUUCCUGCUUACAGAGAUGAGUUGGUUCCGGCGUCUUAAAGAGGAUGCUGAUGUGUAUUAGCCUCGACAGUGCCCCGAUUACUGUAGUAAGCUCUUCAACUUUUCUUCUUUGUAGCAUAUGAAAUGAGUUUAAUUGACCAUUAUUUCAGUGUUUGUUGUUGUUAGUGGCUAGUUGUUUAGUAUUAUGGACCUGCAAUUGCUUUAUACUAUUAAAAUGAAAGAUUCUGCUUGUGGGUUUUUAAAAAUUAAGGCUUUUACAUAGUCCAAGAUUCGGUCAUUAUAAAAUCAAUUUAUGCCUGUUUUAGUAUAGUGCUUGUUGUUAGUGGCUAUUUGUUAAGUAUAGUGUUGUUUAUUGUAAAUAAAACUGUUGCUUUGCACUCUACAUUUGCAGAACCUGGUGAUUUUACCCUAAAAAUAUAUCAUGGGGCCGAUUGGGUAGAUAACCCUAGGGCAUAUGUGGGAGGUACAGUAGAUUUCUUUGACUUCUGUAAUGCUGAUCAGAUCAGCAUAAUUGAGAUAUAUAGUAUGUUGAAAGAGGUUGAUGAGUUUGGGUUUCACCAACUGUGGUAUAAGCUACCUGGCACUACAUUCGAUAGAGCUUUUGUACUAAAUAAUGAUGAGGAGCUAAUGACCAUGUGUGAGCUUAUAUCUGAUGUGGAUAAGUAUAUGGAGAUUUAUGUCACCACUAUGGCACAUCUAAGUAUAGUGCCCUAUAGAGAUUUAGAGGUUGAAUUUGUUGAACCAACUCCUAAAGAAGCACCUGAAAAGAACAAUCCAUCACCUGAAAAGAUCAAUCCAGCACCUGAAAAGAUCAAUCCAGCACCUGCAAAGAUGUAUCCAGCACCUGCAAAGAGCAUUCCAACUGUGGGAAAUGAUGAUGAUCAGGAAGAGUUUGAGUUUGAUUUUGACAAUACACGGUUUUGGGAUACCACCCAAAAUGAAAUUGAAAUUGUGCAACAAGUUAGGGAAAUGGAGGGGUUGGAAGAGGAAUUUUCAGACACAGAUUCUGAUGAUGAGGAUUUUGUGCCAGAAGAAAAGGAAAGUAGUGAUGAGACCUUCCACUGUGAUAGUUCCAAUCAAGAUAAUUCUGAUGAUGAUUUGUUGUUUGAUGAUGAUUACUACCAUCCUUACCAGCAGAUGGAAACCAACAAAGAAAAAUAUACAACAACAACAACACAGCAAGAAUUUUCCAGUUCCUUGCUUGCUUCUGCGCCUCGGAUAGUUCUUCACUGUAGAAAUCCUUGUACUCAUCUUUGGCCUUAAUCAUUUCAGCAAAACAUUCAUCGUCCUUGUUCUUCAAACGCCUUAUCAGUCCAUUGAUUACACUCUUGCUGCGCGCAUCAAACUCGGGUUCAACCCACUUGAAGAAAUUGCACCUUCCAUUCACGCAAGUCAAGAAUCUUCUACCCGGAUUGUACUCCGUCCACGAUGUCUUCUCCACUGCCCAGCUUCCACACAUACAUUGUUGAUUCAUCUUUGCAGAGCUUUUUGGUUUGGAUGAGAGAUUUAGGUUUGAAUAUGCUCAAUUACACACAGCAGAAACGUAUAUAUAUACACAGCAUAUAGCCGUUGCAAAAAUAUUUUCCUGAAAUACCCCUGACGACCGUUACUUCGAUUUAAUGGAUAUGAUGCGGAGCCCCUAAUGUGUUAAAAAAAAAAUAAGUUCAGCAACACAAUUGAUGACUUUUAAAGGUCGGUCACUAACGUGCAAAUUUGAAAUAAUACAAGCCAUCAAAGUGCCAAAAAGUCUAAAUACUAACAGUUUCGUUAGUAAUUGAUUAUUAGUUUUACAUGGACAAUUGAUAUACACCACAUGAGCACAUACACGGAUACAAUGCCAGGCUCUUAGUUGAAAUGUGUGUACUGCUAAAGCUCAAGGAGAUUUAGUUGACUAAAUUGAUUUGAGUUGUAGAAAAAGGUUUAAUAAUAUAAUGGACUUUGAUAUAUGUAUUGUAGAUAUUAAGUAAUUCUCUUGAAUUUAUAUAUGUAACAUAAUUGUUAAUUGGCUCAUCCUUAACUAGAUAUUUUAUAUUACAUUCUUAACUACAGAUUUUGUAUUUAAAAUUUUUUUAAAAAAUUAACCUUUAUUUGGUAUGUGGAUUUUGUAGUCAAAUGUGGUCAAUUUACUUAGCCUUCGAUCGAAUACCUACCCAAAACAUAAAAAUAUUUUUUAAUCAUUUAUUUUCGACGAUCCAACUAUACGGAUAUUAUUGUAAUGUGAUAAUAUUGUUUACAAAUUUUUUUUAAAAAAAUUAGCCUUUUAUUUGGUAUGCGCAUUUUGUAGUCAAAUGCAAUUAAAUUACUUAGUCUUUAGUGGAAUCUUUACCCGAAACAUAAAACUUUUUUUUAAAAAAAAAUUUGGACAAUCCAACCGUACAGAUGUUAUUGUAACGUGUUAAUAUUGGUUAAAAUAAAUUUUGAGAAAAUAUGUCUUUUAUUUGGUGUGUGGAUUUUGUGGUCAAAUGCGGUCAAAUUACUUAGCAUUUAAUCGAAUACUUACCCAAAACAUGAAACUAUUUUUUUUAAAAAAUAAUUUCGGACGAUCCAACCGUACGGGGGUAUUGUAACACAAUAAUAUUGAUUAAUUUUUUUAUAGGAAAAUUAUAGCCUUUUAUUUGUUGUGUGGAUUUUGUUGUCAAAUGCAGUCAAAUUACUUAGCCUUUAAUGAAAUACUUACAUUAAACAUGAAUUUAUUUUUUUUUAAAAAUCAUUUGGAUGAUCCAAUCGUACGGAUGUUAUUAUGACAUGUUAAUUGAUUAAAAAAAUAUUUAAAAAAAAUGCCUUUUAUUUAGUAUGUGGAUUUUGUAGUAAAUGCUACUUAGCCUUUAAUCGAAUACUUACCCGAAACAUGAAACUAUUUUUCUAAAAAUCAUUUUGGACAAUCCAACCGUACGGAUGUUAUUGUAACAUGAUAAUAUUGAUUGUUUUUUUAUAUAAUAACCUUUUAUUUGGUGUGUGGAUUUUGUAGUAAAAUGCGGUCAAAUUACUUAGCUUUUAAUCGAAUACUUACCUGAAACAUGAAACUAUUUUUAAUAAAAUUAUUUUAGAUGAUCCAACCAUACAGAUGCUAUUGUAACGUGAUAAUUGAUUAUUUUUUAAAAAAAUUAGCCUUUAAUAUGGUGUAUGGAUUUUAUAGUAAAAUGAGGUCAAAUUACUUAGUCUUUAAUGGAAUAUUUAUUAGAAAUAUAUUUUAAAAAAUUAUUUUGGACGAUCCAAACUGUAUGAAUGUUAUUUUAACAUGUUAAUAUUGAUUAAAAUUGUUUUUAAAAAAAAAUUAGUUGUAUUUUAUGUGUGAAUUUUUAGUCAAAUACGAUAAAAUAUUUAUUUAGCUUGUAAUGAAAUAUUAAAACCCUACUUCAAAAGAAACUUGUCUAAAACUACCUAUAAGUGUUAGAGAAUCAUCGAUUUAGUUAUCAAAUUAGUUAUCAUAAGGGUUUUACUCCGCUUUUCUCUGGUAUGAUGUUGAUUUUUGGGGUUUGAUUGGUCGAUUUUCAUGUUUUAUAAGUUAUGUGAGUUCGAUUUUGAUGUUUUUACAAUUAGGUUUAUGUAUGUUCUUAUACAGGUUUCAUGUUCAUGUUUUGAUUUGUUGAUUUCCUAUUUUUCAUAUUUUGUUGAUUAGUUAUUUGUGUGGGUUUUGAACUUUGAUGAGUGUGUAUGUAAUCUCCUGUUUUUUUUUUUCAUUUUUCUGGUUCGAACACUUCGAUUAGUAGCUGGAAAAACAGCUGAUGCGGCAGUAGCGGCUAGUGAGAUGGAUAACAAGAAAAGGAUGAUUUCGAGGUCAUCUCGUGCAAGUCUUCAGAUAUAGUUUUGUUCCUUUAUGUUUUUAAUUGACAUAAAUUUUCACAUUUGAUGAUUAUAUUAUGGGGGAUUCUGGGUAUACUUGUAUAUAAUCUAGCAAGUUAUUAUAAUUCUGGACGGGGGGCUUAUUGUGAAAUUAAAUUGAGGGAUAAGUUGUGUUAUUGGUUCUAGUGGAUUAAAUUUAUGUUGACACUUGAUAUAUGCAUUGAUGUCGUAAAAUAAGUUGCACAUCAAACUAUUUGGCUUGUUUAAGUUGUAUGGAGUAAGGCUGUACGCGGAUCGGAUCGGUUCGGUUGGAGGGUAAUAACCAAACCAAACCGCAACUUACGGUUUUCUAAAAUCUCAAACCGCGACCAUACUGUUGGUUAAAAAAACCCAACCAAAUCCAUCCACGUAAUUGCGGUUGGUUGCGGUUCAACUGCUAAAAUAGUUAUAACAAAGAAAAUAUAUAAGUUAUUGCUUAAAAUCUUGCAUAAAGUACAGACUUUAACUCAAAAAUAUAUAAUUUAUCACUUAAAAUCUUGAAUAAAGUUAAUACAAUAAAUCUGAUUACAUAUUACAAAAGCAAACUACUCCGGAAAUAUAUAACUUGAAGCAGAGCUUCAAGUUAAUGGUUAUUAAAAAUUUCAUCCGCGACUGCCCACAUUUUACGGUUAUCCAUAAUACACGGAUCGGUUGCAGGUGGUUGUUGCGGUUAAUGCGGUGGAGCGGAUUGAACGUACAGCCCUAUGAAGUAUGGUUGCCAAGCAUUGGUUGGUUGUACACGUGUAAACAAAAUGAUAUUUUAAUAUUUAAACAAAACAAUACAGUCAUAAACAGAUCGUGUCGGGCUGGACUGAUUGUGAUUUUCCUUUUUGGAACUCGUACUCGGCAUCUUCCAAGCGAAUGAUAUUUAGAAGUUUGUUGCUAGUAUACUCCAUGUCAUAAUAAGAGUUCUUUAGAUUUUUUAUAUGUAAUUCGAAGUAUAAAAAACAUAUUUUAACAUAUUAUUUUUAAAUUUUUUAUACAUAAAAAUAUAACAUCUAUAUUUUUAUUUAGAAAAAAAUUUGAAAUAUAAUAUAUAGAUGCAUGUCUUUUUUAUACGUGAAAUUACAUGUAAAAAAUUAAAAGACUCUUAUUUUGAGUAAGAGAGAAUAUGAUGUACCAUAAAGUCAUCGAUCUUUUGUUAUCAAAUAAAUGUGAUAUUUAAUUAUUUAAGAGCAAGUCCAAAAGUAUCUUAGUUAAAGUCCUAAAUAUAAUAUAAAAUAUUACGUUCUGGUGAUUUAGGAUAUAUUUUACUAACUUGGACUCCAACAAUGUGUCUUAUUCUCAUAAGAAGUUUAAUAUUUUAUUAUUAAAGACUCUCUUUCAUCAUUAAAGCAUAAUAUAAAAGUAGAGAGAGAAAAAGAGUGUUGAUAAGAAUUAAUAAUAAAAUAUGGGAUAGGGUUAGGAGAGAUGUGCCUCAAAAAUAGGGUUUGAGGAGUUUCAUUAGGUGUGGACACGGAGACCAAGAAGUAAAAGAUGAGUACAGUUAAAUGAAGAUGUGGUAAAAUAAUGUGACCCAUUUAUAUUUAAUAAUACAUUUGAAAUAGUGGAGGAAAGUAACGAGUGUAAUAACGUUUAUAUUAUUAUAGCAUAUAGAUAGCAGAAGAAAGCAAUGGGUAUAAAAGUGUAUUAUAUUAUUAAAGUUUUGAAAUGUUUAGAAAUAAUGGGGCAAUCAAAAAGAAAACUGUAUAAAAAUGGACGAGAGAAUACAAUUCAAGAAGUAAUAUAUCUCAAUUCAAACUAGGUAAUAUAUUUAUGAAUUAUAUUAAAAAAAAUUUGACAUUCAAAUAUAAAAAUUUAUUUUAUCAUCUUAACAAUGGAAUAUUCGAUUAUUAACUUUCGUAAAUAACAUUAAUUUUUCAUUAUAAUAUACUCUAAACUUUUAUUUUAUGUGCCUGUUUGUUUACAAGAAGCUGGAGUCCUACUUCUCUUGACUCGUUUGUGUAAAAACGUAAAAAGUGCUUUUAAAAAGUACUGAGAAGGAAAUGGAAGUAGAAAAUGCUAGUUUUUCUUUAUAAUAUCUAUUUCUUUUCUAGACACUUUAAUAAUUUAUAUAUAUUAAUUUAUUUCUCACUUAUACUCCAUUUUUUUAUAGAGAACUUCUUUUAAACUAAUCGGCUCCUAUAAUCAGUAGUUUCUCAAUUUUAAUAGGAAUAAGAGCAUGUUUAUCUGAGCUUAAAGCCCGGGGUUUAUAUCAUCUCUGGCUUUAAGCUGAAAAAUGUAUGUUUGUGUAUUAAGUCGGAAGUCGGCUUAAAGUCGGAAAUAAGUCAAAAAUUGACCUAAAACCAGAAGUUAGUUUGAGAUACUUUUCUCGGUGACUAAUUUUUUUUUUAGCCAUUUUUUGAUAAAAAUUAUUCCUAAAUCACAAAUUACUCAUAAAUUACUUUUAUUAUUAUUAUUAUUAUAUUUUUAAUAACUUAUAAAUUAUUAAUAAAUCAAAAUUAAUCAAACAAAUAUUUUAAGUUCUCAUAUUAUGAGAUAACUAACGUUAAGUCAUGAAUCAACUGAACGGGAUGUAAGUCUUCUUCUCCCCGAGUCAUCAGCAGACUUUUUCCAUGUCUUCUGAGCCCCCAUUGGCUCACAAUUGGCCCAAAAAAUAUUUGGUUAUGCAUUGCUAUUCACACACUUAGACAUCAAAAUUUAUCAUCCGACAGGCGACAGCUAACUGCACACUAUUUUUCCCACAAGCUGAAAAAUCAACGAUCAAUUAAUUUUUCUUAUCAAUUAAUAAAGUUAUGAUUUCACGUACACGGCAGGCAAAAUGCUAAUAAAUAGACGAGUGCAGUAUAGUAUGGGUUCAUGAUCACCUUGAGAUUUAAUUGAAAAAUAUUAUGGUGAUAUAGAUUAAAUUAAAUUAUAAUAUCUUGAAAAGUUAUAAAUAAUUUUAAUUACUAAUAAUAUUUAUUUGUACAUUUAAAUAUUUUUAUAAAAACACAAAAAUAGCAUUAUACUCAUUUAAGUUUCUCGUAUCCGCCUCUCUUCUUGGAGAUUGUGGAUUUGCGAUAUUUAUAUUGAUUAUUAUAGGAAAAUGUUAUUUCCAGAGCAAACAUUUUUAUUUCCGGAGCAAAUUCAAACAAAUUUUUCCAAAUUGUUCUGGAAAUUAAAAUAUUGAUAUGGAUAUAACAAUUCCCUUAUUAUAUCCUAUGUAUAUUACAUUAAUGCAAUUAACAUGGUUGAUUGUUUUAGUAUAUAAUCAUAUUACUGUGACCUUUUAGUAUAUAAUUAUAUUAUUUUUGUUAUAUUUUAUGCAUCUAGAAACAAUUUUUUUAUGAUAUUUAUUAUAUUAAUUAUAGUAAAAGAUAUAAUUUUGUUUAAAAAAUUGAAUAAAACUAAGAGGGAUAGCCUACGUCUCUCCGAGUCUUCGAGGACUCAUUCCAAGUCCGAGAGGACCACAGCCUCAACCUUUAAGAGAUGUGAAAGUAGCUUGAGAGUGAUAUAAAUUUAUUUUUGACAAUAAAAUUUAAUAAUCAAAUAAAUUAAAUUAAAUUAAACUAGUUUAUAAUCGAUUAAAAAUAUAUAAAUCAAAAUUAUUCCCGAAUUAUGAUAACAAUUAAAAUCAUUUUAAAAGUUGCAUAAAUCAAAUCCAAAUCGAACAAAUUCCCCUAACACUAAAAUGUAGUUGCUUUAUUGUAGAUAAAAACAGUAUAAUAAUAGUAUUGAUGAAAAAUCAAAUUCAUCAAAUAAGUUUAUAAAAAAUACAUGAUUUUAAUUUUAAAAAAAAAACAUGAUUUUAGUGUGUUGUAUUAGUAGUGUGUCCACGCAUUUAUAUAUUAAAAUCUAUCCUCUAAAAACUAUCGAUCUAUUUACACAACUAUUGAUCUGUCGUGCAACAAAUUCCAGGGCGAAGUUCCAAAGAGAGCUUAAAUGGCUUGCAUUGCUCAAUCUAUCUCAUAAUAGUCUUAACGACAUAUGUUCUGAAUUAUUAUUAUGAUUUCAACAAUAUUUUCAAACAUUUCUUAAUAUGUAUUUUCAAAGAAUUCUCAAGCACUUGAACAUUUGGACCGGUUCUUUCGAAGCCAGGCAAUGCACAAAAAUGUCCAAAAAUGAAUAAAUUAAGAGAGAGUAGCUCACCCUUUCAAAGCCUUCCAGGACUCAUUCCAAGUCUUCGGAGGACCACUGCCUCCCCCUUUCAAAGAUGUGAUAGUAGCUCGAGAGUGAUAUAAAUUAUUUUCCCGACAUUAAAAAUAAAAAAUCAGAUUAAAUUAAUCAAUAAUAACUUAAGGAUGAAAUCCAAAUUAAUCCUAAAUUUUGAUAAUAUAUAAAAAUUAUAAUUAUAAAUUAUAUAACCAAAUCAGAAUUGAAUUAACUUACUUGGCACUAGAAUUGCUAAAGACAGUAUAAUAAUUUAAUUGAUGAAAAGUCAAAGUCUUCUAAUAAAUCCAUAAAGAAUAUGAUAAUAUGAAAAUUAUAAUUGAAAAAUCAAAAUCAAUAGUGUAUUGGAAUAGUGUUCACACACUUAUAUAUCAAAAUUUGUGGUCCAAAAACUAUAGCACAAUAUCCUAAAUACAUCACAUUAAAUAAUAGCACAAAAAUAUUCAAUAAAUAAUUGAUUUCAUUCAUAAAUUUGUUAUUUUAAAAACUAAUAAUUUGGUUGAUGUUAACCUAUAUUUUAUAUAUAAUUUCGUCUUAUUUUAUUUUACUAGAAACAAUAUUUUUAUAAUAUUUAUUACAUUAAAUAUAUUAAAAGAUAUAAUUUUAUUAAAAAAAUUGAAUAAAAUUAAAAGGAUAAGUCUCGGCCUCUCCAAGUCUACAAGACUCAUUUCAAGUCCACCGAGGGCCUCAACCAUUGAGAGAUGUGAAAGUAGCUUGAGAGUGAUAUAAAUUAAUUAAAUUAGUUAAUAAUGAAUCAAGACUAAUCAUGAAUUAUGAUAAUAAUUAAAUAAAUUAUAAAAUUAAAUUAUACAAAUAACACUAAACCUUAGUUACUUUAUUGGUAAAUAAAUAUAAUAUAAUAAUCAAAUUGAUGAAAAAUCAAAAUCAUUUAAUAAAUUCACAAAAAAUAUAUGAUCAUUAGUAUGUUAUAUUAGUAUCCACACACUUAUAUUUCAAAAUCUAUCCUCCAAACUUAUCAUCUCUGUAAACUAGCCACAUAAAAUAAAAAUUUAAAGAUAUUAGAUAUUUAGUUAUUUUCAUUAUAUAAUUUUUCCACACGAAAUAACAAAAUAUCUUUAUCAAAUUAUUAUUUAUGAGUUAAAUAUUCAAUUUAUAAAUCCAGUAUGCAGCGUAUAAAUAGAAGUGUGCAGUAUGAUAUCAGAUUCACAUAACCCAGUUGAUGAGGAGAAACAUGGCAUACUCUGCAAAGCCUUCUCACCUUCUUCUCUUUGUUUUCUUUCUCUCAUCACUUGAAUCCAUUCUUGCAACAACACGAGAGGGAGAAGCUCUUGUGAAGUGGAAGAAUAGCCUAGCCCCUUCUUCUUUUCUCGACUCUUGGUCACUCACCAAUCUCGAUAAUCUUUGUAACUGGACUGGCAUUACUUGUAACUCUGCAGGUUCAGUCUCUGAGAUUAACCUUAGUGAGAAACAACUUGAUGGAAUGCUGUCCGAGUUUGGUUUCACUUCAUUUCCAAAUCUCAACAAUCUCACCCUCGCAUACAACUUCUUCUCGGGUCCAAUACCGCCAGCCAUUGAGAAUUUAACACAGCUUCAAUACCUUGAUUUAAGCUUUAAUUAUCUCGAUGGUCCCAUUCCGUUCCAGGUUAGCCAUCUUCAGAGGUUGCUCAUCUUAAACCUGUCACAGAAUGCAUUGCAAGCUCCAAAUUGGUCCCAUUUCUCUCCCAUGCCUUUCUUGCGCAUCCUCGACCUUAAUAGCAAUCAUCUUGCGUCGAACUUCCCAGAAUUUAUAUCCAAUUCUCAUAGCUUGGCUAUCCUUGACCUUGGAUAUAACAACUUUACAGGUGACCUUGUGCGUGAAUUUACUAAUCUACAAAAUCUUGAAACCCUCUACCUAGAUGAAAAUUCUUUUGAGGGGCCAUUUCCGCCGGAUGUAUUCAGGCUUUCCAAAUUAAAACAUCUUCGCCUGUCAGGUAACAAAUUCUCAGGUUCAAUUCCCAAUGACAUAAGGUUGCUUUGUGAUCUUGAAUCCCUAUAUUUAAGCAACAAUUCCUUUAAAGGACCCCUUCCAUCAAAUAUAUUCAAGCUUUCAAAAAUAAAACAUCUUGUUCUUUGGAGUAAUAAGUUUUCUGGUUCUGUUUCCAAUGAUAUAGGUUUACUUUCUGAGCUUGAAACCCUCGAUCUUAACUCUAAUUUUUUUGAGGGGCCGCUUCCGUCAAAUAUAUUCAAGCUCUCCAAACUAAGGUAUCUUUCCCUUUGGGGUAAUAACGUUUCAGGUUCUAUUUCCAAUGAUAUAGGUUUGCUUUCUGAGCUUGAAACCCUCGAUCUUAACUCUAAUAUUUUUGUGGGGCCGCUUCCGCCAAAUUUAUUCAAGCUCUCCAAACUAAAGAUUCUUUCCCUUUAUAAAAAUAACUUUUCAGGUUUUAUUUCUAAGGAUAUAGGUUUGCUUUUUGAACUUGAAACCCUCUAUCUUGGCUCUAAUUUUUUUGAGGGGCCGCUUCCCCCACAUGUAUUUAGGCUCUCCAAAUUAAGAGAUUUGGGUCUCAGAGACAAUAGAAAUUUAUUUCAAGGAAGUAUUCCUAUUGGACUGGGACUCUUGACUAAUCUCAGGUACUUGAGUCUAUUUUCCAAUGAUCUCAGUGGCUAUAUUCCAUCUGAGAUUGGAAACCUGAAGCUACUAAAAGUUCUUGAACUCGGUUCUAAUCAAUUGACAGGACCGCUUUUAAAGAUAGUUUCUAAUCUCAAAAAUCUUAUAUAUCUUGGUGUAAGUGGUAAUAGUCUUAGUGGAAAUAUUCAGAGUGACUUGUGGAAAUAUAACGAUCAUCCAACUUUGGAAUACAUCAAUUUAAGUGGGAACCAUUUUACGGGUAUAGUUUCUCUCUAUAGAUCUUUGUCAUAUGUAACUAAGCUAGUAAUCUGAUUAUUGCCUUUUCACCAAAGUUUCAACAAUCUUGACAGGUGAGCUUCCAACAACAAUUUGCAAUGUCACAUCCCUUUUGCUUCUUGAUUUGUCAAAUAAUGAAUUAAGUGGUGCACUUCCAAACUGUUUCGGAAAUCUUGCUGAUAGAUUGCUUUACGUUAAUCUUGCUAAUAAUCAGUUUCGAGGAACAAUACCAACUACUUUCUCCAGGAGUUGUCAGCUGAAAUAUCUAAACAUGGAUAAUAAUGAGUUUGAAGGAUUGUUGCCCCCGUCUUUGGAAAACUGUAAGCACUUGAGAAUUCUUGAUAUUGGCAAUAAUAAAAUAGGUGGUACAUUUCCGUCAUGGCUUUAUGUACUUGGAGAGCUAGAAGUCCUUGUCUUGCAAUCAAAUAAACUCUAUGGUACAAUAAGUGGAAGGAGCAUAGAAGAUCCCUUCCGCAAGUUGCGGAUUGUGGAUCUGUCCAACAACCACUUCACAGGCCAUUUGCCAAUUCAAUACUUUAAGAAUAUGAAAUCAACUGAUAAUUUGUAUAGUUAUCAGCUUUCCACAGCAGUUUUUUCUUUCCAUUAUGAAGCAGCAGUCUCAUUAAUUGUGAAGGGAACAGAGUAUGAAGUAGCAAAUAACCUUCAUAUUUACACAGCCAUUGAUCUGUCGUGCAACAAAUUUCAGGGAGAAAUUCCAAAGGUUACUGGAGAGCUUAAAUGGCUGGCAUUGCUCAACUUAUCUCAUAAUAGUCUAACAGGACCUAUCCCGUCAUUGCUGAGAAAUAUGAAAGAACUCCAAUCUUUAGAUUUGUCCUCAAAUCAACUGACGGGGGCUAUUCCACCUCAGUUAACUGCGCUGACAUUUCUAGAGGUCUUAAACCUCUCGGGAAACCAUCUUAGUGGAGAGAUUCCUCAGAAAGGACAAUUCAGCACAUUCAACAAUGAUUCGUAUCUAGGAAACUCCGCUUUAUGUGGAUCACCAUUGACGAAGAAAUGUGCAAACACAGCAUCACCUCCACAAGAAGUCGGAAAUGUUGAUGAAGAUUAUGCGGGUGAUGAAUUGACAUGGGAAGCAAUCAUGAUCGGAUAUGGAUGUCGACUGAUAUGUGGAUUGUCAUCUGCAUACAUUGUUCUCAAACUAGGAAAGCCUUGGUAGUUUGUGAGAUAUGUCGAAGUACUGCAACAGAAGUUGAUGAAAAGAUGCUUGAAGAAAGGUACUGGUCGACCAAUAAGAACUUGAAAGUUGUUGUCCUGGUAGACAUUUCUGAACCAGUAGUAUUUGGUAUUAUGUGAUAUUCUGUUUGGUCCGGACUCAUAACGAUUUCGCUUGCUUCAGGAGUAUUAAUAUUAACCUUCCUAUCUUGAUCAAUGUUAAUGCAAAUUAAAAUGAAAAGGCAAAAAAUAUGCAUCAAAUCCCCUCCUGUUGUACCAAGAUUCAUUAAUUAAGAGGCAUGGCUUUUGUCUCUCCAAGUCUUCGAGAAAUUAUUCCAAGUCUUCUUUGGAGGCCUACUGCCUCAACAACCUUUCAAAGAUGUAGCAGUUGCUCGACAGUGAUAUAUAUAUUAGAUAAAGACUAUGCAACAACCAACGUGACAGAAAAAUCAAAAUAGGACAAAAUCCGUACGAAUCAAAAUAGUUUAUUUCUAAGGGGAAUAGCUGAAUUAAAUUGUAAGAGAAGUAAAACAGAUUCUUUUAUAUUUUGGAAUAUAACUGAAAAAGAUUUUGAGAUAAUUUUCAGAAAUCAAACCAGUCAAAUAAAUAUUCGCUGAAGGAACAGAGUAAAGAUACAACGAAUAUAACAAGUUGUAAGAUGAAUAUCGCUGAAUCAAACAGGGUAGAACCCGUACAAAAACGCCAAACAGAAAGGAUCAAAACAGAGUAAUCAAAUUUACCUAACACUAAUAGAAGUAGUGCUGAAUAAAAGAGAACGAAAUCUGUACCUUAAAAAUAGCAAACGCAAACACUAACCAACCUCACAAGGGACCAUCUAAACUCCCUAACCCCGACUUUAUCUUAAACUCCAAAUAUCUCCCUGACUCCAAUAUGCCCAGAACAAUAAACGAAUGUUUUGACCUUCUAAACGAUGUUUUCUGGAAUAACGCAAAACACGAAAAUCGUAGAGAACGAAAAGACCUUUCCGAAAAGGUAAGGCUCGUCAAGAACGGAGUCAUAACGAAUCGGGAAUUAAAUAAAACGUCCGCUGAUUCAGAACUCAAAGCGAGAACAGGAUCUGAUUAAGUUUUGUAAUUUUGAGAACAGUUUGAAACAUAAUCUGAGAAAACAUUAUAAACGAAAGUAUAUGAGAUUGAAAGAGCUUUCCGAAACAUCAAGAAUCAUCAAAUUCCGAUAAGAAUUGAAUUUUCUACGAAUUUUACAAGACAGCUGAUUUGUGAGAAUAAAGCCCUACGAAUUUUUGUCAUAAAAAUGAAGAGAAGGUUGAGUAGCUCUCAAAAGUAUAUAAAAAGAAUGAGAGAACAAAUCAAUAUACUCCCUUUGUCCCUCUCGUUUAUUUACAGUGUUUGACACGCAUUUUAAAGCGCAUAUAAAACAUAGUUCUAUGAUUUAUUUUCAAAAUUUUUCUUUUUUGUAUAAAAAUUUAAACAUCAAAUUUUUAUCUAGAAAAAAAGGAAGUUCAAAAUAAUUUAUUGAACUACGUUUUACGAGAGCAUUAGAAUGCGUGCCGAGCCCCCGUCCCCCAAUGUAAACAAAUGAGAGGGACGGAAGGAGUAUAUAUACAGAGUCUUGAGACCCUAAUUCUAAACCUAUCCAUUAUCUGAAUGCAAGGCUGAUCUAUAUUUUAAGUACACUAUCCUAAUUCAAUUUUAAAUCCUAUUCAUAAUCUAAUUUUAAUCCUUUAUUAUUAUUACUAACCAAUUAAUAUUAUUUUAAAAAAAUACUGGAUAUUACAUUCCUGAUCAGACUAGUGAUCGGAUUGCAACCGCAAAGCAGCCUAUAUAUAGUGACAAUUAAAUACACAACAAAACAACUUCUUUCUUCUCUCUUGGGUUAUAAUACUCAGACGGACAAGCUAUAUCUGAGGCGAUUUUCUGGGCGAUUAAACACACAAUAAAAGCAGCUUCUUCUUCUUCAAUUAAGGUUUAUUCUACACCCAAUCACAUACACACACACACUUUAAUAUGACUAGUGAGUUCAAUUUUUGGUGGUAUUAUAUGAUUAUCAUGUUCUCUUUUUAAAUAUUAGUAACGUUAUUUUCGGAGUGGACUCUGUUGAUGUUUAAAUUUGAUAUAGAUAUUGUAAUUGAAAAUUUAUGUUGAUUUGUUGUUCAGAUUUCAAGUAUUAAUUUGUGUGUGAUCAAAAUUUUGCUUCUACAUCGAUUAUCAGGAGGAAAUAUGAGGCCGAUCUUGAUCAAAGGACACGAAAGGCCAUUAACAUAUCUAAAGUAUAACAAGGAGGGUGACCUCCUCUUCUCCUGCGCAUUAGACAGAAACCCCGCUGUUUGGUACGCUGAUAAGGGAGAGCUUUUAGGCACUUACCGUGGGCACAUUGGUUCUGUUUGGGGUUGUGAUGUUUCUAGGGAUUCAAAACUUUUAAUAACUGCAAGUGCGGAUCAAACAGCAAAGGUAUGGGAUGUUCAAACUGGGUCUGAGCUGUUCACGUUUGAAUUUAAGUCCACUGUGAAAUCAGUAGAAUUUGGUGUCGGAGACAAGCUUGCUGUCAUUGCAACAGACUCCUUUCGUGACAUGUCUUCUGCAAUUCAUGUCAAACACAUAGCCAGAGAUCCUAGUGAACAGUGCGGUGAUUCUGUGAUUGAAUUCUCACCUGGAGGAAGAAUCAAUAGAGCUGUUUGGGGACCUUUAAAUAGGACCAUAAUAAGUGGUGGUGAACAAGGCGUUGUUCGUGUGUGGGACGUUGAGACAAAGAAAGUGAUUUAUGAGUCAGACAAGGAUACUGGUCAUCAGAAGGCCAUUACAUCACUUGCAAAAUCAAGAGACGGUUCACAUUUACUUACUGCUUCCAUUGACAAAUCAGCUAAGCUUUGGGACAUCAGAUCAAUGAAACUUCUCAGGACAUACAAGGCUGAAGCCCCAGUUAAUGCAGUUGCACUCUCUCCACUACUUGAUCAUGUCGUGCUCGGAGGUGGUCAAGAUGCAUCGACUGUUACAAACGAUCCUCGUGCUGGCAAGUUUGAGGCCAAAUUUUAUUCCAAGGUCCUUGAAGAAGAAAUUGGAUCUGUGAAAGGACACUUUGGUCCGAUAAAUGCAUUGGCAUUCAACCCUGAUGGAAAAAGUUUCGCAAGUGGAGGUGAAGAUGGUUAUUUGCGAUUACAUCACUUUGAUCAUGACUACUUCAACAUGGCGAUUUAAUUCGAAUUACUUACAUUGCUACGUCUUUUUUUUUUUUUUUCCGGUUUUAUUCAAGUUAUUUUCUGGUUUUUAUGUUGAUCUUAUGUUCUUUGUUAUAAAUAGAAGUGUGGUUCCUUUUAAAACUAUUUACAUAAGUUUUUGGCUUUUCAUGUAAUUUAAUCAAAGUAAAUGCCAUGAGAUCCUGAAUAUAUCUACUUAUCUAUCUAUCUACUUAUUAAAGCAGAAUCAGGGGAAAAAUAUACCAGAAAUUGGAUGAAAAAUUUACAUACACACCCUCAAUUAUUCAUCAAUUCCGAAAUUGGCCUGUAGUUUAGCUGUUAACUUGCAGGAUUUUUGUAAAAGUAGGAAUCAGCGAUUCUUAGGUACCCCAGUGACCCCGAAUCGGUUUCUCAGAUUCUUGGAAAUCCUCGGUCAGUUGAUUUAGAUUGUGGGCAUAUAUACACCUAUAGUCAGCCUCCGGCGGUGCAAUCUUUUGGUGGUGUUUUUCAGCCUUUUCUGCUAUAGCGAUUCUUGUUAAAACAUUCAGGUGCUAGGGUUGUUUUGUUGGUAAAGGGAAUUGGAUUGUUGUAUCUGCGGUUGUGGCAAAGGUAAUUUUCUUGCCCUUGCUAUUCUUUUGGGAUGUCUGAUUAUAAAUAGCCCUUCUAACUUUGUUCACCUGUUCUGUAUGAUGUGUGUCAUUUGUGAUUGAGUCGAGCAGUAUAUCAUUUUGAUGCAUAUUGUUAAUUUCACUCUGGGAAAUUUUUAUGCUGAUGUUUGGGCAAUUAAUUCUGGUUAUUUCGUUGAUUUUGUUUGUGGUUUGUUUCCACCUGCCAUUAGAACUGUAAAGUAAAGUGUAUUUAUUGAUCAUGAUUCAAGUGUUUGUAGAUAAUCGAUGUGGGUGACAAAGAAGCUGCAAAUGAUGAUGGUUCUUCACAAAUUUUAUCUGCUUUGCUUCCUUUUGUUGUGGCUCUCACCAUGGUUGUCAAGUCGACGACUGCUGUUGCUGCUCUUGCUCAGCCCUCAACUUUCACCUGGUAACAACUUUUGUAUGUUUGGUAAAAUAUUUUGAUUUUUUUUUUUUUGUAAGGGUAAAAUAUUUUGAUUGUGAUAAGCUAAUUUAUUGUUUUUUAAUGAUUCCAACACUACAACAGAUUUAGCAUCACACAACGGUUUUUGCCCGUUGUCUGAGACCACGGAAAACCGUGGUCUAUCGAGACGCCGUCUGAUAUGCGUAUCAGACAACGGUGCGCACCGUUGUGUGAUAGUGCUAAACACGAUGGUUUACGUUAAAAAAAUUGUUGUGCAACACCCAGAACCAACAACGUUUACUCUUAAACGUGGUGUUGUUAGAAACACUCCUUAACAAUAGUCGAUUUCAAAAAUGGUGUUGUUAGAGAGACUAUCCACAACAGUUUUAUUAGCUCGCAAGACUUGUUGGAAAGAUGAUCAUACAACAGUAGUUGAAAUAGAGAAGCUCGUUCUUUCCUCUCUUGUACAACGGGUUUCGAACACCAAGCCACUUGUGUAAGGCCCCUUCUAACAAUGUUUUAAUUAGUGAGGUUGUUGUGUUUAGUUACGUCAGACAAUGGUUUUCUUUCAUAGUUGGUUGUCGUUUACAUGUUUUAACAAUUGUUUCUGUUUCAUCAUUAUUGCAAGUCAUUUGUUUGGACAAUGGUUUUGUGACAAUAAAUCAUUGUUUCCAGUUUUAUGAGACAAUGUUUUUAAUGAAUAAUGAUUAUUGUAUCAUGUUCAGUAUGACAAUGGCCCUGUAUUAUCCCAUUACCUAAAUACAUAAUAGACAAUGAUUAACAUAACUCGAUUAAACUAAGCUAGAGAAUGUAAUUAAAAAGCCAAAAAUUUGUAAACAAAAAAUUUCAUUAUGCACUAAUAACCAUUGUUACAACCAAAUCAUAUAUACCAUCCAAUAUCCAGAAAUAUUUCCCCCGAGGAUGGCAAAUCUCAAAAAUAUAAAUACCUACAAUAAAUGGUAGCAUCUAGAGAGGCAUAUGUGACUACAAGAGUCUUUUGUGAGCUUUUCAACUACCCAGCCCAGGAACAAUCCUCUGAUUGCAUUCUUUUGAUUCGGAUGGAGCCCUCCUGCUAUCUCUUUUGGAAGUGACUCUACUGCAACCACCUGUAAUACAUAAAAAAGUUCUUGAUAUGCUUUUCGUACAAAGAAAUUAAUGUGGUUGAGGAGUAUGUUUCGAGUUCAAAAUAUACCAGUGUGCCAUCUUCCAUGGUUUCACGUCAUUCAUACACAAUAAAUUGUAGCAAUUGUGAGCCCUAUCAACAUACCAGUCUUUCUGUAUUUAGAGUUGGAGCAGCUAAGCCAAAAUCAGACAAAUGGGGAUUGAGUUCAUCAAGUAAAAUAUUUGCUGACUUUAAGGUACUAUUAACAACAUAAGGAACAACAUCAGCAUCUUGCUUCUAUCAUCAGUGAAGUAUAAAAACUCUUGCAAGCUACUAUUUGCAAUAUAAUCAUGGACCAGAAGACGUACCAUGUUCAGCGGAAUAUCAUUCAAAUCUCUGGCAUGGUUGUUGUGAUGGAUAAAAAUAAGUUCCUUUAUGACCUGAAUUAAACAUUAAAAGAUACCAAAUUAACCGAAAUGCGUAGAGAUGCACAAAAAGUCCAGGCCCGAAAAUAUGGUCAUAGAGAUUUAAAAAAAGUCGAAAAUAAAGACAAACCAUGUGAGUAAAAAGCAGAGUAAGGAGGAUUGAUGGUAGUGUUUGAUAUAGAUGCCAUGUGGGUAGAUCCAUAUGAGCUGCUGGAAGCAGAGAGAUUUCUUCCAAACUCUCUUACAUUAUUGACAACAUUUGUGUUAACAUAUAUGUGUUGUAUAUGAAAUUUUAAAGAUUAGAUACAUAAAUAUAAUAUUAUUCGGAAAAUAUAACAUACCAUCUCGAGUCAUUUUCUUGCUUGGUCAUUAAAAUAACCUACAGCAAGUAAUGUACCCUCACUCUAUAAGAAGAAGAUGGACAAAAAGAAGUCAGUUGUAUGGAUGCCUCGGAAUAUAUACAAGAAUGUCCCAGGGAUAUUUAUUCAGUUGAUGAAGCAUGUAUAUCUAGAAAUUAACAAACCUCAUCAGCCAAAACAAAUAUAAAAUUAAUAAAAUCAUCUGUCUCCAAACACACAGAUUAAAAUCAAAGCACAAAUGUUAUCACACAAAACCAAGACAACACAAGAUCCAUCACUAAAACACACAACUACUACUAAAAUCAAACACACAAACAAAAAUCUCAUAUAGAUUCAAACUUUAUCCCCAAAAUCAAGUAUAAUUACACAGUAAAAAGCAUUCGUUUACCUCUUCAUAAGGUGAAUUGUUGUUAAACUAAUCAGCACGGUCAACACCGGCAUCAAAAACUUGAAUGGCCUUUGGGGUUAUCGCCGACAGAACAGAUCUGAGUAAGCUUUGUAGAAAAUGAGAUAGAGACGGGGGAGGGAGGGGAGAGUUCAGAGGAGGGUGAGGGAGAGACAGAGGGCGAGAGGGAGGGGAGGGGCGAGAUGCUUUAACAAAUCAAUUGCGGCAAGAGUGGGGAAGACACAGCCGCACCAGAAGAGGAAGAGAUAGAUUCAGAAGAAGAGAGAUUUACUCUCACUUACAAAUUUUAGGUCAAAAUAGAGGGGGGGAAAUGAAAAUUUGGAUAAACAAGUAGAGAGGGAAUUGAAAAUUUUUGUAAGGUGGAAAUCAUUCGUUCAUCCCGUGUAAAUAACAAAAUCAAUGUAUUAUAAUAUCCAUAUAGUUGAAUUAUAAAUAAAUGAAUUUUUUAAAUUAUAUUUUUGUAUUUGAUUACAAAUAUUUCAUAUUAAAUAAAUUUUAAAAACAAUUUUAAUGUAGAUGUCAAUAUCUAAUUAUUUUAGUUAUUUGUGAAAAUCUUCAAAAAAUUAAAAAUUAAUCUGGUAAAUCUUUUUGACAAAAUAUAGUUGAAAUACAACUAUUUAAUAAAAAAUUAAUAAUUCUUUAAAAGUUAAAAUUCUCAUUUUCUCGAUGUAUUCCGUUUUUGUACUCUUUGUCUAAAUAAAAUAUACACAAAUUUUUAUUAUUCAUUUGUAAUAAGAAGAUAUUUGUGUGGUUCAAAUGUCAAUAUUAGUAUAAAUUUCAUAUUUACAAUAUAGGAUGUACUUAAUAGAAGUUUUGUGAUCUAUAUGAUUAACCCCGUAUUAAUUUUGAAAUAUUUUCGAUCAUCCAAACAUAUAAAGAUCUUAAUAUCUAUCAAUAUUAGUCAUGUAUAAUAUUUUUAAAUUUUUCUAUAUUUAUUUAUAUCUUGUUGUAACAAAACUAGUGAUGAUCGUUGUUUUUAUGUCAUUUCUUAUUUUUGUACUUUUUAUCAAAAAAUUAUAUUUAUAUUAUGCAUAUGUCCAAAUUUGUAUUAUUCAUUUGUAAUUGGAAGAUAAUUUUGUUGUUCGGACCUGAGUAUUACUAUGUGUUUUAUGUUCACAAUUUAGGAAGCACUAGAUAGAAUUUUUGUUAUCUACAAAAUUUGCUCUGAAUUAAUUUAUAAAUAUUUUUUUCGAUGAUAUAACCGUACGGAUGUUAAUAACUAACAAUAUUAGUCAUGCAUAAAAAAAUUAGAUUUUUUUAUGCUUAUUUUAUAUGCUUUUUUUACAAAACUAGUCAAUUGUAAAUUUUGUCUUAUUGUAAAAAGGUAAUUUUUGUCUUGUAGUGUCCAACAGACAACGGUACUUAUAGGCACGUGUGUUGUAUGAGUUAAAAUGACACAACUGUUAUGGACAUUAUACAGUCAUAACAAAAUCUAUUGUCUAAAAUAGGCUCAAACAAUGUUUCGGGAAAAACUCGUUGUGUGUAAGUAGUGUAGACAAUGGUUUCUGGGAGGCAAACCGUUGUAUAAUAAAUUUUCAUUUUUAAGAGUUAGAAAUUCACAUUUUCUUGAUUAGUUCUUGUUUUUGUACUCUUUGUCUUAACAAAUAUACUUAUAUUAUGUAUAUAUGCAAAUAUCAAUUGUCAUUUGUACUAUGAAGAUAAUUUUGUAGUUCGAACAUGAGUAUUGGUAUGUGUUUUAUAUUUACAAUUUAGAAAGUACUGAAUAGGAUCUUUGCUAUAUAUAAGAUUAGCUCCGUAUUAUUUUAUAAAUAUUGAUUUUGAUGAUCUAACCGUACGGAUGUCGAAAACUAACAAUAUUAGUCAUGUAUAAAAAAAAUCAAUUUUUUAUGUUUAUUUUGUAUGUUUUUUUUAACAAUACUAGUCAAUUGUAAAUUUUGUCUUACUGUAAAAAGGUAUUUUUUGUCAUGUAGUGUCUAACAUACAAUGGUUUUUAUAUGCACCUAUGUUGUAUAAUUGAAAAUGAUACAACUGUUACAGAAGUAUACCGUUCUAAGAAAAUCUAUUGUCUAAAUUAGGCUCAAACAACGGUUCACGGAAAAUCCGUUGUAAAAAAGUAGUGUAGACAACAGUUUAUGGGAAGGAAACCGUUGUAUAAUAAAUUUUCAUUUUUAUGAGUUAAAAAUUCGCAUUUCCUUGAUCAAUUCUUGAUCUAAUGCAAGAAAAACAUAUGACUAUCAAGAAAUUGAUUGUUUUGUUAUAACUUUGGUUAGGACUUUGAAUCUUUGCACUCUCUUAUGUACAUCCAUUUUCUUAAAAUUCAUUCAAUCAUACAACAUUUUAUUAGUUAGUAGAGGCUUGUCUAUAAUGCCAUGCUACAAUGCUAACAAAAACACUUGUAUGUUAGCUUCCCAGUCACACAACACUAUAUAAAACCCUUGUUUGAACUCCUCGUAAACAACACAACAAAUAAAACACUUGUCUAAUUACAACGACGGUUUCUUGAACUAUUGUCUGAAGUUUCUUCACACAUCGGCUCUCAAAACAGUUGUCUAACAUGCAUCAUUACACAAUACCACAGUUAAGAAACCAUUGUCUAAUUGAAUUUACUAGACAACAAUUUUUUAACCGUUGUAGGUCGUAGAUGUUAGACAAUAGUUUUUCGAGGCCGAAAAGAAAGUGUUGUGUCUUUUUUCCAAACAACGCUUUUUUCACCGUGCGUUGUCUGAUCAGUGUUGUCUAAUGGUGUUAUUGUUGUAGUGCAAGUUGGAUUUAUUUAAUGCUAAUAGGUACUUGUUCAAGUGAGGAGAUUUAACUGAGAUUCAGGUUCUGGCAUUUGUCUUGUGUUGUUAUUUGUUUAUGUACCGGUUUUGAGAGUCAUUAGAGAUAUGUAAGGUAUUUAUUCCUAUUUUUUAUUAUUAGUAUUACAUCGUUUUCGGGUAAAAUAAUCGAUGAUUGUUUGUUUUAACUGUGUAAUAGCCUUAUGAUCUGCCAACUUAUGUAGACAUGUGAUAAACAUGUUGACUGUGGUCAAUAUUUUAGAUGAGGUAGUGUGUUUGUUGUUAUUGCAAGACUUUUUGGAAUAAUCAUUGUCAAAAAGAACUAACGAUGAAUGGAAAUGAAGUUCUGAAGAAGUGAUGAUACAAUGUUAAAGAGAUUGCUUUUUGUUGAAUUUUUCUGACUCUGGAAUUAAACUGCGUUAGUAUCUUCUUCUCUGAUUUUCCUUAUUUGGUAGACCUACUACUUUCAGAAGAUACAUGUGGUAUUUGUUUGGUUGAUUAAUUUUGGUAAGAUACAGUUUCCGUUUGGAAUCAGACUAUCCAUUGAACAAUCAGACUAUCCAUUGAAGAUUUUAUGCUCGCUCUUAAAUGGUUGAUCCACUGAUCUUAUUCUUACUUCAUAUGAGCUAAAGCCAGCUCUAGGGGUGUUUCUCGCAUACAAAAAAAUUAAAAAAAAUAUUAUGAAACUAUACUUUGCAGGAGUCUCAAAAUAAAUAAGUGUAAACGAUAAACUUAAACACCUAACUUCUUAAACACCUAGCAUAACACGGGUGAGCAUAUGGUCAAUCAUACCAAAUUGAAUAAAUCGAAAUUAAAAUUUAAAUAUUUUUAGACUGGACCAAACUGAAAUAUUUUGUCCGAUCCAGUUCAGUAUGAUCGAAAAGAAUUGAUUCUUUUGGAAAAAGUAACUUAAUAUUAUAAAUAAAAUUAAGAUUUAUAAUUUAUUUAAAAACUAUCAAUGAAUCAUCAACACUUCUUCAAAAAUAGAUACAUUUGAAUUUAUACAUUAGAUAUUAUAACUUCUAAAAAGUAUAUAAAAAUAUAUAAUAUAAAUAUAAAUUUAUAGUAUAAUUUUUUUGACUAUUUAGAAUAUAUUUUUAACCCAAAUAUUUUUUUUUAAAAUCAAAUUUUAUUUCGAUGAACUUUUCUAGAAAAUUAAGAUAGAAACGAAACUCAUUCCUACAGUAAGGUUUCAGUUUUUCGGCUGCAAUACGGUUUUGCUCAUCAUUAGCAUAAAUGGAGUAUGUAGUAAAUAUGAAUGAAUGGCAUGGGAAUUCUUGGAAUGGUAUCAAGAAUUAAGAUUAAAGCACAUUAGAAGUUUAGAACCAUGAAUGUUAUUUUUGAAAAUAGUAAUCCCUCCGUUUCUUAUCACGUUUCUCGUUUGAUAUGUCGGAACGGUUCAUAAUAUGAGACAAAUUAGUAAUUUAUGUCCAAUUUAUAAAAUUAAAUAUAGUCAUGAGUGAUCUUGUUGGAUUCGUAUCUAUGAGUACUUUAAUAAGAUGAAAUUUUUAUAUUUAAUGUUAAUACAAAAUUAAAAUAUAUUAAUUAAAAAUAUAUAUUGACAAACGUGAUAAAAACAAACAGCAAAAAUAUUAAGAAACGAAGCGAGGGAGUAAUAAAUAUGCUUUAUGCUGAACUGAAUUGAGUGCGUGGAAGCUUGGGGAGGCAGCUUACUACAGUAUCUACGUGUAUCUGUAUAUGCAAUAAAGACACAAAUACUCACAGGAGAUUAUUUUUCAAACACUUAAUUUCCCCCUUUCCUUCUCGUAAUAUUCAACUCAAUUCAUCACAUCAUCUUCUUCAGACAAACAACUAUACUCACUUCAGAUCAUCACAUCAUCUUCUUCUUGACUUCAGAUCCACAUUUCAAACCCUAAUCAUUCGCUUGGUCCCCUCCCUCUCUGUAAUAAUACAAUUCUUUCUACACACAAACAAUAACAUCAUCAUCAUCGAGUGAAGCUUCAUAUCCACAUUCCAAGACCUAAUUACUCGCCAAACCACUCUCGCUCUCAUGGAGGAGGCCUUAGAAAUGGCGAGAUCGAAUGAUACCAAGAAGCGAAGGGCGGGAGUGGAUCGGCUGCAACAGCUUCUUGAAGAUUCAAGAAAGUGCUUGUCAUCGUCGGAAGUGACGGCGCUAGUCGACACGUGUCUUGAGCUUUUGAAGGACACGUGUGUUGCUGUCGUCGGCCGCGGAGUUGUUUAAGUUGCAUUCUGAUAGAAUUAUGACGGCGGUUGUUGAUAGGUUGUGGGAUGGGGAGCAGCGGGUUCGAGACUCGGCGAGGAGGCUGUUGAUUACCCUUAUGGAGGUAAUUUAUUAAUUUUCUUGGGGAAUGCCAGUUGAUUUUAUGGAAUGUGAUAUAGUAUAGUUUCUAUCAAUCGAGUAUCUUAAAUUGAUGACUACAACAAGUAUUAUCGUUUUGCACGCAAGUGGCUAAACUUUUAUGCAUGCCAAAUUGCCAAUCGGGUUUCAAUUUCAGAUCUCUGCCUUCACUUGCAUACGAACACAUUUGAGUUUAAAAAGAUGAAUCACCUCAUAAAUAUCAUUAAUAAUUAGUUGGUGUUAAUAGUGCACUGAAAAAUGGGAGAGAAUGACAAGACUAUAGACAGUAGUAGGGCUGAGCGAGAUGUUAAUUGAGUACUUAUAUGAUGCUUCACUAUGUUCAGGGAGUUAGUUUAUUGCUUCUUUCCUACACUUUCACUUGAAUUAGUACUAAUUAAUAAUUCCUUCUCUAUCUUGUAAAAUUUCUCCUUCAUUGCUAAGCAUAUCUACUCUGAUUAAUUUUCAAACAAACUUUACUACUGAGAUAGGAUUGUUUGCUGGGUAGGAGCACCAUAGAAUGAGUAGCUCUAUUGCUAUAUACUGAAGGGUGCGGUGGCAUCCUCGGUUAUAUUUUAAGUGCUACUUCGAAUUUAGUUGUUGGCUUUUGCAAUUUAUUUUCAUUCACAAUGUUUUAAUAAUGAUACCCCAUAUUAGGUGAGAGAUAUUAGUGCCAGGCUGGAGCAGAUUCAGAUUCAACCAGCAACUUCCGUCUCUUCCAUCUCUGAAGGACUUAAUAGUAAUCUUCUCCACCAUGCACCUGAUUUAGAAGUAUAAUGUAUUAAUGUGAACUUUUUAUUUAUAUUUAUUUCCAUGUGUAGUAAAACGAUCACAUCUUUUAAGAGCUUAGUACAAUGUUAUGUACAAUGUGUAAUUAAUUAAGAGGUUUGUACAUAGUUUAGUAUGAAAUGGAAAAAGUUUGUACAGAAGUUUAUUUGUUCACAUUACAGCUGAGACGAGCAAGCAAAAACCAUCAGAGAAUUCAAAGGAUAAUGAUAAAGGAAUUGAGCCCCUACUGGAACUGCCGGAAGAUAUUAUCUUUCUACAAAUUCUGCCUAAGUUGAACAGCCUAGAUGUUCUUCCCCUGGUUUUGGUGGCUAGGAGUUGGGCCUCCUUUCUUUUGCAUGAGGGACCCAGACUGAUGUUAUUCAACCCACCUAAAAAUCCUACACCUAAACACACUUCAAUUUUAUUUGAUGUAAGCCCGAUUCCGUACUCUGUUUCAGUUUUGUUAUCCCCAGAGAGCCGCCAACUGUGUCAGUCUAGGUGUAUAAUUGUUCCAAUCUUGAAUUCUGGUAUAAAACAUGCUGUUCCAAUUUUCACUGACUACCCAGAUUUUUUAAAGCAGGGGGAAGUCCCAACUGUAGUGGGAUCUUCCAGUGGUAUUAUAUGCCUCUAUAUCACCAGUUCUCCCUCUAGAUACAUCCUGCUAAACCCCUUAACAAAACAUUAUAAAGAGGUUGGGGCCCCUUAUAUUUUUGUACCAGAUUGUGAGCAAGCUUCUGUAACUUCUGGAUUCUUUUAUGAUGAAUGGACUGAUGACUUAAAGAUCGUACAAUUGUUGAGAUGGGAUCAAAGGCUUACGAGCUUGGAUGCUCCGGGACCCAAAAAGAUACAUGCGCUUCGCGUUUGUUCUGUAAAUUCUGCAAAUUGGGAAGUUGUUGACUUGGGGCCAAUGAAAGUCUCCGAUCGUCUUGGUGGUGUGUUAUUUUUGCCGAAAGCUCUCGUCACAUUUGUAGAUGCGUUUGCUACAGAGCCGGAGAUUAACUUUUGGUUGGAUUUUCGUGAUUGCCGUCUAAAGGCAGUUCCGGAAUUAGAAGGGGCUGAACUCAGUAUGAAAUCGGUUUGGUGGAAUAACCAGGUUGGUGUUAUUGUUGGAACUGACAGCAUUUAUGUCCUUGAUGAGGAGUUUGCAGCCUGGUAUUACUGCACAGUGCUUCCGGACGUGGGAAAUUGUGUAUUCUGUUUAGAUGAGAACAAAAUUGUGGGGAUGGGGGCUGGGGAAAGCGGAAGCGUAAAUGAUUACAAUAUUCUUAAUUCCACAAGCGGCGAAAUCCAACAUAUAAUCUCGUUGCCUUCUUGCAGGGUUUUUCCGUAUGUUCCUACAUUCUACUAUAUCGAGGGAAUGGCUAAUUUUUAGACUUUUGCAAGUCACAAUGUAAUAAAAGAAUGUAAACAGUACAUAGCAGCAAUACCUCUCUAUAGCAUAUAGUUUCAGAUACAACAUGUAUUGUGAUGCCAGCUUGUAGAGUACAAGUAUUAUUCUAGGUGAUUGAUUGUUGAGAAUAAUAGAGGCAACCGGUUGCAUGAUGGUAUCCUUGAAACUUUCAUAAUUACUAAUAUCGAACUCAGAUAGCAUGCAAUUUUUCCGGAGAUCAUAUUCUUUAGCUAUCAACUAACUCUACAUUAUAUAUUAUGUCCCAGAUCAAUGAGUUUGUUUGCUAUAAUGUCCUAUUUUAUAUGUGAUUUAGGAAUAUGUUCCAUUAACUUGUUAUCACCCUCAAAUCUAAAAUCUAAGACUACCAUGUCCUUAGUUUAUUUUGUUUAAUAUUUGUGAAUAGACUCUAAUCUGAUCAUAUCAAUUAUAUUUUAGUAACAGAUGUUUAAAUGCAUAUGUUUUUGUUAUCUAGUUAUUUCAAUGAUGAUGGGAUUAAAUUUUUUUAUUCUUGUAAUAUGUACAAUGAUUGGUUUAGCUUUAAUAUUUAUUUUUAUUUUUAUUUACCAAUUUUAAUGUAGGUAAAGUUUUAUCAGCAAAUUUUAUUUUUUGUAUGCAGUAAUCUGUUCUAAUAUCAAAUUUUGAUUUAGAUCGAGUAUUAGUAUGUUGAAUUUGCAUUCAUCUAGUUAGAUGAGUGAAACUGGCUAAUUAAUGGAAAAUCAUAAGUACCUGAGUUGUUUUCAAAUUUUUUUCCCAAAUUUUAAUUGUUUGAUUGGUUUCUUCAAAUUAAUAUUAAUGGAAUCAUGAACGCACAUAAAUAAUUUAAUUAAAAAUUAUUUAUUUAUGUGUCAUUUAGAAAAAAUUGGGGACAAAAUUUGGGAUAGUAAUGGGGACGAAAUAUGUGUUAGCGUUAAUGGUUUAGCGGCAGUGGAGAACGCAAUUUAAGAGCAAAUCCAAUAGUGUCCUAAACUAGUAUCCUAAAUUAAAAAUUAAGGUAUUUAUAUAAAUGAGUGCUCCACCUAAUGAGUGCUCCACCAAUGUCCAGUGAUACCUUAAAAUACUAGGAAAUCCAUCAAGCGUCUCGUUUUUAAGACAUCACUAGGCAUGCCCUAUUUCACUUCUAUCAAUAAAAUAUAUCUUUCCCUCGUUUUUUACAGAUCUCUUCUCUCUCAUUUUUUCCAUUUAUGCCCAAUUAUAAUUCAAAUAUAAUACACCUUCAGUCCCUUUUUAGUUGUGAAAUUUACAAAAAUAAUUUGUCCUUAAAUAAUAUUCUCAUCCUUGUUCCAAUACAUAUUUAUACAUAUUUUUUCAUGUUUACCCCUUGAUUGUUGGUUCAAAUGUUUGACUGUACUACUAAUAUAUACAGUUUUGACUUAGUAUUUAAUAUAAUAAAUAAGGGCAUGCGUGGAAACAACUUACAACAUUUAAUUUUCUUUAAUAUAUGUAUUUUUGCAAAUGUGACAACUAAAAAGGAACAGAGAGAGUAUUAUUUUAAUCAUAAAACAUAUUGUUGGAGUUAAUAUAAAAAAAUCAUGUCUUAAAUCAUAAGAUUACUAUAUUUAAUUAUAUUUAUAAGGCAUCUAAUAGUACAAUAUUGGAUUUGCUCUGAUCACAGAUCAAUCAAAUGAUCGGCAACUUAAGCGAUCAAAUGAGAUGACUCGCAUAGUCCACGCUAAUCGAUAUCCUUAAGAGGAUGUUUGCCUGGGCUUAAAGCCCUUGCUUUAAGCCAUCUUUGGCUUUAAGCUGAAAAAUGUCUGUUUGUGUAAUAAGUCAGAAGCCAGCCUAAAGUCAGAAAUAAGCCAGAAGCUGACUUAAAGCCAGAAGUUAAUUUGAGGUACUUUUUUCAGUGGCUAAAUUUUUUUGAACUUUUUUUUUGAUAAAAAUUACUCCUAAAUCAUAAGUUUCUUAUAAAUCACUUUUAUUUUUAUUAUUAUAUUUUUAAUAACUCAUAAGUCAUUCAUAAGCCAAAAUUACCCAAACAGACAUUUUAAGCUAUCAGCUUAUCAGAUAAGACACGUUAAGUCACAAGUCACAUUAAGUCAUAAGCCAUAAGCUCAGCCAAACGGGCAAGUUUUCUAAGAGACAUUCCUGCUUAGUGCAUUUUUAAUAGGGUUGCCUAAAUCGUUGACGAAAUUGGACAUGUGAGACAUUAUAUAAAAUUUGUUAAACAUGUAAGUGAUUGUGUUUCAAUAAUGUUAACUACAUUGAUAGAUUAUAACUUAAAAAUAGUAUGUUAUUAAUAUUUAGAUUGUUAUAAAAAAAUAUAUGAGUUUAAUAUGAUAGGAAAUGAUGUGUAAAUUACCCCGAUUAUAUAUAUAUAUAAAUAAUAAUAUAUUUAUAUAUAUUAUACUAAAUAUAUUAUUAAAAAUAGAUAAAUUUUAUAAUAUAAUCAAAAGUAAAAAAUAAUCUUUAUUUUUAUUGAUUGAUUAUAAAUAUAUUGUAAUAUAAUAUAUUUUAUAAUUUUAAAUUGUUGUUUAUUUAUAUUAUAAAUCAAUUUUAAUAUGAUUUGAGGUUGAAAAUAUAAGAUAAUAUUAUUUUAUUAUUAUAUUAGGAGUUUGUAGUUUGUUUUUUAAUUAAAAAAAUAUAUUAUAUAUUAUAAAAUUAUUAUGUUUUUAUUAAAAAAUAAAAUUCCCCGAAACCCCGCGGGGAUCCCCGUUCCCCGUUCGGGGCGGGGAUCGGGGCGGAAAAUAAUCCCCGUUCGAGGUUCGGGGCGGGGUCGGGUAGGGCCGUAGGGGUAUUGAAUUCGGGGAUCGGGGUCGGGGAUAGCACUCCCCGCCCUCGAAGUCUCCCCGUGCCCAUCCCUAGUCGAACCUCUAGAGGUCCGUAAAAAAUCUCCAAGAAGAUUACACUAUGUAAUCUUCUUGGAGAUUUUUUACGGACCUCUAGAGGUUCGACAAAUAUAGUGGCCGGUAGGAUGUUGGUUAAAAUUAUAGAUAAGUGGUGUCUAUGGUUGAGUGUGAUUUUUUUGAAUAGAAUGGCUAUAUAUUUUAUUUUUGGGAUGCCAACUCAAUUUUUAAACUAAGGACUUCUCAUAUUUGGAGAUGCUAUAUGAUGGCAAAUCCCGCAAAUCUUCAAUUUUGACAUAUAUUAUCCUAAAUUCUCUUUCAACAAUGAUUGAUUCAAAUUUGGAUCAAGAUUGUUGGAUCCCGCUGACGUGGCAGUGACGUCAUGUUGACGUGGCGCCCUGGGGUGGACCCCGGUGCUGACGUGGCAGAUGACGCGGCGGUGACAUGGCGCCUGGUUGGGGUCCCAUUACUAACGUGGCAUUUGGGUAGAAAGUAUAAAUUACGGAAAAUUGAUGACAAACUGAGAGGUGCAUAUUAUAAGUUUUAAAAAGUAUGAGGAGAUAUUUGAUCAGUUUAAAACUAGUUUUUAGGUUUUUAGGCUAACCGUGGUUUGUAUAUUCGAGCAUCCCCGUGUAUAUUGACAUAUAGGUAAACUCCUUGCAAUACUUUGAGCUGCAAAAUCCAUCAAAAUUUUGAUUUAUCAUGUAACUGUUUGACAGAGUACUUCCAACUUUCAAGCGUAAGUAUCAAAAUCACUACCUUCAUAUGUUCCAUUAAGCGUGAAAGGUACAGAAUAAGAAGUGAAAGAAAUCCUUUAUAUUUACACGGCCAUUGAUCUUAUAGGAUCACCUAGCCCAUCAGUGCUAGGGAAUACGGAACCAUCUUAUCAAUUAACGAAGAAAUGUAUGCAUGCAGUGUCACCACCACAAGUCAGAAAUGGUGAUGAUGCUAAUGAUAAUGAACUCAAUUGGGAGUGAUCCUAAUGGGAUAUGGAUGUGGAUUGGUAUGCGGAUUCUUUGGGGUUUAUUGUUCUUACAAUGGGAAAGCCUUGGUGGUUUAUGAGAUACAUUGAAGUAAGUUGAUAAUGACAUGCACGGCUUAAUUAAGAUUAAUUAAGACAAACACCUUGACAAAAUGUUGUCUUAGAAUGAUAUGUAUUCUGAUUUUUCCUAAUUUAAAAUCAAAUUUAUUACAAUUAAAGUUAAAAUCUGCGUAGCACAUACUAUACUUUGAUUAAAUUUUUAUUGAAGUUGUCCAUAUUAACCUAGUGGCCGAAAGUGAAUAAAUUAAAUUAGUGGGGUCUAAUAUAAAAAUUGCAUUAAUUAAAAUUUGUAAUGUAUAGAUUAUGCUAAAGCUAUUCAUUAUAAAGAACAUAGGAAUGUUAAUCUCUUUAUAUGUUUGCAUGCGGAUAGUCUCUCGGGAGUGUGGUAUAUUGUCAUGGCUGGAAAAACGGCUAAUUUCUACGGUUUUUUUUUGACAGAAAUUAAUUUUGACGGAAUACUGUCGAAAUAUCGAAAGUCGAAAAUAAGCCGCAAAAUUACUUUUUUCAAUUUUCAAUUGAAAACUGUCAAAAAAGUCUCUGGCAAAAUUAUAUUUAUUUCUACAGAUAAUGUCGAAAAUAUUUUCCUGCAAAUUUCCCGCACCUUAGUUGUGAGCGGAAAUAGAUAGUUUGGACAGAAUUCCGUCGAAAUUACGCGAGUUCUUUGUAGUGUGUUUUCACACAUACGCUGAUAAUCUUUGGGGACUGGGGUAUAUUGUUUUCGCAAAGCACUGGUAGUUUGUGAGCUUGUCCAAUUUUUCCCCCCAUGCCUAUACUGGUUGGUCUCAGUCUUAGUGGUAAUAAGCUGGCGUCAAAUUUUCCAGAAUUCAUAUAUAAUUGCUAUAACAUGAUCCGAUGCCUGAAUCAGCAGCUAACAAUUUACGUAAUCUUGAAGAACUAUAUCUUGGUGCCAAUUCUUUCGAGGGCUCAUUUCCAACGAAUAUAUUCAAGCUUUCCAAAUUAAGGGUUCUUGACCUAUCUGUGAAUAAUUUUUCAGGUUCCAUUCCCAAUGGUAUAGAGAUGCUUCCCGAUCUUGGAAUAAAUCGUAUUUAUAAUAAUUCAUUUGAAGGAAUUAUUCCUUCUUCAAUUAGUCUACUUAAAGAUCUUCAACACCUAGACUUCGGUGACGACAACCUUGUGGUUUCAAGUAUAAUGUCUUACGGGUCCAAUCUAACCGAUCAUUACAGGCAACCCCAUUGGAGAUGCUCUUAAUAACAUUUUAACUAGAGAGUAUUUUCUAUCAAUUGCAUUUGUAUUAAAUUUGAUUUAGAUGAAGAGAAACAGAAUACAUAUGAUCCCGAGACAACAUUUUGUCAAUGUUUUCGUCUUGAUUGAACAGUCUUCUUCAUGCGUGUCCUUGUCAACUUCAGUUGCAGUAAUUCAAUGUAUCUCAGGAACCACCUUGGCUUUCCCAUUUUGAUAACAAGUAUCCUGAAGAUAAUCCGCAUAUCAAUCCACAUCCGCGCGUAUCCCAGUUGAUUUAUUAAUUUAUUCAUGAAGUGUUGCGAACGACAUUCCUGCAAAAGUAAAAGUCAGUGGAAUUUGUAUGAUAGCAUGAUGAAUAUUUAAAGUUUCAGUUAAAAUUUCACCAAGUAUUUUAUUUCUGGCUUAAGUCCCGGAUUGACGAAUUCUGCUGAUCACAUUUCUAAUCGACCAAUUCUGGUCGAAUAAAUUAAAUGGCACACUUCCUGAGUUGGUGGUAGGGGCGUUCUUCUUGUGUUUCUUUCUUUUCAUUAUUGACAUUGUUAUCCAGGCCCUUGCUUCUGGGCUUUUGUAAAGCACCCAUUUACGCCAUUGUCAUGAUCAUAGCUAGUCUUCCAUAUCCAAGAUACGCGCAUUAUAGUGGAUUUAUCUUUAUUAGUGAUUUCUGUGGAAAUGCAUAAUCUUAAUUAUAAGCUCCAAUAUUAUAAAAUAAACCUAACUUAUUAGAGUUAACAGGGCAUUUGUGUUGAUAAUUUGCGCAAUGUUAAUGGGGAUCGCUCCCAAGUCUUGGACGGACUCUUUCCAAGUCUUCUGAGGACCCAUCUGCACACUAAUUUGUCCGCCAACUAAAAAUUUAUAUAUAUUUUUCCAUAGAAUAUAAAUAGUUGGGGGUACUAACAGAACCUCUAGUAAAAUUAAUUAAUACCGUUAUGAUUUCGCAAACACAGCAGACAGCAGGCAUAAGGCUUAUAAAUAGAAGUGUCGUAUUUGGUUGAUGGUCAAGUUGAGUGGAAAUAUGGCACACUUUGUAAAGCCUUGUUAUCCUCUUCUCUUUGUUUUCUUUCUCUCAUUACUUCAAUCCAUUCUAACAACACAAGAGGGAGAAGCUCUUGUGAAAUGGAAGAAUAGCCUAGCCCCUUCUUCUUUUCUCGACUCUUGGUCACUCACCAAUCUCGAUAAUCUUUGCAACUGGACUGGCAUUACUUGUAACUCUGCAGGUUCAGUCUCUGAGAUUAACCUUAGUGAGAAACAACUUGAUGGAAUGCUGUCCGAGUUUGGUUUCACUUCAUUUCCAAAUCUCAACAAUCUCACCCUCGCAAUUAACUACUUCUCGGGUCCAAUACCACCAGCCAUUGAGAAUUUAACACAGCUUCAAUAUCUUGAGUUGAGCAAUAAUUAUCUAGAUGGUCCCAUUCCUUUCCAGGUUAGCAAUCUUCAGAGGUUGCUCAUCUUAAACCUGUCAGAGAAUGAACUGCAAGCUCCAAAUUGGUCCAAUUUUUCCCCCAUGCCUUUUUUGACCAUCCUCGACCUUUAUAAAAAUAAUCUUUUGUCAGAAUUUCCCGAAUUUAUAUCUAACUCGUGUAACCUUACGUACCUUGACCUCUCAUCCAACAAGUUUAGAGGGGAUCUUGCGCGAGAAUCAGUAUUAACCAAUCUAGGUGAUCUUGAAACCCUCUAUCUUAUUAGAAAUUCUUUCAAGGGGUCAUUUCCGUCAGAUUUAUUCAAGCUUUCUAAAUUAAAACGUCUUCACCUGUCGAGCAACAAAUUUUCAGGUUCAAUUCCUAAUGCCAUAAGGUUGCUUUGUGAUCUUGAAUUCCUAUAUUUAGGCAACAAUUCCUUUGAAGGACUGCUUCCACCAAAUAUAUUUAAGCUUUCAAAAUUAAAACAUCUUGUUCUUCGGAGUAAUAAGUUUUCAGGAUCUGUUUCCAAUGAUAUAAAUUUGCUUCCUGAACUUGAAUAUCUCGAUCUUAAUUCUAAUUUUUUUGACGGGCCGCUUCCUCCAGAUGUAUUCAAGCUCUCCAAACUAAGGUUUCUUUACCUCUCGGGUAAUACCUUUUCACGUUCUGUUUCCAAUGAUAUAGGUUUGCUUUCUGAGCUUGAAACCCUCGAUCUUAACUCUAAUUUUUUGAGGGUCCGCUUCCGUCAAAUAUAUUCAAGCUCAAAUUAAAAAUUCUAGACCUCUCAAACAAUAGAAAUUUAUUUCAAAGAAGUUUUCCUAUUGGACUGGAACUCUUGAGUAACCUCAGCUACUUAGGUCUAAGUUCCAGUAAUCUCAGUGGCAAUAUUCCAUCUUACAUUGGAAACCUGAAGCUACUAAUAUCUCUUGAUCUCAGUUCUAAUCAAUUGACUGGACCGCUUUCAAAGCUCGUUUCUAAUGUCACAAAUCUUAUAUUUCUUGAUUUAAGAGAUAAUAGUCUUAGUGGAAAUAUUCAGACUGACUUGUGGAAAUAUAACGAUCAUCCAACUCUGGAAUACAUCAAUUUGAGUGGGAACUAUUUUACGGGUAUAGUUUUUCUCUAUAGAUCUUUUCUUUUGUCAUAUGUAACUAAGCUAGUAAUCUGAUUAAUUGCAGUUUUACCAAAGUUUCAACAAUCUUGACAGGUGAGCUUCCAACAACAAUUUGCAAUGUCACUUCCCUUUCGGUUCUUGAUUUGUCAAAUAAUAACUUAAGUGGUGCACUUCCAAAAUGUUACGGGAAUCUUGCUGAUGGAUUGCUUUACAUUAAUCUUGCGAAUAAUCACUUUCGAGGAACAAUACCCACUACUUUCUCCAGGAGUUGUCAGCUGAUAUAUCUGAACAUGGAUGAUAAUGAGUUUGAAGGAUUGAUGCCCCCAUCUUUGGCGAACUGUAAGCACUUGAAAAUUUUUGAUAUUGGCAAUAAUAAAAUAGGUGGUACAUUUCCGUCAUGGCUUUAUGCACUUGGAGAGCUAGAAGUCCUUGUCUUGCGAUCAAAUAAACUCUAUGGUACAAUAAGUGGAAGGAGCAUAGAAGAUCCCUUCCCCAAGUUGCGGAUUGUGGAUCUGUCCAACAAUCAAUUCACAGGCCAUUUGCCAAUUCAAUACUUUAAGAAUAUGAAAUCAACUGAUAAUUUGUAUCGUUAUCAGAAUGACACAGGAGUUUUUUCUUUCCAUUAUGAAGCAUCUGUCUCAUUAACUGUGAAGGGAACAGAGUAUGAAGUGAAAAAUAUCCUUCAUAUUUACACAACCAUUGAUCUGUCCUGCAACAAGUUUCAAGGAGAAAUUCCUGACGUUAUUGGAGAGCUUAGAUGGCUUGCAUUGCUGAACUUAUCUCAUAAUAGUCUAACAGGACAUAUCCCAUCAUUGCUGAGAAAUAUGAAAGGACUCCAAUCUUUAGAUUUGUCUUCAAAUCAACUGAAAGGGGCUAUUCCACUUCAGUUAACUGCAUUGACAUUUCUAGAGGUCUUGAACCUCUCGGGAAACCAUCUUAGUGGAGAGAUUCCUCAGAAAGGGCAGUUCAGCACAUUUAACAUUGAUUCUUAUCUAGGAAACUCCGCGUUAUGUGGUUCACCUUUGAUGAAGAAAUGUGCAAACACAGCAUCACCUCCACAAGAAGCCGGAAAUGGUGAUGAAGAUGAAGCUGGUGAUGAAUUGACAUGGGAAGCAAUCGUGAUGGGAUAUGGAUGUGGACUGAUAUGUGGAUUGUCAUCUGCAUACAUUGUUCUCAAACUAGGAAAGCCUUGGUGGUUUGUGAGAUAUAUCGAAGUACUGCAACAGAAGUUGAUGAAAAGAUAUGCAUGAAGAAAGGUACUGGUAGAUCAAGAUGAACUUGAAAGUUGUUGUCGUGGUAGACAUUUGUGAACCAGUAGUGUACUAGCUGCAUAAGUAUUUGGUAUUAUGUAAUAAUCCGUUUGGUCGGGACUCAAAAUGAUUUCUCUUGCUUCAGGGGUAUUAAUAUUAACCUUGCUAUCUUGAUCAAUGUUAGGGCAAAUUAAAAAGAAUAUAAAAGCAAAAAAUUUGCAUCAAACACCUGUUGUACCAACAUGCAUCCAUUAAUUUGCUUUCAUCUAUUAAGUAACAAUUUAAGAGCGCUUCCACUCUGUUUAAGCAUGGAGAUAACACAAAGAAGGCAAGUCCAUGGACUAAUAUAUUAACACGUAGUCCACAUCUAUGGUAUGAACAAUUCAUAUUGCUCUUCUAUCUGUUCAACAGUCUCCCGAAGAUAGGCCAAAAAUGUCAUCUGUGGUUCUUAUGUUUGUCAGUGAAGGAGAAUCUCUGAUGCCUACACAACCUGGUGUUUUUACAGAAAGGAAUGUAGGUGAAACCAGGGGCGUAAAAUGAAUCAGGACUAAAAUCUGCUAAAAUGAUAAUUAUUUACUCAUCAUUCAAGAUUAGUCGGGCUCAAAGAUUUAUAUGGAUUUUAAGAACAAACUAUGACUAAAUAUGAAAAAAUCAUUAAUUUUUCCGACUCAAUAUUUUUUAGCCUCCCCCGGCCCUGGGUGAAACCAUAAGCUUCUCUGGUGCACAUCCAAAUCAUUCAGUUGGUUCUACUUUCAGCUCACCCACAGGAACAUCAUUCUGCAGGUACUCUUUUAUCUGUACUUUCUUAUAUUGUAUGCCAGUAAAUUUUAUAUCGACAAACUGCACAAUACACCUCGAUCUCAUAUUAUUGACAGGUGAGCUCCUCUCAUAAUGCUCACAGGCGAACCCCUGCAUAUAUACUUUGUGAUGUCAUUGAUGAUCGAUAGACUUGAAAAAAAAUUAUGACAAAGAUUCAUAAAAUAUCUACUUCCAUCCUAAUUCAGUAUUCAAUAUUAUUCAUUCGUAUCAUCAUCCAAUCAAUUCUAAUAGUUCUUCUUUAAAUCAGUACAAAUAUUGUUAAAUACCUGGAUGAUGGUUGUCUUUCCGCGAACCAAUCAUGAAAUUACCUCUGUAUAAAUCCAUCGGAAAUAAGACAGUUAAUAUCCCAAUCGAAUACACCCCGUCAGUUGUCAAACUCCUCGAAACGUAUUAAUCACUUUAGAAAAUUUGUUCCACUGGCGCUAGUCAGUCCCAGAGUUGGUGGUGGGUGCUUCUGGGCUUUCGAAAAGCACCCAUUUACUCCAUUGUUUAGAGAAGUAAAACCCCACCUUCCGCUCAUUUGAUUGAUCAGCUGAAUUAGGCAGAGUUUACAUGGUCAUGAUCAUAGUCUCCCAUNUUAAUAGUCUGACAGGACCUAUCCCAACAUUGCUGAGAAAUAUGAAAUAACUCCAUUACUCCAAUCUUAGAUUUGUCCUCAAAUCAACUGACAGGGGCUAUUCCACCUCUGUUAACUGCAUUGACAUUACUUUUCUCUUUAUAUUCUUUCCUUUUGUAUGUACCUAUGCUAAUUAUCUGAUUAUUAAAAUUAUAACAAAGCUUCAAGAUUUUUAACAGGUGAGCUUCCACUAAAAAUUUGCAAAGUCACUUCCCUUUCGCGUCUCAUUAUGUUAGAUAAUGGGUCAAGUGGUGCACUUCCACAGUGUUUGGGGAACCUUUCUUUGCUUGGUUUCAAUAAUCUUGCUAAUUAUCAAUUUCAAGGACCAAUACCAACGACUGUCCAAGACUUGUCUGUGCAUAUCUAAACAUCCAUAACAAUCACUUUGAAGGUUUGUUGCUCCAAUCUUUGGCAAACUGUAAACACUUACAAAUUCUUGAUAUUGGAAACAACGUUGGAGAGCUAGAUGUCCCAGUUAGGGCGGUAAUUCGACUAGAGCAAACCGAGUUUUGAGCGGAGCCAAAUUCGAGCCAAGUUUAAUCGAGUCGAGCCGAGUCGGCUCGUUUAGCUAAUCGAGCCUAAAACUUAGCCCGAACUCGACUCAUUUAAUUUCACGAGUCGAGUCGAGCCAACUCGUUUAGCUAAAUGAGCUGAUUUUAACAAGUCGAGCGAGCGAGCUCGUAUAAUUUUAACUUAGUCGAGCCUGAAUCUCUACCCAAACUAUUGGCUCGUGUAAUUUCGCGAGUCGAAUCGAGCCGGCUCGUUUUAUUAAACAAGCCGAAAUUUUUGCCCGAAUUUGCUCGUUUAACAAGCCGAUCUGAGCCUAGUUAAAUGAGUUCGAGUUAGUCGAGCUCGCGAGCUGCGAGCUCACCUGCCAGCUCUAGUCCUAGUCUUGCAAUCAAAUAGGUUUAACGGUAUAGAAAGUGGAAGGAGCACAAGGCAUCCAUUCCCCAAGGCUAUUUACCAAUUCAGUACUUUGAGGAUACAAAAUCAUUCUGCAGGUACUCUUGUAUCUGUACUUUCUUGUACUGUAUGCCACUUUGACAGUAGAGUAAAAUUUAUAUCGACAAACUGCAUAUGUUCUGAACUACUCCUCUAUCCCAAAUUAGAUGAGCUAGUUGACUUUGAGCACGUAACUUAAGGUACAUUGACCAACUAGUUCCGAUAUUUAUUUUUUUAAUUUUUCUUUUGUAAAUGAAAAUUUCAUAUUUAAAUUUUUAUUUGCAAAACUAAAAUUUAAAAAUAUGUAAUGUGGCUAUGCGGUCAAUGUCAACGAGCUCAUCUAAUUUGGGAUUGGGAUGCAGGGAGUAUUACGUACUAUGUUAUGCAAGCUGUUUACAACUUUCAUCAAAAUUUUCAAACAUUUCUGAAUAUGUAUUUUCAAAGAAUUCUCGGGCACUCUUAAGGCCUAUAAUUAUUGGAACUCUCACGUUAUGGACCAGAGGACCACUAUGUAUUUUACAAGCACGACGAAUCAUGUGGUCAUUAUGGACUCCCCAAGCCUUAGAGGACUCAUUCCAGGUUUUAGGAGGACCACUGCCUAGCUCACCCUUUCGGAGUGAUGUAAAUUAGUUUCCAGACACUAAAAAUAAGUAAUCAGAUUAAUCAUUACAAAAUUUUGAUAUAAAAUCAGAAUAAAUCCUAAACUUUGAUGAUACAAAAAAAAUUAUAAUUGUAAAUUAUACAAUCAAAUUAAGAUCGAAUUAACUUCCCUCACACUUAAAAUUUAUAGCGAUCAAAUCAAAAUCGAAUUAACUUUCCUAUUACUAAAAUUUAAUUACAAUAUUAUUAGAUAAAGAGAAUAUAUAAUAAUCAAGAGAAAAUAGAUUUUUUUUUGCCACUCAACUUAUUGUGUUUUAAGAAACUUACCACCCAACUAAAUUUUUUUCCUUUUGCUCACUAAUGUUAGGUUUGGAUUUGUUUUUAGCCACCAAAUAAGGUUCGGAUUUGAUUACCAGCAUUAUGAUAAUUUUUUUUGUCACUAAACUUAUUGCGUCUUUAGAAACUAACCACUGAACUAAAUUUUUUUUAUUUUACUCACUAAUGUUAGAUUUAGUUUUUUUUGUCACUAUAGUUAGGUUCAGAUUUGAUUAUUAGCAUUACAUUAAUUCUGUGUAGCAUUUUUAAAAUAUGGUAGUAGUCUGUGAUAUUUAGAUGAUUUGAUAUAUGUCUGUAUUUUUAUAUAUAGUAUAUUUUAUGUCCCCAAGGUCGUUUACCUUGGGUCAUAAAAAUUUUACACUCAUUUUAUGACUUUUAAAAGAUGUAGUUUCAUAAAUAAUUUUAUUUUUUUCUUUCGAAUUAAAAUUCAGCAUUUGAAUUUUACACACAAAAAAAUCGCAAGAAUAAGAUAUGAAACUAUGCUUUACAAGAGUCUUAAAAUACGUGCUAAACGGUAGAAAAAACUGUAAACUAAUGAGAGGUACAUAGGGAGUAAUAAUAACAUAAAAUGAUGCACAAUCAUCGAAUUAAGUUUUCCUCUCUCUAUAUAUUUAUUUUGUAAAUUUUAAUAAGAUAAAGUUAUUAAAAUUUAUGAUAUAAAUUUAAGAGAUAUCUUAGAUUGAGUGGCAAAAAUUUAGUUGGGUGGUAAGUUUCUAAAAACACAAUAAAUUGAGUGGGAACAAAAUCUAUUUUCCCAAUAAUGAGUGGGAAUAAAAUCUAUUUUCCCAAUAAUCAAAGUGACGAAAAAUCAAAGUCAUCUAAUAAGUCCAGAAAAAAUAUGACCAUUAGUAUAUUGAAAUAAUAUUCACGCAUUUAUAUACGAGAAUAUAUGGUCCACAAGUUAGUGCACAAUGUCCAAGAAUCUUUAUCAAAUAACACGGCAAGCAUGCAGCAUAUAAAUAAGAGUGGGCAGUAUGGUAUUGCAUUCAUAACCCACUUGAGCAGAAAUAUGGCACACUUCCUAAAGCCUUCUCACCUUCUUCUCUUUGUUUUCUUUCUCUCGUUACUUCAAUCCAUUCUACCAACAAGACCAGAGGGAGAAGCUCUUGUGAAAUGGAAGAAUAGCCUAGCCCCGUCUUCUUUUCUCGAUUCUUGGUCACUAACCAAUCUCGAUAAUCUUUGUAACUGGACUGGCAUUACUUGUAACUCUGCAGGUUCAGUCUCUGGGAUUAACCUUUAUGAGAAACAACUUGAUGGAAUGCUGUCCGAGUUUGGCUUCACUUCAUUUCCGAAUCUCAACAAUCUCACCCUCGCAUACAACUUCUUCUCGGGUCCAAUACCACCAGCCAUUGAGAAUUUAACACAGCUUCAAUAUCUUGAUUUAAGCAUCAAUAGUCUCGAUGGUCCCAUUCCUUUCCAGGUUAGCCAUCUUCAGAGGUUGCUCGUCCUAAACCUGUCACAGAAUGCAUUGCAAGCUCCAAAUUGGUCCCAUUUCUCUUCCAUGCCUUUUUUGCGCAUCCUCAAGCUCAGUAGGAAUCAUCUUGUAUCGAAAUUUCCAGAAUUUAUAUCCAAUUCUCAUAGCUUGGCUAUCCUUGACCUUGGCCAGAACAACUUUACAGGUGAUCUUGUGCGUGAAUUUACCAAUCUACAAAAUCUUGAAACCCUCUGGCUUUAUCGUAAUUCUUUUGAGGGGCCAUUUCCGCCGGAUAUAGUCCAGCUUUCCAAACUAAAAGAUCUUGCCCUGUCAAGUAACAAAUUUUCAGGUUCAGUUCCCAAUAACAUAAGGUUGCUUUGUGAUCUUGAAUACCUAUAUUUAGGCAACAAUUCCUUUAAGGGGCCACUUCCACCAAAUAUAUUUAAGCUUUCAAAAUUAAAACAUCUUGUUCUUUGGAGUAAUAAGUUUUCAGGUUCUGUUUCCAAUGAUAUAGGUUUGCUUCAUGAGCUUGUAACCCUCAAUCUUAACUCUAAUUUUUUUGAGGGGCCGCUUCCGCCAAAUGUAUUCAAGCUCUCCAAACUAAAGUUUUUUGCCCUUCAUGAGAAUAACUUUUCAGGUUUUAUUUCUAAGGAUAUAGGUUUGCUUUCCGAACUUGAAAUCCUCUAUUUUGGCUCUAAUUUUUUUGAGGGGCCGCUUCCUCCACAUGUAUUUAGGCUCUCCAAAUUAAGAGGUCUGGACCUCUCACACAAUAGAAAUUUAUUUGAAGGAAGUAUUCCUAUUGGACUGGGACUCUUGACUAACCUCAGGUACUUAGAUCUACAUUCCAAUAAUCUCGGUGGCUAUAUUCCAUCUGACAUUGGAAACCUGAAGCUACUAGUACUUCUUGAUCUCGGUUCUAAUCAAUUGACUGGACCGCUUUCAAAGAUCGUUUCUAAUCUCACAAAUCUUAUAUGUCUUGAUGUAAGUCAUAAUAGUCUUAGUGGAAAUAUUCAGAGUGACUUGUGGAAAUAUAACGAUCAUCCAACUUUGGAAUACAUCAAUUUAAGUGGGAACCAUUUUACGGGUAUAGUUUUUCUCUAUAGAUCUUUUCCUUUUCUCAUAUGUAACUAAGCUAGUAAUCUGAUUAUUGCAGUUUCACCAAAGUUUCAACAAUCUUGACAGGUGAGCUUCCAACAACAAUUUGCAAUGUCACUUCCCUUUCGGUUCUUGAUUUGUCAAAUAAUGAAUUAAGUGGUGCACUUCCAAACUCUUUGGGGAAUCUUGCUGAUGGAAUGCUUUACCUUAAUCUUGCUAAUAAUCAGUUUCGAGGAACAAUACCAACUACUUUCUCCAGGAGUUGUCGGUUGACAUAUCUAAACAUGGAUAAUAAUGAGUUUGAAGGAUUGUUGCCCCCAUCUUUGGCGAACUGUAAGCACUUGAAAAUUCUUGAUAUAGGCAAUAAUAAAAUAGGUGGUACAUUUCCGUCAUGGCUUUAUGCACUUGGAGAGCUAGAAGUUCUUGUCUUGCGAUCAAAUAAACUCUAUGGUACAAUAAGUGGAAGGAGCAUAGAAGAUCCCUUCCCCAAGUUGCGGAUUGUGGAUCUGUCCCACAAUCAAUUGACAGGCUAUUUGCCAAUUCAAUACUUUAAGAAUAUGAAAUCAACUGAUAAUUUGUAUCGUUAUCAGAAUGACACAGGAGUUUUUUCUUUCCAUUAUGAAGCAUCUGUCUCAUUAACUGUGAAGGGAACAGAGUAUGAAGUGAAAAAUAUCCUUCAUAUUUACACAACCAUUGAUCUGUCCUGCAACAAGUUUCAAGGAGAAAUUCCUGACGUUAUUGGAGAGCUUAGAUGGCUUGCAUUGCUGAACUUAUCUCAUAAUAGUCUAACAGGACAUAUCCCAUCAUUGCUGAGAAAUAUGAAAGGACUCCAAUCUUUAGAUUUGUCUUCAAAUCAACUGAAAGGGGCUAUUCCACUUCAGUUAACUGCAUUGACAUUUCUAGAGGUCUUGAACCUCUCGGGAAACCAUCUUAGUGGAGAGAUUCCUCAGAAAGGGCAGUUCAGCACAUUUAACAUUGAUUCUUAUCUAGGAAACUCCGCGUUAUGUGGUUCACCUUUGAUGAAGAAAUGUGCAAACACAGCAUCACCUCCACAAGAAGCCGGAAAUGGUGAUGAAGAUGAAGCUGGUGAUGAAUUGACAUGGGAAGCAAUCGUGAUGGGAUAUGGAUGUGGACUGAUAUGUGGAUUGUCAUCUGCAUACAUUGUUCUCAAACUAGGAAAGCCUUGGUGGUUUGUGAGAUAUAUCGAAGUACUGCAACAGAAGUUGAUGAAAAGAUAUGCAUGAAGAAAGGUACUGGUAGAUCAAGAUGAACUUGAAAGUUGUUGUCGUGGUAGACAUUUGUGAACCAGUAGUGUACUAGCUGCAUAAGUAUUUGGUAUUAUGUAAUAAUCCGUUUGGUCGGGACUCAAAAUGAUUUCUCUUGCUUCAGGGGUAUUAAUAUUAACCUUGCUAUCUUGAUCAAUGUUAGGGCAAAUUAAAAAGAAUAUAAAAGCAAAAAAUUUGCAUCAAACACCUGUUGUACCAACAUGCAUCCAUUAAUUUGCUUUCAUCUAUUAAGUAACAAUUUAAGAGCGCUUCCACUCUGUUUAAGCAUGGAGAUAACACAAAGAAGGCAAGUCCAUGGACUAAUAUAUUAACACGUAGUCCACAUCUAUGGUAUGAACAAUUCAUAUUGCUCUUCUAUCUGUUCAACAGUCUCCCGAAGAUAGGCCAAAAAUGUCAUCUGUGGUUCUUAUGUUUGUCAGUGAAGGAGAAUCUCUGAUGCCUACACAACCUGGUGUUUUUACAGAAAGGAAUGUAGGUGAAACCAGGGGCGUAAAAUGAAUCAGGACUAAAAUCUGCUAAAAUGAUAAUUAUUUACUCAUCAUUCAAGAUUAGUCGGGCUCAAAGAUUUAUAUGGAUUUUAAGAACAAACUAUGACUAAAUAUGAAAAAAUCAUUAAUUUUUCCGACUCAAUAUUUUUUAGCCUCCCCCGGCCCUGGGUGAAACCAUAAGCUUCUCUGGUGCACAUCCAAAUCAUUCAGUUGGUUCUACUUUCAGCUCACCCACAGGAACAUCAUUCUGCAGGUACUCUUUUAUCUGUACUUUCUUAUAUUGUAUGCCAGUAAAUUUUAUAUCGACAAACUGCACAAUACACCUCGAUCUCAUAUUAUUGACAGGUGAGCUCCUCUCAUAAUGCUCACAGGCGAACCCCUGCAUAUAUACUUUGUGAUGUCAUUGAUGAUCGAUAGACUUGAAAAAAAAUUAUGACAAAGAUUCAUAAAAUAUCUACUUCCAUCCUAAUUCAGUAUUCAAUAUUAUUCAUUCGUAUCAUCAUCCAAUCAAUUCUAAUAGUUCUUCUUUAAAUCAGUACAAAUAUUGUUAAAUACCUGGAUGAUGGUUGUCUUUCCGCGAACCAAUCAUGAAAUUACCUCUGUAUAAAUCCAUCGGAAAUAAGACAGUUAAUAUCCCAAUCGAAUACACCCCGUCAGUUGUCAAACUCCUCGAAACGUAUUAAUCACUUUAGAAAAUUUGUUCCACUGGCGCUAGUCAGUCCCAGAGUUGGUGGUGGGUGCUUCUGGGCUUUCGAAAAGCACCCAUUUACUCCAUUGUUUAGAGAAGUAAAACCCCACCUUCCGCUCAUUUGAUUGAUCAGCUGAAUUAGGCAGAGUUUACAUGGUCAUGAUCAUAGUCUCCCAUAUAUCCCUGAUACGCACAUUAUAGUGGAUUUAUCUUUAUCAGUGAUUUCUGUGGAGAUGCAUAAUCAUUAUAAGCUCCAAUAUAAAAUUUUAAAGUUAGUAUGGGAAUUUGUGUUGAUAAUUUGCGCAAUGUUAACAGGAUUGCUCCCAAGUCUUGGACGGACUCUUUCAAAGUCUUCUCAGGACCCAUCUGCACACUAAUUUGUCUGCCAACUAAAAAAUCAACAAUAUGUUACUCCCUCCGUUUUUCUUAAACUGAGGUUAAAAUUUUUGACACAAGAUGGGUUGACAGUAUAAAAUUAAAAUAUUUGUGAAUAAAAAUUUUGGUUAUAUUUUUUAUUUAAAAAGAAAAUCUUGAAAAUAAUAUUAUUAACUACCAGUCAGAUCACUUAAGUGUAUGUCCAAAAUUAAAGCGGCAUAUAAAAAAAAGGGAGGAAGCAUGUACUAACUGUUUCCAUAACAGUUUACAAGUAUAAGCUAUACCCCCUCUCUAUUUUUUUCUAUGACAGCUUUGAUUUUGGGCACACAUUCUUAAGUGUUUUGACCGGAUAGUUAAAAAUUUAUCUUCUAAAAUUUUUAAAAAAAGUAAAAUCGCAAAAAAAAUUAGAAAGCUGGUAUUUUUGAUAAAUUUCCAAAUAUGUAAUCAAGAAAAAUAACUUUUACUAUCCAAUCAACUCAUUUAAAGAUGUGUGUCAAAAAUCAAAAUAUCAUACAAAAAAUAGGUAUACAUUUUUUUAAUAGAUUAUACUCCCUCUGUUCCAAAAUAAGUGUCAGCUGGGGGUAAUAACAAGACCUUAGUCAACCCAAGCACAGCAGACAGCAGGCAUAAGGCAUCAGGAAUUUCACAGGACCAUUAUCUUUCUCUUAUUAACUGUGAAGGGAACAGCGUAUGAAGUAGCAAGAACCUUCAUAUUUACACAGCCAUUGAUCUGUCGUGCAACAAAUUUCAGGGAGAAAUUCCAAAGGUUACCGGAGAGCUUAGAUGGCUUGCAUUGCUCAAUUUAUCGCAUAAUUAAUAGUCUGACAGGACCUAUCCCAACAUUGCUGAGAAAUAUGAAAUAACUCCAUUACUCCAAUCUUAGAUUUGUCCUCAAAUCAACUGACAGGGGCUAUUCCACCUCUGUUAACUGCAUUGACAUUACUUUUCUCUUUAUAUUCUUUCCUUUUGUAUGUACCUAUGCUAAUUAUCUGAUUAUUAAAAUUAUAACAAAGCUUCAAGAUUUUUAACAGGUGAGCUUCCACUAAAAAUUUGCAAAGUCACUUCCCUUUCGCGUCUCAUUAUGUUAGAUAAUGGGUCAAGUGGUGCACUUCCACAGUGUUUGGGGAACCUUUCUUUGCUUGGUUUCAAUAAUCUUGCUAAUUAUCAAUUUCAAGGACCAAUACCAACGACUGUCCAAGACUUGUCUGUGCAUAUCUAAACAUCCAUAACAAUCACUUUGAAGGUUUGUUGCUCCAAUCUUUGGCAAACUGUAAACACUUACAAAUUCUUGAUAUUGGAAACAACGUUGGAGAGCUAGAUGUCCCAGUUAGGGCGGUAAUUCGACUAGAGCAAACCGAGUUUUGAGCGGAGCCAAAUUCGAGCCAAGUUUAAUCGAGUCGAGCCGAGUCGGCUCGUUUAGCUAAUCGAGCCUAAAACUUAGCCCGAACUCGACUCAUUUAAUUUCACGAGUCGAGUCGAGCCAACUCGUUUAGCUAAAUGAGCUGAUUUUAACAAGUCGAGCGAGCGAGCUCGUAUAAUUUUAACUUAGUCGAGCCUGAAUCUCUACCCAAACUAUUGGCUCGUGUAAUUUCGCGAGUCGAAUCGAGCCGGCUCGUUUUAUUAAACAAGCCGAAAUUUUUGCCCGAAUUUGCUCGUUUAACAAGCCGAUCUGAGCCUAGUUAAAUGAGUUCGAGUUAGUCGAGCUCGCGAGCUGCGAGCUCACCUGCCAGCUCUAGUCCUAGUCUUGCAAUCAAAUAGGUUUAACGGUAUAGAAAGUGGAAGGAGCACAAGGCAUCCAUUCCCCAAGGCUAUUUACCAAUUCAGUACUUUGAGGAUACAAAAUCAUUCUGCAGGUACUCUUGUAUCUGUACUUUCUUGUACUGUAUGCCACUUUGACAGUAGAGUAAAAUUUAUAUCGACAAACUGCAUAUGUUCUGAACUACUCCUCUAUCCCAAAUUAGAUGAGCUAGUUGACUUUGAGCACGUAACUUAAGGUACAUUGACCAACUAGUUCCGAUAUUUAUUUUUUUAAUUUUUCUUUUGUAAAUGAAAAUUUCAUAUUUAAAUUUUUAUUUGCAAAACUAAAAUUUAAAAAUAUGUAAUGUGGCUAUGCGGUCAAUGUCAACGAGCUCAUCUAAUUUGGGAUUGGGAUGCAGGGAGUAUUACGUACUAUGUUAUGCAAGCUGUUUACAACUUUCAUCAAAAUUUUCAAACAUUUCUGAAUAUGUAUUUUCAAAGAAUUCUCGGGCACUCUUAAGGCCUAUAAUUAUUGGAACUCUCACGUUAUGGACCAGAGGACCACUAUGUAUUUUACAAGCACGACGAAUCAUGUGGUCAUUAUGGACUCCCCAAGCCUUAGAGGACUCAUUCCAGGUUUUAGGAGGACCACUGCCUAGCUCACCCUUUCGGAGUGAUGUAAAUUAGUUUCCAGACACUAAAAAUAAGUAAUCAGAUUAAUCAUUACAAAAUUUUGAUAUAAAAUCAGAAUAAAUCCUAAACUUUGAUGAUACAAAAAAAAUUAUAAUUGUAAAUUAUACAAUCAAAUUAAGAUCGAAUUAACUUCCCUCACACUUAAAAUUUAUAGCGAUCAAAUCAAAAUCGAAUUAACUUUCCUAUUACUAAAAUUUAAUUACAAUAUUAUUAGAUAAAGAGAAUAUAUAAUAAUCAAGAGAAAAUAGAUUUUUUUUUGCCACUCAACUUAUUGUGUUUUAAGAAACUUACCACCCAACUAAAUUUUUUUCCUUUUGCUCACUAAUGUUAGGUUUGGAUUUGUUUUUAGCCACCAAAUAAGGUUCGGAUUUGAUUACCAGCAUUAUGAUAAUUUUUUUUGUCACUAAACUUAUUGCGUCUUUAGAAACUAACCACUGAACUAAAUUUUUUUUAUUUUACUCACUAAUGUUAGAUUUAGUUUUUUUUGUCACUAUAGUUAGGUUCAGAUUUGAUUAUUAGCAUUACAUUAAUUCUGUGUAGCAUUUUUAAAAUAUGGUAGUAGUCUGUGAUAUUUAGAUGAUUUGAUAUAUGUCUGUAUUUUUAUAUAUAGUAUAUUUUAUGUCCCCAAGGUCGUUUACCUUGGGUCAUAAAAAUUUUACACUCAUUUUAUGACUUUUAAAAGAUGUAGUUUCAUAAAUAAUUUUAUUUUUUUCUUUCGAAUUAAAAUUCAGCAUUUGAAUUUUACACACAAAAAAAUCGCAAGAAUAAGAUAUGAAACUAUGCUUUACAAGAGUCUUAAAAUACGUGCUAAACGGUAGAAAAAACUGUAAACUAAUGAGAGGUACAUAGGGAGUAAUAAUAACAUAAAAUGAUGCACAAUCAUCGAAUUAAGUUUUCCUCUCUCUAUAUAUUUAUUUUGUAAAUUUUAAUAAGAUAAAGUUAUUAAAAUUUAUGAUAUAAAUUUAAGAGAUAUCUUAGAUUGAGUGGCAAAAAUUUAGUUGGGUGGUAAGUUUCUAAAAACACAAUAAAUUGAGUGGGAACAAAAUCUAUUUUCCCAAUAAUGAGUGGGAAUAAAAUCUAUUUUCCCAAUAAUCAAAGUGACGAAAAAUCAAAGUCAUCUAAUAAGUCCAGAAAAAAUAUGACCAUUAGUAUAUUGAAAUAAUAUUCACGCAUUUAUAUACGAGAAUAUAUGGUCCACAAGUUAGUGCACAAUGUCCAAGAAUCUUUAUCAAAUAACACGGCAAGCAUGCAGCAUAUAAAUAAGAGUGGGCAGUAUGGUAUUGCAUUCAUAACCCACUUGAGCAGAAAUAUGGCACACUUCCUAAAGCCUUCUCACCUUCUUCUCUUUGUUUUCUUUCUCUCGUUACUUCAAUCCAUUCUACCAACAAGACCAGAGGGAGAAGCUCUUGUGAAAUGGAAGAAUAGCCUAGCCCCGUCUUCUUUUCUCGAUUCUUGGUCACUAACCAAUCUCGAUAAUCUUUGUAACUGGACUGGCAUUACUUGUAACUCUGCAGGUUCAGUCUCUGGGAUUAACCUUUAUGAGAAACAACUUGAUGGAAUGCUGUCCGAGUUUGGCUUCACUUCAUUUCCGAAUCUCAACAAUCUCACCCUCGCAUACAACUUCUUCUCGGGUCCAAUACCACCAGCCAUUGAGAAUUUAACACAGCUUCAAUAUCUUGAUUUAAGCAUCAAUAGUCUCGAUGGUCCCAUUCCUUUCCAGGUUAGCCAUCUUCAGAGGUUGCUCGUCCUAAACCUGUCACAGAAUGCAUUGCAAGCUCCAAAUUGGUCCCAUUUCUCUUCCAUGCCUUUUUUGCGCAUCCUCAAGCUCAGUAGGAAUCAUCUUGUAUCNUUUUUAUUUAAAAAGAAAAUCUUGAAAAUAAUAUUAUUAACUACCAGUCAGAUCACUUAAGUGUAUGUCCAAAAUUAAAGCGGCAUAUAAAAAAAAGGGAGGAAGCAUGUACUAACUGUUUCCAUAACAGUUUACAAGUAUAAGCUAUACCCCCUCUCUAUUUUUUUCUAUGACAGCUUUGAUUUUGGGCACACAUUCUUAAGUGUUUUGACCGGAUAGUUAAAAAUUUAUCUUCUAAAAUUUUUAAAAAAAGUAAAAUCGCAAAAAAAAUUAGAAAGCUGGUAUUUUUGAUAAAUUUCCAAAUAUGUAAUCAAGAAAAAUAACUUUUACUAUCCAAUCAACUCAUUUAAAGAUGUGUGUCAAAAAUCAAAAUAUCAUACAAAAAAUAGGUAUACAUUUUUUUAAUAGAUUAUACUCCCUCUGUUCCAAAAUAAGUGUCAGCUGGGGGUAAUAACAAGACCUUAGUCAACCCAAGCACAGCAGACAGCAGGCAUAAGGCAUCAGGAAUUUCACAGGACCAUUAUCUUUCUCUUAUUAACUGUGAAGGGAACAGCGUAUGAAGUAGCAAGAACCUUCAUAUUUACACAGCCAUUGAUCUGUCGUGCAACAAAUUUCAGGGAGAAAUUCCAAAGGUUACCGGAGAGCUUAGAUGGCUUGCAUUGCUCAAUUUAUCGCAUAAUUAAUAGUCUGACAGGACCUAUCCCAACAUUGCUGAGAAAUAUGAAAUAACUCCAUUACUCCAAUCUUAGAUUUGUCCUCAAAUCAACUGACAGGGGCUAUUCCACCUCUGUUAACUGCAUUGACAUUACUUUUCUCUUUAUAUUCUUUCCUUUUGUAUGUACCUAUGCUAAUUAUCUGAUUAUUAAAAUUAUAACAAAGCUUCAAGAUUUUUAACAGGUGAGCUUCCACUAAAAAUUUGCAAAGUCACUUCCCUUUCGCGUCUCAUUAUGUUAGAUAAUGGGUCAAGUGGUGCACUUCCACAGUGUUUGGGGAACCUUUCUUUGCUUGGUUUCAAUAAUCUUGCUAAUUAUCAAUUUCAAGGACCAAUACCAACGACUGUCCAAGACUUGUCUGUGCAUAUCUAAACAUCCAUAACAAUCACUUUGAAGGUUUGUUGCUCCAAUCUUUGGCAAACUGUAAACACUUACAAAUUCUUGAUAUUGGAAACAACGUUGGAGAGCUAGAUGUCCCAGUUAGGGCGGUAAUUCGACUAGAGCAAACCGAGUUUUGAGCGGAGCCAAAUUCGAGCCAAGUUUAAUCGAGUCGAGCCGAGUCGGCUCGUUUAGCUAAUCGAGCCUAAAACUUAGCCCGAACUCGACUCAUUUAAUUUCACGAGUCGAGUCGAGCCAACUCGUUUAGCUAAAUGAGCUGAUUUUAACAAGUCGAGCGAGCGAGCUCGUAUAAUUUUAACUUAGUCGAGCCUGAAUCUCUACCCAAACUAUUGGCUCGUGUAAUUUCGCGAGUCGAAUCGAGCCGGCUCGUUUUAUUAAACAAGCCGAAAUUUUUGCCCGAAUUUGCUCGUUUAACAAGCCGAUCUGAGCCUAGUUAAAUGAGUUCGAGUUAGUCGAGCUCGCGAGCUGCGAGCUCACCUGCCAGCUCUAGUCCUAGUCUUGCAAUCAAAUAGGUUUAACGGUAUAGAAAGUGGAAGGAGCACAAGGCAUCCAUUCCCCAAGGCUAUUUACCAAUUCAGUACUUUGAGGAUACAAAAUCAUUCUGCAGGUACUCUUGUAUCUGUACUUUCUUGUACUGUAUGCCACUUUGACAGUAGAGUAAAAUUUAUAUCGACAAACUGCAUAUGUUCUGAACUACUCCUCUAUCCCAAAUUAGAUGAGCUAGUUGACUUUGAGCACGUAACUUAAGGUACAUUGACCAACUAGUUCCGAUAUUUAUUUUUUUAAUUUUUCUUUUGUAAAUGAAAAUUUCAUAUUUAAAUUUUUAUUUGCAAAACUAAAAUUUAAAAAUAUGUAAUGUGGCUAUGCGGUCAAUGUCAACGAGCUCAUCUAAUUUGGGAUUGGGAUGCAGGGAGUAUUACGUACUAUGUUAUGCAAGCUGUUUACAACUUUCAUCAAAAUUUUCAAACAUUUCUGAAUAUGUAUUUUCAAAGAAUUCUCGGGCACUCUUAAGGCCUAUAAUUAUUGGAACUCUCACGUUAUGGACCAGAGGACCACUAUGUAUUUUACAAGCACGACGAAUCAUGUGGUCAUUAUGGACUCCCCAAGCCUUAGAGGACUCAUUCCAGGUUUUAGGAGGACCACUGCCUAGCUCACCCUUUCGGAGUGAUGUAAAUUAGUUUCCAGACACUAAAAAUAAGUAAUCAGAUUAAUCAUUACAAAAUUUUGAUAUAAAAUCAGAAUAAAUCCUAAACUUUGAUGAUACAAAAAAAAUUAUAAUUGUAAAUUAUACAAUCAAAUUAAGAUCGAAUUAACUUCCCUCACACUUAAAAUUUAUAGCGAUCAAAUCAAAAUCGAAUUAACUUUCCUAUUACUAAAAUUUAAUUACAAUAUUAUUAGAUAAAGAGAAUAUAUAAUAAUCAAGAGAAAAUAGAUUUUUUUUUGCCACUCAACUUAUUGUGUUUUAAGAAACUUACCACCCAACUAAAUUUUUUUCCUUUUGCUCACUAAUGUUAGGUUUGGAUUUGUUUUUAGCCACCAAAUAAGGUUCGGAUUUGAUUACCAGCAUUAUGAUAAUUUUUUUUGUCACUAAACUUAUUGCGUCUUUAGAAACUAACCACUGAACUAAAUUUUUUUUAUUUUACUCACUAAUGUUAGAUUUAGUUUUUUUUGUCACUAUAGUUAGGUUCAGAUUUGAUUAUUAGCAUUACAUUAAUUCUGUGUAGCAUUUUUAAAAUAUGGUAGUAGUCUGUGAUAUUUAGAUGAUUUGAUAUAUGUCUGUAUUUUUAUAUAUAGUAUAUUUUAUGUCCCCAAGGUCGUUUACCUUGGGUCAUAAAAAUUUUACACUCAUUUUAUGACUUUUAAAAGAUGUAGUUUCAUAAAUAAUUUUAUUUUUUUCUUUCGAAUUAAAAUUCAGCAUUUGAAUUUUACACACAAAAAAAUCGCAAGAAUAAGAUAUGAAACUAUGCUUUACAAGAGUCUUAAAAUACGUGCUAAACGGUAGAAAAAACUGUAAACUAAUGAGAGGUACAUAGGGAGUAAUAAUAACAUAAAAUGAUGCACAAUCAUCGAAUUAAGUUUUCCUCUCUCUAUAUAUUUAUUUUGUAAAUUUUAAUAAGAUAAAGUUAUUAAAAUUUAUGAUAUAAAUUUAAGAGAUAUCUUAGAUUGAGUGGCAAAAAUUUAGUUGGGUGGUAAGUUUCUAAAAACACAAUAAAUUGAGUGGGAACAAAAUCUAUUUUCCCAAUAAUGAGUGGGAAUAAAAUCUAUUUUCCCAAUAAUCAAAGUGACGAAAAAUCAAAGUCAUCUAAUAAGUCCAGAAAAAAUAUGACCAUUAGUAUAUUGAAAUAAUAUUCACGCAUUUAUAUACGAGAAUAUAUGGUCCACAAGUUAGUGCACAAUGUCCAAGAAUCUUUAUCAAAUAACACGGCAAGCAUGCAGCAUAUAAAUAAGAGUGGGCAGUAUGGUAUUGCAUUCAUAACCCACUUGAGCAGAAAUAUGGCACACUUCCUAAAGCCUUCUCACCUUCUUCUCUUUGUUUUCUUUCUCUCGUUACUUCAAUCCAUUCUACCAACAAGACCAGAGGGAGAAGCUCUUGUGAAAUGGAAGAAUAGCCUAGCCCCGUCUUCUUUUCUCGAUUCUUGGUCACUAACCAAUCUCGAUAAUCUUUGUAACUGGACUGGCAUUACUUGUAACUCUGCAGGUUCAGUCUCUGGGAUUAACCUUUAUGAGAAACAACUUGAUGGAAUGCUGUCCGAGUUUGGCUUCACUUCAUUUCCGAAUCUCAACAAUCUCACCCUCGCAUACAACUUCUUCUCGGGUCCAAUACCACCAGCCAUUGAGAAUUUAACACAGCUUCAAUAUCUUGAUUUAAGCAUCAAUAGUCUCGAUGGUCCCAUUCCUUUCCAGGUUAGCCAUCUUCAGAGGUUGCUCGUCCUAAACCUGUCACAGAAUGCAUUGCAAGCUCCAAAUUGGUCCCAUUUCUCUUCCAUGCCUUUUUUGCGCAUCCUCAAGCUCAGUAGGAAUCAUCUUGUAUCGAAAUUUCCAGAAUUUAUAUCCAAUUCUCAUAGCUUGGCUAUCCUUGACCUUGGCCAGAACAACUUUACAGGUGAUCUUGUGCGUGAAUUUACCAAUCUACAAAAUCUUGAAACCCUCUGGCUUUAUCGUAAUUCUUUUGAGGGGCCAUUUCCGCCGGAUAUAGUCCAGCUUUCCAAACUAAAAGAUCUUGCCCUGUCAAGUAACAAAUUUUCAGGUUCAGUUCCCAAUAACAUAAGGUUGCUUUGUGAUCUUGAAUACCUAUAUUUAGGCAACAAUUCCUUUAAGGGGCCACUUCCACCAAAUAUAUUUAAGCUUUCAAAAUUAAAACAUCUUGUUCUUUGGAGUAAUAAGUUUUCAGGUUCUGUUUCCAAUGAUAUAGGUUUGCUUCAUGAGCUUGUAACCCUCAAUCUUAACUCUAAUUUUUUUGAGGGGCCGCUUCCGCCAAAUGUAUUCAAGCUCUCCAAACUAAAGUUUUUUGCCCUUCAUGAGAAUAACUUUUCAGGUUUUAUUUCUAAGGAUAUAGGUUUGCUUUCCGAACUUGAAAUCCUCUAUUUUGGCUCUAAUUUUUUUGAGGGGCCGCUUCCUCCACAUGUAUUUAGGCUCUCCAAAUUAAGAGGUCUGGACCUCUCACACAAUAGAAAUUUAUUUGAAGGAAGUAUUCCUAUUGGACUGGGACUCUUGACUAACCUCAGGUACUUAGAUCUACAUUCCAAUAAUCUCGGUGGCUAUAUUCCAUCUGACAUUGGAAACCUGAAGCUACUAGUACUUCUUGAUCUCGGUUCUAAUCAAUUGACUGGACCGCUUUCAAAGAUCGUUUCUAAUCUCACAAAUCUUAUAUGUCUUGAUGUAAGUCAUAAUAGUCUUAGUGGAAAUAUUCAGAGUGACUUGUGGAAAUAUAACGAUCAUCCAACUUUGGAAUACAUCAAUUUAAGUGGGAACCAUUUUACGGGUAUAGUUUUUCUCUAUAGAUCUUUUCCUUUUCUCAUAUGUAACUAAGCUAGUAAUCUGAUUAUUGCAGUUUCACCAAAGUUUCAACAAUCUUGACAGGUGAGCUUCCAACAACAAUUUGCAAUGUCACUUCCCUUUCGGUUCUUGAUUUGUCAAAUAAUGAAUUAAGUGGUGCACUUCCAAACUCUUUGGGGAAUCUUGCUGAUGGAAUGCUUUACCUUAAUCUUGCUAAUAAUCAGUUUCGAGGAACAAUACCAACUACUUUCUCCAGGAGUUGUCGGUUGACAUAUCUAAACAUGGAUAAUAAUGAGUUUGAAGGAUUGUUGCCCCCAUCUUUGGCGAACUGUAAGCACUUGAAAAUUCUUGAUAUAGGCAAUAAUAAAAUAGGUGGUACAUUUCCGUCAUGGCUUUAUGCACUUGGAGAGCUAGAAGUUCUUGUCUUGCGAUCAAAUAAACUCUAUGGUACGAUAAGUGGAAGGAGCAUAGAAGAUCCCUUCCCCAAGUUGCGGAUUGUGGAUCUGUCCCACAAUCAAUUGACAGGCUAUUUGCCAAUUCAAUACUUUAAGAAUAUGAAAUCAACUGAUAAUUUGUAUCGUUAUCGGAAUUCCACAGGACCAUUAUCUUUCUCUUAUGAAGCAGCAGUCUCAUUAACUGUGAAGGGAACAGAGUACGAGGUAGCAAAGAACCUUCAUAUUUACACAGCCAUUGACCUGUCGUGCAACAAAUUUCAGGGAGAAAUUCCAAAGGUUACUGGAGAGCUUAGAUGGCUUGCAUUGCUGAAUUUAUCUCAUAAUAGUCUGACAGGACCUAUCCCAUCCUUGCUGAAAAAUAUGAAAGAACUCCAAUCUUUAGAUUUGUCCUCAAAUCAACUGACAGGGGCUAUUCCACCUCAGUUAACUGCAUUGACAUUUCUGGAGGUCUUCAACCUCUCGGGAAACCAUCUUAGUGGAGAGAUUCCUCAGAAAGGGCAGUUCAGCACAUUUAACAAUGAUUCUUAUCUAGGAAACUCCGCGUUAUGUGGAUCACCUUUGACAAAGAAAUGUGCAAACACAGCAUCACCUCCACAAGAAGUCGGAAAUGGUGAUGAAGAUGAUGCUGGUGAUGAAUGGACAUGGGAAGCAAUCGUGAUGGGAUAUGGAUGUGGACUGAUAUGUGGAUUGUCAUCUGCGUACAUUGUUCUCAAACUAGGAAAGCCUUGGUGGUUUGUGAGAUAUAUCGAAGUGCUGCAACUGAAGUUGAUGAAAAGAUAUGCUUGAAAAAUUGUACUGGCCGAUCAAGACGAACUUGAAAGUUGUUGUCCUUGUGGACAUUUCUGAACCAGUAGUGUACUAGCUGCAUAAGUAUUUGGUAUUAUGUAAUAAUCCGUUUGGUCAGGACUCAUAAUGAUUUCUCUUGCUUCAGGGGUAUUAAUAUUAACCUUGCUAGUUAAUUCAAAUUAAAACAAAUAUAAAAUCAAAAAAUUUGCAUCAAACACCUGUUAUACCAACAUCCAUUAAUUUGCUUUCAUCUCUUACGUAACAAUUUAACAGCGAUUCCACACUGUUUUAGGCAUGGAGAUUACACAAAGAAGGCAAGUCCAUGAACUAAUAUAUUAACCCGUAGUCCACAUCUAUGCUACGAACAAUUCAUAUUGGUCUUCCAUCUAUUCAACCGUCUCCCGAAGAUAGGCCAAAAAUGUCAUCUGUGGUUCUUAUCUUUGUCAGUAAAGGAGAAUCUCUGAUGCCUAUACAACCUGGUUUUCUUACAGAAAGGAAUGUAGGUGAAACCAGGGGCAUAAAAUGAAUCGGGACUAAAAUCUGCUAAAAUGAUAAUUAUUUACUCAUCAUUCGAGAUUAGUCGGGCUCAAAUGAAGAUUUAUAUGGAUUUUAAGAACAAACUAUGACUAAAUAUGAAAACUAGACAACCUGGUUUUCUUACAGAAAGGAAUGUAGGUGAAACCAGGGGCGUAAAAUGAAUCGGGACUAAAAUCUGCUAAAAUGAUAGUAAUUAUUUACUCAUCAUUCAAGAUUAGUCGGGCUCAAAUGAAGAUUUAUAUGGAUUUUUAAGAACAAACUAUGACUAAAUAUGAAAAAAAUCAUUAAUUUUUCCGACUCAAUAUUUUUUAGCCUCCCCCGGCCCUGGGUGAAACCAUAAGCUUCUCUGGUGCACAUCCAAAUCAUUCAGCUGGUUCUGCAGGUACUCUUCUAUCUGUACUUUCUUAUAUUGUUUGCCAGUACAUUUUAUAUCGACAAACUGCACAAUACACCUCGAUCUCAUACACAGGUGAACUCCUGCAUAUGCUUUGUGAUGUCAUUGAUGAUCGAUAGACUUGAAAAAAAAUUAUGACAAAGAUUCAUAAAAUAUCUACUUCCAUCCUAAUUCAGUAUUCAAUAUUAUUCAUCCCGUAUCAUCAUCCAAUCAAUUCUAAUAGUUCUUCUUUAAAUCAGUACAAAUAUUGUUAAAUACCUCGAUGAUGGUUGUCUUCCCGUGAACCAAUCAUAAAAUUACCUCUGUAUAAAUCCAUCGGAAAUAAGACAGUUAAUAUCCCAAUCGAAUACACCCCGUCAGUUGUCAAACUCCUCGAAACGUAUUAAUCACUUUAGAAAAUUUGUUCCACUGGCGCUAGUCAGUCCCAGAGUUGGUGGUGGGUGCUUCUGGGCUUUCGAAAAACACCCAUUUACUCCAUUGUUUAGAGAAGUAAAACCCCACCUUCCGCUCAUUUGAUUGAUCAGCUGAAUUAGGCAGAGUUUACAUGGUCAUGAUCAUAGUCUCCCAUUUCCCAGAUACGCGAAUUAUAGUGGAUUUAUCUUUAUCAGUAAUUUCUGUGGAGAUGCAUAAUCAUUAUAAGCUCCAAUAUAAAAAUUUAAAGUUAGUAUGGGCAUUUGUGUUGAUAAUUUGCGCAAUGUUAACAGGAUUGCUCCCAAGUCUUGGACGGACUCUUUCAAAGUCUUCUCAGGACCCAUCUGCACACUGAUUUGUCUGCCAACUAAAAAAUCAACAAUAUGUUACUCACUCCGUUUUUCUUAAACGAGGUUAAAAUUUUUGACACAAGAUGGGUUGACAGUAUAAUAAAAUUAACAUUUUUGUGAAUAAAAAUUUUGGUUGUAUUAUUUUAUUUAGAAAAAGAAAAUCUUGAAAAUAAUAUUAUUAACUACCCAGUCAAAUCACUUAAAAGUAUAUGUCCAAAAUUAAAGCGGCAUAUAAAAAAACCGAGAGAGAGUAUGUACUAACCUGUUUCCAUAACAGUUUACAAGUAUAAGUUAUACUCCCUCUCUAUUUUUUUAUAUGACGCUUUGAUUUUGGGCACAUAUUUUUAAGUGUUUUGACCGGAUAAUUAAAAAUAUUAUUUUCUAAAAUUUUUAAAAGAAAGUAAAAUUGAAAAAAAAAUAGAAAGCUGGUAUUUUUGAUAAAUUUCCAAACAUAAUCAAGAACAAUAAUUUUUACUAUCCAAUCAACUCAUUUACAGAUGUGUGUCAAAAAUCAAAAUAUCAUAUAAAAAACAACAAUAUGUUACUCCCUCCGUUUUUCUUAAACUGAGGUUAAAAUUUUUGACACAAGAUGGGUUGACAGUAUAAAAUUAAAAUUUUUGUGAAUAAAAAUUUUGGUUAUAUUUUUUAUUUAAAAAGAAAAUCUUGAAAAUAAUAUUAUUAACUACCAGUCAGAUCACUUAAGUGUAUGUCCAAAAUUAAAGCGGCAUAUAAAAAAAAGGGAGGAAGCAUGUACUAACUGUUUCCAUAACAGUUUACAAGUACAAGUUAUACUCCCUCUCUAUUUUUUCUAUGACGCUUUGAUUUUGGGCACACAUUCUUAAGUGUUUUGACCGGAUAGUUAAAAAUUUAUCUUCUAAAAUUUUUAAAAAGAAGUAAAAUCGCAAAAAAAAUUAGAAAGCUGGUAUUUUUGAUAAAUUUCCAAAUAUGUAAUCAAGAACAAUAACUUUUACUAUCCAAUCAACUCAUUUAAAGAUGUGUGUCAAAAAUCAAAAUAUCAUACAAAAAAUAGGUAUACAUUUUUUUUAAUAGAUUAUACUCCCUCUGUUCCAAAAUAAUUGUCAGCUGUGACAUUUUGCAAAAGUAGCUGGGGGGUAAUAACAAGACCUUAGUCAACCCAAGCACAGCAGACAGCAGGCAUAAGGCAUCAGGAAUUUCACAGCACCAUUAUCUUUCUCUUAUUAACUGUGAAGGGAACAGAGUAUGAAGUAGCAAGAACCUUCAUAUUUACACAGCCAUUGAUCUGUCGUGCAACGAAUUUCAGGGAGAAAUUUCAAAGGUUACUGGAGAGCUUAGAUGGCUUGCAUUGCUCAAUUUAUCUCAUAAUAGUCUCACAGGACCUAUCCCAUCAUUGCUGAGAAAAAUGAAAGAACUCCAAUCUUUAGAUUUGUCCUCAAAUCAACUGACAGGGGCUAUUCCACCUCAGUUAACUGCAUUGACAUUACUUUUCUCUUUAUAUCCUUUCCUUUUGUAUGUACCUAUGCUAAUUAUCUGAUUAUCAAAAUUAUAACAAAGCUUCAAGAUUUUUAACAGGUGAGCUUCCACUAAAAAUUUGCAAAGUCACUUCCCUUUCGCGUCUCAUUAUGUCAGAUAAUGGGUCAAGUGGUGCACAUCCACAGUGUUUGGGGAACCUUUCUUUGCUUGGUUUCAAUAAUCUUGCUAAUUAUCAAUUUCAAGGACCAAUACCAACGACUGUCCAAGACUUGUCUGUGCAUAUCUAAACAUCCAUAACAAUCACUUUGAAGGUUUGUUGCUGCAAUCUUUGACAAACUGUAAACACUUACAAAUUCUUGAUAUUGGAAACAACAAAAUAGGUGGUACAUUUCGGUCAUGGCUAUUUAUUUUGGAGAGCUAGAUGUCCUAGUUAGGGCGGUAAUUCAACUAGAGCAAACCGAGUUUUGAGCGGAGCCAAAUUCGAGCCAAGUUUAAUCGAGUCAAGCCGAGUCGGCUCGUUUAGCUAAUCGAGCCUAAAACUCUGCCCGAACUCGACUCGUUUAAUUUCACGAACGAGUCAAGCGAGUGAGCUCGUAUAAUUUUAACUUAAUCGAGCCUAAAUCUCUACCCGAACUAUUGGCUCGUGUAAUUUCGCGAGUAGAAUCGAGCCGGCUCGUUUUAUUAUAGAAGCCGAAAUUUUUGCCCGAAUUUGGCUUGUUUAACAAGCCGAUCUUUCAUCAAAAAUUUCAAACAUUUCUGAAUAUGUAUUUUCAGAGAAUUUCUCCAGCACUCUUAAGGCCUAUAAUUAUUGCAACUCUCACGUUAUGGACCACUGUGUAUUUUACAAGCACGACGAAUCAUGUUGUCAUUAUGGACUCCCCAAGCCUUAGAGGACUCAUUCCAGGUCUUAGGAGGACCACUGCCUAGCUCACCCUUUCGGAGUGAUGUAAAUUAUUUUCCAAACAUUAAAAAUAAAUAAUCAGAUUAAUCAAUACAAAAUUAAAGAUAUAAAAUCAGAAUAAAUCCUAAACUUUGAAUAUACAAAAAAAAUUAUAAUUGUAAAUUAUACAAUCAAAUUAAAAUUGAAUUAACUUCCCUCACACUUAAAAUUUAUAGCGAUCAAAUCAAAAUCGAAUUAACUUUCCUAUUACUAAAAUUUAGUUACAAUAUUAUUAGAUAAAGAGAAUAUAUAAUAAUCAAGGGAAAAUAGAUUUUUUUUUUUUGCCACUCAACUUAUUGUUUUUUAAGAAACUUACCACCCAACUAAUUAUUUUUUCCUUUUGCUCACUAAUGUUAGGUUUGGAUUUGUUUUUAGCCACCAACUAAGGUUCGGAUUUGAUUACUAGCAUUAUGAUAAUUUUUUUUGUCACUAAACUUAUUGUGUCUUUAGAAACUAACCACUCAACUAAUUUUUUUUUAAUUUACUCACUAAUGUUAGGUUCAGUUUUUUUUUGUCACUGAAGUUAGGUUCGGAUUUGAUUAUUAGCAUUACAUUAAUUCUGUGUAGCAUUUUUAAAAUAUGGCUCAUAAGAAUUUUACACGCAUUUUAUGACUUUUAAAAGAUGUAGUUUCAUUAAUAAUUUUAUUUUUUUCUUCCGAAUUAAAAUUUAGCGUUUGAAUUUUACACACAAAAAAUCGAAAGAAUAAGUUAUGAAAGUAUGCUUUAUAAGAGUCUUAAAAUACGUGCUAAACGGUAGAAAAAACUGUACACUAAUGACAGGUAAAUAGGGAGUAAUAAUAACAUAAAAUGAUGCACAAUCAUCGAAUUAAGUUUUCCUCUCUCUAUAUAUUUAUUUUGAAAAUUUUAAUAAGAUAAAGUUAUUAAAAUUUAUGAUAUAAAUUUAAGAGAUAUCUUAGAUUGAGUGGCAAAAAUUUAGUUGGGUGAUAAAUUUCUAAAAACACAAUAAAUUGAAUGGGAACAAAAUCUAUUUUCCCGAUAAUCAAAGUGACGAAAAAUCAAAGUCAUCUAAUAAGUCCAGAAAAAAUAUGACCAUUAGUAUAUCGGAAUAAUAUUCACACAUUUAUAUACGAGAAUAUAUGGUCCACAAGUUAGUGCACAAUGUCCAAGAAUCUUUAUUAAAGUAACACGGCAAGCAUGCAGCAUAUAAAUAAGAGUGGGCACUGGGCAGUAUGGUAUUGCAUUCAUAACCCACUUGAGGAGAAAUAUGGCACACUUCCUAAAGCCUUCUCACCUUCUUCUCUUUGUUUUCUUUCUCUCGUUACUUCAAUCCAUUCUACUAACAAGACCAGAGGGAGAAGCUCUUGUGAAAUGGAAGAAUAGCCUUGCCCCUUCUUCUUUUCUCGAUUCUUGGUCACUCACCAAUCUCGAUGAUCUUUGUAACUGGACUGGCAUUACUUGUAACUCUGCAGGUUCAGUCUCUGAGAUUAACCUUUAUGAGAAACAACUUGAUGGAAUGCUGUCCGAGUUUAGUUUCACUUCAUUUCCAAAUCUUAACAGUCUCACUCUCGCAUACAACUUCUUCUCGGGUCCAAUACCACCAGCCAUUGAGAAUUUAACACAGCUUCAAUAUCUUGAUUUAAGCAUCAAUAGUCUCGAUGGUCUCAUUCCGUUCCAGGUUAGCCAUCUUCAGAGGUUGCUCGUCUUAAACCUGUCACAGAAUGCAUUGCAAGCUCCAAAUUGGUCCCAAUUCUCUCCCAUGCCCUUUUUGUGCAGCCUCAACCUCAGUAGCAAUCCUCUUGCGUCGAAAUUCCCAAAUUUCAUAUCCAAUUCUCAUGGCCUGACUCACCUUAGCCUUGAUCAAAACGAGUUUACAGGUGAUUUAGCGCGUGAAUCAAUAUUUGCCAAUCUGCAUAAUCUUGAAGUCCUCAGUCUUGUUGGCAAUUCUUUUGAGGGGCCAUUUCUGCCAAAUAUAUUCAAGCUUUCCAAAUUAAAACGUCUCACCCUGUCAAGUAACAAAUUUUUAGGAUCAAUUCCCAAUGACAUAAGGUUGCUUUGUGAUCUUGAAUUCCUGUAUUUAGGAAACAAUUCUUUUGAAGGACCGCUUCCACCAAAUAUAUUCAAGCUUUCAAAAUUAAAACAUCUUGUUCUUUGGAGUAAUAAGUUUUCAGGUUCUGUUUCCAAUGAUAUAGGUUUGCUUUCUGCGCUUGAACUUUUGAAUCUUCACUCUAAUUUUUUUGAGGGGCCGCUUCCGCCAAAUGUAUUCAAGCUCUCUAAACUAAGGUUUCUUAACCUCUGGGGUAACAACUUUUCAGGUUCUGUUUCCAAUGAUAUAGGUUUGCUUCCGGAGCUAGAAAUCCUCAAUCUUCACUCUAAUUUUUUUGAGGGCCGCUUCCGCCAAAUAUAUUCAAGCUCUCUAAACUAAGGUUUCUUAACCUUUGGGGUAAUAACUUUUCAGGUUCUGUUUCCAAUGAUAUAGGUUUGCUUCCUGAGCUAGAAUUCCUCAAUCUUCACUCUAAUUUUUUUGAGGGUCCGCUUCCGCCAAAUGUAUUCAAGCUCUCUAAACUAAAGUUUCUUCAUCUUCGAGGUAAUAAGUUUUCAGGUUCUGUUUCCAAUGAUAUAGGUUUGCUUCCUGAGCUUGAAAUCCUCAAUCUUCGCUCUAAUUUUUUUGAGGGGCCGCUUCCGCCAAAUGUAUUCAAGCUCUCCAAACUAAGGUUUCUUUCCCUUAAGGAAAAUAAAUUUUCAGGUUCUGUUUCCAAUGAUAUAGGUUUCCUUUCUGAGCUUGAAUACCUAUAUCUUGACUAUAAUUUAUUUGAAGGAAGUAUUCCUAUUGGACUGGGACUCUUGACUAACCUCAGCUACUUAGAUCUAAGUUCCAAUAAUCUCAGUGGCUAUAUUCCAUCUGACAUUGGAAACCUGAAGCUACUAGUAUUUCUUGAUCUCAGUUCUAACCAAUUGACUGGACCGCUUUUAAAGAUCGUUUCUAAUCUCACAAAUCUUAUGAAUCUUGAUGUAAGUGAUAAUAGUCUUAGUGGAAAUAUUCAGAGUGACUUGUGGAAGAACUCUAUAUCCUUACGUUACAUUAAUUUUGCAAAUAAUUAUUUGUCUGGGAACAUUCCUAAGGAAUACAACGAUCAUCCAACUUUGGAAUACAUCAAUUUAAGUGGGAACCAUUUUACAGGUAUAUUUUUCUCUAUAUAUCUUUUCCUUUUCUCAUAUGUAACUAAGCUGGUAAUCUGAUUAUUGCAGUUUUACCAAAGUUUCAACAAUCUUGACAGGUGAGCUUCCAACAACAAUUUGCAAUGUCACUUCCCUUGCGGUUCUUGUUUUGUCAAAUAAUGGAUUAAGUGGAGCACUUCCAAAUUGUUUCGGGAAACUUGCUGAUAGAUUGCUUUCCAUUAAUCUUGCUAAUAAUCAGUUUCGAGGAACAAUACCAACUACUUUCUCCAGGAGUUGUCAGGUGAAAUAUCUAAACAUGGAUAAUAAUGAGUUUGAAGGAUUCUUGCCCCCAUCUUUGGCGAACUGUAAGCACUUGAAAAUUCUUGAUAUUGGCAAUAACAAAAUAGGUGGUCCAUUUCCGUCAUGGCUUUAUGUACUUGGAGAGAUAGAAGUCCUUGUCUUGCGAUUAAAUAAACUCUAUGGUACAAUAAGUGGAAGGAGCGUAAAAGAUCCCUUCCCCAAGUUGCGGAUUGUGGAUCAAUAGACAUCGGCUAAAAAGCGAUGUCUAUGUAAAAUCAGACCGAUGUCUUCGUGGGUGAUGAGAAAAGUAAGUGCAUUACACAUCGCUUUCUAGCCGAUGUCUAUAACCUAUUUACACAUCGUUUAAUAUGACAAUCUGAUGUAUUUUUUAACAGUAGAUACCUUCACUAUAAUUUCAGUUCCUCAUUCCUAUGCCCUCUAUAUCAUUUUAAACUUGUCACAUGCUUAAUAAAAUGAUACUUUAACAUCUUAAAACUUGUAAAAUAGAUGUAUAUGAUAACCUUUUACAUCAUGCUUUUAUAGGAAGUGAUGUGGUACCCUUCUUUUCUUUAAGAAAGCGAUGUCUUUGUUCUUGUUUUACAUCAGUGAUUUUUAUACUCUGAUAUCUAUUAUAUAGUUUAACAUCAGGCUUUUUCUUGUUAACUGAUAUGUAUUCAUUCUUAUGACAUCGCUUACUAAGUGAUGUAAAUGUUAGUUUUAAAUUGCCAUGAAUCCUCCUGUUUCUUAUGAAUCCCCCUGUUUCAUUUAAAUUUCCAACAAAUUCCAAAACAACACCAAAGCUAUACUAAUUAAACAACCAAUUACCAAUGUCUAGCCUACCAUAACAGAACUAAAACAAAACUAGCUAGCAAAACAAUACUUCCGCAAAAGCCAAAUAUAUUACCAUCAAUCAUUACCAAUCAAAUUACAUCCCACAAUCAAAGAAACUGCACAAAUCCUAAAUAUUAACCAAGCAACCAUAAUUUACAAGCAGUUCACCACGUACUCCAGCAACCAUAAUUUACCAACUACAUUUCCCUCCAUUUAUCAACAAAAUCUACUUAGCUAGCUAGUGUCACUGUCUUACAUAAACUGAACUAAUUAAAGGAAACCAAAGUUCUCCAAUAAACCAAAGGCCUGUUUAUAAGAAGGACUCGAUAUGGCUAAGUGUCUCAAACCGAACCUCGUCAAGCUCAGCCUUGGAACAAAUCACUUUUCGAUUCUUGGAUGCCCACUGAAAAAUGUAAAACAAUAACAUUGAAUUAUACCUAAAUUUAUAUGUACACCAUUUAAUUAUAUCAACAAUGGAUUAGGCAAAGAAAAAUACCCUUUUAAAAAAUGUCAUUUCAUUGUCCAUGACAAUCUCUUUCAUAUACCGCAUAAUAACAUAGCCGCAUUCAGUUCCACCGGGCUGUUUAGGACAUCCCUAUUUAACCAAAAAAAACUCAAAAUAGUAAGUAAAGUAAUGCCCCUGGUUCUAAGCAUCAGUAGCACAAAUUGUUAAAAAUAAAUACGAAAGCUUACUGUAAUAUAUUUGAAGCUUGGGGCUUUAUUUCCCCUUCCGGCCUGAACAUUGAAAGUAAUCACAGCCCUGUCAUCUUGGCAGUGUUAAUAAUGCACAUGCAUUUAUAUCUCCAUAAGAAAGAUAAUCAAUAAAAAAAUAAAUGAAAAUACCUUGAUAUUGCUUUUUCCAAGUUGGGGAAACUAGUUGAACGAGGCAGAGGAUUAAGUAUGAAAACCUCGCCACCCCAAAACAGAACCAAUACCCAAUGGAAACUAUUUUUAACAAAUAUUUAUGAAAAACACAAUUACUAUCAAAAUCAUAUAAAUUUUAUUUUCAGUCAUGUAAAAAACUAAAUAAAAGAGAUUUAUAAUAAAUAAGAAAACACUUAAGCUACUUACUUGCUAUUAUGCGGCAUCAAAAAGAGACGAUCAGGAUUACCCUCUUUAAAUCGAUUAACCAAGUUAUCUUCAAAAGAAUUGUUCAUCAAGUUCAGCGAGGCUCCAGGAUCACAAAAAGCAAAUUGAUCCUUAGUGCCAUUUUCACGAACCACGCAAUGCAAGUAUCUACAUUGUAAAUGAAAUGAAAUUAUAUAAAAUUACACGAAUAUGAAUUAUAACUAAACAACAGUCAUGAUCUAGAAGACAGUAAUUAAAAAAAGUUUACUCACGCCAUGUAUGCAGCAAUUGCUGCUUGGCCAAUCAUAUUAAACUCCAGCAAGGCGACUAUGUUUUCAUACAAGAUGAAGAUUCUUUUCUCGAUACCAAACACCUCAGCAUCACACGGGAUUUGAAUUGAGUCUCCGGAGGAUUGCAUAAAUGUUGUUGCAUGUUUAUACAACAACCGAAAGCGUUUUGGAACAUUUUUAUUGAUCUCCAUGUUAUGAAACAAGGACUGGACUUUAUCUAAAUCGGUUUUAGGUUCCUUUACUUUCCGUUUACCUUUCUGAAAAAUGAACAAAAUUAAUUUAAAACAAAAUAUAACAAAAUAUAGGGGUAACAUAUAAUAGUACAAUCCAGUACAACAAUUAUGUUAAAGUACACACCAUAGUAGGAAUAGUAGGAGGGGCAUUUGGGAAUAUGAUCAAGUCGCGGGGCCAUGAGACGUACGAGCCAACAGCUUGCUCUACUGUUUCAAUCUCACCUGGUACCGGUUUAGGAAUCUUGGCUUGUCCUUGAAUUGGGCCAUCCACUGAGACGCGAACACAUCCAGGCUCUAUCGGCACUCCAUGUAUAGAUUUGUUCAUGUUAUCAUCAUCAAACAACAAACCAAAUGCCACUUUAUUUUCUAUUGUGCCUACAGCCAACUCACAUUUUCGUGGACCGGCCUACACACAUAUAUUUAAACAAUUAUGACGAAUGCUUGAAAUAUGUUGAGCUAAAUUGAAUAAAUGUGCUAGUUAUUUUACCUUAUUCUCUGGUGGAUUAGGUUCCAAGUCAACUUCAAUCAUCUCUGGUUCCAGUUUUUUCACCACCUCUGUCUUAGCUUCUUUGACAGUGUUUGCCUCACAACUUGCUUUAUCAGAAGCAAUAGGAGAUGAAAUAUUUGCUUUGCUGAGCAAGGCCUUCAUUUCAGCCAUCUCCUGCCUUGUCUUCUCCAUUUCCAUGGCCAUCUCUUUCUUGGCUUUCUCCAGCUCCGCGUCCCUCUCUCGAUCCCUCUCCAACAACUCAGCUUUGGUGAUUCUAUUUCUUCUUCCUGGUGGUAUAUUAAAAAAAAUUGACGGGCUCACAAAGCCUCCAACUCCUCGAACCCUCCCCGAAUGUUCAGGAGUUUGUAGGGCCGUAGUCAACACAUCUCGACUCCCAGAAGGAGUGAAUUCCCCCUUACUUUGCUGCUCUAGUAAAAUAUUCUGACAUGAAAAAUAUGAACAUACAAAUCAUCAUCUAGUGAACCUCAUCAUCAAUAUUAACUUUAAUUUUACGAGCCUUUUAAUUAUAAAUACUCACAAUUCUUUUUCCUAUUUCAGCUAGGUCUGAAUCCUCAUCAUCAGCAUCAUCAGCCUCAUCAUCAUCAUCAACAUUAUCAUUAUCAUCAUCAAUUUUAAUUUUACGAGCCUUUUGCCACAUGAGAGCCCGAUCAGGUUCUUCAUCGGCAGCCAAAGUUCCUUUCUUGAUCUGAUUAAAAUCAAAAAAAAAUUAAAAAGGCCAAGAUAUGUAAAAUACAAUUAUUUAGGUUCAAUGCUUAAAAUACAACUAUUUUUAUACCUCUUCUUCCAAUAAUCCAAUGUAACCCUUUCUUGAUGUCCGGUGAGGAUAUUUUCGAUUACUCACCCUCAGCUUUUGUUUUUCACUAAAAGACUUCAAAUAUUUUAAAUAAUAUUAGAAUACUAUUUUUCAGAAUAUAAAAAGACAUUUAUAUCACAAUAAAGCAGAACAUAAAAUAUAUUUCAUACCAGAAAUUUCGAGGUAGUCCUCUCAGCAACAAAAUUUUUCCAAGCCUCCUUUCCAACAAAAGCAUACUUCUUUGGAGGCUUUCGUAAUUUCUUCUUCUGCCCAAGAUACGGCCUCACAUAAUCUCUUGUUAAAUUUGCUUUAAAAUUCCUCCACUUUGCUCCUGCAGACCUGAUCAACCCCUUCUCAAGUUGCUUAGGAACUUUAAAUGUCUCCUGCAACCAAUGUUAAUUGACAAAAUUUACAAAAUUAUACUCUAAAUGAGUAGAAGAAAAUGCAAAAUUUACAAAAUGCAUAGGAGAUUACUUAUUUUUAUACCUUCACAUCAAUCCAUAUUUUCUCCUUUAGUUCAUCAGGUACCUUUGACCAGUUAGGAUAAUCAAUCGGAAUCAUUGUCCUAGCCAACAUUCCAGUGUAGGAUUGUAGACUGUGCCUUGCAUCCCCUGUAGGAACUCCAUGUGCAUUACAUGAAACCUUUGUUUUCUUGCCCUGCGCCUUCCUCACCACCACUUUAUACAUAGCAGAAACCCCUCGGGCACCCCCACGCUUUUUCUUUGCUGUUUCAGAUGUUGUAACUGUUGCAUCCGUUUCCUCCACAGAAUUCACAUUUUCUCCCUGAGGUUCUGUUGUCAGCUCCAACCUUUUAUCUGAUGCCUCAUCCGACUUUUUGGAGUCUUCAUGGAAUUGUACUUUGGUUUUUUGCUUUUUAUUUGCCAUUUAUCUUCUUCAAUCUGAAAAUGAAACAUAUAUAAUCCAUUAGUCACAGGCAUAUAUACGAGCAAUUACAGGAUAAGCAGUUAUAAAGUUACAUAAGCCUACAUAAGCCGUUACAAAAUUGUAAAAAUGCAUAACUAAACAUUUACACAGAGUGAAAAUUACAGGAGUCUAAUUACACAGAGUAAAUUACAAAGUUGCAUCACAUAUAUUACAUGACUUGAAAUAAUGUUAUCACAGAGUAAAUUACAAAGUCUCAUCACAAAAUUAACUAUUACAUGACUUGAAAUAAUGUUAUCACUUCUUAACCCAAGUGCCCUUAAUAUUUUCUCUAAUACUUUUCUCAACAUCAUCACCGACAUCACAUGUAGGAAUUUGGCAGCAGAAUGGAGGAUUUUCCAUGGUUGUGUCUCCUAAAUCAUCAUCGUUAUACACCUCUUGGUAGUCUCGAGUUGUAGAGGUUAAUACGACGGACCACUUGGCAUCCACCGGAUCUUCAAUAUAAUAAACUUGCUUUACUUGAUCUAUAGACACGUAUUUAUCUCUCUUGUGGCCUUGUCGACUUAGAUCGACAAGUGUGAACCCAAGAUCAUCCACCUUAAUUCCCUUGUCAUUGUCCGCCCAAUUACAUAAAAACAGUGGGGCUUUGAAUGCAUGAUAAUCCAGCUCCCAUAUAUCUAGGAUAACACCAUAAAAUGUCAAGUCACUUUCUACGGGGUUUAAAUCUUUAGCGCUAGACACUUGGACAGUUUUAGCAACUAAAGACACUCCGCUGUUUUGAACUACCCUCACAUUGUCUCGCUGUUUUGUAAAGUAUCGGACCCCGUCUACUAGAUAAGCUUCGUAAGUCAUAACUGAAAAUGAUGGUUUUCCAGCUAUCCAUCUUACUGUCUCUGAAACUCCUCCAGGAUUCUCCACCAUUUCACUACUGACCUACACAUUUCAUAAACAGAAAUUAUCCUAAAUUACUAUAGAGAAAAUAAAUUAGGCACAAAUGAAACUAUAAAAAUACUAACUUUUUCUAGAAACCAAUCAGCAAAACUGUUAUUGUGCUCUCUCAAGAGCCAAUGAACGCUUUUCUUUUUCCCACGAUGGAUUUCCUCUAGAUACUCCUUAUGCAUUCUGCCAAAAAUUAUAUAUUCAUUAAAGAAGUAGUUUAUACAGAAUGUAUAUAUUAAUUGAACAGCCACAAAAUUAAAAAAAUCUUACAAGAUAUAUGGCUGUACUUCAAGGUUGUUUAGAAGAACGUGUAAAUGAGCUUCAUCCCUCUCUUUUUCUUCGAUUGAUUUCAUUACCGCAACAGAUAAUGGACCACUUAACUUGCCUUCAUCUUUGCGAAGACCAGCAGUGGUGCAAGUUUGCUUGACAAACUCUUGGCAGAAUUCAAUCGAUUCUUCUCCAAGAUAACAUUCUGCUAUACAACCUUCGGGGUAGUAACGAUUGCGUACGUAACUCUUCAACACCUUAUUAAACCUCUCAAAUGCAUACAUCCAUCUAUAGAAGACUGGCCCACAUAACCGUAAUUCCCGAACCAAGUGCACUAUGAGAUGUAUCAUUACAUCAAAAAAUGAUGCAGGAAAAAUUUUUUCUAGCUCGCACAAAGUUACUAUUACAUCUGAUUGCAAUUUAUCUAGUUUAGAUACGUCGACAACUUUGCUGCAUAAAGCAUUAAAGAAGAAACACAAUCUAAUUAUUGUGACCCUGACUUUUUUUGGAAGUACCGCGCGAAUUGCAAUAGGAAGUAAUUGUUGAAGUAGGAUGUGGCAAUCGUGGGACUUCAACCCAAACAUUUUUAAUUCUUCCAUGGAAACACAGUUUUUAAUGUUUGACGCGUGUCCAUAAGGAAGUUUCAUGUGCAUUAACGAUGACAACAUCUUCUUCUUUUCUGCCUUGGACAAAUUAAAAAUCGAAGGAGGUAAAUAGGUCUUUCUUUCUCCUUUUUGUGGAGCUAGAUCAGCCCUAACCCCCAUGUCAAUCAUGUCAAGACGAGAAGCUUCACUAUCUUUAGACUUAUGUUUCAUAUUCAGUAGUGUGCCAAUCAAGCUAUCACACACGUUUUUCUCCACGUGCAUAACAUCUAGACAAUGACGGACAUGGUGAAAUUUCCAAUACUCUAACUCGAAGAAAAUUGACUUUUUCUUCCAUGGACAGUCAACCUUCUUUGACUUCCUUACUUCUUUCCCAAACUGAAAUUCAAUUUUUUCUUGCUGCAAUAAAACCUCUUCUCCCGAAAGAGGUUGACGUGCCUGCCCUAAUUCUUGUUGUCCAUUAAAAGCAGCUUUUUGCUUCCUAUAUGGAUGAUUUCUAGCCAAGUAACGUCGAUGACCUUGGUAACACAUCUUCCUACUAUGGCUUAAAUACUUUGCAACAGUAUCAUCACCACAUAUUGGACAAGACAUAUAACCUUUAUUAACACAUCCGGACAGAUUUCCAUAUGCGGGAAAGUCGUUUAUUGUCCACAAUAAAAUUGCUUUUAAAGUGAAAUACGACUUAGUGUGUGCAUCAUAGACAUUUGGUUCACCUUCCUCCCACAACUUCUUUAAAUCAUCGAUUAGAGGCUGUAAAUAUACAUCAAGGUCAUUACCAGGCUCAUGAGGACCGGGAACUAAAACUGUUAGCAUCAUAAACUUCCUCUUCAUGCAUAACCACGGAGGAAGAUUAUAAGUCACUAGUACUACUGGCCAACAAGUGUAUCUAUUGGUUAGACCGUUAUUAUGCGGGUUUAUACCAUCUGCAGACAACGCCAAGCGAAUAUUUCUUGCCUCACUACCGAAGGCAGGCCACCUAUAGUCGAUAUUUCUCCAAGAAGGAGAGUCGGCUGGAUGCCGCAUCUUUCCAUCUUCUAUUCGCUGCUUUGCGUGCCAGGUAAUCAGUUCAGAUGUAGAAGGAGAUUUAAACAUUCGCUUCAAUCUCGGAAUAAUUGGAAAAUACCACAUUAUUUUAGCAGGAACAUUAAUCCUUACUUUACCAUCCUUUCCUAACUUCCAGCGAGAUAGACUACACUUAGGACACUUAGAAGCAUCAACAUAUACCCCCCGAUAUAGUAUGCAAUCGUUUGGACAUGAGUGGUACUUUAUGUAUUCUAGGCCUAAGUUGGAUAAUGUUUUCUUGGCUUCAUAUGCAUUAGGUGGCAUCACAUUUUCCUUAGGAAGGAGAGAGCCAACAGUAGACAAUAAAUCUGUAAAGGCGCUAUCACUAAUUCCAAACCUUGCUUUCCAAUUAUGCAGUUUUAGCAUCGACUCCAAUUUGGUACAUUCACUACCCUCAUACAAAGGCUGUUGAGCAUCAGCCACAAAUCUCCUAAACUGAUACGACUCAUUAUUGUACUCACUCGAAUUAUACGCAGCAUCACAAACAUUGACUGUUUGUGAUGCAUGACCAGGGGAAUGCAUCGAUGCAGGGUCAAGCGUAGGUGCAGGGCUAGGGGCAUUGUCAUGAACUGUUGAUCCAGUGAUUCCACACCCUUGUGUGUGCCAAAUCCAAUCAAGGUAUCCCAAACUAAAACCGUAUUCAUAUAAAUGUCCCCUAAUAAUCUUAACUGCAAAUUUUUUAAAGUUAACACAUCUUUUGCAGGGGCAUGGGAUUUUUUUAGUAUCACUAGCAUUUUCCUCGGCAAAUAUUAAAAACUCUUCAACCCCGAUUUCAUAGUCAAGUGUAUCCCUAUCUUUGAAAAUCCAAGACUUGUCCAUGUUAUUCUCAAACUACCUGAUUGUCAAAUAUGAUAUCAAAUUACAUGGUAACAAAGAUCCAAACACAAUAUACAAUUACAUUUACAAACUAAACAAACACAAAUAUAUUUACACAGCUGUGCAUAAAACAUAAAAAACAAAUCCCAAGCUCUAAACAUAUAUAACACAGUACAUAAAAAAGAAACCCCAAGCUCCAAACAUAUAUAAAACAUAUAUACAACUACACGUUUAAUUUUCACAUGCAUACAUAUAACUACAAAAAGUUAUACUUGCAACCGAAACAUUUAUAUAAAUAUAAAGAAGAAUAUAGAAGAAUAUAUAUACCUAAAACCCAGCAGCUUCGAAACCCAGCACCUCCAAAAUCCAGCAGCUAUCCAGCAGCUUCGAAAACCCAGCAACUACCCUAAUCUCCAAGCUUCAAAUCUCCAAGCUUCAAAGAACCCUAAUCUCCAAGCUCCACUCGACCCUAAGCUUGAAGAUCGAACCUUAAGCUUGAACACAGCAGCUUCGAAUCGCGCACAAAUCGCACCUAGGGUUUAGAAGAGAGGGAAUCAGUUAAUAGAACAUUUGAAAGGGGGUUUAGAAGAGAGGGAAUCAGUUAUUAAACCAAGAACGAGGAUUGAAGGACUGAAGGAUUGAAGAAAAUCGCAUACCUAGGUUUAGCUGUCGAGAGAAAGGGGGAAGAGCUGCUGUCUGAAAGAAAUAUGUAUAUAUGUCCCGAUUGUUUUCUUUUGAAUGCUUUUGUUUUAAUUUUGAUUUAUUUUUAAUGUUUUUUUAUUGUUUUAUACUGAGGCGGGAGUGAAUGAUAUGUUAAAGGGGGGGAAAACAGUAGGGGGAACUAAUUAAAAAAUUGACUAAGGGCGGGGGAGCGGAGGGCGCGGGCUUUAAUAUUUUUAAAAUUGAGAUUAGACAUCGCUUAAUAAACAAUGUGAUGUGAAAAAAUUUUAAAGUGAGAGCUUAGACAUCACUUAUGUUAAGGACUGAUGUAAAGAUACCAGAAAGACAUCACAUAUAAAACGAGCGAUGUAAAAAAGGCAUUUUACAUCGGUGACACUUCCGACUGAUGUCUAAUGUGCGAUGUCUAUUGACGAAUUUCUAGUAGUCUCCAAAGGAUAUUUAUCUUUCCAUCAUGAUGCAGCAGUCUCCUUAACUGUGAAGGGAACGGAGUAUGAGGUAGCAAAGAACCUUCAUAUUUACACAGCCAUUGAUCUGUCGGGCACCUAAUUUCAGGGUCGAAUUCCAAACGUCACUGGAGAGCUUAGAUGGCUUGCAUUGCUCAAUUUAUCGCAUAAUAGUUUAACAGGACCUAUCCCAUCAUUGCUGAGAAAUAUGAAAGAACUCCAAUCUUUAGAUUUGUCCUCAAAUCGACUGACAGGGGCUAUUCCACCUCAGCUAACUGCAUUGACAUUUCUAGAGGUCUUGAACCUCUCGAAAAACCAUCUUAGUGGAGAGAUUCCUCAGAAAGGACAGUUCAGCACAUUCAACAAUGAUUCUUAUCUAGGAAACUCCGCGUUAUGUGGAUCACCUUUGACGAAGAAAUGUGCAAACACAGCAUCACCUCCACAAGAAGUCGGAAAUGGUGAUGAAGAUGAUGCUGGAGAUGAAUUGACAUGGGAAGCAAUCGUGAUGGGAUAUGGAUGUGGACUGAUAUGUGGAUUGUCAUCUGCGUACAUUGUUCUCAAACUAGGAAAGCCUUGGUGGUUUGUGAGAUAUAUCGAAGUACUGCAACUGAAGUUGAUGAAAAGAUAUGCAUGAAGAAUGGUACUGCACUACAACAAAAACAGCAUCACACAACGGUUUUUGCCCGUUGUCUGAUACCCAAGAAAACCGUGGUCUAUUGCGAUGCCGUCUGAUACGCGCCUCAGACAACGUUUUAUUAGUUAAAGGCUUGUCUAUAAGGCCAUGCUACGAUGGUAACAAAAACACUUGUAUGUUAGCUUCCUGGUCACACAACACUGUAUGGAACCCUUGUUUAAACGGCUCGUAAACAACACAACAAAUAAAACACUUGUCUAAUUACAACAACGGUUUCUUGAAAUAUUGUCUGAAGUUUCUUCACACAUCGGCUCUAAAAACAGUUGUCUAACGUGCAUCAUUACACAAUAUCACAGUUAAGAUACCGUUGUCUGAUUGAAUUUACUAGACAACACUUUUUAAACCGUUGUAGGUUGUAGGUGUUGGACAAUAGUUUUUCGAGGACGAAAAUAAAGUGUUGUGUCUUUGUUUCGGCCAACACUUUUUCCAGCGUCCGUUGUCUGACUAGUGUCGUGUGAUGCCAGUUUUGUUGUAGUGCUGGUUGAUCCAGACGAACUAGAAAGUUGUUGUCCUGGUAGACAUUUCUGAACCAUUUGUGUCCUGGCUGAAUAAGUAUUUGGUAUUAUGUAAUAAUCCGUUUGGUUGGGACUCAAAAUGAUUUCUCUUGCUUCAGGGGUAUUAAUAUUAACCUUCCUAUCUUGAUCAAUGUUAAAUCAAAUUAAAUGAAUGAAAAAACAAAAAGUAUGCAUCAAAUCCGCUCCUGCUGUACCUAACAAUUUAACAGCACCCUUCCACACUGUUCAUACCUAAUUUGCGUGUAAUAUGAAAACUAAGAGGCAUGGCUUUUGUCUUUGAGAGAACUUAUUCCAAGUCUUCUUCGGAGGCCUACUGCCUCAACAACCUUUCAAAGACUAUGCAAUAAUCCACGUGACAGAAAAACCAAAGUCCAAUUAGUAUUAUAAGUUCAUAAAAAAUACUAUAGGAUCAUUAGCAUUAGCAUUACAUUAGCAUACAGCAUAUAUAUAAAUAGAAGAAUGCAGUGUGGUAUUGGAUUCAUAAUCCAAUUGAGCAGAAACAUGGCACACUUUGUAAAGCCUUAUGACCUUCUUCUCUGUGUUUUCUUUCUCUCAUCACUUGAAUCCAUUCUUGCAACAAGACGAGAAGGAGAAGCUCUUGUGAAAUGGAAGAACAGCCUAGCCCCGUCUUCUUCUCUUGAUUCUUGGUCACUCACUCAUCUCGAUAAUCUUUGUAACUGGACUGGCAUUACUUGUAACUCUGCAGGUUCAGUCUCUGACAUUAACCUUUUCAACAAACAACUCACUGGAAAGCUUUUCGAGUUUGGUUUCACUUCAUUUCCGAAUCUCAACAAUCUCACCCUCGCAGAUAACUUCUUCUCUGGUCCAAUACCAUCAGCCAUUGGGAAUUUAACACAGCUUCAAUAUCUUGAUUUGAGCAAUAAUUAUCUCAAUGGUUCCAUUCCGUACCAGGUUAGCCAUCUUUCAAAAUUACACGUCUUAAACCUGUCAGAGAAUGAACUGCAAGCUCCAAAUUGGUCCAAUUUCUCCCCCAUGCCUUAUUUGACCAUCCUCGACCUUUAUCAGAAUAAUCUUAUGUUGGAAUUUCCAGAAUUUAUAUCUAACUCGCGUAACCUGACAUACCUUGACCUUUCAUAUAACAAGUUCACAGGCGAUCUUGUGCGCGAAUCAGUAUUAGCCAAUCCAGGUGAUCUCGAAACCCUCUAUCUUAAUGAAAAUUCUUUUGGGGGGCCAUUUCCACCAGACAUAUUCAAACUUUCCAAGUUGAGAGUUCUUGCCCUGUUCAAUAAUCUUUUUGAGGGGCCGCUUCCGUCAAAUAUAUUCAAGCUCUCUAAACUAAGAUUCCUUUUACUUUGGAGUAAUAAUUUUUCAGGUACUCUUUCGAAUGAAAUAGGUUUGCUUUCUGAGCUUGAAGACCUAGAUCUUCACUCCAAUUUUUUUGUGGGGCCGCUUCCGCCAAAUAUAUUCAAGCUCUCUAAACUAAGAACCCUUUUCCUCUUGGGUAAUAACUUCUCAGGUUCUAUUUCCAACGACAUAGGUUUGCUUUCUGAGCUUGAACACCUAUAUCUCGACUCCAAUUCUUUUGAGGGACCUUUUCCAACAAAUAUUUUCAAGCUUUCCAAAUUAAUACAACUUGGUCUCGCAAACAAUACAAAUUUAUUUGAAGGAAGUAUUCCUCCAGGACUGGGGCUCUUGACUAACCUAGAGGACUUGUCUCUUGCUUACAAUAAUCUUGGUGGCUAUAUUCCGUCUUCCUUUGGAAACCUAACACUACUAGUAUAUCUUAAUCUCGCUCGUAAUCAAUUGGUUGGAACACUAUCAAAGACCAUUUCUAAUCUCACAAAUCUAUGGUUUCUUGAUGUACAUCAUAAUAGUCUCUCUGGGAAUAUUCAGAGUGACUUCUGGAAAAACUCUACAUCACUGCGUUACAUUAAUUUGGCAGACAAUAAUUUUUCUGGGAACAUUCCUAAGGAAUAUAAUGUUCUUCCAAUCCUGGAUCACAUCAAUUUUAGGGGGAACAAUUUUACAGGUAUUUUUCUUUCCAUAUUUUUUCCUUCUGUUGUAUUCAAUUAUGCUAGAAACUACAGCCUCUGUUUUUUCAAAUACAUAUCGUUUAACUUUUUGGCACAAAACUUUAUAAUAAUUCUAACUAAAAGGUCAAUGAACUCAAAAAUGUGUGUCAAAAAGUCAAACGUCAUUUAUCUGAAAUCAGAGGGAGUAUAUAUUACUGUUUUACCAAAGUUUCAACAAUCAUGACAGGUGAGCUUCCACCAACAAUUUGCGAUGCCACUUCCCUUUCGAUUCUUGAUCUGUCAAAUAAUGGAUUUAGUGGUGCAGUUCCACAUUGUUUGGGGAAUCUUGCGGAUAAAUUGAUUUCGAUUAAUCUUGCUAAUAAUCAGUUUCAAGGACCAAUACCAACAAAUUUCUCCGAGAGUUGUCGUCUGACGUAUCUUAACAUCUAUAACAAUCACUUCAAAGGUUUGGUUCCCCAAUCUUUGGCAAACUGUAAGCACUUGCAAAUUCUUGAUUUUGGAAAAAAUGAAAUAGGUGGAACACUUCCGUCAUGGUUUUUUACUCUUGGAGAGCUAGAAGUCCUGAUCCUGCGAUCAAACAGAUUUUUCGGGAGAAUAACUAGAAGGAGCAUACCACGCCCCUUUCCCAAGUUGCGGAUUUUGGAUCUAUCCAACAAUCAGUUCACCGGCUAUCUGCCAAUUUUAUACUUCAAGAAUAUGAAACCAAAUGAUAAUAAUUAUGAUUAUUUCAACAACACAAACGAAGCCUAUUACGUUUAUCAAGUUUCUAUCACAUUAAAUGUGAAAGGAAGCGAGCAUGAAGUGACAAAUAUUCUUCAUAUUUACACGGCCAUUGAUCUGUCGUGCAACAAAUUUGAAGGAAAAGUUCCAGACAUUACCGGAGAGCUUAGAUGGCUUGCAUUGCUAAAUUUAUCUCAUAAUAGUCUUUCGGGGCCUAUUCCAUCACAACUGGGAAAAAUGAAAGAGCUCCAGUCUCUAGAUUUGUCGUCAAAUCAAUUGACAGGUGUUAUUCCGGAUCAACUUACUAGUAUGACAUUUCUUGCUAGUUUGAACCUCUCAGAAAACCAUCUUUCUGGGAAAAUCCCUCGGAAAGGACAGUUCAGCACUUUUGGCGAAGAAUCUUACUUAGGUAAAUCGGCCUUGUGUGGAGUUCCUUUGACAAAGAACUGUAUAGACGAUGUGCCACCUUCACAAGUUGGAAAUGGCAAUGAUGAAAAUGUUGAUGAAGAUGAUACCGUUGAUGAAUUCAAUUGGAAAGUGAUCCUGAUGGGAUAUGCAUGUGGAUUAAUAGGCGGAUUGUCUGCAGGAUACAUUGUCUUCACAGUCGGAAAGCCUUGGUGGUUUUUGAGAUACAUUGAGACACUGCAGCAGAAGUUGAUCUGAUGCGCAACUAGAAACAACGUUAUAAUCUUAGAAUGACUUGUGUCUUUAAACAGAGUUAGGAACUUAGGAUGACUUGUGGUGCUAUAUUUUUUUUUUGAAAAAAAAAAACAUAUUUUUGUAAUUUUUUAGAUACAGAUGUUAAGAAGGUGUUGUAUAUUCAUUUUUUACCCAAAAAAAAAAAGAGGGCUUAUUUCAUGAAAAUUAGAGUUUUAUGUAUUUUCUCCAGAAAUUAGUCCUUAUUUCUGAAAAUAAGGUUAGUCAAAACGGUCACUACACGAUUGGUAGCCUUUCAGUUCUUCCUAGUGUCCACUACAGUUUCAUUCCUUACCAGUUAUUUUAUGCUCUGCACUGCAUUAUGCAGCUUUCAUAUUACUGACAGCUAAUCUCCUUCCAACACUUUGCGAUGCGAAGCAGGGACGCAUAAGUAUUUUUAUAUGUGUAUUAGUUUUGAAGAUUAAAGUUGCAUGGACAAUUGUGUUGAUAAUUUGAGCAAUGUUAACCGGGAUAGGUCUUCUUCUCUCUCCCAAGUCUUCUGAGGACUCAUCGGCUCAGAUUAGUCUAUCCAAAAAUUAUGAUCUGACGGCUAUUGGCACACUAACGAUUUACAUAUCACUUGAAUAUUACUGGAUACCCGCAUCUUGUUUUAAAUGGCGUAUAUCGGCUAAUAGUUCAACGAUGGUGACAAAUCCCGGUGAUCCAAAUAAUUGAUUGUCGCAAAAUUUUCCGCUUACAUCCAACUAACACGUAUUAGGAAAAAAAAUUAUAUAAUUAAACACGCUCAUGUAUCUAUAUCUUUUACAAGAUUGUAAGUCCCCAAUUCUAUGUGAUAUUAGCUAUAUGUGACUAGAAGGUUUAGAAAUACUAGAUUAUCAAGAUUUCUUUUUAUUCUAGCUAGUGUUGAGUUAUAUUUAUUUUCUUCAAACAAUCAAUACUUAUUUUUUAUUAAUAUGUGAAACUCCAAUAUAUAUUAUUAUACGAUAUAUUAUGAAAACACUAUAUUUUGUAAUGUUCAUCUUAUCCUACCAGCAAAAUUACAUCGCUAACAAAAUUAUAUCAAUUUUAUUUUAUAAACUCAAAUAAUUUAAUUUAUGAAACAACUCUAUGAGAUUCUUAUCAUGAGUUAGAAUUCAAAUAAAUAAAGAGUUCAUAUUGAUAAGUGGAAUUGAUGUGCAAGUAAGGGGUAUAAAAAAAUCUCAAAAUAACUCCAAAAAGCACAUGACAUGUUUGAUUUAAUAGAACUGGUACAUAAACAGGGGGACCAUUAUAUUUAUAAGCAAGUGACCAACAAUAGUUUACUACUGAUAUUUUGUGAUAUUUUUUGUGAUAUUUUUUGAGACCUUUAACAUUAUUCUGUGAAGUGGUAUACUACUGUUACUAGUUCUGAAACUUCAAACAAAGUAGGCGCAACAUUGUAAGAGUGAUUAAUAAAGUUGAGAAACAGUGUGUACAUUGAGCAGUAUGACAAUCAGGUUCAGCAUAUAAUACAAUCAGAUUCACAAUCAGGUUCACGAGAAACAUGCUGCAUUCCAAAAAGCCUUAUUAUCUUCUUCACUAAAUAACAAGGCAAAUACAGCAUAUAAAUACAAGUUAUAAGUACAAGUGUGGUAUUAGAUUCAUAACCCAGUUGAGGAGAAACAUGGCACACUUUGUAAGGCCUUCUCACCUUCUUCUCUUUGUUUUCUUUCUCUCAUCACUAGAAUCCAUUCUUGCAACAAGACGAGAGGGGGAAGCUCUUGUGAAGUGGAAGAAUAGCCUAGCCCCUUCUUCUUUUCUCCACUCUUGGUCACUCUCCAAUCUCGAAAAUCUUUGCAACUGGACUGGCAUUACUUGUAACUCUGCAGGUUCAGUCUCUGAGAUUGACCUUUGUGAGAAACAACUUGAUGGAAUGCUGUCCGAGUUUGGUCUCACUUCAUUUCCAAAUCUCAACAAUCUCACCCUCGCAGACAACUUCUUCUCAGGUCCAAUACCACCAGCCAUUGAGAAUUUAACACAGCUUCAAUAUCUUGAUUUAAGCAUGAAAAGUCUUAAUGGUCCCAUUCCGUUCCAGGUUAGCCAUCGUCAGAGCUUGCUCAUCUUAGACCUGUCACAGAAUGCAUUGCAAGCUUCAAAUUGGUCCAAUUUCUCUCCCAUGCCUCAGUUGCGCUUCCUCAAGCUCAGUAGCAAUCAUCUUGUGUCGAAAUUCCCAAAUUUUAUAUCCAGUUCUCAUAGCCUGACUUACCUCAACCUCUCAUAUAACAUUGGAAACCUCAAAAAAUAUAUAUUUAUAUAUUUAUAAUUAAAAAAUUGAAUUACUUAAUAUAUUAAAAAAUUGAAUAAAAUUUUAUAUAUUUUAUUAAAAAAUUGAAUAAAAAUUGAAUAAAAUUGAAUAAAAUUGAAGUACACGAAAAGGUACACGACACGAAAUACACGACUGAGAAGUCGUGUCGGUUUUGUGUUUACCCUUCGGGUACACGACACGAGGUACACGAAAUAAAUAAAUAAAUAUAUAUAUAUAUAUUUACCCUUCGGAUUAAGAGUUGGUCGCGGACAAAUUCAAAGUUUCCCAAUUAUCCUUUAUUUUAUGUAACUUUGCUUAUGUUUAAGCCUAAAUUUGGACAAUAUUUGUAAAAUAUUAAUAUUUCGUGUACUAAUUCGUUACCAGUUUCGUGUAUUUUUUCGUGUAUAUUUCGUGUUUUCGUGUUUUCAUGUACUAUUUCGUAUCGUGUCGUUUUCGUGUACAUGAAAAAAUUCGUGUACUACAGUUCGUGUCGUUUUUACCUGUUUCUAAAUCGUGUCGUGUUCGUGUUUACAAUCGUGUACACGAAUUGAAUUCGUGUCGUGUUCGUGUAUACCCACCAGAUACACGAAACACGAAAGUACACGACACGUUUAUACACGACACGAACGAUUUGCCAGGUCUANGAAACACGAAAGUACACGACACGUUUAUACAUGACACGAACGAUUUGCCAGGUCUAUUCAAACCUAGCAAGUAACCAAGAGGGGGCAAACUCCACCAGAGACAAAUCAAAGACCAUACCUGAGUAUUGCCAACAUAACAUUACAAACUGGCAGGUGAAAAAUAUGUGAAUAAGGUCUUCGUCACCAGAGUUACACAUGGGACAGUCAAGAGAAAGAUUUACUCCCUUAGAUUGUAAUCGACUUUUCACAGGCACAUUAUUCCUGCAAAAACGCCAUAAAAACACUUUGAUCUUAAGAGGAACCUCCAACUGCCAGAGUUUCUUCCACCCACUAGAUUGUGUAACAGUGCCAGUGCCAAUAUUUUGGGCAUGCCAAAACUGGUAACCUGUUUUCACAGAAUUUUGGCCGUUAGUAGUCUUUGACCAAGCUAGAUGAUCCACGGUCGACCUAUAGGGAACAGAAGUUUUUAAAAAUUAUGUAAUUCAUUCAAUUCCGUAUCAGACAAUACAUCUUAUCAUCGGUGAUAAUGGAAAUAGUGUAGAUGUUUGACCUAGUCCAUGUUUGACAACCAAUAUAAUAAGAAAUAAAUUCUUAUUUUUCUAAAAAAUAUAUUUUUGUAUAUAAAUGUUAAAGAGAUAUUUCUUAUUUGUUGUUUGAAAAAAGUAAAGACUUAUUUCAGAAUAAAUAAAAAUUAUUGUACAUUCUCUUUAUUUUUAAAAAUAAGUUUGGUCAAAUCGCCCAUAAUUCUCGUAAUUCAAAAGCCCAUUAUUUUUUUUUUUCUUGCUAAUUGAUCAGCACACGCACACGUUUCCAACUUCCCGCAAAGGGUACCGGAGUACCACCACACCGACGCUUUGUUGGGCCCAAUAAUUGGCUGAAGUUGAACGGGGCUUUCUGCCUCCGCUGGACCCCAGUUGGGAGGACUCUUUCCAAGUCUUUCGGAGACUCUUUCCCAUUGACUCCAACUUUCCAGGGUGUAUACAAAUUUUUUGAAAGAGGGUGUAUACAAAUUAUUCACGGCCAUCAAAUUAACCAGCGUAGCUGGUGAACAAAUAUUAUUGUUUAUUAUAAUUUUAUUUAAUUUAAAUGUGAUUAUAAAGAACAUAAGAGGACGUUUGAAAGUGUGGGUCUUAUUUCAAACAGUAGAUUUCAAAAAAUAUGAUUUCAAUUGUUAUUUAAAAUUCUUAAAUUUAUAUUAUAUUAAAAUGUUCUUAUCUAUACUAUACUAUUAAAACCGAAACAUUAAAAGUUUGGUCGGUCGGUACUUGGGCCGAUAUAUGGGCCUAUCUAUAUAACUAAUUAUUUUUUUUUAAUUUUGGGCCGAAAUACAGGCCUGUCUAUAUAAUCAAUUAUUCUUUUUAACUAAAAUAUGUUAUCUUUUUUACUAUUAAAGCCAAAACAUUAAAAAUUUGAUCGGUCGGUACUUGGGCCGAAAUAUGAGCGUAUCUAUAUAACUAAUUAUUUUUAUUUUUUUUUAUUUUUGGCCGAAAUACAGGCCUAUCUAUAAAAUCAAUUAUUCUUUUUAACUAAAAUAUGUUAAUUUUUUUUACUAUUAAAGCCGAAAUAUUGAAAGUUUGGUCGGUCGGUACUUGGGCUUCUAGGCCGAAAUAUAGGCCUAUCUAUAUCAUCAAUUAUUCUUUUAAACUAAAAUAUGUUAUCUUUUUUACUAUUAAAAUCGAAACAUUGAAAGUUUGAUCGGUCGGUACUUGAGUCGAAAUACGGGCCUAUCUAUAUAACUACUUAUUAUUUUUAACUUGGGCCGAAAUACAGGCCAAUCUAUGUAAUCAAUUACGCGGUAUUCUUUUUAACUAAAAUAUGUUAUUUUUUUAACUAUUAAAGUUGAAAUAUUGAAAGUUUAGUCGCUCGAUACUUGAGCCGAAAUACGGAUCUAUCUAAAUAACUAAUUAAUUUUUUUUAACUUUGGAUGGAAAUACAGCCCUAUCUAUAUAAACAAAUAUCUUUUUAACUAAAAUAUGUUAUCUUCUUUAUACUUUCUAACUAAAAACUCAAUCUUCUAAAUGAACAUGGAAGAAUAUAGUAAUUAUCUUUUUAACUAAAACAAAUUAUCGUCUAUUAAAUCAAAUUAUAACAAACUAUCCAUAAACAUCCUUAAUUUAUAACAAAUUAUUAAAUAUUUUUUAUCAUCUACUAAAUCAAAACAUUAAAAAUUAGAUUACCAUUAUGGAUCAGUAUUUGAAUUACGCUUCUCUUUAACUUAUAAUAUGUUUUAUACUAUAUUAUUAACUAUUAAUAACUAAAUAUUAAAACGCUGAUUGGGUUGUUUCUAUCUGGGUUUACGGGUCUCCUCAAAUUAUAAUCCCUCCGUUCUUAAAUAUCUGCCUUUUGACUUUUUGGCACGCAUGUUAAAGUGUUUUGAAUUUAUAGUAAAAAUAUUAUUUUUAAAUUUCUUUUUCUGAAUAAAAAUUUUAUAUCAAUACUUUUAUUCAUAAAAAGAAAUAUUUGAAAAUAACAUUUCUAGCUAUGUGGUCAAAAUAUCUUAAAAUGUGUGCGAAAAAGUCAAAAGGCAUAUAUUCAAGAACGGAGGGAGUAACAUGUAAAAAAAAUUAUUUUAACAUUAUCAUUAAAAAAUUAUAUAUUUGACCUAAUUAUAAAUUAACUAUUUGAAGGAAUAAACUAUUAAGAAUUUAUUUAGCUGCUAAAUAAAAGUUUUUUUAAUAACAUUAUUCUAUCACAAUUUUACUUUCAAUAAAAUUCGUUAAAUCUAAAAUAUAUGCGAUGAAAUAACAAAUAUUAAAACCGCCCGUGCAUUGCACGGGUUUUAAGCUAGUUCUAAUUAAUGAGUCACUAUUCGUAUUCUCAAGCAUGUUAGUUUGUUAAAAUUUAAAAUUUCAAAUGAAAUUAGGCUAAAAGACCAUAAUAUCAAAUCAAAAUCUCAUUAUCCAAUAUAUUGGUGGGCAAAAAUAUUAAACCUGGCUAUUCAUUAAUAUUGGUUCUUUAUUCAAAUUAUGUCAAAUUUAUAUAAAAUUUCGAAAAUUAUUUAUGAAUAAGAGUCGGCAUUCAUAUAUUUAUUAAGGAUACAAGUGAGAAAAUGUUAUUAAAUUAAUAUUUUUUAAUAUACGUAAGUUUUUUAAAAUAAAUUUGUAGCGUGGGACGGGAGUAUUAGACUGAUUCUGGCUUGGAGUGAAUCAGCCCAUAAAGUUUACAGGGUAGAUGACCAUUCUUAAAUCUUAAAGAAUCUUACGGUGACAGCUAACUGAACGACUCGGUUUCAGAAGUGCUGAAAAGUUUCGACGUAAACUACAAUUUGCCUAGCAUGUAAUUUCCAUGCAUUUUCUCGUUACGAGUAGGUUUGUCCGGAAGUACAAUUCAAAAUAGAGUGCUGUUAAAAAAAAUUGAGUUACUUAUUCAAUAACUUUUUUGAUAUUUAUAUAUUUUUAAUUAUAAUAAAGAUACUAGUGAUUAUGGUUAGCUUUUGGAGUACUUUUGGAGUACUUGGAAAUUUUCUUUUCGAGAAAAACGAGAGUACCUAUUUCAAUUUUUUACCAAAAAUUAUAAUUGAAAACAACGGACUUUUAUACUUAUCAUAACAAUUUUUAACAUCUUGUUUAGAAAUAACCUGUUGUUGUAUUAUGCAAAAGUAAUAUCACUAGUUUCUAUAUCCGUAUUCUAAUGAUAAUAAAAACAUCUCUAAUUCAUUAAAACUCUUACAUAGAAAUUGAUAAAAAAAGAAGAUAUAAAAUAAUUUAUUAAAAAUAUAUCAAAGUUUUUGCACUCGGUUAUAAUUAUUGUGUAAUUUUUUUUUUCAAUUCCAAGAUAUUGUUAUAAGAAAAUUUUACAUCAUAUAUAUAUUACAAAAAAAAUUAAUGUAUUAUAUAUAUAUAGGGUCCUACUCUGGUACAAACCUUUUUAGCGUACAAACUACAAACCAAAAUUAAAAAGUCUCUAAAUCAAAUCAGAAUAUAGCACAUAUGGUAUGGAAAUUGAUCGUUGCGAGAUGAACAAAAAUAAUGAUUAUAAAGUUUGUAUUUGAGCCAUUAUAUAUAUACUUACAAUAAAAGUAAUAAUAUAUUAUAUUCUAAAUAUAGUUAACCACUGCAGUUGGUCGCUUAUAAAUAGAAGUGUGCAUUAUAGGAUGAAACGUACAUCAAGCUGAGGAGAAACAUGGUACACUCUGCAAAGCUAUAUCAUCUUCUUUUACUUGUUUUCUUUUCCUCCUUACUUCCAUCCAUUCUAUUGGCAACAAGACGAGAAGGAGAAGCUCUUGUGAAAUGGAAGAAUAGCCUAGCCCCGUCUUCUUUUCUUGAUUCUUGGUCACUCUCCGAUCUCGAUAAUCUUUGCAACUGGACUGGCAUUACUUGUAACUCUGCAAGUUCAGUGUCUCAGAUAAAUCUUUCCCAAAAACAGCUCGAUGGAACGCUGUCCGAAUUUGGUUUCACUUCAUUUCCGAAUCUCGAAAAUUUGACUAUAAGAGACAACAGCUUCUCCGGGCUAAUACCACCAGGCAUUGCGAAUUUAACACAGCUUCAAUACCUUGAUUUAAGCUACAAUUAUUUCAGUGGUUCCAUUCCGUACGAGGUUAGCCAUCUUCAGAGAUUACGUGUUUUAGACUUGUCGUAUAAUGAAAUGCAGGCUCCAAAGUGGUCUGACUUCUCUCCCAUGCCUUUUAUGAGCAUCCUCAACCUACGGGCCAAUCAUCUUGUGUCGAAAUUCCCAGAAUUUAUAUCCAAUUCUUUUAGCCUGACUUUCCUUGACCUUGGAGACAACAAGUUCACCGCUGAUCAUCUUGUGCUCGAAUCAGAAUUUACCAAUUUGCAAAAUCUUGAAACGCUGUUUCUUGAUGGUAAUUCUUUUGAGGGGACGUUUCCACCGAAUAUAUUCAGGCUUUCUAAAUUAAAAUACCUUUCCCUAUCUGCUAAUAAGUUUUCAGGUUCUGUGCCGGAUGACAUAGGGAUGCUUCGUGAUCUUGAAUCCCUUUAUCUUGGUAACAAUUCUUUCAAAGGGAUGCUUCCACAAAAUAUUUUCAGACUUCCCAAAUUACGGGAUCUUUCCCUCUGGGGUAACAAUUUUUCAGGUCUUAUUUCAGAUGAUAUAAGGAUGCUUUCUAACCUGGAAUCUCUUGAUCUUAAUGGUAAUUCUUUUCAGGGUCCGCUUCCACCAAAUUUCUUCAAGCUUUCCAAAUUAAGACAUCUCGCCCUCUCAAAUAAUAAAAGAGUAUUUAAAGGAAGUAUUCCUCUUGGGUUGGGGCUUUUGACUAACCUUGACUACUUAUGUCUUAAUUCCAAUUAUCUCACUGGCUACAUUCCAUCUGACAUUGGAAAUCUAAAGCUACUAGAACAUCUUGAUCUCAGUUUUAAUCAAUUGACCGGACCGCUCCCAAAGAUCAUUUCUAACCUCACUAAUCUAACGCGUCUUGGUCUGAAUGAUAAUUGGUUUUCCGGCAGUAUUCCAAGUGACUUCUUGGAAAACUCUACAUUAUUAUUUUACAUUGAUCUUUCAAACAAUGAUCUGUCUGGAAGCAUUCCUAAGGAAUUCAACGUUCAUCCGACAUUGGAUUAUAUCAAUUUAAGUGGAAACCGUUUUAGAGGUCUACUUCUCUCUUUAAAUUUUUAUGUUCGUUUUGUAUAUGCUAGUAACCUGAUUAUUACACUUUUACUGAAGCUUCAACAAUUCUAACUGCAGGCAAGCUUCCAGCAACGAUUUGCAAUGCUACAUCCCUUUCGACUCUUGUUCUGUCAAAUAAUGAAUUCAGCAAUGCACUUCCACAUUGUUUGGGGAAUCUUGCUGAUCAACUUCUUUCCAUUAAUCUUGCUAAUAAUUUGUUUCGAGGACCAAUACCAACAACUUUCUCUAAGAGUUGUCGGCUGACAUAUCUAAACAUGUACAACAAUCACUUUGAAGGGUUGUUGCCGCAAUCUCUGGCAAACUGUAAGCACCUACAAAUUCUUGAUAUUGGAAACAAUGAAAUAGGUGGUAAAUUCCCGUCAUGGCUGUUUACUCUUGGAGAGCUGGAAGUCCUAGUCUUGCGAUCAAAUAGAUUCCACGGUCCAGUCAAUGGAACAAGCUCAGCAAAUUUAUUCCCCAAGUUGCGGAUUGUUGAUCUCUCCAACAAUCAAUUUACAGGCGAUUUACCAAUUCAGUAUUUUAAGAAUAUGAAACCAACAGAUAACCACUAUAGUUAUUUUUAUACAGAAAGUGGUUUUUACUAUCAUCAAGCAUCGAUCUCAUUAACUGUGAAAGGAAGAGAGUAUGAAGUGAAAAAGAUCCUUCAUAUUUAUACAGCCAUAGAUGUGUCAUGCAACAAAUUUCAGGGAGAAAUUCCCGAGGUUAUUGGAGAACUUAAAUGGCUUGCAUUGCUCAAUCUAUCACAUAAUAGUCUUAUUGGACCUAUCCCAUCACAGCUCGGAAAUAUGGAAUCACUUUUAUCUCUAGAUUUGUCUUCAAAUCAUUUGACAGGGGGUAUUCCCGAUCAGUUGAUUAGGUUGACAUUUCUAGAGGUCUUGAACCUCUCGGAAAAUCAUCUGACAGGGCCUAUCCCCCAAAAAGGACAGUUCAGCACAUUCAACAAGGAUUCUUACCUAGGUAACUUUGCCUUGUGUGGAUUACCUUUAACUAAUAACUGUACACACACUGUGUCACCACCACAAGAAGGCGGAACUGGUGACAAUGAUGCCUAUGAUGAACCCGAUUGGGAAGUGAUCCUCAUGGGAUAUGGAUGUGGACUAAUAUGCGGAUUGUCCACAGGGUACGUUGUCUUCACAUUCAGAAAGCCUCAGUGGUUUAUGAGAUACACUGAAAGCGUGCAACAGAAGUUGAUGAGAUGAUGCAUGUUGAGUACCGUUCAAUCAUGAAGCACAACUGGAAACAAUGUUAUCUUAGGAAAACAUGUGUUCUGAACCAGUAGUGUUUGCACAAAAUUUGUGGUGCUAUGUAAUACUUAUAUAAUUGUACGUAUGAUUAUUGAUUAGUCGUUGAGAAAAUGCAUUUUAUUUCAGUGUCAAUGAUAAUCUACAUGUUUUGGAUACUUCCAGCUUCUCAUACUAAUAUAGGAACCACUUGAAAAAUUUUGGACAGGCUCUGAGGAUGCUAAUGCUGCUGUUUAGUUUCUACCGCGGAAUUGACUUUAGCAUAUACUCGUAUGACAUAUUACUAGAUAUAUGGUUGUUAAAUAAAAUUAUCUUUUUGUGGAAUAAAUAGGAAAGCAAAAUCAUAGAAUAAUGUAUGUUAUAUAGGAAGGUAUUGUCCUCUUAGAUAGGUAUCAUUUAUGCCUCAUUGGCAUGUCUCAGAAAACUUUUGGGUUAACACAAUGUUUACUUAGAGCAUUGCCAUUCCUUAAAUAUAAUAUAAAAUAUUGGAUCUUAGUGACUUAAGAUGAUAAUAGCUAUUCGCACCUCCAACAAUAUUCCUUAUAUUCAUUCCUUAUAUACUAUUUUAUUAUUAAAAGUUACCAUUAUUGCAAUAGGUGAAAAGAGAGAACAUGUUUGUAUUCAAAAUUUAUUGUAAAAUAAUAUUUAGGAGAGGAGAGAGGUUACCUAAAGAUAAGGCAUGGCUAGUUAUUUAGAGAAUCACUAGGAUACUGUUGGAGUGGAUUAUUUUCCCAUAUUACUCAUAUUUUGGUUUAAGAUUCCUAAUAGGGAAGCUGCUGGAGUUGCUCUUAGAGCAUCUCCAAGAGAUUCUUCAUUUAAGCUCCUAACUUGAGAUUUGAGUAGGGAGAGGAAAAAUGUUGCUCCAAGAGACUCUUAAGUGGCUCUUAAAUCACUAAGAGCCUCUUGUUUCUCUCUCCUCUCUCCUCAAAGUUAAGAGCCACCACAUUGCUCCUAACUUAUUUUUUCACAAUAAAAAAAUCUUUUCCUCCAAUUCAGCUCCAUCUUUCCAUCUCUUUUGUUAUAGUGGAGCCCAAUAUAUGAAUAAAAUAUGAAAUAGAGAAGAGAUGUAGAGAGUAUUGUUGGAGUUUACACUCUUAACUUUGUCUUAAAUUGCUAAGAGCUAUUUUUUUAUAUUAUAUUUAGGAGCCAAUAAGGAGGCUCUUGGAGAUGCUUUUAGUACUAAUUGUUAGAAUAUGAAAAUGCAGUUAUGAACUAUUAUGCUAGAGAGAGAAAAAUUCAACAAACUUCAUUUCUGUAAACUACAACUAUUAGUCUGUUACAUUGCUGAAAGCUACAUUUAUACAUUUACAGUUUACAACAAACUAUGAAACUGAUUUUCCCGCGUCCUCCUCACUUGUCCACGUGGCCUGACUGGCUUGGUGUCCUUGACACUCUUUAUUAUUGCUAAUAUAUACUUAACACUAAUACCUCAAAGCAGGGUAUAAAUUCAAUAGCACAGCUUCUGGAUAAUGGAAAUUUAGUUAUCCAGAGGUCUUGGUUUUACAUAUCACUUGUAUAUUAUGUCUCGGUCUCAUUGAAGCAUACCAAACGAGAUUUUGGGUUUGUUAAUAUUUUUUUAGUCCAAAUUUGAAUAAUACUGUUAUGCUUAUUCACACGGUAGACGUGUUUUUAUUAAAAUACUGCAACUGAAAUUGAUGAAAACAUGCACAAAGCAUAGCAGACGAAAGACUUGAGGAGAUAUUGUCUUAGGCGAUGCAAUACGUUCUAAUAUAAUGCUAUAUUAUGCAAUCUCGUUUAAUACUUUCAUCAUUAUUCUCCAAGAUGUCUGAACAUGUAUUUUCAAAGAAUUCUCAGUUCACCUUUAGUCUUAUAGCGACAUUUUGAAGGCACUCUCAACUUACACCCUAUAUAUACACGUACGGUUCACUUCAGUACAAAGAUUUUAUGAUACAACUCUCAUAUUAUGAACUAGUUCUGUCGAAUACAUGAAUAUUGAUCAAUCAUUUGAACUCGAGUUUCCCAGCUGGCCAGAUACCCAGAUUAUUAGCCAUGCAAAACAUGCAGAACCACUAGUAAUGCAGAAAAACAAUAUAUUAGUUUUCUCCGGUGUUACAGAAAUCAGGAAUCGGACCUAAUCGGUUUAGCUACCGAUUUAGGGAUUAAUAGGAAAUAGGGGAUUAAUCGGAGUGAAAAUCGGAUUUAUUUUAAUAUUAAAAUAUUAUUUAAUAUUUAGUUAUUAUUAUAUUAGCUAUUUAGUAACUAAUAUAUUUACUAUAUUCAUAAACUCUAUAAUUAUUCGUAUUGAAAGUAAUAUAGUAUUUUAAUUUUAAUAAUUUACUAUAUAUACUUCGAUUAAGAAAUAUAUAUAUAAGGAUUAAUCGGAUUUCAAAAAUCGAAUCGGUGGCCAACCUUGCAGAGGAUUAAUCGGGGAUUAAUUGGUUGAAUCGGGGAUGUUUAGAACACUGGUUUUCUCCAAAUAUCACUACAACAAAACUGCCAUUUUACGACGGAAAUCUAAUAUUCUAAAGGGUUACGACCAAACUAUGUCGGUGGACUUUAUUUUAAUUUACCGUUUAACAGUAGUUAAUUUUGGAUAUCUACACUUGCGAUGGAAAACAUACGACAGUCUACUUCGUGAGAGAAAAUCAUUUUAUUUUAUUUUUUAGCGCCAGAAUUUUAAUACUGAAAUAUUAUAUAUAUGAAGGAAACUGAUCUCUAAUGUUUUCAGCUUGCUCAUCCAUCGUAAGUAAUCCGUCGAAAAAGUUAGUUUGUUGUGGUGGUGUCUUAUCAUGAGAGAAAAUGAUAAUAUCGCAAAAUAUUUGCAACUGAAAGAUAAAUUAUAAUUCUAGAAACCAUUUAGGUAACGAUGCACGAAGUUAUUUUCACUCACUUAGAAUUAAUGNUGAAAACAUGCACAAAGCAUAGCAGACGAAAGACUUGAGGAGAUAUUGUCUUAGGCGAUGCAAUACGUUCUAAUAUAAUGCUAUAUUAUGCAAUCUCGUUUAAUACUUUCAUCAUUAUUCUCCAAGAUGUCUGAACAUGUAUUUUCAAAGAAUUCUCAGUUCACCUUUAGUCUUAUAGCGACAUUUUGAAGGCACUCUCAACUUACACCCUAUAUAUACACGUACGGUUCACUUCAGUACAAAGAUUUUAUGAUACAACUCUCAUAUUAUGAACUAGUUCUGUCGAAUACAUGAAUAUUGAUCAAUCAUUUGAACUCGAGUUUCCCAGCUGGCCAGAUACCCAGAUUAUUAGCCAUGCAAAACAUGCAGAACCACUAGUAAUGCAGAAAAACAAUAUAUUAGUUUUCUCCGGUGUUACAGAAAUCAGGAAUCGGACCUAAUCGGUUUAGCUACCGAUUUAGGGAUUAAUAGGAAAUAGGGGAUUAAUCGGAGUGAAAAUCGGAUUUAUUUUAAUAUUAAAAUAUUAUUUAAUAUUUAGUUAUUAUUAUAUUAGCUAUUUAGUAACUAAUAUAUUUACUAUAUUCAUAAACUCUAUAAUUAUUCGUAUUGAAAGUAAUAUAGUAUUUUAAUUUUAAUAAUUUACUAUAUAUACUUCGAUUAAGAAAUAUAUAUAUAAGGAUUAAUCGGAUUUCAAAAAUCGAAUCGGUGGCCAACCUUGCAGAGGAUUAAUCGGGGAUUAAUUGGUUGAAUCGGGGAUGUUUAGAACACUGGUUUUCUCCAAAUAUCACUACAACAAAACUGCCAUUUUACGACGGAAAUCUAAUAUUCUAAAGGGUUACGACCAAACUAUGUCGGUGGACUUUAUUUUAAUUUACCGUUUAACAGUAGUUAAUUUUGGAUAUCUACACUUGCGAUGGAAAACAUACGACAGUCUACUUCGUGAGAGAAAAUCAUUUUAUUUUAUUUUUUAGCGCCAGAAUUUUAAUACUGAAAUAUUAUAUAUAUGAAGGAAACUGAUCUCUAAUGUUUUCAGUUUGCUCAUCCAUCGUAAGUAAUCCGUCGAAAAAGUUAGUUUGUUGUGGUGGUGUCUUAUCAUGAGAGAAAAUGAUAAUAUCGCAAAAUAUUUGCAACUGAAAGAUAAAUUAUAAUUCUAGAAACCAUUUUGGUAACGAUGCACGAAGUUAUUUUCACUCACUUAGAAUUAAUGCUAAAUAUUUGCAACUGAAAGAUAAAUUAUAAUUCUAGAAACCAUUUAGGUAACGAUGAGCGGAGUUAUUUUCACUCACUUAGAAUUAAUGAUAAAUAUUUGCAACUGAAAGAUACAUCAUAGUUCUAGAAAAGGAUCCACGAAGUUAUUUUCACUCACUUAGAAUUAAUUGUAAGUUAUUGUGAGUUUUUGAAUAUGAAUUAUCUCAAAUUUUAUUAAAACACAUGUUGAUUCUUAUAUACAAAUUUGCCUAUCUAAUAUUAUAAUAUUUAUGGAGAAGGUGUAUGAACAAUUGUGUAGAUAAUUAUACUUUACAAAGCAUACUUCUGCUAGCUGAAUUUUGAUUAAAAAAAUCGAAAGGGAUAGGUCUGGGUCUCUCCAAGUCUUUGAGGACUCAUUCCAAGUCUUCUGAUGAGGACAAAAUAUAUUGCUGGAAGUCUUUCAGUCCUUCCUAGAGUAUUUUGUGCUCUGCACUGCAUUAUGCAGCUCUCAUAUAACUGACCGCUAACCUCCUUCCAACACUUUGCGAUGCAAAACAGUGGCAUGUUAUAAGUAUUUCCGUAUGUGUAUUUAUUUGGAUAUUAAAGUUGCGUAACAUUUGUGUUGAUAAUUUGCGCAAUGUUGAUGAGGAUUGCUCCCAAGUCUUGGCGGACUCUUUCCAAAUCUUCUGAGGACCUAUGGGUUCAAAUUAGUCCAUUAAAAUGAAUACCAUUGUUUUGUGAUUAAGUUGUAUGGUUAAGAGCUUAUCCUCUGUCGUCCCAGGUCCUGGGUUCGACCCUGGCUCACCCCGAGAGUUUCGUAGAACAGAUACUCAUUAUAAGGCUAUAAGCCAUAUUUGUCAAAAAAAAAGUUGUAUAGGCAAUAUGCAUUGCAAAAUCAGCAACAGAAUAUAUACUAAUUAAUUACCUGAUAUCGGUUUGAACAAAUACUUUCUAUGUAGUUGUAAUAUUAGUCUUCUUUAAAAGUUAUCAUGAGGGAAGAUAUAUAUUGUGAUGCGGGGGAAAUAUUGUAACCGAAAAUAAUUAUAAUUCUAAAAAUUUCCAUUAUACACUUUUUUUAGUGUUCGUACGUGGUAAGUACUUCAGACGACAUUUCUCGCGUAUGCCUCCAAUUAAGAAUUUGAUGUUCAGCCUAGUCCUAAACUAAAAUUAUUAUAAAUGUGUAAUUCAAAAUUAUAUUGCUGGUAGGCUCUGAGAUUAACCUUAAACAAAAACAACUCAGUGGAACGCUUUCCGAGUUUGGUUUCACUUCAUUUCCAAAUCUCAACAAUCUCAACAUAGCACGAAACAACUUUUACGGUCCAAUACCACCAGCCAUUAAGAAUUCUAUUUUAAUAUGUAACAUUCUAUUUUCUAAAAUAAUAAAUAUUUUUUUUAAUAGUUGGUCAAAAAUUAGUCAAUUUGACUUCUCAAAAAGCAGAAAGGACAUGUAAAUUGAGACGGGGGAGUAUUUAACGGAAUUCAACGAAAGGUGUGCGUAUCGUUCUUGAAAUGUAAAAAUAGGUGGUGCAAUUCGAGUUUCCAAACCUAUGGGUACAAUAUCGUUUUUAAACGUAAGCUAGGGGGUCCAAAUUACAAUUACAUGUAUAUAUAGUGACUUAACGGAGUGCAUAUAGUUAACGGAAGUUAACGGCAGGGAGUGCAUCUCGGGCUUGAAUAGUAAAGAUAAAAGGUGCGAGUUGAGUUUCUCAAAGUAUGAGUACAAUAUCGUUUUUGAAUGAUAGUUAAGGGGUGCGAUAUGCAAUUACCUCAAAAAAAUAUGAUCAUUAGUAUAUUAUAUUAGUAUCCACACACUUAUAUCUCAAAAUCUAUCCUCCAAAAUUAUCAUCUAUAUAGGCUAGCCACAUAAAAUAAAAAUUUAAAGAUAUUAGAUAUUUAGUUAUUUCAAUUAUAUAAUUUUUCCACGCAAAAUAACAAAAUAUCUUUAUCAACUUAUUAUUUAUGAGUUAAAUAUUCAACUUAUAUAAUUCGGGCAUGCUGGGUAUAAAUAGAAGUGUAACGCCUAAUUUCCGGGGUCUGGGAGUAGUUAGCGGGGUAUGAGAGAGCAGGCUAUUUAGAAGUCUUGGUCAUGAAAACUUCCAAGCUAACUUCGACAACGGAAUCUUCUGAGGCUACUAUUCUAAAGCACGCAUAAUCAUUGUAUUCAUUUUCCUCUAACACUGGCAAAAAGUCUAUUUAAGCAAAUGAAAUACAAACAACUGAGUGGAAUGCUGACCGAAAGUCUUUUUGGCUGAGCUUAUGAUUUAUUAGUACAUGAUUAAUAUGAUAAGCUAAGCUGAGAGCAUAAGAUAUCGUGUGUAUAAUUUUGUGUUUAUUAAUGACUUAUAAAUUAUUAAAAAUAUAAUAAGAAAAAUAAAAAUGAUUUAUAACUAAUUUAUGUUUUAUGAGUAAUUUUUAUUAGAAAAAAGUUUUAAAAAAUUAUUUCACUGAAAAAAAAUCCUCCAACUAACUUUUGGCUCUAAGUCAGUUUUUGAUUUAUUUAUGAUUUUAAGUCGGAUUCUGAUUUUUACACAAACAGAAAAUUUCCAGCUUAAAGUUAAAAACAACUUUAAGCUCCGGUUUUAAACCUCUGAGUUUGGUUUCACUUCAUUUACAAAUCUCAACAAUUUCACCAUCAAACACAAUGACUUCUCCAAUCUCCGGUCCAGUUCACCAGCCAUUGAGAAUUUGGCACAACUUCAAUUCCAUACCAGGUUAGUCGGCUUCGGAGGUUACACGCCUUAGACCUGUCAAAUACAAAUUUCAAUCUCCAAACUGGUCCGAUUUAUCUUCUAUGCAUUUUGUUGAGUCCGGCUCAUCUAAAACCUGAAGGUGUUAGAAGAAACCCGAAUGAAUCUUAUAUAUGAAUCUUAUAUAUGCUAUAUUUAAACAAUUCUGAGCACACUCAACCUUGGUAUUAAUAAUAUCGUGUCGAUAAUUCCAGAAUUUAUAUCUAAUUCUCAUAGCCUAACUUUCCUUGACCUUUCCAUAUAACAAAUUUACAGUUAAUCCUGUGCUUGAAUCAGUAUUUGCAACCAAAAUUAUGCAAUUAUAGUGCAGGUAGUCUUCCAGUUCUUCCUACUCUAUGCUAUAAUUUCAUUUGAUACCAAUAAUUUUACGCUCUACACUCCAGGAUGAGCUCGCAUAUUAUUGACAGCAAUAAUCCUUCCAACACUUUGUGAUGCAAAGCAGGGGGGCGCCUGUAUUUUCAUAUGUCUAUAUUAUUGGAGAUUAAAGUUGUGUGGACAAUUGUGUUGAUAAUUUGCCCAAUGUUAACAGGGAUAGGUUGGCUUAAAAAUAUAUAAGGUCACUUGUGCAUCGCUGUUCACACACUUAGACCCUGUUUGUGUAAGCUUUAAGUCCGGGCUCAAGCAAUUUCGACUUAAUCACUUCCGAGGACCAAUACCAACAGCCUUCUCAAAGAGUUGCCAGCUAAGAUAUCUAAACAUGUAUGACAAUCAGUUAGAAGGACUAUUGCCCCGAUCUUUGUCAAACUGUAAGCACUUAAAAAUUCUUGACAUCGGGAACAAUAAAAUGGGUGGUACAUUCCCUUCAUGGCUAUUUAAUCUCGGAGAGCUAGAAAUCCUAGUCUUGCGAUCAAAUAGACUGUACGGUCCUGUAAGUGGAAGGAGCACAUCACAUCCAUUCCCCAAGUUGCGGAUUCUAGAUCUCUCCAACAAACAAUUCGCGGGCUAUUUGCCAAUUCUAAACUUUAAGAAUAUGAAACCAGCUGCUGAUGAUAACGCGUAUAGUUAUAAAAAUAAGUCACAAGGACUAAUUAAUUACAUCUAUGAAGCAUCUAUCUCCUUAAAUGUGAAAGGAACAGAGUAUGAAGUGAAGAACAUUCUUCAUAUUUACACAGCCAUUGAUCUAUCGUGCAACAAAUUUCACGGAGAAGUUCCAAAGAGAGCUUAAAUGGCUUGCAUUGCUCAAUCUAUCUCAUAAUAGUCUUGCCGGACAUAUGUUCUGAAUUAUUAUUAUGCUUUCAUCAAUAUUUUCAAACAUUUCUCAAUAUGUAUUUCAAAGAAUUCUCAAGCCCUGGAACAUUUGGACCGGUCCUUUCGAAGCCAAGAUGCCCAGGUUAUCAUGGCCAUGCACAAAAAUGAAUAAAUUAUUCCAAGUCUUCCAUGACUCAUUCCAAGUCUUCGGAGGAGACCCUGAGCACAAAGAUGCUCAGGGUCUCCCCAAGCCUUCCAGGACUCAUUCCAAGUCUUCGGAGCACGGCCUCGACUCGCCCUUUCAAAGAUGUGAUAGUAGCUCGAGAGUGAUAUAAAUUAUUUUCCGGACACUAAAAAUAAAUAAUCAGAUCAAAUUAAUCAAUAAUAAAUUAAGGAUGAAAUCCAAAUUAAUCCUAAAUUUUGAUAAUAUAUAAAAAUUAUAAUUAUAAAUUAUAUAACCAAAUCAGAAUUGAAUUAACUUCCUUGGCACUAAAUUGAUAAGGAAAGUAUAAUAAUUUAAAUUUAAUUGAUGAAAAGUCAAAGUCUUCUAAUAAAUCCAUAAAGAAUAUGAUAAUCAAAAUAACGAAAAUUAUAAUUGAAAAAUCAAAAUCAUUAGUGUAUUGGAAUAGUGUUCACACACUUAUAUAUCAAAAUUUGUGGUCCAAAAACUAUAGCACAAUAUCCUAAAUACACCACAUUAAAUAUUAGUUCAAAAAUAUUCUGUAAAUAAUUGUUUUCAUUCAUCAUUUUGUUAUUUAAAAAACUAAUAAUUUGGGUUGAUGUUAACCUAUAUUUUAAUAUAUAAUUAUAUUAUUUUCGUAUUAUUUUAUUUAACUAGAAACAAUAUUUUUAUCAGACAUCAAUUAUAUUAAAAGAUAUAAUUUUAUUAAAAAAAAUUGAAUUAAAUUAAUAGGAUAACUCUACGCCUCACCAAGUCUACAAGACUCAUUUCAAGUCUACCAAGGACCACUACCUCGGUCCUCAACCAUUGGGAGAUGUGAAAGUAGCUUGAGAGUGACAAAAAUUAUUUUCCUCACAAUAAAAUUUAAUAUCUGAUAUAAAUUAAUUAAAUUAGUUAAUAAUAAAUUAAAACUAAUCAUGAAUUAUGAUAAUAAUUAAAUAAAUUAUAAUUAAAUUAUAUAAAUCAACUCCAAAUGAUACAAAUGACACUAAACCUUAGUUACUUUAUUGGUAAAUAAAUAUAAUAUAAUAAUCAAAUUGAUGAAAAAUCAAAAUCAUCUAAUAAAUUCAUAAAAAAUAUAUGAUCAUUAAUAUAUAUUAUAUUAGUAUCCACACACUUAUAUUUCAAAAUCUAUCCUCCAAACUUAUCAUCUCUGUAAACUAGCCACAUAAAAUAAAAAUUUAAAGAUAUUAGAUAUUUAGUUAUUUUCAUUAUAUAAUUUUUCCACACUAAACAACAAAAUAUCUUUAUCAAAUUAGUAUUUAUGAGUUAAAUAUUCAAGUUAUAAAUCCAGCAUGCAGCGUAUAAAUAGGAGAAACAUGGCACACUCUGCAAAGCCUUCUCACCUUCUUCUCUUUGUUUUCUUUCUCUCAUCACUUGAAUCCAUUCUUGCAACAACACGAGAAGGAGAAGCUCUUGUGAAAUGGAAGAAUAGCCUAGCCCCGUCUUCUUUUCUUGAUUCUUGGUCACUCACUCAUCUCGAUAAUCUUUGUAACUGGACUGGCAUUACUUGUAACUCUGCAGGUUCAGUCUCUGAGAUUUACCUUUAUGAGAAACAACUUGAUGGAAUGUUGUCGGAGUUUGGUUUCACUUCAUUUCCAAAUCUCAACAAUCUCACCCUCGCAUACAACUUCUUCUCCGGUCCAAUACCACCAGCCAUUGAGAAUUUAACACAGCUUCAAUAUCUUGAUUUGAGAAAUAAUUAUCUAGAUGGUCCCAUUCCUUUCCAGGUUAGCCAUCUUCAGAGCUUGCUCAUCUUAAACCUGUCAGAGAAUGCAUUGCAAGCUCCAAAUUGGUCCCAUUUCUCUCCCAUGCCUUUUUUGCGCAUCCUCAACCUCAGUCACAAUCCUCUUGCGUCGAAAUUCCCAGAUUUUAUAUCCAAUUCUCAUAGCCUGACUCACCUUAGCCUUAAUUAUAACGAGUUUACUGGUGAUUUAGCACGUGAAUCAAUAUUUGCCAAUCUGCAUAAUCUUGAAGUCCUCAGUCUUAAUGGCAAUUCUUUUGAGGGGCCAUUUCCACCAGAUAUAUUCAAGCUUUCAAGAUUAAAACGUCUCUUCCUGGCAGUUAACAAAUUUUCAGGUUCAAUUCCCAAUGACAUAAGGUUACUUUGUGAUCUUGAAUACCUAUAUUUAGGCAACAAUUCUUUUGAAGGACCGCUUCCACCAAAUUUAUUCAAGCUUUCGAAAUUAAAGCGUCUUUUUCUUUGGAGUAAUAAGUUUACAGGUUCUAUUUCCAAUGAUAUAGGUUUGCUUUCUGAACUUGAAACCCUCAAUCUUCAAUUUAAUUUUUUUGAGGGGCCGCUUCCCCCACAUAUAUUUAGGCUCUCUAAGUUAACAGGUCUAGAACUCGGAGACAAUAGAAAUUUAUUUGAAGGAAGUAAUAUUCCUAUCGGACUGGGACUCUUGACUAACCUCAGGUACUUAGAUUUACAUUUCAGUAAUCUCAGUGGCUAUAUUCCAUCUGACAUUGGAAACCUGAAGCUACUAGUACUUCUUAGUCUCGGUUCUAAUCAAUUGACUGGACCGCUUUCAAAGAUCGUUUCUAAUCUCACAAAUCUUAUAUUCCUUGAUGUAAGUGAUAAUAGUCUUAGUGGAAAUAUUCAGAGUGACUUGUGGAAAUAUAACCAUCAUCCUACUUUGGAAUACAUCGAUUUUAGUGGGAACCAUUUUACAGGUAUAUUUUUUCUCUAUAGAUCUUUUCCUUUUGUCAUAUGUAACUAAGCUAGUAAUCUGAUUAUUGCAGUUUUACCGAAGUUUCAACAAUCUUGACAGGUGAGCUUCCAACAACAAUUUGCAAUGUCACUUCCCUUUCGGUUCUUGAUUUGUCAAAUAAUGAAUUAAGUGGUGCACUUCCAAACUGUUUCGGGAAUCUUGCUGAUGGAUUGCUUUACAUUAAUCUUGCUAAUAAUCAGUUUCGAGGAACAAUACCAACUACUUUCUCCAGGAGUUGUCAGCUGACAUAUCUAAACAUGGAUAAUAAUGAGUUUGAAGGAUUGUUGCCCCCAUCUUUGGCGAACUGUAAGCACUUGAAAAUUCUUGAUAUAGGCAAUAAUAAAAUAGGUGGUACAUUUCCGUCAUGGCUUUAUGCACUUGGAGAGCUAGAAGUUCUUGUCUUGCGAUCAAAUAAACUCUAUGGUACAAUAAGUGGAAGGAGCAUAGAAGAUCCCUUCCCCAAGUUGCGGAUUGUGGAUCUGUCCAACAAUCAAUUCACAGGCCAUUUGCCAAUUCAAUACUUUAAGAAUAUGAAAUCAACUGAUAAUUUGUAUCGUUAUCAGAAUUCCACAAAAGUUUUUUCUUUCCAUUAUGAAGCAUCUGUCUCAUUAACUGUGAAGGGAACAGAGUAUGAAGUGAAAAAUAUCCUUCAUAUUUACACAGCCAUUGAUCUGUCCUGCAACAAGUUUCAAGGAGAAAUUCCUGACGUUAUUGGAGAGCUUAGAUGGCUUGCAUUGCUCAACUUAUCUCAUAAUAGUCUAACAGGACCUAUCCCAUCAUUGCUGAGAAAUAUGAAAGGACUCCAAUCUUUAGAUUUGUCUUCAAAUCAACUGACAGGGGCUAUUCCACCUCAGUUAACUGCACUGACAUUUCUAGAGGUCUUAAACCUCUCGGGAAACCAUCUUAGUGGAGGGAUUCCUCAGAAAGGACAGUUCAGCACAUUCAACAAUGAUUCUUAUCUAGGAAACUCAGCGUUAUGUGGAUCACCAUUGACGAAGAAAUGUGCAAACACAGCAUCACCUCCACAAGAAGUCGGAAAUGUUGAUGAAGAUGAUGCGGGUGAUGAAUUGACAUGGGAAGCAAUCUUGAUGGGAUAUGGAUGUGGACUGAUAUGUGGAUUGUCAUCUGCGUACAUUGUUCUCAAACUAGGAAAGCCUUGGUGGUUUGUGAGAUAUAUCGAAGUACUGCAAUUGAAGUUGAUGAAAAGAUAUGCAUGAAGAAUGGUACUAGCCGAUCAAGAUGAACUCGAAAGUUGUGGUCCUUGUGGACAUUUCUGAACCAGUAGUGUUCUAUUCUCUUUGUGGCUGCAUAAGUAUUUGGUAUUGUGUAAUGUUCUGUUUGGUCUUGAAUCAUAAUAAUUUUUCUUUCUUCAGGGGUAUUUAUAAUAUAAACCUUGGUAUUGUGUACUAGCUGUAAUAUUCUGUUUGAUCAAUGUUUAUACCAGUAAUUUUAUGCUCCGCACUGCAUCAUGCAGCUCUCAUAUUAUCUUCAUAUGUGUAUUUAUUUGGAUAUUAAAAACAUAUGGGAUAUGUGUUAACAGGGACAGCUCCCAAGUCUUGGAUAGACUCUUUCCAAGUCUUCCGAGGUCCUAUAGGUUUAAAUUAGUCCAUUAUCUGCAUACUAAUUUGUCCAACUGAAAAAUCAAGGAUAUUAUGUAUUAACUGUUUUAAUAACAAUUUACAAGUAUAAAUUUCAUAUAUUUUUUCAUAGAAUAUAAAUUAGUUGACGUACUAAAAUCACUAGUCAAAUUAAUUUAAAUAAAUAUAUUGAAAAGAUGAUAAUAAAAUUAUGGUAAUUUAUCACUACAACAAUUCUGGACAUUAAUUAUAUGUAUACUUAAAUAUAUUGAAAAGAUGAUAAUAUAGUAGAAUACAAAUGGUUAUGAUUCCGUAGUAACUACACCGUCGUAAGUUCACAUAAUUAUAUAAUUAUAGUUAUUUGAAAACGAAAAAUAAAUGAGAAAAUAUAUAGUGACCAAAUAUGAAUCAAUCUAAAAUUUUCAUUAUGGAGAUCGUAAGAAACGUGAUGAAGAACUGGAAUGAGAAUUCCUUACAAAACAUUUGGGUUAUAUUAUCAAUGAUGAAUGUUGUAUAUUAUACCUAUGAUUUCAAGUCUCAUACAAAAUUAUAUUGCUCAUAGUCUUUCGAUCAGUUCUUACUAGUGUAUGCAAUAGUUUCUCAUUCCAUACCAGUUAUUUUAUGCUCUGCACUGCCUUAUGCGCGCAGCUAUCAUAUUACUGACAGCUAACCUCCUUCCAACACUUUGCCAUGCGAAGCCUGAAGAUUAAAGUUAACAGGGAUAGGUCUUCUUCUCUCCCAAGUCUUGGACGGACUCUUUCCAAGUCUUCUGAGGACCCAUCGGCUCAGAUCCGUCCAUUAAAAAUUUAUUAUUGAUUACUUAUUAUUAUUGAUUGAUCUAAGAUUCCAAAGACAUGUUCCCGUAAUUUUCAGACUUAGCCAGUUGGUGUGGGCAGAAGUUUUAGAAAUAGUAGAUUAUGGGGAUUUUAUUUAUUCUAACCAAUUUUGAGUUAUUUAUUUUCUUCAAAAAAAUCAAUACUUAUUUUUUAUUGUUAUGCGGAAUUCCAAUAAAUAUUAAAAUAUAUAAUUUUGAUUAUUAUCAUAAAUUUAUUUAUUCAAUAAAUAUUAUUAUACUAUUAUGGAAACAUUUUAUUUUGUAAUGUAUAGUACACCCUUAUCCCACCAACAAAACUACAUCACAAACAAAUUAUAUCAUAUUUAAUUUAAUAAACUCAAAUAAUUUAAUUUAUGUAACAACUCUAUAAAAUUAGAGUGAUUGAUACUUUGCACCCCUUAUGUUUAAGCGUUUUUUCAAUUUGGUUUCAAACAAUUUUUUUGGCAGUAUGCACCCCAAAAUUUGAAAAUUGCUUCGCUUUGCACCCUUUUAAUCGCUCUCCGUUUAAUUGAUAUUGACCGUUAAAGACUUAAAGUUGACAGAUAUGGGUUUACAUUUUCAACACCACAAUUUUAAUUUUUUUUCAUGGGUAUUUUGAAAUAUUCAGACGACUGGGAUGAUUCAAGUGUCUUCAUGUUAGACAGUGCGAUAGGUCGGUCGAGGGGUUUUCAGAAACUGGGACCAAAGAUUGGCGCCAUCAGAUUGGAUUUAUAUCAUUGGAAACUCUCUGUACACCUCUAUAGAAACUGGGACCAAAGACAAGAGGGAGAAGCUCUUGUGAAAUGGAAGAAUAGCCUAGCCCCGUCUUCUUCUCUCGACUCUUGGUCCCUCACCAAUCUCGAUAAUCUUUGUAACUGGACUGGCAUUAAUUGUAACUCUGCAGGUUCAGUCUCUGAGAUUAACCUUUGUGAGAAACAACUUGAUGUAAUGCUGUCUGAGUUUGGUUUCACUUCAUUUCCAAAUCUCAACAAUCUCACCCUCGCAGCUAACUACUUCUCCGGUCCAAUACCACCAGCCAUUGAGAAUUUAACACAGCUUCAAUAUCUUGAUUUGAGAAAUAAUUAUCUAGAUGGUCCAUUCCGUUCCAGGUUAGCCAUCUUCAGAGCUUGCUCAUCUUAAACCUGUCACAGAAUGCAUUGCAAGCUCCAAAUUGGUCCGAUUUCUCUCCCAUGCCUUUCUUGCGCAUCCUCAACCUCAGUAGCAAACCUCCUGCGUCGAAAUUCCCAGAUUUUAUAUCCAGUUCUAAUAGCCUGACUCACCUUAGCCUUAAUUAUAACGAGUUUACUGGUGAUUUGGUACGUGAAUCAGUAUUUGCCGAUCUGCAUAAUCUUGAAAAGCUCAGUCUUGUUGGCAAUUCUUUCGAGGGGCCAUUUCCGCCAGAUAUAUUCAGGCUUUCCAAAUUAAAACAUCUUAGCCUGUCAGAUAACAAACUUUCAGGUUCAAUUCCCAAUGACAUAGGGUUGCUUUUUGAUCUUGAAUACCUAUAUUUAGCCAACAAUUCCUUUGAAGGACCGCUUCCACCAAAAAUAUUCAAGCUUUCAAAAUUAAAAAAUCUUGUUAUUUGGGGUAAUAAGUUUUCAGGUUCUGUUUCCAACGAUAUAGGUUUGCUUUCUGAGCUUGAAAGCCUCUAUCUUGACUCCAAUUUUUUUGAGGGGCCGCUUCCGUCAAAUAUAUUCAAGCUCUCCAAAUUAAGGAUUCUUUUCCUUUGGCAUAAUAACUUUUCAGGUUCUAUUUCUAAGGAUAUAGGUUUGCUUUCUGGACUUGAAACCCUCUAUCUUGACUCUACUUUUUUUGAGGGUCCGCUUCCCCCACAUAUAUUCAAGCUUUCCAAAUUAACAAGUCUUGACCUCGCAUACAAUAGAAAUUUAUUUGAAGGAAGUAUUCCUAUUGGACUGGGACUCUUGACUAACCUCAGAUACUUGAGUCUAUCUUCCACUAAUCUCGGUGGCUAUAUUCCAUCUGAAAUUGGAAACCUGAAGCUACUAGAAGUUCUUGAACUCAGUUCUAAUCAAUUGAAUGGACCGCUUUCAAAGAUCAUUUCUAAUCUCACAAAUCUCACAGUUCUUGAUGUAAAUGAUAAUAGUCUUCGUGGAAAUAUUCAGAGUGACUUGUGGAAAUAUGACGAUCAUCCAACUUUGGAAUACAUCGAUUUAAGUGGGAACCAUUUUACGGGUAUAGUUUUUCUCUAUAGAUCUUUUCCUAAUCUCAUAUGUAACUAAGCUAGUAAUCUGAUUAUUGCAGUUUCACCAAAGUUUCAACAAUCUUGACAGGUGAGCUUCCAACAACAAUUUGCAAUGUCACUUCCCUUUUGGUUCUUGAUUUGUCAAAUAAUGAAUUAAUUAGUGGUGCACUUCCAAACUGUUUCGGGAAUCUUGCUGAUAGAUUGCUUUUCAUUAAUCUUGCUAAUAAUCAGUUUCUCCAGGAGUUGUCAGCUGACAUAUCUAAACAUGGAUAAUAAUGAGUUUGAAGGAUUGUUACCCCCAUCUUUGGCGAACUGUAAGCACUUCAAAAUUCUUGAUAUUGGCAAUAAUAAAAUAGGUGGUGCAUUUCCGUCAUGGCUUUAUGUACUUGGAGAGCUGGAAGUCCUUGUCUUGCGAUCAAAUAAACUCUAUGGUACAAUAAGUGGAAGGAGCAUAGAAGAUCCCUUCCCCAAGUUGCGGAUUGUGGAUCUGUCCAACAAUCAAUUCACAGGCCAUUUGCCAAUUCAAUACUUUAAGAAUAUGAAAUCAACUGAUAAUUUGUAUCGUUAUCAGAAUGACACAGGAGAUAUUUCUUUCCAUUAUGAAGCAUCUGUCUCAUUAACUGUGAAGGGAACAGAGUAUGAAGUGAAAAAUAUCCUUCAUAUUUACACAGCCAUUGAUCUGUCCUGCAACAAGUUUCAAGGAGAAAUUCCUGACGUUAUUGGAGAGCUUAGAUGGCUUGCAUUGCUCAACUUAUCUCAUAAUAGUCUAACAGGACCUAUCCCUUCGUUGCUGAGAAAUAUGAAAGGACUCCAAUCUUUAGAUUUGUCUUCAAAUCAACUGACAGGGGCUAUUCCACCUCAAUUAACUGCAUUGACAUUUCUAGAGGUCUUGAACCUCUCGGGAAACCAUCUUAGUGGAGAGAUUCCUCAGAAAGGGCAGUUCAGCACAUUUACAAAUGAUUCUUAUCUAGGAAACUCCGCGUUAUGUGGAUUACCUUUGACGAAGAAAUGUGCAAACACAGCAUCACCUCCACAAGAAGUCGGAAAUGGUGAUGAAGAUGAUGCUUGUGAUGAAUUGACAUGGGAAGCAAU
rnacentral:lncRNA from 1 species